CUCGAAACGAACAAAUUCUUUAACUUUUAAUUUAAACUUAUACCUCACUCCUCAAACAGAUGAGGAUGGUGCUUUCUCAUCAGAUCCUCGAGUUCCCAGGUGGCCUCGCGAUCAUCAUGAUUGCUCCACCUGACCUUUACAUAGGGAAUUUCUCGAUUCCUCAACUUUCGCACCUCUCGGGCGAUAAUUCCUACCGGAAACUCUUCAUAGCUCAAGUCUCCUUGAAGUUCCGGCGGUUCAUAUAGCAUCGCAUGCUCCGGGUCGUGAAUAUACUUGCGGAGAUUGGAGACAUGGAACACAUUGUGCACAUCCGCAAGUUUCGGCGGUAAAGCAAGCCGAUACGCCACCGUACCAACUCGCUCCAAUAUCUCAUAUGGCCCAAUGUACCGGGGACUCAGUUUUCCCCGUACUCCAAACCGCUUCACACCACGCAUUGGUGAAACCUUCAGAAAUACGCGGUAACCCACCGCGAACUCUAUAUCUCGUCGGCGCCUAUCUGCAUAGCUUUGCUACCUCGACUGCGCCGUGAGCAAUCUCUUGCGAGCAAGGCGGACUUUCUCCUCCGCUUCUCGCAACACAUCAGGGCCGAACUCUGCCCGUUCACCUACAUCGCUCCAAUGUAUAGGAGACCGACACGUCCGCCCAUAAAGAGCUUCGAACGGUGCCAUCUCUAUACUCGCAUGAUAACUGUUAUUGUAGGCGAACUCGGCCAUAGGUAGGUGAUCACACCAACUUCCCUUAUAGUCGAUGACACACGCUCGCAACAUAUCCUCCAGAGUUUGAAUGGUUCUCUCUGUUUGCCCAUCGGUUUGAGGAUGAAAUGCGGUACUAAAAUCGAGCCGUGUGCCAAGGGCUUCUUGCAGGCUUUUCCAAAAGUGUGAAGUGAACCGGGGGUCACGAUCCGACACGAUCGAUUUCGGCACCCCAUGCAGUCUCACUAUCUCGUCAAGAUAUACCCGCGCUAACUUGUCACCCGACCACGUGGUGUGGAUCGGCAAGAAGUGAGCCGACUUCGUCAAUCGGUCCACAAUUACCCAAAUUGCAUCGUGGCCGCCCGUUGAGCGAGGCAAGCUGACCACGAAGUCCAUCGAUAUAUCUUCCCAUUUCCAAACGGGGAUUGGUAGGCUUUGAAGCUUUCCCGCUGGAAAUCUACGCUCUGCCUUCACUUGCUGGCAUGUUAAGCACUUCGCCACAAAGCGUCCAACAUCACCCUUCAUUCCCGGCCACCAAUAGUGCAUUUUUAGUCCUUGAUACAUCUUGGUGCCGCCCGGGUGAUCAGCAUACGGAGAUCUGUGUGCUUCUUGUAGAAUCAACUCGCGAAGCUCUCCAUCCUUCGGCACACACCAUCGGUUUCUAAACCGAAGCGCACCAUCGGCGUUUAUACUAAAAUCGCCGCCUCGACCAUCCUCGAUGUUUCGCCGCACCUUCUGGAGUUCUGGGUCCGCAGGUUGCAGAUCUUUAAUCCUCUCCAACAAGGUCGGUUGGACAACGAGUGCCAUCAACUGGGCUGGAAUCUCGGGAGGAACCACUUCAAGGUCCAAUCGCUUCAUAUCCAGCCACAGGGGUGUUUGCUGGGUAACAUCAAAAGCGAGAUUCUUCGCCGACUUUCUACUCAGCGCAUCCGCAACCACAUUUGCCUUCCCGGGGUGGUAGAGGAUAUCGACAUCAUAAUCCUUUAACAACUCCAACCACCGCCGCUGACGCAUAUUGAGCUCCUUCUGAGUAAACAAGUACCUUAAGCUCUUGUGGUCGGUAUAAAUCUCACAAUGGGCACCAUAUAAGUAGUGCCUCCACAGCUUCAGGGCGAAAAUUACCGCCGCCAGCUCCAAGUCGUGGAUGGGGUAAUUCUUCUCAUAGCUCUUCAGCUGACGGGAUGCAUAAGCAAUCACCUUCCUGUUUUGCAUCAAUACACACCCCAACCCAAGAUAGGAAGCAUCACUGUAGACUACGAAGUCUUCGCCUUCCACCGGUAGAGCGAGCACCGGAGUUGAAGUCAAUCUUUGCUUCAACUCUUUGAAACUUCGGUCGCACUCCUCGCUCCAAACAAACUUGGUGCCUUUCUGGGUCAGGCGGGUAAGUGGAAUUACUAUCUUGGAGAAGCCUUCCACAAACCGCCUAUAAUAGCCCGCCAAGCCCACGAAGCUUCGAACCUCCGUGACGUUCGUCGGGCGCGGCCAAUCCUUGAUUGCCUCAACUUUCCUCGGGUCUACUGAAACUCCACCCGCGGAAAUCACAUGCCCUAAGAAGGCGACUUCGCGAAGCCAGAAGUCACACUUCUUUAGCUUAGCAUAUAGCUUCUCCUCCCGAAGGACUUGAAGCAGUUUCCUCAAAUGUUCGGCAUGUUCCUCGUCACUUCGAGAAUAGACCAAUAUGUCGUCUAUAAAGACCACGACAAAUUGGUCCAGAUACUCUCUGAAGACACGGUUCAUCAAAUCCAUAAACGCCGCUGGAGCAUUCGUGAGUCCAAAUGGCAUAACCGUGAACUCGUAGUGUCCAUACCGCGUACGAAACGCGGUCCUUUGCACAUCCUCCGGUUUGAUCUUCAAUUGAUGGUAGCCGGAUUACAAGUCUAUUUUCGAGUACACACACGACCCUUGCAACUGAUCGAACAGGUCAUCGAUUCAGGGUAGUGGGUACUUGUUCUUGAUCGUGACUCUAUUCAAUUCUCGAUAAUCCACGCAGAGCCUAAACGAUCCAUCCUUCUUCCUCACGAAUAACACCGGGGCUCCCCACGGUGAUACACUCGGCCGGAUAAAUUGCUUGUCAAGGAGGUCUUGUAGUUGACUCCUCAACUCCCUUAGUUCCGCCGGCGCCAUUCGGUACGGAGCCUUCGAGAUCGGCGCGGUACCGGGAACCAAGUCUAUGACGAACUCGAUCUCCCGAUCCGGUGGUAUCCCCAGCAACUCUGCGGGAAACACAUCCGGGAACUCCCGCACUACCGAGAUCUCCUCCAACAUUGGAGUGACUCGUUCCACCUCUACAACGGUCGCCAAGAACGCUGCACAACCGUUGCUCACCAACUUUCUUGCUCUCGUCGCCGACACCGUCGCGACGAAACACGUGCUCUGGCAAGCUCGAUAGGUGAAUUCUUUCUGUCCUGGCCCACGAAACGUGAUCACCCUGCUCUUGCAGUCAAUCGUGGCGUGGUAUUUCGAGAGCCAGUCCAUACCCAGAAUAACAUCAUAAGCCUCAAGCUUCUGGAGUCCUAGUGUCCGAAUAGGCAUUAUCCAUUCGCCUAUUUGUACCGGACACGAGGCGCACUCUGUGUAGGUAUUGAAUGUCGAUCCAGGGCCCUCCACUCGCCACUUGUCACUCGCUUCUAUAUGUAUGCCAUGCAUGCGUGCGAAUGAUCUACUUAUGAAUGAAUGCGUGGCUCCUGUAUCAAAUAGAGCCCUGGAGCGAACUCCGUUAAUCAAAACCAUACCUGCCACAAGGCGAUGCUCCUCCGCCUCCGCAGGUUCCUCGGCCUGAACCUGAGCUGCAAAUACCCGUCCGCUCGGGGCCGAUCGCGCCAUCUCAGGUUGACGCGGUGUCAUCGCGCGUCCUGUCGACGCGGCCGUCGGUGGAGCUCCUCCAUAAUAUGCCGGAAUCGCCGGCGCCGAUGCAAUCGAUGGGGCAGGUGAGGCUCCUCCUCCCGGGCAGUCCCGAAUGAAGUGCCCCGGUUGCCCACACUUGUAGCACUUGCCCCGGCCUUGUUCACAGCGCGAAACUGGGUGGUCUCCGCAGCAUACAAUGCAUCGCCGCGCUCCACCGUUUUUCUGUUGAGCGCGCGGGUACUUCGGGGGUCUCUUAUAACGUGCUUGACCACCCGAACUACCGCCGCCUUGGCGUUUCUUGCCCUUAUCCUUGGACUCCGCCAAAAGCUCACGCUUCUCCCGCACGUGGGCAUCUCCGUGCUCCGCCCAUAGGGCUCGAUCAAAGACCUCAGCAAAGGUCGUGAGCUUGAGUAUUUGCACGGCCUUGUAGAUUCCCGGCCGAAGUCCUCGCAAGAACCACUCGGCCCGGUCCCGGUCAUCCUUUACAACAUCCGGGACACAAUCUAUGAUGUGGGAGAAUUCCUGUUCAUACUCCGCCACUGGGCGGUCCCCUUGCUCUAGCUUGCCGAACUUCUCCUUGAGCUUCCGCUUCAAUGUAUCGGGGAAGUAGUUGGCGAACAUCUCCCGCUUGAAUUCCUCCCACAGCAUCGGCGGAAGGCCGGGAAGCCGAUCCCACUUGACGCGCUUCCACCAAACCUUUGCCGCCCUUUCCAAGCAAUGGGUGGCGAGAUACACCUUGUCCCUCUCCAAGGUACGCAAGUCGUCGAAGAGGGUUUCCAUCGAGUCGAUCCAAGACUCGACCAUUGCCGGUUCCACCUUCUCACCCUCAAAGGUCGGCGGAUGGAACUUGUUGAACUUGAUAAGAGCCGCUAGCGCACGCUCUCCUUCCACGUCUUCGGCCGUCACGUCGGGUGUAGUCGAUCCCGACGCCGCCGGUGGCACGAUCGCCGGCGGGGGACGCGCCGCCACCGGGACCGCCGCUAUGCCCUCACCCUCAGCUGGCUCAGGUACACGAGCCGAGGGCGCGGGCACAUCGCGUCCGUCCGUCGCCGUUGCGGCCGCUGCCGCUGCCUGCCGCUCCAAGAGCUCCUGGAGCCGCUCGAAUCGGUUCUCCUGGCGCUGCACCACAUCGGUCAGCGCGGACACUUGCGCUUGCAACCGAUCCAUCACGCUCGGUUCUCCCUGCUCGGGCACCUCAGGAGUCGGUGCCGGAGUAGAUCUACGUGUGUAGCGUCUUGGAGACAUUAGUCCCUGAAACGCAAAUACUCGGUUAAUCAUCUUAACCCGUUAACCUCGUCGCAAUUACGACACAUGACAACUUAAUGGCAAAAUCGGGCGGAAGCAUACAAGUGUACUCGUUCUAGGCUCUUGGCAUCAUGUCGUCGGCCGCCGACACAACCACCUCAAGAUAAGAACUUAUACCACUUGAAUUCGUCUCUAAUCACAACUAGAGACCUAUACCCACUUCGACCCAAUCGAAUUGACUUCCGCCAUCGUUAUAGGUUCACGUUCCGCUCACGCACCUAUAACCUUAGGGCUCACCAACCUAGGGUCUCCUAGGUCAUCCUAGACUUUCUCUCUUUACUUGCUCUCAUUGCUCUGAUACCACAAAAGACUGUCACGCCCCGCCCCGAAGCCACUACCAAUUUGUCACGGUUCGGUCGCGGCGACAGACCGCCGAACGGACAGCACCUCCCCUAUCCGCCCAAGGCUCAACAACAGGAAUGUGUACAAGAAUUUACCCAGGACUUUAAAUUCUAAACAUACACAUUCAACGAGGGCACAAACAGUGCCAACAACGAGAAGAGCAAGUAAUCCACAAGAUAUACGAGUGAAAUAAAGAGAGUACUUNNNNNNNNNNNNNNNNNNNNNNNNNCGAAGGCUUAAGGAGCGGAUUUGCCGCAAUGUGCAAUUAGGCGCUCCAAAAGUGGAUUUUGAUACAUAAGAGGGUUUUCUUCUCAGAUUGACCCUUCUCUAACCUAAUUGUGGUCUAUGCAACGCUACGGUGCGCUCGUUCGUCGAUCCGACGGUGUUACGCCGAAUAUUUGAGGAUCGAAGCGUUAAGCGGUACGAUGCCGCAGCUCGCCAGGCGAAAGCUUGCCAAAUCUGGAAAUGGAAUCGUAGCUGUGGUGUUUUGGGGAAUAAAUCCCAGAAUAGACGUAUGCGCGGAUGAGUAUUUUGGCAGUCGCGCGUGGUUGGGUGCGAGGCCGUGCGCGGCAUGCGCCGCCAGGCGCCGAUGCCGAGUGACGCACGAGCAAGUCGAACGCUAUAGAAAGGUGGUGAGUGUCCAUCCCGAAGCCAUCGGCUCCCUUUUGUCUUAAGUUUAUAUGAUUCAGCUAUGCAUUAAUUGACAUCUUGGCAUUGUGGGUAUAAAUGAGGUGUGGUUCUAUACCUUGCAUGUUCCUUGGUAAAUAAUAUUUGGCUAGUAUUUAUAUCUAGCAUGCUUAGGUUUAUAUCAUGUGAUGUGAACCCUAUAAUCGAGAGAUAAGUGUGAUGGGAAUUUAGUAAUGUAUUGACUAUUGCCAUUGGAAAUUGUAAAGAACGAGUGAAUCUAGUUUGAUAGUCAAACAAAGAACGAGUGACAUAUGUGGCAGUCAAGUGUAUAUAAACCUAGGACUAUAUGAUGAUUAAUAACCUAGAGGAAUCAGGGUAUUCUCGAGAUGAGGAUUGGAUCAUGCUCGCGGUCUGUUAAAUCUUGAUGAUGGAACCCACACAAGUAUGCCGCUCCGGCAUGUUGGUCCGCAGGAUGCCAAUGGCAGCGCCAGAAACGGUACCUGGUCCCCGAUAGUGUGAAGUGUAAUUCUCUACCUAUUCGAGAAUGGCUAGUGAGCUGUGGCGAGCCUUCGGUAAGCCAUUGAGAUUAAUAACAAGUAAGUAUGAGUUAAUGAAACGAGGUGAAUAGGUUCACUUGGACAUGAUAACAGGUUAGUGCUUACCUAUUUCAUUGUACAUGCAGUUGGCAUAUAUUAUGAGUGGGCAUAGGUAAGAGUAGUGUUUACUCGCUGUCAUUAUCGCCGUCCUUAUCUAUCUACUAUCGAUUAUCUAACUUCCGAUUGGACCUAGUGGGGAGAACGCGGAGUCGCCGGCGACGAAACCCACUGGAAACUAAGGAAGUUAGUUUCUCACCGCCCAUUUUACUACAGGGCCGAGCGCGAGUUCACACGGCGAGAUCGGGCGUAAGCCCGCCUUAGUGCCCUAGUUUGCAUUAGGCUACUUCCCUAUUUCUGCAUUAGAGUCACCUUUAUGCUUUGGAGAGUAGACGAUGUAUGGAUGUGAGAUAUUCUGCGAGAAGUAAGCAAUGUUCUAUAUUUGGAAGAUGAAGCUUUUAUUAUGUUUUGGAGGUUCAAUUGUAAUCAUUGUAUUAUAAGAAGCGUUGAAUGAAUGUAAUAGAUUAGAUGCGUCUCUCUUUAUCAAUUACUUGUGAGUGUUCUAUACUUGUAUCUUGCUCUUGGUGCGUGUGCACUGAUUGUGCUCUCGUUCUACAUUAUGAUGUGUAUGUAUUCAAGGUGUUUUUCCUGGUGGGACUUGUUGUAUCACUAUCUUGUUGUUAGCCUUGGGCGGACCAGGGAGUGCUGUCCGUCCGGCGUCUUUGAGCGCCGCCGCCCGAACCACAUUGGGUCAGCUGCGACGCGGGCGUGAACACCUAGUUUCAGUGUAUCCUCACUCGUCGGAGAGAUAGAUCUAGCUCACAGUCUGCGUUUAGGGUGUAUAGCCAUCCAUCCCACAAUAAAGGGGAUUUGCUCGUCGAGUUACUCCGGAGGUCUGCGGCGACUGGACCACUUGGAGGUCACGGACCACAAUGGAGUCGGCAGACGGUCCGCCGGCUUGGAGUUGCACUUGGAGCUCCUCCCAACUUUGGAUUGAAAGCUGUCAGCCCCGCAGACGCUACCAUUGGUCCGUCCGUGCGCGUCGAACAGACGCCGGACGGACACAGCACCUCCCUGUCCGCCCAAGGCUAAACACAGGAUCAUGUAAAACUAGUUCCCUAGGAAAUCAAACUUGCAAUACAUACAAUGAUCAAACAUAGCGAGGGCACAACCAGUGCCGAACUUCAAGAGCCAAAGAUCACAAGUAUAUAACAAGUGAAUAAAAGAAAGAGAUAUUAACUAUCUAUACAUUCACAUUUGACAUUCAACAUUUCAUCCAUUCAACCUUUAAUACAACUUUGAUUAUAUUUAAGCCCUCCAAAACUGAAUACAUAGAUGCAUCUACAUGGAAUAAUGCUACGCUAUCCAAAAUUAAUAUGUCAUUAUAACCAUGCACAACGAGGGUGACUCUUUACAUAGGAAAGCUCUACUAGCUAGCUAGGGCGGCUACAUGCCCUACCUCGAUACCUGCCUCGGUCGCUCACGUGUGUACUUACCUUCCAAAAACACACGGGGUUGAAAUAAUAGUAAAUAUAGUUCCCAGUGGCUUCGCCGCGCACUCCGCCGAUUUCCACUAGGGGGUCAAGUUGUGCACAGAUAGAGUAGACUAGAGAUACAUUGGAAAUUAAAACUGCUACCUAUAUCUUACUAUGCCAAUUCAAAUGCAAGGAAUGCAUGCGAAUAUCAUUUAUCAUGCUACGUAUGCUUUAAUAAUGUAAUGAAACAAAUACGACACAUAUGCAUUCCACUAACAUUACUAUGUCGUAAUCGUGGUAUAAGUCAAAUCUGCUUAUCAAUUCAUGUCAUUUACCCAAUCCACUAAGGUACCCCGCCUUUCUCAAAUCACAUAAGGUCGAAGGAUACCCCGCCCUUGUUUUCACCGUCAACAACUCUAAACACAUAGGUAAGGAGCACUACCCCGCCUCGUACCCGACUCCAAGAUCUCAAGUCCUAUAGAUGAAGAGCUACCCGGGGUCCGCCCAACCAUGACUCAAAUGCCUAAGGCGCAAGAGCUACCCGCUCUUCGCCGACUCUAACUCAAACUACAUAGUCAAGAGCUCCGCUCGUAGAUAAAGAGCUACCCGCUCGUAGUAAAGAGCUACCCCGCUCAUAGGUAAGGAGCACCCCGUCAUCAGGUAAAGAGUUACCGCACGUCAAAGUAAACGAGCUACCCCGCCUCAAAUCUAACAGGUGAAGAGCUACCCGCCCUUCCACCUGCACUCAUUCUCAGUCCAUAUGGGUAUGGGCAGCGACCUCCGCUCGUAAUCCCCACCCGAUGAGCUACCCCGCUCAUGAGCUAACCCCCUCGGUGACAAUCUUCAAGUUCCACAACACUAGGUUGUAAUGCUCAACCUAUGUUUAACAACAUUAUAUAAUGCCACUCGAUCUAUCCUAUGCUGUUCGCGACACUAGGUUUACGAUGCCACAUUGCCUCAUAAUUAACAAUAGGUUAACAUUCAAUUUCAUCUAGCAUAUAUGUUCUAUAGAAAGCCAACAUGCAUCAUAAUUGCUAAUAUGCCAUUUAUCACAGCAUGCAAUCCUUUCAUAAUGCACUACUGCAAUACAAUCUCCCAUCACACUAUGUCACAUGUCACGAGUUCAUUAACAAGCCAAGUUUCUUUAUUCCUUAUCUACAUAGAUUCAUGUCUCAACUUAAUCAUCAUGCAUUCUACGAGUUUUAAGUGUCAAGUCUAUAAUACUACACAACUAGACAUGCGAAUGCAAGAAAAUUAGAAAUUAUAACUAUCUAUAUCUAUAACUCAUAAGAACCACUAUUAUAUAAAUCAUGAUCAACUAUUUUACUCGGACAUAGAAGGAAGCGCCAUUGCUGUCGGAUAGACACCCCCACCUUUUAACAACAUUCCGAUUGCCGCUCUCACUCGCAAUCGCGUCCACGCGGCGGCACGCCGCUCGCCUCGACCGCUAUCCGCUGCGCGCCACCAAACGACCUCCGAUCACGCGAUGCCGAAAUUAUAGGUCUUCGCUUUCUCGCUAACGGUGCUCAAAUCCCGUUCCACGAUUUUAUGGAAGCGCCUCGACUCCCCAAGGUCAUAUGAACUCGACGCAACACUUGAUCAGCCGGACGUCGCAUCCGCUCGACAAUCGACGAACGCCUCGCUUCCUACGCGUUCGAGACGAAACAAUUAGGUAGUUCUGUGACCACUCAAAAUAGAUCAAACUCCAACUACUUACAAAAACCCACAUUUUUAACCCAUACGGUUUGCGGCAAUUAGUAAAAAUCCACCAUUAGUGGCUUUGAAUUUUAAGCUUUGAAUCAUCUAUUAAGCAUCAAAAGGUCCACUAAAUCCAUUUAUUACAGGAUUAAAACCUAGCUCUAGCUAACUCUACCAUUAAAGCCCUCAUUUUGGACCAUAUAUCUGCAACUACAUGGAAAAAUCCCCAUUAAGCUUUGGAUUCAAGUAUUAAUCAUGAGACUACCUGCUAGCAUUCCAUCUAAAUCAUUCUUAGAGAUGAAACCAACCUAAGAAAAUCACCAUUAGAGCUUAAGCCUACCUUCUGCAAAGCUUACUCCCAAACCCAAGAACAAGAUGAAGAAUGGUGAAGUCCACCUCUUGACCUUCUCUCCUUCUUCUUUCUCCCUUCUUAUCUCUUCUCCCUUCUGUUCUAUUUCGUUUAGAGAGAUUUGAGAGAGGGAGAGAGUAAUGUGAGGGAGUGAGGGAAAUGAGAAAAGAAGAGAGAAUAGACAUGCUCUCUUAAUCCCCUCUUGCAUAUUGUACAUUUCAAUAAGCCCCUCUAAUCUUCUCCAACCUGCAACAGCCCAAACUGGGUGUUUUCUGCUCGGGCACUGGACCCCCUGGUGAUGAGACCCGUCCCCGACGACCAGAAUUCAGGCAUUUUCAGACUUAGCAAAUUUUUCAGCCUUUUUCGUUUCGGGUGCCGUCUUUCGCUCGUUUUUUGCUCGUUUGACCUCCGAUUCUUUUCAAUCGAAACCGGAGACUCUCCAAACAUGUUUUCGAGCAUGUUUCCAUUCAUACUCGUUCAUCUCCGCUAAUGCCGGAUUUAGUUCAUGGUUCACGACAUUAGCCUUUCGGAUCCCGUUCCGCGCUACGCCGCCAGCGCGAAUCGCCCGAUUCACUCCGAACUUCACCAACUUCACGGAAACCCUUCAAAUGGCUCUCCAACCAAAUUUAACACGCAAUAUUCAUAAUUUUAGAAGUCCGGACCUUACAGAAAGAUGGGUUCAUGGGCGAGCCCUAAGGCCUCGCCACAGAUUGGGUGAUGAAAGUUAAAGGUUAAUGAAUGUCAUUGAACAUAGCCUAUUCUCGAACAUGUGAUCGAAUUAGUUAGCGAUGGUACAAACCUUAUUAUAUAUGCAUGCUAUCACUAUUCGAAUGAUUAUGGAUGGUAGCUAUAGUUUUCCUACUACCGCAUUAACAGCUUUUCAUGAAUAUUAUCUAUCUAUCUCCUGUUGUUGCUGUGCCCAUUGGACCUAUGUGGGAGCUCGCAGAGUCGGGCCGAGCCACUGGGAACUGAUGGAAGAUAUUCUCACCCACUUUAUUCCGUGGUAGGUACCGGUUGCCGAGAGAAGGACCGCGCAAGGGCAUCGCGCCCCGAUCAGUUGACCGUGCGUAAUAAAAUAGAUAGCUUUCCUUUUUGCAUUAGCACACUCUCAUGUUUGAGAGAGAUUUCAGGUAGGUGAGAUUGGAGCUAAUGUAUUUUGAGGAUCAAUGUAUUUCAUUUUGGAAAAUGAUGUAAAUGUAAAGAAUGUAAACUAUUAUAAUAGUUAGUUUAGAAAGCAUAAGGAAUGGAGCUACUAUGCAAUCCUACAAUGCAACAUGAAGAGAUGAGAUCAAAUGCAAUCUAAGACAUAGAAAGGAGUUCGAAAGCUUCGGGAUGACACCCCCCACCUUUUACCAACGUAGAGGUUUUAGAAGCGCUCCUCGACGAGCUUUACGAAAAGGCUUUUGCCUUCCCUAAUCCAAGAUAGCGCCGAAACGACCGUAAUUCGCCGAUUGUUCUAAGUCCGCUCGACGAAUCGCGAAAUCGACUUCGCCCCCGCGUUUGGGCACCUAUCGAUGAGGUUUACAAGGCCUCAAAUGAGAUCAAUCUCAUACUUUACAAAAUGCCCCCAUUUGGAGCCCUAGGUUUGCACAUAUAGCAAACCACCAAUAAAAUCCUAGAUUCUUGGGAUUGAUCUACUUAGAAGCAUGCUUGGGGUCCAUUUGACCCAUUCCAAAGCAUAAAACCCAAAAACCCUAAGUUUACAAAGCUAGGGUUUAGUAGCUUACCUCAAGAGCUACACCAAUGGGAAGAGGAGAGGGAGAUGGAGGUGCUCAAAGCCUUCCUCUUGAUCUCCUUCUUCUUCUCCUUCCUUGUCUUCCUCUUCUUUUCCUUCCUCUCCUUCUUGUUCUCCUUCUCCUUCUUUCCUUUCUAGAGAGAGAGGGAGAGAAAUAGAGAGAUGAGAGUGAGAGAGAGGAAUGAGAGAGUGUGAGGGAGAGAGAGGGCCCAGCCCACUCUAAUAAAGGCCAUUUUGCAUUUAGACCCCUCAACUUUUAACCCCUUGCGCAGCCCUCGCUGGGCAGUUUUCGUGCGGAGGGACCGGUCUCCCCGACUUGGGACCGGUCCCCGAGAGCGUCCCUCGGGCGCACGCGUUCGAGUACCGGUCUCUCCCCGGGAGACCGGUCCUCGGGAGACAGGUCCUCGCCUGAGAGACCGGUCCCCGAGAGCUCAAUUUUCAGGACUUAGCCAAAUCUCGGCAUUUCUCGCUGGAACCACGUUCGGGAACCGGUCCCUCACUGCCAGGGACCGGUUGCACCAUGCAACCCCGCACGCCCAGCCGAUGGGACCGGUCUCUCACCUCCAGAGACCGGUCCCCGAGAGCAACUUCAGCCCAAUAAUGCUGUUUGCAUCGUUAGCUCUCGUGGACUCAACUCCAAAGCACUUUUUGUGUUUUGGACAUUUUUAACUUCCCCAGAGGGUAUUCUCUCGACAAAUAGUCGAUCCUGGACGAAUGAUAACUCUCGAAUUUCGAGAAUUCACUUCCUUACACUUGUUCACCCAAAAGGAGUUGAAUAUGCGGCAACGGCGGUGGUUAGAGUUACUAAAAGACUACGAUGUCACUAUACUAUACCACCCCGGUAAAGCCAAUGUCGUAGCCGAUGCGUUGAGUAGAAAAUCGGCGGAUAACCUAGCGACGGCAAUUACGCCUCAACCGCUAUUGCACAAGGAAAUGCAACGUCUUGGGUUGGAAGUGGUAGCGCCGGGAGUGCCGGCUACACUUGCCGCAUUAGUUGUGCAACCGACCCUACUCGAGAGAAUCAAAGAGUCACAAGCUUCGGAUCCGUAUCUCCAAAAGGUUCGAGGUGAAGUUGAGAAAGGUAGUGCCGAAGAUUUUGGCAUUGGAGCUGAUGGCGCACUUCGAUUCCGAAAUUGAUGGUGUGUACCAAAAGAGGAUGAGUUACGAAGGGCAAUCAUGCAAGAAGCACACCAAUCCCCUUAUAGUAUACACCCCGGCGGCACCUAAAUGUACAAGGACUUAAAAGAGCAUUAUUGGUGGCCGGGCAUGAAAAGAGAUAUUGGGGAAUUCGUGGCGCAAUGUCUAACGUGCCAACAAGUGAAAGCCGAGCGCCGAUUCCCGGCAGGAAAGCUACAAAGUUUAUCUAUACCCGUUUGGAAAUGGGAAGACAUAGCGAUGGACUUUGUUACUGGUUUGCCUCGAUCACAAGGCGGACAUGAUGCGAUAUGGGUGAUAGUGGACCGAUUGACAAAGUCGGCACAUUUCUUGCCGAUACAUACUACGUGGUCGGGAGACAAGUUAGCUCAAGUCUAUCUCGAUGAGGUUGUGAGGCUUCAUGGGGUGCCGGUAUCAAUUGUAUCGGAUCGAGACCCCAGAUUCACAUCCCAUUUUUGGAAGCGUUUGCAAGACGCGCUAGGCACACGGCUCAACUUUAGCACGGCGUUUCAUCCUCAAAGUGAUGGACAGUCGGAGCGAACGAUACAAAUCCUUGAGGACUUGCUUCGAGCGUGUGUGCUAGAUUAUAGAGGAGGAUGGCAUGAUUUCUUGCCUAUGGCGGAGUUCGCCUAUAAUAACAGCUAUCAAGAAAGUAUCGCUAUGGCGCCGUUUGAGGCACUAUAUGGACGUAAGUGUCGUUCUCCUAUCCAUUGGAGCGACGUGGGCGAGAGAGCGGCUCUUAGCCCAGAUGUAGUGCGGGAGGCGGAAGAGAAAGUUCGUCUUGCCCGUCAACGGUUGGCGACGGCGCAAUCUCGGCAAAAGAGUUAUGCCGACAAGCGAAGAAAGGAUUUAGAGUUCGCGGUUGGAGACCGUGUAUUUUUGAGAGUGUCGCCAAUGCGAGGAGUCAAACGAUUUGGGGUCCGCGGGAAGCUAAGUCCCCGGUAUGUCGGACCGUUUGAGGUAUUGGAGCGUGUAGGUGCGGUAGCGUACAAGUUCGCCCUACCACCGAAACUCGCGGGAGUUCACAACAUGUUUCAUGUGUCCAAUCUCCGAAAGUAUAUUCGCAACUCGACACAUGUAUUAGAGUACGAGCCCGUAGAGUUACGCGAAGAUAUGUCUUAUGAGGAGUACCCGGUGUGCAUCCUCGAUCGAGAAGAAAGAAAGCUGCGGAGUCGCAGAAUUCCAUAUGUGAAAGUCCAGUGGAGCAACCAUGCGGCGAGAGAAGCCACUUGGGAGCUCGAGGAGACCAUGCGGCGAGAGUAUCCGCAUCUAUUUGAGUCGACGAGUUAAGGUAUGCGUAAUUUCGCGGAGGAAAUUAUUUUAAGGGGUGGAGAAUGUAAUAUACCGAAAAUUCGAAAAUAAAAUAUCGAACUUUAGUCAAAUUGACCAAAGUGCGAGGAUGGUACACUUCGGAAAGUCCGAAGGUGUUAAAAUAAUUAAAAGUGAGUUAUGGGAGGUUUUCGAGAGCUUGGGAAUCAAAUUCUGCAAAACUGCAGAUUUUGAGCUCUCGGGGACCGGUCCCUGGUGGGAGAGACCGGUCCCCGAACGCGUAUGAAGUGAGACAGCCGAAAAAUCGGCAAAGUCCUGAGAAAGUAGCUCUCGGGAACCGGUCCCUGCCUGAGAGACCGGUCCCCGAGAGACCGGUCCCCCAAGGAGAGACCGGAUGCAUCGCGCGCAGCAGCCCUGCGCUGCGCUGGGACAACCUUCGAGAACCGGUCCCUGAAGGAGAGACCGGUCCCUGCCUGCGCGAACUGCCCAGUUCGGGCAGUGUAUUAAAGUGAAAGUUGAGGGGUUUAGUUGCAAUUUGGCAACCCAAUAGCUAUGUUAUGGGGCCUAAUGAGAUAUUUCUCUCAUUUCCUCACCCUCUCACACUCUUUUCUCUCCCUCUCUCUCUCUAGAAGACAAAGGAGAGGAAGAAGACAAGGAAAAAGAAGAAGAAGAAAGUGAAGAAACUCCCUCUCCCUCAUCUCUAGCUUGGAAAAGGAGAGCUUACAAGGUAAGCUUUGAACCCUAAUCAUGGUAGAACCUAAUCUAGGGUUUGGAUUAAGCUUAAAAUGGGUUUUAUGGAAUCAUUUGAGUCUUUUGAAGCUUUCUUUUGCUUCUUUAGAGAUCAAGACUAUGGCAUGAGUGUGUUGGGUGAAGCUUGAGGUGAGCUUGACCCCUCUCAUGGUGAAAUCCAAACUAGGGUUUGGAGUGAGCUAAGAAUGGUUUAGAUGGACUAUUUAGAGUAUAAUGAAGCUAAUUUUGCUUCUCAAUGAGAUCAAACCCUAGGUUUGAUAUAUGUAUUGGAGCUAGGGCACCAAAUUGGGGCUUUUGCUCAUAGAGAUUUAUAAGUGCAAUUGACCCUCUAGAAACCUAAUUGGGGGUAUUUCCGAUGCGUUGGUGCGCUCGGAAAAGCAUUUCGAAAAGUGUACGUAAAGUUAUGAGCAAAAUGGCCUAAGAUGGCUUCGUUUUGCUGCAGGUAAAGAACGGGGAAUCUAAAAAUCUCAAGAAAAUUGUCGGAGCACCUAAGUAAACCUAUGAGGUGGGUGGUGCUUUCCAAACUUAUUGAAAUUCUCUCUAUGCCUAAUGUGUCAUUCAUUUGAGCAUAUGUUAUAUAAUUGUUGCAUGCAUUUAGGGUUAAGUAAUGAAAAGAAUGUGAUGUUUGCAUGAUUGUGAGUACAACUUGCAUAAUGAGAUGGUUGAGAACCUUAUGAAUGUUAAGAACCCUAUAUGUAUGCAUGAGAUGAAAAGUGAGUACCAAAGUGAGGCAAAAGAACCGAGUGGCACAUGACAUAGAUCGAGUGGCAUUUGAAAAUGUAAAGUAAAGUGACACUAGAGUUAGUGUGAGGCAAAGAACUAACGUGAGGUAAAGAAUGAUGACAAUGAUCAAAGCUAAAGUAAAGUGAAGCAAAGAACGUGAAAUGAGUAAAGAACAUGAAAGCUAAAGAUAGCCAAAAGCAAAGAAAUGUAAAGAACUUGAUUGCUAGAGUUAGCAACAUAAAGUGAUGUAAAGAACACUAGAGUUAGUGUAAUGACAAGAUUGAACUUACAAUCCUUUGAGUUAAGGAUUCGAUCAUACUUGCUAUGAGUUCCGUGCUCGAGGGCGGUCGCUCCCCCUCGGGCGAUGCGCUCCGGAGUUAUGCAUCACGGGUUGGAGUAAACCCGAAGGACGGUCCUAGCGGGUGAGUUCCUGCGAUGAUGGACUUAAUGUGAAGCAAGCUUAAAGUGGCGAAACCCCCGGGUUAGCCUUGAGAUUAAAGAACAGAGAGCAAAGAGUAAAGGAUAAAGAAUAAAGAACAAAGAGUAAAGACAAAGAAUGAAAGAACUUGCAUAAUUUGCAUAUAUUCAAUGUUGAGCAUAUUUCCUGCUUUUGUUCAGGCAUAUUAGCAUCAUAUUAUAGUUGGUUACUAUUCUACCUAUCCUUUCUAUUAUGCCUGAGUUAGUCCUAGUGGGAAAGUCGGUGAUGUUGAGGCCGAACCCACUGGGAACUUUGUUGUAGUUCUCACCCCACUAUUUCCACAGAGCCGGGACCGAGCGAGCCGGCGAGCGACCGAGGUAAAGGUAUCGCGCCUUAGACAGAGGCCACCAGAGUUGGGUUUACCUUUUGUUAGUAGCUACCCUAUGUUCAUCUUUUCUAUUUGAUGACUAGUGAUGUAAAAAAAAGAAUGUAAAGCUUAAUUGAGAUAAAUGUGAUGUAAGAAUGAAAUGAUGAAAUGAUGUAAUGAAUAGCAAGGAAUCAAGAAUGUAAGAGAAGAAUACAUGUAUGUGAUCUAAAGUGAAUCAUACUACUUGUGUAGAUGUUUAGUUUCCUAUCUUUCACUAAUGGCUAUUGCUUACCCUCGUGUAAGCCAUUUUUGUAUGUUUCCGCUAGUGCAUUUCUUGUUUGAAUUUGUACAUGUGAUGAGCCUUGAACGGAUAGGGGAAACUCUGUCCGUUCGGCGUCGAUUUGACGUGCUCGGGCCGGCCCAAAUUGGUAUCGGUCCCGGGGCGUGACAGUUACGCCCUAACAGUAUAACUUUACAAACAGUACUUUUUCUCAUUCAAUCGAACGAAGAGUAAAACCAAAUUAUAUUAUUCUAUUAUGUCCCAAGAAUGCAAAUUUGCAAUGUAUCGAUGUCAACGUUCACAAGAAUCAAAACCGGAAGAACAUUAGAAUACUCAGUUGCGCCCUAACAGCAUAACUUUGCAAUGAGUACUUUUUCUCCUUCAACCGAACAAAGAAUAAAACCUAAUUAUAUUAUUCUAUUAAGCCCCGAGAGUGUAAAUUUGCAACGUAUCGAUGUCAACGUUCAUAAGAACCAAAACCGAAAAAAUAUUACACUACUCAGUUGCUCCCUAAUAGUAUAAUUUUGCAAUGAGUACUUUUUCUCAUUUAAUCGAACAAAGAGUAAAACCUAAUUAUAUUCUUCUAUUAUGCCCUAAGAGUGUAAAUUUACAAUGUAUCGAUGUCAACAUUCACAUGAACCAAAACCGAUACAACAUUAGACAACUCAGUUACGCCCUAACAAUAUAACUUUGCAAAUAGUACUUUUUCUCAUUCAAUCGAACAAAGCGUAAAACCAACUUAUAUUAUUCGAUUAUGCCCCGAGAAUGUAAAUUUGCAACGUAUCGAUGUCAACAUUCACAAGAACAAAAACCGGAAGAACAUUUGACUUCUCAGUUGCGCCCUAACAACAUAACUUUGCAAAUAGUGCUUUUUCUCAUUCAAUCGAACAGAGAGUAAAACCUAAUUAUAUUGUUCUAUUCUGCCCCGAGAAUGUAAAUUUCCAACGUAUCGAUGUCAACGUUCAUAAGAAACGAAACCGAAAAAAUUUUAAACUACUCAGCUGCUCCCUAACUGUAUAACUUUGCAAUGAGUACUUUUUCUUAUUCAAUCGAACAAAGAGUAAAACCUAAUUAUAUAGUUCUAUUAUGGCCUGAGAGUAAAAGUUUGCAAUGUAUCGAUGUCAACGUUCACAAGAACAAAAACAGGAAAAACAUUAGACUACUCAAUUGCUCCCUAAUAGUAUAACUUUACAAUGAGUACUUUUUCUCAUUCAACCGAACAAAGAGUAAAACCUAAUUAUAUUGUUCUAUUAUUCCCCGAGAGUGCAAAUUUGCAACGUAUUGAUGUCAACGUUCACAAAAACCAAAAUCGGUCCAACAUUAGACUACUUAGAUGCGCCCUAACAGUAUAACUUUACAACGAGUACUUUUUCUUCUUCACUAAAAAAAGAGUAAACCCUAAUUAUAUUGUUCUAUUAUGCCUCGAGAGUGUAAAUUUGUAACGUAUCGAUGUCAACGUUCACAAGAAACAAAACCGAAAAAAUUUUAGACUACUCAGUUGCUCCCUAAUAGUAUAAAUUUGCAAUGAGUACUUUUUAUCAUGCAAUCGAACAAAGAGUAAAACCUAAUUAUAUUGUUCUAUAAUGCACCGAGAGUGUAAAUUUGCAACGUCUCGAUGUCAACGUUCACAUGAACCAAAACCGGAACAACAUUAGACAACUCAGUUGCGCCCUUACAAUAUAACUUUGCAACGAGUACUUUUUCUAAUUCAACUGAACAAAGAGUAAAACAUAAUUAUAGAGUUCAAUUAUGCCCUGAGAGUAUAAAUUGGCAGUGUAUCAAUGUCAACGUACACACGAACCAAAACCGGACCAACAUUAGACUACUCAGUUGCGCCCUAAUAGUACAACUUUGCAACGAGUGCUAUUUCUCAUUCAACCGAACAAAGAGUAAAACCUAAUUAUAUUGUACUAUUAUGUCCCGAGAGUAUAAAUUUGCAACGUAUCAAUGUCAACGUUCACAAGAAUACUCAGCUACGCCCUUACAAUAUAACUUUGCAACGAAUACUUUUUCUCCUUCAACCGAACAAAGCGUAAAACCUAAAUAUAUUGUACUAUCAUGCCCCGAGAGUGUAAAUUUGCAACGUAUCUAUGUAAUGUUCACAAGAACCAAAACCUGAAGAACAUUACACUACUCAGUUGCGCCCUAACAGCAUAACUUUGCAAACAGUGCUUUUUCUCAUUCAAUCGAACAAAGAGUAAAACCUAAUUAUAUUGUUCUAUUAUGCCCUGAGAGUAUAAUUUGCAACGUAUCGAUGUCAACGUUCACAAAAACCAAAACCGGACAAACAUUAGACUACACAGUUGCGCCCUAACAGUAUAACUUUACAACGAGUACUUUUUCUCCUUCAACCGAACAAAGAGUAAAACCUAAAUAUAUUAUACUAUUAUGCCCCGAGAGAGUAAAUUUGCAACGUAUCUAUGUAAUGUUCACAAGAACCAAAACCAGAAGAACAUUAGAUUACUCAGUUGCGCCCUAACAGCAUAACUUUGCAAACAGUGCUUUUUCUCAUUCAAUCGAACAAAAAGUAAAACCUAAUUAUAUUGUUCUAUUAUACGCCGAGAGUGUAAAUUUGUAACUUAUCGAUGUCAUCGUUCGCAAGAACCAAAACCGGACCAACAUUUGACUACACAGUUGCGCCCUAACAGUGUAACUUUACAACAAGUACUUUUUAUCCUUCAACCGAACAAAAGAGUAAAACCUAAAUAUAUUGUAUUAUUAUGCCCCGAGAGUGUAAAUUUGCAACGUAUCUAUGUAACGUUCACAAGAACCAAAACCGGAACAACAUUAGACUACUCGGUUGCGCCCUAACAACAUAACUUUGCAAACUGUUCUUUUUCUCAUUCAAUCGAACAAAGAGUAAAAUCCAAUUAUGUUGUUCUAUUAUAUGCCGAGAGUAUAAAUUUGCAACUUAUCGAUGUCAUCGUUCAUAAGAACCAAACCGGACGAACAUUAGACUACUCAGUUGCGCCCUAACAGCAUAACUUUGCAAUGAGUACUUUUUCUCCUUCAAUCGAACAAAGAGCAAAACCAAAUUAUAUUGUUCUAUUUUGCCCCGAGAGAGUAAAUUUGUAACGUAUCGAUAUCAACGUUCACAAAAACCAAAAUCGGAGCAACAUUAGACUACUCAGCUGCGCCCUUUCAAUAUAACUUUGCAACGAAUACUUUUUCUCAUUCAACUGAACAAAGAGUAAAACCUAAUUAUGUUGUUCUAUUAUGCCCCGAGAGUAUAAAUUUGCAGCGUAUCGAUAUCAACGUUCACACGAACCAAAACCGGACCAACAUUAGACUACUCAGUUGCGCCCUAAUAGUAUAACUUUGCAACGAGUAAUUUUUCUCAUUCAACCGAACAAAGAGUAAAACUAAAUUAUAUUAUUCUAUUAUGCCCCGAGAGUAUAAAUUUGGAACGUAUCGAUGUCAACGUUCACAAGAACUAAAACCGGAAUAACAUUAGACUACUCAGUUACGCCCUAACAGUAUAACUUUGCAAACAGUACUUUUUCUCAUUCAAUCGAACAAAGAGUAAAACCAACUUAUAUUAUUCUAUUAUGCCCCGAGACUGUAAAUUUGCAACGUAUUGAUGUCAUCGUUCACAAGAACCAAAACCGGAAGAAAAUUAGACUACUCAGUUGCGCCCUAACAACAUAACUUUGCAAACAGUGCUUUUUCUCAUUCAAUCGAACAAAAAGUAAAAUCUAAUUAUAUUGUUCUAUUACGGCCUGAGAGUGUAAGUUUGCAACGCAUCGAUGUCAACGUUCACAAGAACCAAAACGAGAAAAACAUUAGACUACUCAGUUGCUCCCUAAUAGUAUAACUUUACAACGAGUAUUUUUUCUCAUUCAACCGAACAAAGAGUAAAACUAAUUAUAUUGUUCUAGUAUGCCCCGAGAGUGUAAAUUUGCAACGUAUUGAUGUCAACGUUCAAAAAAACCAAAACCGAACCAACAUUAGACUACUCAGUUGCGCCCUAACAGUAUAACUUUACAACGAGUACUUUUUCUUCUUCAACCGAACAAAGAGUUAAACCUAAUUAUAUUUUUCUAUUAUGCCCCGAGAGUGUAAAUUUGCAACGUAUCGAUGUCAACAUUCACAAGAAACGAAACCGAAAAAAUUUUAAACUACUCAGUUGCUCCCUAACAGUAUAACUUUGCAAUGAGUACUUUUUCUUAUUCAAUCGAACAAAGAGUAAAACCUAAUUAUAUUGUUCUAUUAUGCCCCGAGAGUGUUAAUUUGCAACGUAUCGAUGUCACGUUUACAAGAACCAAAACCGGAACAACUUAUGACUACUCAGUUACGCCCUAACAGUAUAACUUUGCAAACAGUACUUUUUCUCAUUCAAUCGAACAAAGAGUAAAACCAAAUUAUAUUAUUCUAUUAUGCCCCGAGAUUGUAAAUUUGCAACGUAUAGAUGUCAGCGUUCACAGGAACCAAAACCGGAAGAACAUUAGACUACUCAGUUGCGCACUAACAGCAUAACUUUUCAAUGAGUACUUUUUCUCCUUCAACCGAACAAAGAAUAAAACCUUAUUAUAUUGUUCUAUUAUGCCCCGAGAGUGUAAAUGUGCUUUGGAGCAACCACGACGAGCGCGAGGCCACUUGGGAGUUGGAGAGCGCACUGCGGGAGCGCUAUCCCCAUCUUUUUCAGAUGGAUGCUUGAGGUACUGGUCUUUUCGAGUUUUGCGGACGAAACUCCUUUUUAGGAGGGGUGAAUGUAACCCACUGGACCUUUGCAAAUUGCGAGGUUCGAGUGAUUGGAUGUGUACCGAGCUGUUCCACACUUGGUGGAGGGUCGUAGAAUGUUUUCCGACCUAAAAAGUUCGAACCUGAAUUUUGGAUGAGUCCUGAGAGUUUUUACUCUGGGGGACCGGACCCUGAGAGGAGAGACCGGUCCCCCAGUGAGCAGUGUGCGGCAGCUGGCGAGGCAACCGGUCCCUGGCAGGCGAGACCAGUCCCUGAGCGCGUCUACGCGGGGAGAGACCGGUCCGGUGCGGGGAGAGACCGGUUCCCGAACGUGGUUUUUCUGGGGGCAGGCCGAGAGACCGGUCCCAUGUCGGGGAGACCGGUCCCUCUGGGCGAAAACUGCCCAGUCCGAGCUUUGCACAGGGAGCAAAGUUGAGGGACUUAGUUGGAUUUUGUUACACUAGAUGGCCUAUAUGGCCACUCCACUCUCCCUUCUCCUCAUUUCUCCCCUCACACCCUCUCCACACCUUUGUUAGAGAGAGAAGAAGGAGGAGAAGAAGAAGGAGAAGAAGAGGAGGAGGAUCUAGCUUGGACUUGGAGCUUUUCUUUUUCCUCUCCUUCUCUUCCCACCUUGUUGUUGCUUGAAGGCUUAGACUUGGAGCUUGCAAGAGAGGAGACCUUCACCCUCGGAGCUUGGAUUGAAGCUUCUAAGGAGGUUAGUUGCUCUUUUCCUUCCUCUAGACCUUGAUUUGUUGGUUUUUAGGAGAUGGAACCCUAGAAUGGGAUCUUAGGGUUUAAUUUGGGCGUUUUGAUUCUAGGGCUUUUGAGGCUAGAUUGUUUGGAUUAGAACCUUCCUUGGGCUUGGAUUGGAAGGGUUCUAGCUCUCUUUUGGAGCUUUGGAAGAGAUUUCAUCUCUUGAGGUGAGUUUUGGCCCUUUUGGCUUCUAGGUUAAUGUUUGAUCUUAAAGUUGAUCAUAAUGCCCGUGUAUCUCUUCGCUCAAUACUUUUAGGGUAUUUUGAGACUCGUGGACAACUUCGUUCGGCGAAACGAGGCACUACGCGACGGUUUGGUGGGUUUGACCUAGCCUUUAUAUGAGAAAUUCUCAUAUAUGGUGAUNACCGAGAACUAACCUUUCCUCGACACCAACCCAAUCACCCCACAUGGGUGACAUCGUCACCAAACGUCAUAUCCAACCGCGAAUUCACGACUUCGCCGGCGCCUAACAGCACAAUUUAGCUAUCGCAAUUGUGCACGGUGAACCUUCUUCUCCGCCCAAUCCUAGAGCGACUCUUUCGCUCACCAUAUUCUAACGGAUAGGGACCGACCUACCCUUCCAGUGAGAGUCUCAACUACCAUCGCCAUAUGAUUACUGGCACACUCUCCCAACCUCACAGCUAAGCACCUAGGCUUCAACUCAUCUUGUCCUCCUCGACCAAUCGUCAUCCCGAGGACGAAAUGCAGUACAUAAACAGCACACCGUCUACCUUUCAAAUUUCCACCAGUUCCAUUAAUAGUGCGAAUCGAUAUCCAACGAUUCACCAUAUUCCGAUACCAAUCCCAGUCGAUCACACGAGGGACAUAUUUUGCCUCGAUCGCCACACUAGCUCAACUCCUUUCGGUUGGCACAUUUCAACAUGGGCGCUCUUAAUUGCCUCUUACCAUUCAACCAAUCAUUGCCUGCACACUCUACCCGUCGGGCCGGAGUCGUCAUCAAUCACCCUCACUUAACGACGUCAAUCAAUUCCGCCAAACACCACUCUCCUUCGAGAGCAAUACCACCUAUCGAUUUGAGUGGUUAACCAUCACUUCUCAUACAUAGAGGUAGACCUCCUCGAUCCACACGAGAGUCCACCAAUUGGUACUCUACCAUUAUCGCCACUCGAGAGUCUAUCUCACCAGGUAUGACUCUUUGUUACAUCCACGCUCCCCGAUGAACCUCACUCAGGUUCUUCAACCUGCAUCACUUCACGCGAUAUUUACCGUGCAUCGCCCAACCGCGAAUGCUUCAACCACAUAUGGACUUCGACUCUACAGUGAGAUGGCUCAUUUCGGCACAUCUACCAACUUCGGUUCCCUAGGAGCCUAGUCUUUCCAAACCUCACGUGGCUUAAACCACCCCAACGUCUAUUGGAGAACACCUCCAUUUCUCUAUCACGUCCCAACAUCGCAUCACUUUCGCGAUGAGUUCCCGCGAACACUUUGUUCGUGUAUCUAAUCGCAACUUACCAACAGCGCCAGACUUGGCAAUUCCAACACGCGAGCAGUACGACCGAGCCUCCGCUCCAAUGGUCACUACGCUUAAACCACCAAUUCACUAUUGGUCAACUAGAUUGUUCACCUCAGUUACCACAGGUGGUCCACAGACCAACCAUCCAACGUAGGCUUACCGCCAACCCGUCUCGAUACUACGCAGCGUCUCUCAUUCGUAACGCAGACCCAAUCAUCACUUAGUGAAAGUCCUCAUUUGAGACUUCGCACACACUCCAACCAGGAGACCUCAACCACUCCAUAUCCUUGGGUCAUAAUCACGCUUACGACUCAUUAUAACGAGCCAUGUUCACCUUUAUCGGCUCUUAAACAUCUAAGCCCUCUCAAUUUCUAUAUCUAUAAACAGCCCUUACUGGGCAAUUCCCGCAGUCGGGGACCGGUCUCUCCCCGCAGGGACCGGCCUCUCUCUACAAUGCAACCGGUCUCUCACCGAAGGACCGGUCUCACGGGGACCGGUCUCUCCUUCAGGAACCGGUUCCCGAGAGCUCAAUUUCCAGGACUUAGCCGAUUUUUCUCCUCUGUUCGGCUGCUGCGCGCACGGGACCGGUCUCUCCCUGCAGGGACCGGUCCCCGAGAGCCCAAAUUCUGGAACUUCACCAGAAUUGCAGUUUCGCUCUCUCGGGUCCCCCUACACCAUAAGUAUAGGCUCCAAAGCACUCUUAGCCUACACCAACUCAUUCCAUUCCGCGUUCCGCUCGUUUCGACAGAACUCGGCACGACAUACAGGAAUGUGAUACGCUACAUUUGCACCUUAUACUUGUGCUCGAUCUUAUGCUUACGAUACACAAGCAUGAAUUUUCCUCAGCAUUGUUGAGGUACCACUCGGCCACUCGCCAAAACUCGGCGAUUGCUCGACUAGCUCCACCACAACGGGGACGUUACAACCACCACUCGAGCCCUGGGAACAUCACCCGAACUCUUGAACCACAGGGUCAUCCUCAAGCAUCCCGACUUAACUCUCACAAUUUCGCUACUCAUAUUGCCUAGAGAGUUAGUCCAUCAACUCCACCUCUAUCUCGAGCUUAACUCUCGGCUCGCAACCGGCCACUUGCCGGUCUAAUCCAAUCACGCCUAUCCACUUAGUAGGUGAUAUCACUGUUACACAUGCAUACCAGGGGAUUAAUUUUAUCCACAUCUCGGUCUCAACUAUACUUAUGCAUGCAACGUUUCGAAUCCGCCUUAGAUCGGACCAUACAAUCUCUUCCAACGCACCACUCCUGCUACAACACCCUCAGUAGCAAUGGAUUCCACAACUAGGGUCGCUUUCUCAUAGCCACUUGACGCUCAUCGCGGACCCUCCGAUCGCAACAUCGACCAUACUUGCUCUCUAGACCAUGCCGCAGGCGACACACUCAUCGACGGUCUCAAAAGAUGGAAAUCGUCGCCCGCGCUAAGGUCCGGCUAUCUACCAACAGCACUCAACCCUUAUUCGGGUCGGUUGCCAACACCAACCAUAUCAUCUACCUCACAACGCACACCCCUGCGUCCGGUAGGAACCACCACAACCAACACCUCCCUACAAGGUCAACAAAAGACCUUGAAGUCGCAACCACGACUUUCUCGGGGUUGCCGAAAAUUUGAUCGACCACCCGACCGACUCAUCUAUCGGGUCACUCCCUAUCUCGCAACCAACCGGCACGAAUCCUCCAAAGAGAACUUCCACGGAGUCAUUCCAUACAUGUCCGUCCCACGGAUAUUACUCCAUCACAAUAAGCGGAUCAACUUCCUUAGGAAACCAUCCACAACUCUCAUGAGCCUCCAAUCCCUCUAUUCCCUGUGCAUUGCAGCCUCCUGCUGACAUUGCACCACGUCGGCUCGUCACUUUGCCACUACGACUAGUACAGUCAAUAGGCCUCAGAGCCCCAAGUCUCCACUAUGCUCGGCUAACUCUUGCACAUCACUAGUCCCGGUCCAUAUCGAUCUCCUUAAAGAUCGGCCACGCGUAACUACCGAACGUACAACAACUCAACCCUCAAAGUCAAGCGCGCGACACCUACACGCAACGCUAUCCACGACUCAAAUCCAGGCAAAAGUCAUGCAAGGGAGCCUAUUUUCAUCACUCGGUUUCAUGUUGUGUGCACCCAACACGAACACUCCAUAAUGAAAAUACACUACACCUUGGAUUCACCUCUAACAUCCGUUAUAGAGGCAUACCAAACACGACCCAAUUAGUUAACCUUUCGCCACAAUUUCAAAUCCUCGUUACAUUUCAAGAACCUAAAGCCUUACGGUUUCCCACCUAUAGUCCCUAAGUCCAUCCUAGACUUUUGCUUUCACUUACUCUGAUACCACUAUAUCUGUCACGCCCCGGGACCGCCAAUUUGGUCGGUUCGGGCACGUCAACAGACGCCGAACGGACAGCACCUCCCCUGUCCGCCCAAGGCUCCACCAAUACAUGUAUAACGAUAGCAAUUCAAACAUAAUGAAUGCAAGUAUACACGGCUUGCACGAGGGCAAGCAACAACCAAAUAUAAGUGAGAGCAGUCUAACUAUUACAUUUAUGCAUUGUAUCUUGAUCACUUUCAAUCAAAUACAAAGCUCAUGCAUUUCUUUACAUUCAUUCAUCUCAAUAUACAAUUGCAUCUCUCAAAUGAACUUAAUACAUUUCCACCUCUCACAUGAUUUUAUUACAUUUACAUUUUACAUUUUUACAUCAUCGACAUAAUAGAUGAAAUAUACAAGAGUGCCUCUAUACAUAAAGGUAGAACACUACCUAGAGCACGAUAACCACGCCACGAGCCCCGAUCGCCCCGCUCGCGCUAGAACCUGCAUGGUUAGUGGGAUGAGAACUAGAAGAAGUUCCCAGUGGGUUCGGCCACUGACUGCGCCGAUUCGCCCACUAGGUCUAUUUCAGGCAUAUGUAAUUCAAUAAAGAAGGAUAACAAACCAACUAAUGCACUUCUAAUACAAUGCCUGCAAGAAAGCAAAUCACAGAUAGAUAUUCAUAUUCAAAUACAUGAUGAUUAUGCAUGCAUGUCCUUUUCACUUUCCUUUAGUCUUUACACAAUCAACCUGGGGUGCUCCUGGUUUACCCCAACUCACAGUCCACACACUUUCCGUUGGCUUUUACCCAAUCAACCUGGGGUGCUCCUGGUUUACCCCAACUCACAGUCCACAUAUCCCGUCUAACGGGGGAGGCACAAGGCACAACCACCCGAAGGAUCUUCGCCGGGCACGUCCACCCGUGGUGUUUGUUCACUCCGGAGUACACCGCUUGUGGAGGAGCGACCUCCACAAGCCGGAACCAAUACAUGUGAGUAUGAUCCCCUCCUCAAUUUGAGGAGGUAUAGCCAAACCUGUCUCAAUGCCACAAUGCCGAUGAAAGGUCUUUUACUUAUUCAUGCAUAUACUUCCAUUUCCCAAUAUCACAAUGGUCCUGAUGCCACAAUAAGCUAAAUCUUGUUUAGUCAUUUCCUUUAACCAUGAUGCCACAAUACCGAUGAUAGGUCCUUACCUAUUCAUGUAUGUCACUUUACUAAGCCACAAUGGUCACAAUGCAUAGAAUGGUCUUUACUUUAUCUAGCAUAUCAUGCUCUUAGCCACUUUUGCCAUUAUUCUCAUAUUGCUCAUAAGGGCUUACCCUACUUAGCACAUCAAUUCAUAUUGUCACAAGGUCACAAUAUCUAGGGCCACACUUGCCACGAUGUCCACUAAUGGGAUAGUCAAUAUUUCACAAUGCUUUUAAGGUUUUACCUUAUCUAGCACAAUAUGUCCUCGGUGCCAAUCAUGUCACUAGAGUCAAUGUCACCUUUAUUUACUAUGGAUCAAGUCUUUUCUCACUUUCACAUACAUAUAGGGUUGUUCAUUUUCUCGUUCUCAUGGUUCUACAAUAUAUUUGCAAUGUUCAUAAGCAGAUAAUUGAUACAAUCAACAUUUAUCUCAUUACCCUACAUGCAUGAGUGCAACAUUAUCAAUAUGCUCAAAGAAGUGACAUAGACAUAGAAAGAGAUCCGGUGUUUCCGGACAGCACCCCCCACCUUGUAGGAAUGCCGAGAAGUUCCGAUUCAAUUUUCACGAUUUUUAGACACCUACGCCGCGAGCUGCGGCCAUCUGUACCAAUUUAGCUUGUUUCUUCAAUAUCUUCGUACCGGCUCGACGAAUCGACGAACCGAGCGCACCAACGCGUUCGUUGACCUACCAAUUAGGUUAACAAGAGAUCAAACUCAAGUUAGAUCUCAACUUUACAAAAUUCCCAAAUCUAACCCCUAGGGUUUAUCAUCUUUCCCAAAUAGGUCCCUAGACCAUAGAAAUCCAUGAAUAACCUCACCAUGACAUCUCCUAGAAGCUAGAUCUAGAAGGAAAAUACCAAACCCUAACAUCACAACCAUAAAACCUUCAAAUCUUAGGUUACUUAUCUCAAAUGGAAGCUCUCCUCCAAGCUAGGUUGCCAUGAGAGGGUUCCAUCUCCACCAAGCCAUCUUUUCUCCAUCAAAACUCCACCAUUGGAGCACCUCAAGGAGGGAGAGGGAGAGAUCUAGAGAGAGAGAGAGCUCUCAAGUUGGUGUUGGAGAGGAGAGAAAUGAGGGCUAAACCUCAUCUCUCCAACAUAUAAACUCAUAUAUACACAUUUGCACUUAACCCCCCACACCCCUCUAUGUUUAACACAAUGAUCCAGCUCAUACUGGGCAUUUUCGGGUCUCUGGGACCGGUCCUAGGGUUGAGAGACCGGUCCCCCGAAGGUCCAAAAAUUCUGCACCUUCCAGACAGCCAAAUUUUCAGCAUUUUCAGCUUCGGGGUCCGUUUUCGCUCGUUUUCGCUCGUUUGACCUCCGAUUCGUUUCAAAUCGAACCGAGACUCAUAAGACAUGUUUUCGAGCGUAUUUAAACCAUCUUUCCAUCCAUGCCCUUGCUAGAUUUAGUCCAUGGUCCAUCUUAGCCUUUCAGGCUCCGUUUUCGCCCCCUACGCGCAUUGAAGCAACCGAAUGCUUCCGAACUUCACCGUAACCAUUCUAACGGCUUUCCAAGCUAACAUACACCAUAACUUCAUAAUUAUAGAAGUUCGGUAUGUUACACGGGGUGUGACGCCUCGACUUCCCAGGGAUCACCCAUCCUAGGACUACUCCCGUCCUAGCACGCUUAACUCUCUUAACCUCUUGGGUCUUUGCCACCACCCAAAAUGCUUAAGCCGGGUUAAGAGUUUAGCCCUAUUAUAUCUUAUAUAUAGGACUAUCUGGGGUCUCACACGGGGCGUGACAGAGGCAGAGAAAGAGCGGGCUUUGACGGCCCUAAUGACCUUCAAGAAGUUUGAUCCGCCUGUCUUCAAUGGAGAGAAUGUUGAUCCAUGGAUCAUGGAGAUGUGGAUUGGCUCUAUGGAAACGCUCUUUGAGGAGCUGUACACCUUAGAGCGGGACAAGGUGCCCUUAACUGUGCAUUGCUUGAAGUAGUCGGCAAAGGUGUGGUGGAAAGGCAUUCGACGGAAUCGAUCGCCUAGUCUCCCUCCUAUGGCAUGGGAUGAGUUUCGGGGAUUGGUGUUUUCGACUUACUUCCCCGACACUGAAAAGAGAAAGCUCCAGGACAGGUUCAGGAAGCUGCGGCAAGGAAACCGCUCUGUGAGAGAAUAUGAACGGGAGUUCUCUCGUAUCGUGAAUUGUGUCCCGGAUGUGGUACGGGAUGACGAGGAUAUGGCCGAUUGGUUCCUGCGUCGACUUCGACCAGAGAUUUACGAGAGGGUGCAAAUCUUCAAGCUCACAAUCUUCGCGGAGGUGUUGGAUCAAGCGCUGUUGGCAGAGCACGGCGAGGCUUUUGUGCGUGAGGAGCACGACUCUUCUGAAUGUGAGCGGGGAGGGGUGAGGCCAUUGUCGAGCGGUUCGGGUGGACAAUCAAGUUCUAGGCGCCACUCGAAGUCGUCCUCUACCCGGUCCUCCCCCGGAUGCGUGAUUGGCGGUGGUUCCCACUGGGCUCGGCGAUGCGUGCUGCACGAUGGUAGGUGCCUUCGUUGUGGGCAGCCAGGCCAUAUGCGGGACGAGUGUCCGCAAGGGUAUGACCAGACCCUUCUUUGCAAACAGUGCUUUUUCUCAUUCAAUCGAACAAAGAGUAAAACCUAAUUAUAUUGUUCUAUUAUGGCACGAGAGUGUAUGUUUGCAACGUAUCGAUGUCAACGUUCACAAGAACCAAAACCGAAAAAAUAUUAUACUACUCAGUUGCUCCCUAAUAUACAGAGUUACUCGCACUGGCGAGUUAAGUACUAUGUACAUAAGCUCGAAAUAAAACAACUACCUGCAGUAGGGUGCCUCUAGCUCUGCUCGGCGGGUAGGGCUCUAACUCGCGACGCCCUUGCCUCGAUCCUAAUCCGCGGAAGGCGCAACAGCCGAAACCUGUGGCUCUGCAAAACAGGGGUAACAACUGGGUGUGAGAACUACUGUAAAAACAAGUAGUCCUCAGUGGGUACCGCCCAAAACAACAUCGGUCCACCCACUAAGUCUACAGAAGGGAGCAAGAAUAGUCGGAAAAGCAGGAAGUAAACUCUACCGCUAUCAAUCACUACACUAUCAUGCUCUACACUAACCAACUGUAGGAAAUGUCAAAUCUGACCCAAUCCAUCAGGCUGACUGUAGGCAUACCCGUCCCUGGGACUGUGUGAACACACCUGUCCCUGCCAGUUGUGACUAUCAGCUACCUCCACACUCUAGUCCGUGGAAAGCAAGUGCAACGGCAUGAGCGACACCAACGCGAAAGCAUAAACCGUCUCCAGAGUGGGCACUCGUGGGCGUACCCACCCGAGUAUGCAGCGUAUCUCUAUCGAGCUCAAUCAGGCUCUGUCAAGCCAAAGUCCAAGUAAACCUACUCUAACUGGUCUAACAACAACAAGUAACGUGCCUCGGCACAAUCUGACGCAAAACGGCGAACUGGCCCACCGUCAACCCCAACGCGCCAAAAUUCUGAAACAGCCCAAACGACCCUGUAAAAAUCCAUCGGCGUACCAGCACGAGCAUAAAUAUAUUCUAAACUACCUGGAGUACUCGUCUCGAGGAUACUGCGACAGUACAAUUUUAUAACGGCUCCUAGAGCUAAAUUUAGGCAGUUUAAACAAGUGACAGGUCCAAAUCGCAGGUUUUCUCCUAAUUUCAAAUUCAACUCAAACAUGUAUAACCUACUCAAUUAUUACCACAUGCUCCAAAUUCAGAUUUGCAAUCUACCAUAAUAAUCCAUUAAUUCGAGCUAGAAUAGAUUAUCCAAAAUUGAAAUCUAUACAUGUCGACGAUUAUGAACUUAGGAGUAAAACCGAUGUAAACCCACCUCAAAGCUAAUCCAUGGCAGCACGGAACUCCCUCGGCUGCGGCACAACCUGCUGGAUCAACUGAAAAUGUCCGAGUCUCGAAAUCAAGCUAUCUCCAAGCUAUCAACAUCAAAAAUCCACAAUUCAGUCCAAAUACACAGCAGCAGAGAAGAGAAGGGUUUCGACCAAGCUAACCUUCACCAAAAUCCAAAAGUAAUGGCUUCGUGGAUUCCUCUCGCAGUCCCGAAUCCAACGAACCAAGUCUCGUCGCAAUCCGAUGCUCCUACGUCGAGUACGAGCUGAAAUACUAACAGUCAACGAUGAAUUUCAGCAAACAACAUCACUUGAGUUCGAAGUAGUAAGAACUUGCCCAAAAACAAUGGAAAUGCUGAAUUACCCACCUCGACAACACCAAGCACCGAUGCGACAGCAAAAACGGCGAAAACCUACGCUCGCCCGGCCUCCUCGCGCUACCCCGGCAUCAAACAUGUGCUCGAAUGGCUCCGCGGCGCGACGUCGGCAACGAAAUCUCCAACCGAGCUCUCUUGCCUUCAACCGGUUAGAGAGAGUGAGAGGGGAAGAAAGAGCACAAGGAAACCCUCUCUCUCUCAGCUCACAGCAACCUUUGUAGAGAGGGAGUUGGAGGGAGAUACAAACGAGGUGGAGAUUUACACAAUUACCCACUCACCUACCCUGGUGUACCGGUACACGGGCCCGCGUACCGGUACAGUAGCCAACCCGAGAGCAACCCGCGAGCGGCCUUGUCACGCCCCCGACCGCACAACCCAAAAACGGUACCGAUUUGGUCCGGUCCGAGGGCGGCAGGCGUAAGGCAGAACGGACAGAGUCUCCCCUGUUCGCCCAAGGCUCCAACAACGAGACUGUGUACACAAGUUCCCAGGAAAAUAACUUGAAUACAUACACAAUCAAUCAAUAACAACGAAAGCACAAACAGUGCUAUACAAUACGAGAGCAAGCAUCACGAGUAAUAUAACCAUACAAGUGAAUAAAAGAGAGAUGCACUUAACUUACUAAAUUCGUUUAACUUUAUACAAUCAUUCAUCUUUUUACAAUUCUUCCAAAAGUAUAUAACAUAUACGAUCCUCUCAAAACCUCACCCUAUACAUCAAUCUACUCUCGAAAUAUAAAGCAUAGGGUGGAGCUAAUGCAAGGUAAAGUAAAGCUAUCUACUAGUACCACACCGCUAGGGCGCUAUGCCCUUGCCGCGAUCCUCACCGGGGGCGCUCGAGCUCGGACCUGCAACGUGGUGGAGUGAGAACUACGAAUAUUUCCCAGUGGGUUCGGCCGCCGACUCCGCCGAUCUCCCCACUAGGUCUUAAGGAGGCACGGAUAGAUAUGCAGAUAAAUAAAUAUAUGGAAACGAAAACAUAUUCAAUAAUGAGCAUCUAUGAACUAGAAUCUAUCAAUGCCUCAAUCCUGUGUAAUGCAUGCAUGGAACUCAUAGUAAGAUGGCCAACUAUCAACUACUAUGUUCAACAACAGAGUCAUUCAUCUAAUUACCCAAUCUCUCGGCGAACACAAAGGCUCGCUCACAGUCUCACGUGUAUCAAUCUCAUAGGGAAGGUGGCUAGGUAUCACCUACCCCGAGACCGCCUGCGGACUCUACACUAGUCCAAGGGCACUGCACUGGCCCCCUCGCGUGCCAAACUCCGGAGUGCACUACCUGUGAGGCGCUACCACCACAAGUGCAGACAGGCUAAGUAAGCUCGAUCCAAUCUCAUGAACUGGGAACACCCUAACCAACUAGGAUUGGUGUCACUGAAGAAUCAGGUGUUCAUCUACUCAAUCUCAUAGUGUCUCAACUACACUAUAGUUCUCAAGUUCGAUGUCAACAAGAUGCCACUCGUUCCGGGUUCCUUGUUAACUAGAUGCCACUCGUUCUUAUUACACUAGUUUACAAUAUACUAGGUUCUUAUUCACAUAGACAUAUUCAUCGCAUAUAGGGUUAACUACCUCAUAGUGUUCAACUCAUGCAUACUAGGUUCUCAUCCAUUGUAUUCACAACCCAAACUAUCACUAGCAUGCAAGGAUAUGCACAAUUACAUUUAACACCCUAUAAUGCUAUGUUACAGUAUGAAUUUAAUCGACAUAAUAACCCAGACAUAGAAAGCAGCUCGACUGCUUCGGGAUGGCACUCCCCCACCUUUUGGUCGUGCCGCGCGACUAGACAACUCGACGCCGCGGUCUUCGUGCGUCGCUUCAGCACCUCGGGGCAAAACGAACCCCCGAGUAUCAGUUUCGGCGAUAUCUUCGCACCCGCUCGUUGGAUCGACGAACCGUCUUCGCCUACGCGUUCAGCGACCAAGCAAUUAGGUUUAUGACCACUUGAAAUAGAUCAAAACCCUAGCUUUGCUAAAAACCCCAAAACGUGCCCUAGAUCUCGACAACGGAGAAAUCUGCGGUGCGAGCUUCGAUUUCGAGCUCGAACCAUCUCUUUAACUUCAAUAGGUUCCAUUCGAACCAUCUCCAAGCGAUAAAAACCCCAAACCCUAAAUACACCAUUAAUGGGUUUAGAGCUUACCUCAACACCAAGCUAAAGAGGGAGAGAAGAAGAUGCCUCCUUCUUCUUCUUAGUCUCCUCUUUCUCUUUCUCUUCCUUCUUCUUCUUCCUCUCCUUCUUCUUCUCCUUCUUCUUCUUUCCUUUCUAAAGAGAGAGAGAGGGAAAGAGUGUGAGAGAGGGAGAGGGAGCAACUGAGAGGGAGAGAGAGAGGUCCCCCCACCUCUAAUAAAGGCCAUUUUGCAGAUAGCCCCCUCAACUUUUCAUCUAAUACACAGCCCUCACUGGGUUGUUCUCGUAGCGAGGGACCGGUCCCAGGUCGGGGAGACCGGUCCCCGAAGACCACCCAUUCUGGCAGAGAGGAUUUCGCGUUCGGAAACCGGUCCUUACCUAAGAGACCGGUCCCCGGGAGACCGGUCCUUGUCGGAGAGACCGGUUCCCGAGAGCUAGGUUCUCAGGACUUAGCCAAAUUUCGGCAAAUCACGCGGGGCCAACGUUCGGGAACCGGUCCUUGCCUCCAGAGACCGGUUGCACCGAGGACCCCCGCCAGCCCAGCCUGAUGGGACCGGUCCCUCCCUGCCAGGGACCGGUCCCCGAGAGCAAAAUCUGCUCCAGUGCAGAUUUUUGCACUGCAGCUCUCGCGGACUCUUCCUCAAUGCAUUCUAGGCACUCCAAUCACCUUCGGGCUUUUCGAAGCCCACACCCUCUACAAACAGUCGAUUCUUAAUGAAGUCCAAUCCUCGGCCUUCGAGAAUUUACUUCCUCACAGGCCUGCUGAAGUGUACCGGCACACCUUGAUGGCUGUAACGGUACAGCUAGCAAAACAUCUGCUAAUUUGCAGGUUUCUUAGCCGAAAGCUGCCCUCGCGUCGCACGGAGUCCGUUUUGCGUCUAUUUGACGCCAACGCGAUUCAGACUUGUCCCGACACUCCACAGAGCUGCCGACAAGCCUCCCCAGCUGAACACUAAGGAUCUCACAAUAUCGAUGCAAACGUUCACAAAAACCAAAACCGGAACAACAUUAAACAACUCAGUUGCGCCCUAACAGAAGAACUUUGUAAACAGUGGUUUUUUUUCAAUCGAACAAAGAGCAAAAUCCAAUUAUAUUGUUCUAUUAUACCCCAAGAGUCUAAAUUUGUAACUUAUCGAUGUCAACGUUCACAAGAACCAAAACCGGACCAACAUUAGACUACUCAGUUGCGCCCUAACAGCAUAACUUUGCAAUGAGUACUUUUUCUCCUCCAAUCGAAUAAAGAGCAAAACCAAAUUAUAUUGUUCAAUUUUGGCCCGAGAGAGUAAAUUUGCAACGUAUCGAUGUCAACUUUCACAUAAACCAAAACCAGACCAACUGUAGCCCACUCAGUUGCGCCCUAACAGUAUAACUUUGCAAUGAGUACUUUUUCUCAUUNCGUACCGAUGACAACGUUCACAAGAACCAAAACGGGAAGAACAUUAGACUACUCAGUUGUGCCCUAAUAGCAUAACUUUGUAAUGAGUACUUUUUCUCCUUCAACCGAACAAGGAAUAAAACCUAAUUAUAUUAUUCUAUUAUGGCCUGAGAGUGUAAAUUUGCAACGUAUCGAUGUCAACGUUCACAAGAACCAAAACCGAAAAAUUAUUAGACUACUCAGUUGCUCUAUAAUAGUAUAACUUUGCAAAGAGUACUUUUUCUAAUUUAAUCGAACAAAGAGUAAAAACCGAAUUAUAUUGUUCUAUUAUGGCACGAGAGUGUAAGUUUGCAACGUAUCGAUGUCAACGUUCACAAGAACCAAAACCGGAAAAAUAUUAGACUACUCAGUUGUUCCCUAAUAGUAUAACUUUACAAUGAGUACUUUUUCUCAUUCAACCGAACAAAGAGUAAAACCUAAUUAUAUUGUUCUAUUAUGCCCCGAGAGUGUAAAUUUGCAACGUAUCGAUGCCAACGUCCACAAAAAUCAAAGCUGAAAGAACAUUAGACUACUCAGUUGCGCUCUAAUAGCAUAACUUUGUAAUGAGUACUUUUUCUCCUUCAACCGAACAAAGAAUAAAACCUAAUUAUACUGUUCUAUUAUGCCCCGAGAGUGUAAAUUUACAAUGUAUCGAUGCAAACAUUCACAAAAAAUAAAACCGGAACAACAUUAGACUACUCAGUUGUGCCCUAACAGUAGAACUUUGCAAACAGUGCUUUUUCUCAUUCAAUCGAACAAAGAGUAAAAUCCAACUAUAUUAUUCUAUUAUACCGCGAGAGUUUAAAUUUGUAACUUAUCGAUGUCAACGUUCACAAGAACCAAAACCGAACCUACAUUAGAAUACUCAGUUGCGCCAUAACAGUAUAACUUUGCAACGAGUACUUUUUCUCAUUCAAACAGUUGCGUCCUAACAGUAUAACUUUGCAAACAGUGCUUUUUCUCAUUCAAUCGAACAAAGAGUAAAAUCCAAUUAUAUUGUUCUAUUAUACCCCGAGAGUGUAAAUUUUUAACUUAUCGAGGUCAACGUUCACAAGAACCAAAGCCCAACCAACAUUAGACUACUCAGUUGCGCCCUAACAGCAUAACUUUGCAAUAAGUACUUUUUCUCCUCCAACCGAAUAAAGAGAAAAACCUAAUUAUAUUGUUCUAUUUUACCCUGAGAGAGUAAAUUUGCAACGUAUCAAUGUCAACGUUCACAAAAAUCAAAACCGGACCAACAUUAGACUACUCAGUUGCGCCCUUACAAUAUAACUUAAUUAUAUUGUUCUAUUAGACUUUUUCUCAUUCAAUUGAACAAAGAGUAAAACCUAAUUAUAUUGUUCUAUUAUGCCCCGAGAGUAUAAAUUUGCAGUGUAUCGAUGUCAACGUUCACACGAACCAAAAUGGUACAAACAUUAGACUACUAGUUGUGCCCUAACAGUAUAACUUUGCAACGAGUACUUUUUCUCAUUCAACCGAACAAACAGUAAAACCUCUAAAAUGAGAAACAAGCUUUUUUACUCUUUUUCAUGACCAACAUUUAAAUGUAACAAUCCCACGUUCACUCAUCGGAUUACAACAAGGCUAAAAUAUGACAAUCCUGCGUUGACAAACUUACUCUUUUUCAUGAGCAACGUUUCAAUAUGACAAUACCGCGUUGACUCAUAAGAUUACAUCCAAGCCAAAACCAAGAACACUUGCAACUGUAGCUAUUCAAUGUUUAAAUUUGAGAGCGCCAUAUUAUCUUAUUAUAUCAACCUAAAAUGAGAAACAAGCUAACUUACUCUUUUUCGUGACAAACGUUUCAAGAUGACAAUCCCGUGUUGACUCAUCAGAUUACAACAAGGCCAAAAUAAAAAACACUUACAAACGUAGCUAUGUAACAUUUAAAUGUGAGAGCCCCGUAUUAUCUUGUCAUAUUAAUCCAAAAUAAGAAACAAGCCAACUUCCUCUUUUUCAUGAGUAAUGUUUCAAUACGAUAAUCUCGCGUUGACUCAUCAGAUUACAAGAAAGUCGAAACUAAAAACACCUGCAACCGUAGCUAUGCAACGUUUAAAUGUGAGAGCCCCGUAUUAUCUUGUUAUAUUAAUCCAAAAUGAGAAACAAGCCAACUUACUCUUUUUCAUGAGUAACAUUUCAAUAUGAUAAUCCCUUGUUGACUCAUCAGAUUAUAAAAAGGCCAAAACCAAGAACACUUGCAACUGUAGCUAUGCAACGUUUGAAUGUGAGAGCACGGUAUUAUCUUGUUAUAUUAAGCCAAAAAUGAGAAACAAGCUAAUUUAAUCUUUUUCAUGAGAAACGUUUCAAUAUGAUAAUAUCUCGUUGACUCAUCAGAUUAUUAAAAAGCCAAAACCAAGAACACUUGCAACUGUAGCUAUGCAACGUUUAAAUGUGAGAGUCCGGUAUUAUCUUAUUAUAUUAAUCCAAAAUAAGGAACAAGCCAACUUCCUCUUUUUCAUGAGUAAUGUUUCAAUACGAUAAUCCCGCGUUGACUCAUCAGAUUACAACAAGACCAAAACCAAGAACACUUGCAACUGUAGCUAUGUAACGUAUAAUUGUGAUAGCCCCGUAUUAUCUUGUUAUAUUAAUCCAAAAUGAGAAAAAAACUAACUUACGCUUUUUCAUGAGCAACGUUUCAAUAUUACAAUCCCUCGUUGACUCAUCAGAUUUUAAAAAAGCCAAAGCAAAGAACACUUACAACUGUAGCUAUGCAACGUUUAAAUGUGAAAGCCCAGUAUUAUCUUAUUAUAUUAAUCUAAAAUGAGAAACAAGCCAACUUCUUCUUUUUCAUGAGCAACAUUUCAAUAUGACAAUCCCUCGUUGACUCAUCAGAUUAAAAACAGGCCAAAACCAAAAAAACUUGCAACUGUAGCUAUGGAACAUUUAAAUGUGAGAGCCCGGUAUUAUCUUGUUAUAUUAAUCCAAAAUGAGAAACAAGCCAACUUACUCUUUUUCAUGAGAAACAUUUCAAUAUCAUAAUCCCUCGUUGACUCAACAGAUUAUAAAAAGGCCAAAACUAAGAAUACUUGCAACUGUAGCUAUGCAACGUUUGAAUGUGAGAGCCCGCUAUUAUCUUGUUAUAUUAAUCCAACAUGAGAAACAAGCUAACUUACUCUUUUUCGUGAGCAACGUUUCAAUAUGACAAUCCCGCGUUGACUCAUCAGAUUAUAAGCAGGCUAAAAGCAAGCACACUUGCAACUGUAGCUAUUCAACGUUUAAAUGUACGAGAGCCCCGUAUUAUCUUGUUAUAUUCAGCCAAAAUGAGAAACAAGCUAACUUACUCUUUUUCAUGAGCAACGUUUCAAUAUGACAAUGCCGCGUUGAGUCAUCAGAUUACAACUAGAUCUAAAACCAAGAACACUUGCAACUGUAGCUAUGCAACGUUUAAGUGUGAGAGCCCCGUAUUAUCUUGUUAUAUUAGNAGUGUUAAUAUGCAAUGUAUCGAUGUCAACGUUCACAAGAACCAAAACCAGAACAACAUUAGACUUCUCUAUUACGCCCUAACAGCUUAACUUUGCAAACAGUACUUUUUCUCAUUCAAUCGAACAAAGAGUAAAACCAAAUUAUAUUAUUCUAUUAUGCCCCUAGAAUGUAAAUUUGCAACGUAUCGAUGUCAACGUUCACAGAAACCAAAACGGGAAGAACAUUAGACUACACAAUUGCGCCCUAACAGCAUAAUUUUGCAAUGAGUACUUUUUCUCCUUCAACCGAACAAAGAAUAAAAGCUAAUUAUAUUGUUCUAUUAUGCCCCGAGAGUGUAAAUUUACAAUGUAUCGAUGCAAACGUUCACAAAAACCAAAACCGGAACAACAUUAGACUACUCAGUUGCACCCUAACAAUAGAACUUUGCAAACAGAGCUUUUUCUCAUUCAAUCGAACAAAGAGUAAAAUCCAAUUAUAUUAUUCUAUUAUACCCCGGGAGUGUAAAUUUGCAACUUAUCGAUGUCAACGUUCAGAAGAACCAAAACCGGACCUACAUUAUAAUACUCAGUUGCUCCCUAACAGUAUAACUUUGCAACGAGUACUUUUUCUCAUUCAACAGAAUAAAGAGUAAAACCUAAUUAUAUUGUUCUAUUAUGCCCCGAGAGUGUGAAUUUGCAACGUAUCGAUGUCAACGUUCACAAGAACCAAAUCUAGAUCAACAGUAGACUACUGAGUAGCGCCGUAACAGUAUAACUUUGCAACGAGUACUUUUUCUCAUUCAACCGAACAAAGAGUAAAACCGAAUUAUAUUGUUCUAUUAUGCCCCGAGAGCAUAUAUUUGCAACGUAUCGAUGUCAACGUUCACACGAACCAAAAUCGGACCAAUAUUAGACUACUCAGUUGCGCCCUAACAGUAUAACUUUGCAACGAGUACUUUUUCUCAUUCAACCGAACAAAGAGUAAAACCUAAUUAUAUUGUUCUAUUAUGCCCGAGAGUGUAAAUUUGCAACGUGUAAAUUUGUAACUUUGCAAACAUUGCUUUUUCUCAUUCAAUCGAACAAGGAGUAAAAUCCAAUUAUAUUGUUCUAUUAUACCCCGAGAGUGUAAAUUUGCAACUUAUCGAUGUCAACGUUCAUACGAACCAAAACCGGACCAAGAUUAGAUCACUCAGUUGCGCCCUUACUAACUUUGCAACGAGUAUUUUUUCUCAUUCAACCGAACAAAGAGUAAAUCUAAUUAUAUUGUUCUAUUAUGCCCCGCGAGUAUAAAUUUGCAGCGUAUCGAUGUCAACAUUCACAUAAAGCAAAAUCGGAACAACAUUAAACUACUCAGUUGCGCCCUAACAGUAUUACUUUGCAAACAAUAUUUUUUCUCAUUCAAUCGAACAAAGAGUAAAACCUAAUUAUAUUGUUCUACGUUGUCCGAGAGUGUAAAUUUGCAACGUAUCGACGUCAACGUUCACAAGAACCAAAACCGGAACAACAUUAGACUACACAGUUGUGUCCUAGCAGUUUAACUUUACAAACAGUGCUUUUUCUCAUUCAAUCGAACAAAGAGUAAAAUCCAAUUAUAUUGUUCUAUUAUACGCCGAGAGUGUAAAUUUGUAACUUAUCGAUGUCAACGUUCAUACGAACCAAAACCGGACCAACAUUAGAUCACUCAGUUGCGCCCUUACUAACUUUGCAACGAGUAUUUUUUCUCAUUCAACCGAACAAAGAGUAAAUCUAAUUAUAUUGUUCUAUUAUGCCCCGCGAGUAUAAAUUUGCAGCGUAUCGAUGUCAACGUUCACAUGAACCAAAAUCGGAACAACAUUAGACUACUCAGUUGCGCCCUUACAAUAUAACUUUGCAACGAGUAAUUUUUCUCAAUCAACCGAACAAAGAGUAAAACCUAAUUAUAUUGUUCUAUUAUGCCCCGAGAGUAUAAAUUUGCAGCAUAUCGAUGUCAACGUUCACACGAACCAAAACCGGAUCAACAUUAGACUACUAAGUUGCACCCUAACAGUAUAACUUUGCAACGAGUACUUUUUCUCAUUCAAUAGAACAAAGAGUAAAACUUAAUUAUAUUGUUCUAUUAUGCCCCGAGAGUAUAAAUUUGCAACGUAUCGAUGUCAACGUUCAAAAGAACUAAAACCGGAACAACAUUAGACUACUCAGUUACGCCCUAACAGUAUAACUUUACAAACAGUAAUUUUUUUCAUUCAAUGGAACAAAAAGUAAAACCUAAUUAUAUUGUUCUAUUAUGCUCCAAGAGUAUAAAUUUCCAACGUAUCGAUGUCAACGUUCACAAGAACCAAAACCGGAACAACAUUAGACUACUCAGUUGUGCCAAAACAAUAUAACUUUACAAACAGUGCUUUUUCUCAUCCAAUCGAACAAAGAGUAAAACCUAAUUAUAUUGUUCUAUUAUGCUCCGAGAGUGUAAAUUUGCAACGUAUCGAUGUCAACGUUCAUAAGAACCAAAACCGAAAAAACAUUAGACUACUCAGUUGUUCCAAAAUAUUAUAACUUUGCAAUGAUUACUUUUUCUCAUUCAACCGAACAAAGAGUAAACCUAAUUAUACUGUUCUAUUAUGCCCCGAGAGUAUAAAUUUGCAACGUGUCGAUGUCAACGUUCACAAAAAUCAAAACCGUACCAAUAUUAGACUACUACGUUGAGCCCUAACAGUAUCACUUUGCAACGAGUACUUUUUCUCAUUCAACCGAAAUAAAGAGUAAAUCCGAAUUAUAUUGUCCUAUUAUGCCCCGAGAGUGUAAAUUUGCAACGUAUCGAUGUCAACGUUCACAAGAACGUACUUUUCUCAUUUAAUCGAACAAUAGUAAACCUAAUUAUAUUGUUCUAUUAUGCACCGAGAGUUAAAUUUGCAACGUAUCGAUGUCAACGUUCACAAGAACCAAAACCGAAAAAAUAUUAGACUAAGUAUACGCCCUAACGUAUAAAUUUGCAAUGAGUAGUUUUCUCAAUUCAAUCGGACAAAAAAUAAAACCUAAUUAUAGUUUGUUGCAUUAUGCCCUGAGAGUGUAAUUGCAACGUUUCGGAUGUCAACGUUCACAAAAACCAAAACCGGACAAACAUUAGACUACUUAGUUCGCCCUAACAGUAUAACUUUACAACGAGUACUUUUUUUUCUUCAACCGAACAAAGAGUAAAACUAAUUAUAUUAUUUUUAUUAUGCCCCGAAGUGUAAUUUGUAACGUAUCUAUGAAACGUUCAACAAAGAACAAACCGAACAACAUUAGACUUCUCAGUUGCGCCCUAACAAUAUAACUUGGCAACUGUGUUUUUCUCAUCCAUCGAAUAAAGAGUAACCCAAUUAUAUUAUUCUAUUAUACGCCGAGAGUGUAAAUUGGCAACUUAUCGAUGUCAACGUUCACAAGAACCAAAACCGGACAAACAUUAGACUACUCAGUUGCGCACCUAACAGCAUAACUUUGCCAAUAAAUAGUUUUUCUCCUUCAUCGAACAAAGAGUAAAACCUAAUUAUACUGUUCUAUUUUGUCCCAAGAGUGUAAUUUACAACGUAUCGAUGUCAAGAUUCACAAAAACCAAAACCGAACCAACAUUAGACUACUCAGUUGCCGCCCUAACAGUUAAACUUUACAACGAGUAUUUUUCUCCUUUAACGAACAAGAGUAAACAAUUAUAUUUGUUCUAUUAUGUCCCGAAGUGUGUAAUUUGCAACGUAUCGAUGUAAACGUUCACAGACCAAAUGGAACAACACAAUGAAUACUCGUUGCGCCCUAACAGUAUAACUUUGGAAACUGUACUUAUUCUCAUUCGAAUCGAACAAAGAGUAAACCCAAUAUAUUGUUCUACUAUCCCGAGAGUGUAAAUUUGCAAUUAUCGAUGUCAACGUUCACAAGAAACAAAACUGGACAAACAUUUAGACUACUUAGUUGCGCCCUAACAGUAUAACUUUUGCAACGAGUAUUUUUCUCAUUCAACCGAACAAAGAGUAAAACAAUAUUUGUUCUAUUAUGACCGAGUGUGUAAAUUUCUAUCUGAUCGAUGCAAUGUUCACAAGCAACCACCGGAACUAGACUACUCGUUACGUACCAACAGUAUACUUUACAAACAGUACUUUUUCUCAUUCAAUCGAACAAAGAGUAACAACCAUAUACUCCUACUUUAUGCCCCGAAAAUGUAAAUUUGCAACGUAUCGAUGUCAACGUUCACAGAAAACCAAAGCCGAACAACAUUAGACUACUCAGUUGCACCCUAACAGUAUAAUAACUUUGCAAACAGUACAUUUUCUCAUUCCAUCGAACAAGAUAAAACCAAUUAUAUUAUUCUAUAAUGCCCGAGAAUUUAAAUUUGCAACGUAUCGAUGUCAACGUUCACAAAACCAAAACUAGACCAACAUUACCGGACCAACAUUAGAACUAGUUGCGCCCUAAACAGUAUAAACUUUUGUAAACGAUACUUUUUUUGAUUUCAACCCAACAAAGAGUAACAACCUUAAUUAUACGUUGACUCUAUUUCAUGCCUGAGAUGUAUAAAUUUGCGAGUAUCGGAUGUCAACGUUCACAAAAAUCCAAACGUGGAACAACAUUAGCACUACUCGAUGCGCCUAAACAGUAUAGUAAAACCAUUUUUAGAGCAUAAGGAUCAAUCCUUAGAGUUCUACCAUUAAAGGGUUUUGAAGCUUACCUCUCAAGCAAGCUCCAAUGGAGAGGAAGAAGAUGGAGAAGAUGGAAAUCCACCUUAGAGCUUCGAUCUCCACCAAAAUCAUCUAUUUUUGGGAGAGAUUUAGAGAGAGAAAGGGAUUUCUCUCCUUUCCCUUCCAUGCGUGUAUUGUGUGCGUGUGUGUGUGUGGUUGUGGUGUGCACGGUUGAGGGAGGAGAAGAAGAGCAAUGCUCUUUUCCACAAGCAGCCCCCUCAACUAUUCCACUUUUCAGUUUAGUCCCUCAAAUCUGAUAAGUUUCGUUGGAGCCCUUCCGGAUGUCCGAUUGAGCUCAAAUUUGACAGGCAUGCUCAGUUUAACGUACUGAGUAAGAAUAUGUCUUAAGUUUUCAGUUUCGACUCCGUUUGGUCACUGAAAACUGUACCGAACUGCAAUCUUUAUCAGAUAGCUUUCGGAUUUUAUUUCUCACUCUACGGGUAUCAAAAAAAUAUGAAACCUUAAAUCUAGCUUCACAAAAAUAUUUCUGACAUCUCUGCCAAUUUUCAUAAUUUUCUGAGACUGUGCGUUUUCUGCUAAUUUAUCUGCCCCGUUUCCAACAGAAAAUUCUAAAUCUUCUGUUUUAAUUCCGAUUUCAGCACAGGUCAUUCCCAACUUAUAUUUCACUUCUCUAAAUUCAAUAAAAAUAGUAUCUCAUACUAUUUUUAUUUAUUUCUAUUUUUUUAUAUUUAAAUCCGGUAUAUUACAUUACACCGCAACCUUACCGGAACCAUUCAAAUGGCUCUCCAACCAAAUGGACACCGUAGCUUCAUAAUUUUAGAAGUCCGGUACCUUACACUCACACUAUUUUUAUUUAUUUUCACUUUUACAUUUAAAAUUCGGUAUGUUACAUUCCACCGCAACCUUACCGGAACCUUUUAAAUGUACACCGUAACUUCAUAGUUUUAGAAGUCUGGUACCUUACACUAGGCCCUUACCGCGACCCUCGCCGGGGGUACUCGAACUCGAACCUGCAACAAUGUAGGGUGAGAACUACGAAUAGUUCCCUGUGGUUUCGACCGCUGACUCCUCCGAUCUCCCCACUAGGUCUAAGCAGGCAUAAGCAGAUAGAUAGAUAGAUAUUUAACCGAAAUGAAAGCAUAGUAAAGAACUACAGUAUACUACUAUGCCUGACAAGUAUGCAAUGAACAAUCGAAGCAAGUAUCACUAACAUGUCACUAGGAUCAUGCUACAAGCAAGUAUGUAACCUACUAGGCUCAAUAUGUUCAAUGUCCAGCAUGUCUGUUACCCAAUCCUUGGCCAACCAAGAGUUAACCCUCGACUCACAUCUCAAUCCCACCUUGGUGAGGACCCUGCUGUCAACCCACCCGGUACAGUCUGCGGACAACUACGUCUGUCCUGAACAUGACCACCUCCGUAGCGCACUAACGGGAGGAGCGACCACCCCAAGCACAAGACUAUGUGAGUAUGAUCCAUCCUCGCCAUCGAGGAAGCCCUAUCCUCUAGGGUUAUCAAUCUCUCGGGAAUACACUGGUUUGUACCUAUGUCCAAAGCCUCAAUGCUAGCAACUGUGUCAAUGACGCACAAGUUCUCAUGCAAGAUGUCCACUGGAAAACUCAUCUAGUCCCUACAUCAUCAUAUCAUAGUGUUCUUUACACUAAGCUCUAACGCCACUCGUCAAGUGUUUUCUAUGUUCCAUGCCACUCGUCAUAAUACAAGGUCCCAACAUUACACAUGUCAUUAACUUUCAUAAUCAUAAGAUCAAGUUACUACUUAUCUUUAUCACUAUAGGGUUCUAUGUCAUUAUACUCAUUCUCAUGCCUUCUAGGUUCCAGUGCCAAUCAGAUUGCUGCACUACCAAGAAGCAUGCUAGAAUAAAACAUUACCAACUACACCCUAUAAUGCAUAAUACUACAUGUGCAAUAUGAUCAACAAAAUACAACUUAGACAUAGGGAGCAGCUCAACUGCUUCAGGAUGGACACCACCCACCUUUUGGUAGUGCCGCGAGGUUAGGAAACUCGACUUCGCGAUCCUUGGUCGCCGUCUUGACUCUUCGGGUCAAUACGAACCCACGAGCACUCGUUUCGGCGAUAACUCCGUACUUGCUUGACGAAUCGACGAACCGUCUUCGCCGACGCGUUUAGAGACCUAGCAAUGAGUAAAACCUAAUUAUAUUGUUAUAUUAGGCUCCGAGAGUAUAAAUUUUCAACGUAUCGAUGUCAACGUUCACAAGAACCAAAACCGGAACAACAUUAGACUACUCAGUUGCACCCUAACAGUAUAACUUUGCAAACAGUACUUUUUCUCAUUCAAUCGAACAAAGAGUAAAACCUAAUUAUAUUGUUCUCUUAUGCCCGAGAGUGUAAAUUUGCAACGUAUCGACAUCAACUUUCACAAGAACCAAAACCGGAACAACAUUAGACUGCAAAGUUGCGUCCGAACAGUAUAACUUUGCACACAGUACUUUUUCUCAUUUAAUCGAACAAAUAGUAAAACCUAAUUAUAUUGUUCUAUUAUGCACCGAGAGUUUAAAUUUGCAACGUAUCGAUGUCAACGUUCACAAGAACCAAAACCGAAAAAAUAUUAGACUAAGUUACCCCCUAACAGUAUAAAUUUGCAAUGAGUACGUUUUCUCAUUCAAUCGAACAAAAAGUAAAACCUAAUUAUAUUGUUCUAUUAUGCCCUGAGAGUGUAAAUUUGCAACAUUUCGAUGUCAACGUUCACAAAAACCAAAACCGGACAAACAUUAGACUACUUAGUUGCGCCCUAACAGUAUAACUUUACAACGAGUACUUUUUUUUCUUCAACCGAACAAAGAGUAAAACCUAAUUAUAUUAUUUUAUUAUGCCCCGAGAGUGUAAUUUGUAACGUAUCUAUGAAACGUUCACAAGAACCAAAAUCGGAACAACAUUAGACUUCUCAGUUGCGCCCUAACAAUAUAACUUUGCAAACUGUAUUUUUUCUCAUCCAAUCGAAUAAAGAGUAAACCCAAUUAUAUUAUUCUAUUAUACGCCGAGAGUGUAAAUUGGCAACUUAUCGAUGUCAACGUUCACAAGAACCAAAAUCGGACAAACAUUAGACUACUCAGUUGCGCCCUAACAGCAUAACUUUGCAAUGAAUAGUUUUUCUCCUUCAAUCGAACAAAGAGUAAAACCUAAUUAUACUGUUCUAUUUUGUCCCAAGAGUGUAAAUUUACAACGUAUCGAUGUCAAGAUUCACAAAAACCAAAACCGAACCAACAUUAGACUACUCAGUUGCGCCCUAACAGUAUAACUUUACAACGAGUAUUUUUCUCCUUUAACCGAACAAAGAGUAAACCUAAUUAUGUUGUUCUAUUAUGUCCCGAGUGUGUAAAUUUGCAACGUAUCGAUGUAAACGUUCACAAGAACCAAAAUCGGAACAACAAUAAAAUACUCAGUUGCGCCCUAACAGUAUAACUUUGCAAACUGUACUUAUUCUCAUUCAAUCGAACAAAGAGUAAAACCCAAUUAUAUUGUUCUAUUAUUCCCCGAGAGUGUAAAUUUGCAACUUAUCGAUGUCAACGUUCACAAGAAACAAAACUGGACAAACAUUAGACUACUUAGUUGCGCCCUAACAGUAUAACUUUGCAACGAGUACUUUUUCUCAUUCAACCGAACAAAGAGUAAACAAUAUAUUGUUCUAUUAUGACCCGAGUGUGUAAAUUUCUAUCUGAUCGAUGCCAAUGUUCACAAGAACCAAAACCGGACCAACAUUAGACUACUCAGUUACGCCCUAACAGUAUAACUUUACAAACAGUACUUUUUCUCAUUCAAUCGAACAAAGAGUAAAACCAAAUUAUAUUAUUCUAUUAUGCCCCGAAAAUGUAAAUUUGCAACGUAUCGAUGUCAACGUUCACAAGAACCAAAGCCCGAACAACAUUAGACUACUCAGUUGCACCCUAACAGUAUAACUUUGCAAACAGUACAUUUUCUCAUUCCAUCGAACAAAGAGUAAAACCAAAUUAUAUUAUUCUAUAAUGCCCCGAGAAUUUAAAUUUGCAACGUAUCGAUGUCAACGUUCACAAAAACCAAAACUAGACCAACAUUAGCCGGACCAACAUUAGACUACUCAGUUGCGCCCUAACAGUAUAACUUUGUAACGAGUACUUUUUCUGAUUCAACCCAACAAAGAGUAAAACCUAAUUAUAUUACUCUAUUAUGCCCUGAGAGUAUAAAUUUGCGACGUAUCGAUGUCAACGUUCACAAAAAUCAAAACUGGAACAACAAUAGACUACUCAGUUGUGCCCUGACAGUGUAACUUUGCAACGAGUACUUUUUCUCAUUNUUUUCUCAUUCAAUCGAACAAAGAUUAAAACUAAUUAUAUUGUUCUAUUAUGCCCGAGAUUGUAAAUUUGCAAUGUAUCGAUGUCAACGUUCACAAGAACCAAAACUGGAACAACAUUAGACGACUCAAUUUCGUCCUAACAGUAUAAAUUUGCAAACAGUGCUUUUUCUCAUUCAAUCGAACAUUGAGUAAAACCGAAUUAUAUUGUUCUAUUAUGCCCCGAGACUGUAAAUUUGCAACGUAUCGUUGUCAACGUUCACAAGAAACAAAACCGAAAAAAUAUUAGACUACUCAAUUGCUCCCUAACAGUAUAACUUUGCAAUGAGUACUUUUUCUCAUUCAAUCGAAUAAAGAGUAAAACCUAAUUUUAUUGUUCUAUUAUGCCACGAGAGUGUAAAUUUGCAAUGUAUCAAUGUCAACGUUCACAAAAGUCAAAACCAGACCAACAUUAAACUACUUAGUUGCGCCCUAACAGUAUAACUUUACAACGAGUACUUUUUCUCCUUCAACCGAACAAAGAAUAAAACCUAAUUAUAUUGUUCUAUUACGCUCCGAGAGUGUAAAUUUGCAACGUAUCGAUGCAAACGUCCACAAGAACCAAAACCAGAACAAUAUUAGACUACUCAGUUGCGCCCUAACAGUAUAACUUUGCAAACUAUGCUUUUUCUCAUUUAAUGGAAUAAAGAGUAAAACCCAAUUAUAUUGUUCUAUUAUACUCCGAGAGUGUAAAUUUGCAACGUAUCAAUGUCAACGUUCACAAGAACCAAAACCGAAAAAAUAUUAGACUGCUCAGUUGCUCCCUAACAGUAUAACUUUACAUUGAGUAUUUUUUCUCAUUCAACCAAAUAAAGAGUAAAACCUAAUUAUAUUGUUCUAUUAUGUCCCGAGAGUGUAAAUUUGCAACGUAUCGAUGUCAACGUUCACAAAAACCAAAACCGAACCAACAUUAGACUACUAAGUUGCGCUCUAACAGUAUAACUUUGCAACGAGUACUUUUUCUCCUUCAACCGAAUAAAGAGUAAAACCUAAUUAUAUUGUUCUAUUAUACCCGGAGAGUGUAAAUUUGCAACGUAUCGAUAUCAACAAUCACAAGAGCCAAAAUCGGAACAACAUUAGACUGCUCAGUUGCGCCCUAACAGUAUAACUUUGCAAACAGUAAUUUUUCCCAUUCAAUGGAACAAAAAGUAAAACCUAAUUAUAUUGUUCUAUUAUGCUCCGAGAGUAUAAAUUUGCAACGUAUUGAUGUCAACGUUCACAAGUACCAAAAUCGGAACAACAUUAGACUACUCAGUUGCGCCCAAACAGUAUUACUUUGCAAACUGUGCUUUUUUCUCAUUCAAUCGAACAAAGAGUAAAACCUAAUUAUAUUAUUCUAUUAUGCCCCGAGAGUAUAAAUUUGCAACGUAUCGAUGUCAAUGUUUACAAUAACCAAAACCGGAUCAACAUGAGACUACUCAGUUACGCCCUAACAGUAUAACUUUGCAAACAGUACUUUUUCUCAUUCAAUCAAACAAAGAAUAAAACCUAAUUAUAUUGUUCUAUUAUAUCCUAGAGUGUAAAUUUGCAAUAUCAAUGUCAACGUUCACAAAAACAAAAACCGGAACAACAUUAGACUACUCAGUUGCGUCCUAACAGUAUAACUUUGCAAACAGUGCUUUUUUUCAUUCAAUCGAACAAAGAGUAAGAACUAAUUAUAUUGUUUUAUUAUGCACCGAGAGUGUAAAUUUGUAACGUAUCAAUGUCAAUGUUCACAAGAACCAAAACCAAAAAAAUAUUAGACUACUCAGUUGUUCCCUACCCGUAUAACUUUGCAAUGAGUACUUUUUCUCAUUCAAUCGAACAAAGAGUAAAACCUAAUUAUAUUGUUCUAUUUUGCCCUGAGAGUGUAAAGUGAUUGUGCCGCUCUAAUACCAAUGUAAUCCUCCUGAUCCAACUUAGCAAUCGGAUGAAUUCUCUUAAUGACAGUAAGGCUAAUUUCGGGAUGAUGGUGUGCUUUCGAAAGGUCCAAUCGCUCCAAUGAUGCCCUGUUGAGGAUUGACUAGAAUUGGAGAUUAUGGUAAAAACAUUUAGCUGAAGAUUAAGAUGAGAGGAUAGGAGAGAGAGACUAGAGGGAAUGAGAAUUGAGAUGGGAAUAGAGGGAGGAGGAGAAGAGGAGGAAGGGAAAAAGGUAGGAGGAAGAGGGUAAUUAGGGAUUCAUUAUCUUCUGCUUAACUCUCUUACAGGUAAUUGUUUCUAUAUAUACUAUUACAUCAUGACUAAUAUGUAAAAUAGCCAAUAACAGGGAAUAAACUGCAAAAGAAUUAUUUAUAGGUGGGCCUCUGGUUGCCUCCUAAACCAAUCCCCCGAUUAUGGGCUGGGCCCUCAUAACUGCCUCCGAUCCGCUUCAGCCUCAAGGUCCCUAUCAGAUCUGGGUUGAUGGCCUAAGUGGCAACCUCUAAAUCUAGUCCGAUAACCCACUUUUAUCACCUAACUACUCCCGCCGCAUUUGACUACACCCCGACAGGAUCUACUGGACUUACCUUGUCGCCCUCUUCCCACUUAACCCUAACCUCCCUCCUUGCUACAGCCAUUACAGAUACUUCAACCUAAGUAAGAAAAUGAAAUUAAAUACAGCUAGUGUUGCAGGUGCAACCCACCUCCUCACAUGCAACAUAAUAUUUCCCAUAUGGAUCUGCACAGACAAAGAAUUGAGGUAAUAAACCCUGCACCAGAUGCACUACAAAGGGCGGUAUGCAUGACUUACCAUCUAUCUCAUAGUGAGAUCUCUUAGAUUUCCGUACUUAAAACUUACAACUGAUCAAACUUACAACUGAUCGAGAAAACAUUGACAAAUACAACCAACAUAAUUAGCUAUGAAGUCCAGCAAUAAAGAGGGCUUAAAAACGAUAUCAACCAAAAAGAAAAUUACCAAUAAACAAACAUUUGCAAGCAGCUUGAAAAGUUUUAGCCUUUUUGGUUGUAAAUAAGGAUCUGAGAGUACAGAAUACAAAUGGAAGAGAACAGAGGAGACAAACAACAAGAUUAAGAAUUGAGCUCGAACUUUUGGGGAAAAAAAAAAAAAAAAGAUGAAGAAAUAAUUCAGCAGGUCGUGAUUUCCAGAAUAUCAUCUCCACACUUGUUCUUUUGUUAAAUGAGCAAACAAUUGGAGCUACUCAAGAACAUAUCAUGAUUCCAAAGCAAUUCCAUCCGGGACUGCUUAGCAGACGAAGUGGGAUCCUGCCAUGAAUACAAAGCAACAAACCAAUCAACACACUUACAUUCAAUUAAUAAUUAAGAGCAACAUAAAGAGCUCUAAAUCACCGACACGUGACAGUACUCAAAAAAGUCUUUUUACCAACUACAACAUGCUCAGCAGUUUUCACCUGCAAAACAAUAUAUACAUUGACAGGUCUGCUAUACCGUGUUGAUUGUGCGAAUUGAGUAGGGGCUGCCAAAUUCAGGCACUUACAAGCGCUUAAUUGUAAGUGGUGUCAAAAUAAAUGUGUAAAUCCUAAGAGCUAGUGCUUUUAUCUGUAUCAGUUGCAUGCCAUCUUCAAAUUACGAGCCAUGCAAUUGAAUUUGCAAUAAUAGGAUAAUGAUCCAAUUCGCCCUGAAUAAGCUGUCUUCAAAAGCGCUACAUGAGCCUACUUACUAGAUCGGAAGAUCUUCAUCCAAUUCAUUGUCUUGCAAAUUCCAGUUCAAGAAUUCCCUCAUGUGAAGGUUUAUGCAGUUCCCAGAACACUUGCUAAAAUGCAUAAAAUAUGCAUCACAGACUUACAGACUAGAGUUAACAAGAACUAAGAAUAACUUGUCAAAUGCACAAACACAUCCAGGUAUUAGAAUUCCAGGGCAAAGCAUAAUCAUGUUAGAGCUGCCCGUUGCAACAAAAAGUGCCACGGAUGUUUGACAGAAUCAUUUACCAUGUUGAAUAACAGAUGAGUUCGUACAUCUCAAGAGCAAGCCAACUAAAAAAAUCUCCAGAGAAGAAAACCAGCCAAAAAGAAUUAUGUAGGUACUGCAUAGUAUAGAAAUAUCAAUGAAGAUAUAUAAGAGUCAUUUUUAUCAUCGACAUAUUCAAGGCACAUUGAGAAUUCUAAAACUGAAAAACAAUGUUCUAAAAAGCCGUAUGUGGUACGCGGGCGGUCCACCAACAUAGAGCACAUAUGCAGCAUCCAAAUGCAAACGCAAGCGCAUAUGCAGUUCAGAUUUUAAAAUAUAAAAAAAUAAAAUGUAAAUGUAAAAACUAUACUAAUAUACUUUUAAAAAUAGAAAAUAAACAAAUAUGUAAUAAAUUGGCUAAACUUUUUAUGAAAAGGAAUAAUUUAUCAGUGAAUUAUCAUUUACUGUCACUUGUAGUCAACCUCCAAACCAACACUUUAAAAAUAUAGAAUAAUAACAUCUAAUGGAUACAAAAAUAGUAAUCAAUAUUUAUAUUUUAUAAAUAUUAGAUAUGUUGAAAAUAAUACCACAAAAUAUGAAAUAUCAAUGACCAAGCAAUUAAGAUAAAGAGUGAUAGGUUAUAUUUAUACAUAUAUAGUGACAUUAAUAUGCAUAAUCAAUAAUCAAAUUUAUAUGAAAAUAGUUACGUCUGCAUGUAUAUGUGCAUGUAUAAUCAUCACCCACUGCAUUUCAAUCCCACCUCAAAGAAGGAAAAAAAAGAAAAAAAAGGAGAGAGAUAUAUAUAUAUACACAUAAGGCGGCGACAUAUUUGGCUGCCUACCGCAUAUGCGGCCGCAUAGUUCGACCAUAUACUGCACCACAUAUUAUAAAUGUGGUGCGGUUGAUGGCCGAAACGGAAGCCCAAGCGCCACAUAAGCCGCACUUUUGGAACACUACAGAAAAAUUGGAAAGAGUUAGAUGUUCCUACAAUUUCUGAAUAAAUAGUUAGAAAAUCAUACUUUACUAGUUUCUUCUCUUUUUUUUCGAAAGGCAAUUGCAGACAAGCCUACAGUGGCUUUGUUGUUCCUAAAACCUGCUGAGACCUUGACCAAUUUGAACAUGGAACAACUGUAACAUACUCAUGCAAUAAUGCUAACACCACCAUGAAAUUAUCAUCAAACAUCAACUUCACCUUGGGUAAUUCACAUAUAAAGUUGGCUACAGCUAUCGGAUAUCUUCUUACGCAUUAAGAAUUGGUAUUUAUUCCUUUUUUCCUGCCAUAUCAUCAGCUAAUCUAUCCUAUGAUUCAGCUAGUAACAAUCUCCAUUAGAGUCUCCAAAAAGAACAACACAUAUCUUAGCACACUCAAUCCGCAAAAACAAAUUCAACAAUCUGAUGACCAAGCUUGCAGUACAGACUUCACUACACAUCGAGAAGAAUUAUACUUCAUAACUCUAGUUGGAACCGUGGCCUUCUAGUCUUUGUAGGAAACCCCAUAUUUUUCAAUCUUGAUGCCUCAAUCUAUUAUAUGUAUUUCAUACACUUUAACUGAAACCAACUUAGUCCAAAGCCUUUCUUUACUGUUUUUCCUCCAUAAAAACCCUAGUUGCCAUUAGCAAAGAAUAUAAACCAUUGACCCUCAUCUUGAAUAUAUUUUUGUAAUCCCUAUAACAAAUCAAAUAGACUAGGUGAUAAUACUUUGGGGCCUGUUUAGUUCACGGAUUGUAAUAUUCCAAUAAUCUGCUAUUUCUUCUAUUGAAAAUAUCCAAAUUACUGGGUGAUUAUAAAAGGUAUUACUGAAGUAGUGUUGUAGAUUUCCAGAUGGUAAGAACACUAGAUUAUCAUGGGUUAGAAGGUAUUCUCAUUUUCAUACUUAACAGGAAUCAUUAGUAGUCUUUAAAUAAGAAUAAACUAACUCUUAAUAACCUCCCAACCCAAGUGGCUUGGUUUAGUAACAAACUUGCCAUUCCAAAUAUAAAAUAUACAACAUGCUGGAAAUAUUACAAGCCUUGAACCAAACGGCCCCUAGGUGAAAUCCUAUUACUCAGCACACCAGUUUCCCUCAUACAAAUCAUAAUAAUGUUUCUCAAAUACAGAAGUAUAUAUAUGUAUAUAAAUAUAAAUAUAAAUAUAAAUAUAUAUAUAUAUAUAUGUAUAUAUGUAUAUAUAUGUAUAUAUGUAUAUAUAUGUAUAUAAAUAUAUAUAUGUAUAUAUGUAUAUAUAUAUNNNNNNNNNNNNNNNNNNNNNNNNNNNNNNNNNNNNNNNNNNNNNNNNNNNNNNNNNNNNNNNNNNNNNNNNNNNNNNNNNNNNNNNNNNNNNNNNNNNNNNNNNNNNNNNNNNNNNNNNNNNNNNNNNNNNNNNNNNNNNNNNNNNNNNNNNNNNNNNNNNNNNNNNNNNNNNNNNNNNNNNNNNNNNNNNNNNNNNNNNNNNNNNNNNNNNNNNNNNNNNNNNNNNNNNNNNNNNNNNNNNNNNNNNAGAGAGAGAGAGAGAGAGAGAGAGAGAGAGAGAGAGAGAGAGAGAGAGAGAGAGAGAGAGAGAGAGAGAGAGAGAGAGAGAGAGAGAGAGAGAGAGAGAGAGAGAGAGAGAGAGAGAGAGAGAGAGAGAGAGAGAGAGAGAGAGAGAGAGAGAGAGAGAGAGAGAGAGAGAGAGAGAGAGAGAGAGAGAGAGAGAGAGAGAGAGAGAGAGAGAGAGAGAGAGAGAGAGAGAGAGAGAGAGAGAGAGAGAGAGAGAGAGAGAGAGAGAGAGAGAGAGAGAGAGAGAGAGAGAGAGAGAGAGAGAGAGAGAGAGAGAGAGAGAGAGAGAGAGAGAGAGAGAGAGAGAGAGAGAGAGAGAGAGAGAGAGAGAGAGAGAGAGAGAGAGAGAGAGAGAGAGAGAGAGAGAGAGAGAGAGAGAGAGAGAGAGAGAGAGAGAGAGAGAGAGAGAGAGAGAGAGAGAGAGAGAGAGAGAGAGAGAGAGAGAGAGAGAGAGAGAGAGAGAGAGAGAGAGAGAGAGAGAGAGAGAGAGAGAGAGAGAGAGAGAGAGAGAGAGAGAGAGAGAGAGAGAGAGAGAGAGAGAGAGAGAGAGAGAGAGAGAGAGAGAGAGAGAGAGAGAGAGAGAGAGAGAGAGAGAGAGAGAGAGAGAGAGAGAGAGAGAGAGAGAGAGAGAGAGAGAGAGAGAGAGAGAGAGAGAGAGAGAGAGAGAGAGAGAGAGAGAGAGAGAGAGAGAGAGAGAGAGAGAGAGAGAGAGAGAGAGAGAGAGAGAGAGAGAGAGAGAGAGAGAGAGAGAGAGAGAGAGAGAGAGAGAGAGAGAGAGAGAGAGAGAGAGAGAGAGAGAGAGAGAGAGAGAGAGAGAGAGAGAGAGAGAGAGAGAGAGAGAGAGAGAGAGAGAGAGAGAGAGAGAGAGAGAGAGAGAGAGAGAGAGAGAGAGAGAGAGAGAGAGAGAGAGAGAGAGAGAGAGAGAGAGAGAGAGAGAGAGAGAGAGAGAGAGAGAGAGAGAGAGAGAGAGAGAGAGAGAGAGAGAGAGAGAGAGAGAGAGAGAGAGAGAGAGAGAGAGAGAGAGAGAGAGAGAGAGAGAGAGAGAGAGAGAGAGAGAGAGAGAGAGAGAGAGAGAGAGAGAGAGAGAGAGAGAGAGAGAGAGAGAGAGAGAGAGAGAGAGAGAGAGAGAGAGAGAGAGAGAGAGAGAGAGAGAGAGAUAUAUAUGUAGAGAGAGUUUGACUGGGCUACUAUCGGUAGUAAACUACUCGGUUUACUACCGAUUUGUUUUUUAUGAUAGAGCUUCCAAAUCGACGAUCGACACCGCUGAACAUGACCUAGACCAUUUAAAUUAUCUAGAAAUCAAAUUUCAUGAUUUUUUGGCAUCACUAACUGAACGAUCAAAGAGUCACAAAAUCUAUAAUUUUAAUGGCCGAUAUGGUGCGUUUUCUCGUUUAACGGUAUAGAAGAGUUCAAAUCAACUAAAUUUUUGUUAAAAAAUUCUUUAAACUAUUUAAAAUAAGAUCUAGACUCUAGAUCUCAAAUAUAAAAAUUGUAUCAUCACUUUUUGAAGGAUAUUCAUUUUCAGCCAUUCAUUUUUCUGUUCACUUGAUGGACAAGAGAACAAUAUCGAAAAUGUGUGAAAUUUAAUUUCCAGAUAGUUUAAAUAGUUUAGAUCAUGUUUAACGGUGCCAAUCAUCAAUUUGGAAGCUCUAUCAUCGAAAACAAAUCGGUAGUAAACCGAGCCGUUUACUACCGAUAGUAUUCUAGCAAAACUCUAUAUUACAAGACUCCUAUCAUCAUUUUUUAAAGAAUAUUCAUUUUCAGCCAUUCAUUUUUGUGUCCACUCGAUGGAUAAGAGAACAAUGUCGAAAAUGUAUGAAAUUUGAUUCCUAAACACUUCAAGUGGUAUAGAUCAUGUUCAACGGUACCGAUCGUCGAUUUGGAGGCUUCAUCAUCGAAAACAAAUGGAUGGCAACGGAGUCUGUUUGUUAUCGAUAGUAUUCUAGCUCAACUCUAUAUGUAUAUAUAUAUGAAGUUCUUAAGAAUAAAUUAUAUAUUUUUUCGACAUAGCGUACUUUAUGACCAAACCACUUCAAAAUUGUCAAUUUUCAAUUGCUACUAUGAAAAGUUUGUAGUUUAACGGUGUAGAAGAAUCUAAAUUUAUUCAAAUUUUGAUAGAAAAUAUUUUAAAUUAUCUAGAUCAAGAUUAGUGCCUUUGAUCUUGAAUUCAAAAGUCCUAUUCUCACUAAAGAUAGCUCAAUUUUCACUGUUUAUUUAGGCACAAUUUACUUUCUGAGUAAACAAUGUCGAAAAAAAUUAAAAUUUUACUCCUAAAAAUUUCAUAUACCCUAAAUUAUAUUUAACAGUGUGGAUCGUUGUUUUGAACACCCUAAAAUAAAAAAUGAGACUAUAGUAUCGGAGCUNUCUAUAUAUAUAUAUAUAUAUAUAUAUAUAUAAAAUCUAACAUCAUACAAACAAAAAAAAAGAAAAGAAAAAAAAUAUAUACCUAUUGUUACCCUUUGAACUUUCAAGAUGUUACAAAUUCCUGUAACUUCAUGUAAUAGUACAAUCAAACCUUUGUACAACAACUAACAAUAAUCUCCUAGCGGUCUCUACAACUAAGGAUUGAACUCCAUUUUGUAGGUUCUACAGUUUCUGCAGGAAUGAAGCCUCAGAUUUGAAGAACUACGUUGCUUCAAUCCGUAAUAAAGCUCCAUAUUCUGUUGUUAGUGUUUAAAGUGAUAUUACCAUUAUUUCUACUACAGAUGUCACAGAACAAGAAAUGUUAAAACUAGCAUUGUUCAGUCUGAAAUGACAAUUGCACUAUUACAUGAAAGCGACGUGUUUCAAAAAUGAAGAAUUUAGGUGUCUGAUUCCAAAAGUUUUCACAGCUCAAGGAUUUUCACUUCAUUACCUCGACACAAAAGAAAAGUUGUAUAUUUCCACAGAAACAUUCAGAGUUUCAGACAAUGUGCAUAUGCUGAAAAAUGUUUCAAACAGAAGCACAUUCGUCAAUUUGACAGGCUGGUACUCGAUUGAUACUAAACAUUGAUUCAGGUGACAUUAACUUUCCAGUAGCAGGAAUAACUUCUUACCAACUUCUAGCAUGAACUGCAACAGCUCCUAUGGACAAUGUCAUGAAGGACACUUCUAGCAUAAUAAGUGAUCUUCAAUUAGAGUGUUCUUUAGACAAAUACAAGGAUUUAAGUGCCGUGGUACGGGGUCAUGCCGGAAACUUGCCGGCACGGUACGACACGGUGCGCAAUGUUUAAAGUACCGUGGCACGGGGGCAUGCCGUUAUGUCCCUGGCACGGUACGGCACAGGCACGCUUGCGUGCCGACACGUGAGAUACGCGUGACCUCCUACUGGCACGCUUUGGCACGGACUUAUUUCAGAUUUUUUGGUUCUAAUAAACUCUUAUAAUAUUAUUUUGAAAGAUUUAAAUAAAUAAUUAUGAAUAUUUAUUAUAUAUACCUUACUACACUCAUCAAUAAUAUGUAUGUAAGCUUUUUAUAAAUAAAAUACAACUAUACCUGAUGUAGAAUAGAAAUUAAAAUACAAUAAUAAAAUUCACAAGUACAAUAAUUAUUUAAAUUUACAUCUUUAUAUAGAAAUGACUACUUAAUUCGACAUAUAUCGUCACGCUUGAUCAUAUGGCGUAUUGUCAUCUACAAAUACAAGAUUUAUUUGAUAAUAUUGAUAUAAGUAUUGCUGGUAUUGUGAGAAAGUCAUAUAUUCCAAAUAUUACAUCCAUAUUUUAUUCUUUUAUUCUUUUUAAAAAUUUCUGUUCAAAAUUUGUUUAGAAGAUCGAUUUUUGUUCCCUUGAUUCACCGAAAGCUUCACAGUGCAACAAUUUUUGACAAAAUAUUUUGCGAAGAAAAAAUGAAUGUCUGUGGUGGAAGCGGAGGGCGUGGGGGGCGGUAUGGAUCAAGUAUGUCAAUUAAAAAUUUGCUAUCAAUAUAGAAGUUAAAAAAAAAGGUAUCCGCCACAAAGCAAAAAAAAGUUGAAAAAAAGACAAUAAAGUUAAAAACAAAGACAAUAUAAGUGGCCCGGAAGGGGGGCUCGAUACCCUAGAGAACAAAACAAAAAAGAAAAAGCCAAAAAAAAAAGAGGAAGCAGCGACACGCGGCACAAUGCCGCGGCACAUGCCGCUUUGUCUCGAGCGGCACGGGCCAUGUGCCGCGGCACCCGGGGGGGUCCGAGACCCCUCUGUACCGUGCCCUCUUGGGGGGGCGGUACGGCACGCCCCGUGCCGUACGGCACGGGGCGGCACUUUGAACCUUCGGUGCGUGCCGAGCCGAGCCGAGCCGAUGCAUGCCGAUCAAAAAAAUUCUUGCAUGCCAACACAUAAUAAUAGCAUGAAAAAUUUAUUUUCUUUAGUAACAAAAUAUUUUAACUAUUUAUUAUGUCGUUUUAUCACAUCUUUUGAACUUUAUUGAGAAAAUUACUUACUAAUUUAAAAAAUAGAAGGUUUUGAGUUGUGCCAUCGGCACGGAAUCUGUAUCGUGCCGGUAUCUUGCUGUCAAGGUACGGCACGGUGGAUACAGCCCGUGCCGACGGGGACUUAGAAACUUGGGUAAAUAUCAUUUGUACAAUGCAAGGCACUAAUCAAAUACAAUGUGGUGCCAAAGUGGAUGAAAUGUGUCCAUAAGGACAAACUUGUCUGCAUGUGGGUGUGACUGCAUGAGGAUAUAUGAACUAGCGAUCACACAAGAUUGAAGUUCCAGUUUCAAAACUCAAAAGAUCAGAAAUUGAUUGAAAAGAAAAGCCAUGAGUGAAACUAUGCAUUAAGUUCGUAUUCACAAUAUAAUCUACAAGAUAAAAUUUCUUCUUUACAUUUGAAUUUUGCACGUCUGUCUAUGCGAAGGUAAUAUUUUGGUUUAGUUUAGGUUAGUGUCACAAUUUUAAAUGUAUCUCAAAUGCAAUAUAAUGCAAAACCUACGGGUCUUAAACCAUAUGACUGUUGUUAAACCUAGAACACUAUAUAGCCAAUGCACUACUCUAUUUGAAAUAGCUGCAAGUAACAAGAGGGCUGAUAAAGCCACAUCCAUGAAGACAUGAUCACUUUUAACAAGAUCCUGAUUCAGACUGCUCAGUAAAUUCCUUCUUUGUUAAAUCACAUUUUAAAUAUGUAACAACCACCACUAGUCUUAUAAUACAAAAUUAAUCCAGCAACCCCACGUCAAGUUUUAUCUGUAAAUUUAGUUACCUAUAAAUGUACAUAAACACUUUAGCUCAUCUAGACAACAGAUGAAAAAUUAAGGAGAAGUAAAUAGAUAAGGAAUAGAUCUGGUUUCAAACAUAGAUGGUUAUAUACAUGUUUUGAACUGAGAUUCUUCGAAUUAUUCACAUACCAAUAAGAGAAACAUUUAAAAUAAAUAACUAUAAAUAUAAACAAGUACCAAUUAUAUAAAAUCAUCUUGAGAUUAAAAUAAGGCAGUUUGAUUCUUACUAUCUUCUGGAAAUCAAGCCAGCUCCAGAUGACCUGAAAAAAAAUAGUAAUUGCAAUUAAUUUAUCUUCCUGUAGCUUUAGAAAGAGUGAGGUGUUGAAUCUUAAGUCAUGGAAAUACUAAUAUUUACCUUCCUUGUUGUUUGCCUCCAGACCCAUGUCUCCCAUUACUUGGUCCUUUGUUCUGUGACGAAGGCAAGAUUGUUCUUUCAAGAUUUCCACCAUUUCCAGUACCAACAUGUACAGAUGACUGACCAGGUCUAAUUUCAGGCAAAAAUCCAUUGGGGUCCUGAAGACCUUUUAGUUUGUUCGAAAUUGCCAUAUCAGAAAGCCCCUGGACAAUUUUUGAAUUCAAAUUGACACCAUUCUGUUGUUGAUCAUGCAUUUUUGGAGUCUGUGAAUGCAUGUCAAAUGAAUCUCCAGGAUUACUUAUAACAGCACCAUUUGCAAAAGACAUAGUAUUCACAGAUCUAGGCUCGAUUUGUGGCACCCUUUUCUGGCGAUUGUUUUGAGCAACAGGAGUCACAGCAACCGAAGGCAAUAAUGAGGAGUAUUGGGAAGCUGAUGCUGCAGCAGCAGCAACCUUAGCAACAGCAGUAGUAGCAGAUAUGAUCUGUUGUGCUCCUUCGCGAAGAUGAAUAAAAUCCCCCUCAAUGACAAAUAACUGGCAUUGCAACUCCCAUAAGAAACUUAGCAAAGAUUAUAUCGUAAUAAGACAUGCAUGGGUUAAAAACAUACCUCAGGAUGAUGCGCCACAAAAUCAUCCAGCUUUCCAUAGUGUUUCUUGUAAUCAUGCCAGUGAAGAGGAGCAAGCAUUUUCCCAAGCCUAUUUGGUAGCUGGAAUAUGAAAUAAAUACAAACCAAUCAGCCUAAUUAUAAAGAAAUAAUCACGAGCUCCAGCAGAAAAUAUACUCACAGUUGUGCUGAUCCUGAUGCGACCAUCCGAUCCAGCAGGAAUAGCACGAACAAUGCAUGCCAGAAGUGAUCGUUCAUCCAGUAGAGCAGGUUCCACUGCCUUCCCAGUAGGCAAUGAACUAGAGGACCAAGUAACAGAACUAGGUAUUUCAGCAUAAUUAACUACAUUUUUAUGGCAUUCUGCUGCUCCAUUUGAAGUGGUACCAUGAACCUGAGGAGCUGAAGCAACCACACCAGGAGCUGAACACUGUUGUAGUAACGCAGGCUCUUGUGAUUGCUUAUUUGCAGCAAAAACAUUUUCAUCUUGUACCUAAUAAUAUUCAAAGAAUAAUUUGUCAGCAAAAGUUGACAACUGCUUCUUAAGUUGCCUUUUGAGAAAUGAGUGGUGAUAAUACAAACAUGCAAUGAGAUUGAUUGAAGAAUCGGUCAGAACAAAACAAACCUUUGACUCGCUCUUCUGUUCACGUACGUCAAACUUUUGGGUAGAAUUACCCUCAGAAUUUACAUCUAAGGUCUCUUGUGGUUCUAGGGAAACUGCAUGCUGCUUCCCAUUCAAUUCCAGAGCCUGCCAUCAAAAAGUCAGCAUUAAGAUUAAAUAUCUAGGAACAGAACAAGAAUAAACUAUUUGUAGAUCUGCGGAAGUUAUAUAGACCUGCACUUCACUUGAUCCACUGAUUGCAUGGCGAGCCCUAUGCUCUUGGCUAAUGUGGACGCUAAGGUGGUCUGGUUGGACUACAUGUCCUUCAACAGAGUGCUGAUAGCUAGAAUGAGCAUCUGAUCUUAAAAGAUUCUGAUCUGACUGGGAUGACUGAUAAUGUGUCUGGUUAGGUACCUGUGAGACAUCAAAUGCCACCUAAAAUAUAAUAGUGUGUUGAGAAGCAUAAGCAAAAAAUGAAAAGGUAAAUUAGGUUUAUUAUAAAAGUAAUUCAUGCCAAUUAAGUUGUUUAUAAUGCAGAUUUCAAGCAAAAUUUCAAAGAUAGUCCAACCUGUUGAUCUGGCCAAUGAUGAUGAGGAGUUGCAGAUGCUGGCUGCAAAUGACCAAGCUGAGAUGGAGGAACAGGUGAGUUGGUCGAUGUUACAGAUUGUGGCACACCUUGUGGCUGCAUCACAUAAGGAUGCAUUGCAGCCAUCUGUCCAGGAGGGAAAAAGGCGCCGACUCCAAGCAAUGAAGAUGGAACAACCGGCACACCCGAGGAAUGCUCAGUCUAAUAAAAAGAACAAAAGUACUUUCAAAAAAGGGUAGUCACUCCACAAUCUUUAAAGUAUAUAACAUAACAAAGAUUGGAGAACGGAAUCAGUAAUGAGAAUCAAUAUAUAUGAAAGUAUUACUAUAUAAUAUGCAAAUAGCAAACAACUGCACGAAUAAUUGAUGAAGAAAUAUCAAUAUGGCUCUUUCAAUCAGAACCUUGUCAUGAUCUACAUCAUAGUUAGAUAUAAGGGAUUAAACUAUGACGAGAAUAAGCAAAUUUAUGGAACAAUUGUGUCUACUGACACCUGACAGUUCAGUUAGAGCAUUAAGCCCAGGCUACUAUACAGAAGCAUGCAACAAUUGAAUGCAUCUUCUGUUGUAAGUUAACGGAAAAAAGAUGUAGAUUAUCUGCAUAAGAACGAAAAAUGACUAGCUUCUGCAUCUCAACCUUUCAUUGUUCCCUGGGAUGUCAAUUGUAUAUCUUUGUCUUCAUGCAGAUAAAAUUAAGAAAAUAUGGUAGUAAACAUGACAGUAAAUCUUAGAGUUGUUCAAACUUAUGGUACCUUUCUAGGUGGGUUAGAAGCUGAAUUUAAGGACGAACCGUCAUCUGACCUUUCACUUGUAACAAAACCCAAGUUACCAUUUGAAGAACCACCAUCAUUCGCAUUAAUUUGGCUUCCCUUGCUCUGGACAUAUGAAGAAGAAUCAGCUGAACUCUCACUAGCAGCUCCUGAACCAUCUUUAUGUGUUACAUUUUGUUCUCUUGCCUCAGCUAACUCUAGUUGAAGCUGCUGAAUAACUUGCAGAUGAUGUCGCUCCAUUUCAACAUACUAGAAUCAGAAGGCCAAAAUAAAAUAAUAUCAAAGAUCAAACAAGACACAAUCAUCUAAAAUACUCACAAAAAAUCAUAAAAAUAUAUAUAGGUAUAAGCAGCACACACAUUAUUUACUUUCUCAUAGAAUGAAGAAAACUGCAUGUGCAUGCUAUCUAACCUGUUGUUGAAACCCAAUCCAAUAAUGGUUAAACUGUUCAGUGCGUUCUCGCAGCUCAGCUUGUAAUGACUGGUUAGUGGUUGAUUGCAAAGCAUCCAUUUCUUGAACACGAGUAAUCCAAGCUUGUACCUCCCUUAAUUGCUCAUCCUUGUAAAUGAUAGUGUCUUGUGCAACCUUAUGCUGGACAACCCAAAAAUUUGUUAAAUAGUAUAAUAUAUCUUUCUCUAUGUAAUAUGUAAUGUUUAAUUUUAUAUAUAUAUAUAUAUCAAGGAUUUAAGUGCUGUGGCACAGGGUCGUGCCGGAAACUUGUCGGCACGGUACGACACGGUGCGUGGCGAGCCGUGCCGAGCCGUGCCGGUCAAAAAAAUUCUUGUGUGCCGACACAUAAUAGCAUUAAUAUUUAUUUUCUUUAGCAACAAAAUAUUCUAACUAUUUAUUAUAUUUUUUUUAUCACAUCUUUUGAACUUUUAUGAAAAAAUUACUUACUAAUUUAAAGAAUAAAGAGUUUUAAAGUAUGCCAUCGGCACGGGGUCUGUAUCGUGUCAAUAUUUUGUUGGCACGGUAUGACACGGUGGAUAGGAUCUAUGCCGACGGACACUUAAAACCUUGCUAUGCAAUCUGCAUUAACACCUAAGAAAAAACUUAUAUUGUUUGCACAACAUCUUUAUUAAAAAAAAAAAAUUAUAUAUUGUUUGGUUAUAAGAUUGUAGGAAUCAGUUAUUGCCAACAAGUACUCUCAGUCGAAGUUUUAAAAAAAUCAUCUCAUAAAAAAAAUAUAAAUAAAAUCAUAACUUCCUUCUGCUCUGUUUUAUUUUAGGGUCAGUUUGAUUGGAUGUAAUUAGAANCAUGAAAUAUUUAUUUUCUUUAGCAACAAAAUAUUCUAACUAUUUAUUAUGUCUUUUUAUCACAUCUUUUGAACCUUAUUGAGGAAAUUACUUACUAAUUUAAAGGAUAGAGGGUUUUGACCUGUGCCAUCGGCAUCAGGUCUGUAUCGUGCCGGUAUCUUGUUGGCACGGUACGGCACGGUAGAUACGGCCCGUGCCGACGGGCACUUAAAAGUUAAAACCUUGAUAUAUAUAUAUAUAUAAAUAAAUAUAUAUAUAUAUAUAUAUAUAUAUAUAUAUACCAACUGGAUCAAAGGUUCAUCAGCUAUACGAUUCUAAGUUGAUUACAGCUUUAUUCUGUAUAAUAAAAGAUUUUCAAUCCAGUUAUUCACUAGAUAAACAUAACAGCAUGGUUAACUUGUACAUGUAUAGAUACAGCAAUUGUAUAACACAUAAAGGCACAAAAAUGCUGUGUACGCACUUUACGCGUUGAUGUGAUUGUGCACCACAUUGCAUCUUACUGCUAGAAGGUUCAAAGCACCGGUGACUACGCAUUGCAGCAUGAAAGCCCAAACCAACAUUGCUAAAACCCUCAAGAAGCAACUAACAAUAAUUGGGUAGACUCCAGAGUUUUGAACUACUAGAAACAAUAUCAUUGAGAUAAUUUUAUGAAGAAAGUAGCAUAUGGGUCGUUAGUCCGCCAAUCAUUGACAGAUUUGAAACUGCUAUACCAACAGUCAUGCAAUAGUACCUAAAAUAAGUAUUCAAGACAAUAUAUUAAAAUCAGGUUUGGAUGAUAACUAUUAUCCUGUCAGUGUGUAGGCGAAUUUCCCUGACAUAAAUCCUCGAACUAACAGGAUAACAGAGUGAGUCAAAUAUAUUGCCUCACAAAAAAAUCAACGACAUCGGAGAGAAGGUUGAUCUGCAAUUCGUUCUCCAAGGUAUUGCACCGUAAGUGAUCAAUCUAGCUAGCAGUCCCUAUGACUAAAUUUAAGCAAAGCACAAAGAAGAAGAAGAAGAAGAAGAGACAGAAAUCAAUUUCCACCAAUAGCUACAUGAUAUCAUUGACCGAGUUCUAUGCCAACGGUCCACCUUCCGCACGCUGCCUUAAAAAGCAGUGAAUGCACUAUUGCAGGCACAUAUGCAUCCACAUAAGGCAUAGACUUAUAUUUUAGGGAAAUUUUCUUAAUCCAACAUAUUCAAAUUAUUGUAAUAUAAUUUUGGAUAAAUAUGAAUAUAAAUAUAUUAUUAAUAUACUAGAUAACUGUAAAUUUUAAAUCAUGAGAUAAAUGAAGAACUUUUAAAAUAAAAUUAGAUUGAUAUUUAAAUCGACUAAUUCAACAUACAUAAUAUUUAGAUAAAUAUGGAUAUUAAAGAGAAUUCUGAGAUUACAGAUAAUUAUGAUUAUUUUAAUAUAUUGAUAAAAUGUUAAAAAUCUUUUUGAAUCUAUUUAAUGGUUUAUAUAAUUAAAUAUAAUUGCAGAUGAUUGCGAAAUACAAAAACCAAAAAAAUAUAGAUAUCAAAAUAUAAUCUUAUCAAUAGGCGGGUUCUUGAACAUAUAUGAUAAAGUCUUAAGAAAAACACUAAAAAAUAAUCUUGCAGUAUCUAUGUUAAAACUGAAUGAAAGAAUUCAAAUUAAAAUAAAUCGAGUAUAUUCAUAAAAAUAAAAUAUAUCUGUAUAUAAAAUAUAUAUAAAGAAAUUACCAUGCAUUUAACGUCAAUGAUACUUAUAGUUCCUUCAGUUUGGAGAGAUUUUUAAGAAAAUAUAUGUAGGUUUAGCAUGACUCUCCUAAGGUUAGUUGCUCAAACAUUCAAAUAUCACAAUUCAUUUACACAACUUGCAUGAUUUACAGUCAUUAUUAUUUCCUAAAUAGAAUAUUCUUCUUUAAUGUUAACAUUCACUUUAUUACUCCAUGAAGACAAAAAGGUAAAACAAAGAAGUAAGAUGUGUACCUGUUCUUCCAAUGCAAUAAACUGAUUAUCUUUCUCUUGUAUAUGUUCUUGAAGAUCACGAAUUUGUUUAAGAAGCUGUGCCCUUUCAGCCUCUGAGUUAUCACGCUCCCUUCUGUAGAAAAUAAUAAGUUUGCAAAGCUUAAAAUACAAAGGGACAGAUGCUGACCAAUUUCACACUCAAAGAGCAAGGUUUCACAAAGUAAUUCGUAGAUGGAUAAAAUCUUAUAGGACCAAAAUAGUAAUAAUAUCCUUUCACUAAAUUUCCAAUGCAACCACUUAAGAGAUGAUAUGAAGCCAGCUAUAUUCUCACAUAAAGCCUAUUCCAUCAGCAGAGUCGAAAGACGCUCCACAUCAUGCUUCUCGUUCUCACAAGAAGCCCCUUAAAACAUGUUAUUUGCAAGCUAUCUAGGACAACCUCAGGAGAACAUCGCCGUAGGGGACACUAGAUAGAGACUACAGAAGUCAAGGAAGAGAACAAUACAUUGGACCAACUGUACAAAGGUAACAUAAGCAUGAAGACAAUAUUGUAGCAGGACUUCCGCAAACAGGAUCACUUCGGAUCUGUUGUUGAACUGUACCAUUGCAAAAGAGGAUAAAAAUCUUUACAACUGUAUAUCUAAUUGAAGUACUUCAUUCAUCACGCAAGCUAAAAGUAAUAAUAAAGUUUUGCUAAGCAUUUAGGUGCAAAAGAAUGCAAGCAUAAGAAACCAAGAAAGAUGAUAGAGGACAAAUUGAAAGAAAGUUUACUCAAAUGCUGCACGUAGCAUAGAACCAAGCAUUGUACUGUUGUUUCGAGUUGAUAGCAGAAGACUGAACAUGUUAUAUAUAGCGAAAAAAAAUUAUCACAGGGCCAUGAUCAACUGUAUUAAGAAAGACAAUGCAAAUACCUGAAUGUGGCCAGCUCUUUGUUUUGUUCCCUCAGAAGGUCCUCUUUAGCCCAGGCCUAUGAAAACGAGCAAUAAAAUGCAAACAAUGAAACUUAUUGGAUGUUGAACUUAGUUAACGAAGAAGAGAGUGAAAAAAAAAAGUGAAAAAGCAAACUAACCGCCUCAGUGUCAAUCCUUAGAGCACGUAAUUCUCUAUUGUUCUCUUCUAACUUCCUCUCUAACUCAAGUAUGUAAUUCUCUCUUUCUUGCAGUUGCUCCUGUGUAGAAAAGAAAAGAUAACUAUAACCUAUUAGAACUUUUUUUCUUUGGAUGAAGAGUCAAAACUAUCGAACAUCAUGAGGCAACUUCUGAAAUUCAACCACGGCAACCAUACCCAAAACACAAUUUAGAUAAUAAGAAAUAAACCACUUCUUUUAAUGGCCAUUAGAAUGAAGAUUAAAAAUGGAAAUGCAAUGGAUAGCCCAAAUAAAUGAGCAUACUGAGGAGAAAUUUGUUUAUAGCUAAGAGCUAAACUCCAGACAGUUAGUUAGUGAUUCAUACUCAUAUGAGAUGCCACUCUAUCAUACCACUCACCCAUACUUUUAUGAUGAAUGUGGAAUGAUCAAGCAACAUAAAUCUGAAAAGGAGAUUAAAGAUGUUUUACAUCUUCGAUGCACAUGGCAAAAACUUACAAAAGUUCAACAUUAUUGCAUGCCGGAAACGUGCAUGCACUGCCCCACAGAUCAGACUAACAAUGAGAUCCAACCAUCUUACAAACAGCUAAUUAGCGCUAGAGACAACGAAACAAACAUCAAUAAUCAGGUUUUUGGGUAAUAGCUAAAAGAAAAAGAAAAAAAAAAAAAAAGGGGGGGCAUAACAAAGAGCAAUUAGUGGAAGAGACCUUUAAUUUGGCAGCGGCGGCAUCCUGCUCCUUCAUCCGAGCUUCAAAGCCACUCUGUGCCUCCAAGAUUUCACCACGCGCAAUUGCCUGUGCUCUCAGCUCAAUCUCCAUAUGCUGCAACUCCUCCCUCUGCCUUGCAAUAUUCUGCAGCUUCCUUUGCAAGAUAUCAUCAUUCAGCCCCCUCCCAUCUAUCAUAAUCGAGGAGAAAUCCACAUCAAGUGGCCCCAUUCCUUCCUGCACCUUGCCAGAAUACACCAUUACCUCUUUAAGCACUUACCUGUAUUCUAAAAGGUCACACUGCCGAAACAACAACGAAACCAUUUCCCACAGUACCUCAUAAAUAGUUCUCUCUUCCGGCUGCCCCAAUUUAACAUGUUCAGAGUCCUGAGAUCCGAAGUUUCACACAAAAUCAAAACCCUAACAGAAUCAAUCAGGCACAAAGUGCAAGCAAGGGAAAAUUUCUUUCCUACCUCAGACCCAUUGCUCCGGAACGAAUGCUGGGAGACAGCGCGCCACUCCUUCCUCGGCUGCUGUGACGAAGAAGAGGGCGAGGAGGAGGGCACAGGAAGCGACCCACCGCGGCUUGCGGAGGCCUCCAUCGCGGAUCGAGAGCUCUCUCUCCGACGCCUCCAACUCCUAAGAUCGAGUCCGCUCCCGCAGGAAACCAAGCCAAGGACCCCGAGAGCGAGAUCGAAGCUAGGGUUUUUCAACCAUGUGAGGGUGGGGGCCGAGGAGAGGGAGUGGGAUUCUAGGGUUUUGGAGAUCCCGACGAGAAGUGAACGGAGGAGACUAGCGCUUUUGUGUUGGGGGUGCUGCGGUGGGGGGACGAUCGAGAGGGAUUUGGAAGGGCGACGUGGAGAGAGCAAUGGAGUUCAGGAAGGUCGAGGGUCAAGAAGCGAAACCUUGCCCUAAUUAGAGAAGGGAAGACGGGCGGGCGAGGAAACGGAUGGAUGGCCCGAGCGAACCGGGUCGGCAGUCCACAGCACGUUGAAAGAUUUUGGAAACGGAAGCUAAAAUAGAUUGUUUCUAUAGUUGCAUUUUGUGUUUACUUUUUAAUUAAUUCAGUCGCGAGGUAGAGUUAUUGAAGUCCAAAUUUAUUUAUUUUUCUUUAAGGCAGUAGAUCAUAAUCUAUGAGGUUGCAAAGAAUAUUUUUACCUUUUCAAUUGUAUCUGUUAACAUAAAAGUUUUUUUUUUGUAAUAUCCUAAAUUUUAGAGUUCACUUUUUACUUGAGGAAUUUUACGAUAUAUACUGAAGGACUUUUUUUUGUUUCUUUCAUAGCCUAAUUUUAAUGUUUCGAAAUAAAACAAGAAAUUUUUAGUAGAAGUUUGUAUUUGUGAAACAUAAGUGGAGGUUCUAAAAGAAUCUAGACAAUAUGUAUAGAUAUUCAAAAUUUUGUCCGAGCCCAAACACGAACAGAAACGGGACAUAUUUAUUUGAUGCAAAAUGGAUAUGGUUUUCUAUACGAGUAUCUAUAAUCUAUCUAUAAUCUAUAAUCUAUAACUCUAUAAUAAUAACUCUAUAUUAAUCCCCAAUACUGUAGCUGAUGUGGCAAAUCCUCAAAAUUUUAAUUUUUUUUAUUUUUUUAAUAGUAAAUUUAUCCGCUCAUCUACGCCGCACUCUUUUUCUCAAGUAUUCCCCAACCGUUCGCGUUCGUGUCCACUCAUUUACCCCGCACUAUUUUUCUCAAGUAUUUUCCAAUCGUUCGCGUUCGCGGCCCCCCAUCUCCUCCAGUCGCACUCUAUUUCUCGCGCCCCACUAUCUCCUCCUGUCCCACUCUAUUUCUUCUCUCAUCACACUCCAUUUCCCGCGUCCCCCUAUCUUCUCUCGCCGCACUCUCUCUCUCUCUCUCUCUCGCUCGCUCUCUCUCUCUCUCUUAGCGUUCGCCGACGAGGGUCAUAUCUAGGGGAUUUGUCUAUCCCUAAGUUCAUGAAAUACGCCCCCUUCCAAAUGCUUGCCUUUCCAACUAUGUGCAUUGUAGCUAUCUUUAACCAUUGCUGUUCAGUUACUCGAUAAUUGCUGAAAUAUUUCUCACAAUUUUCGACCCAUGCUUCAGGAUUUUCUCCACAAAAUUCUGGGAAGCUUGAUUUCAAAUAUGGCAUGGGUUUGAGAGGUAAUGGCUGAUUUGCAAACAACUUCAGCACCUCCUCAAACCUGCUGGCACUAUCACUCAUCUUUACUUCCUGACCAUUAUUGUCCCCUAUCUGUGGGUGUUCAUGGUGCUUUUGCUCUAUUUCCUUUAGUGCAGCGUGUUGGCCGAUUAGGGAAGUAAUUAAUGAACUUACUCUUUUCUCAGCAGGGGUGGGUAAAGGUAUUAGCCCUUUCUCUUCUUUUGGAACCGGCACUGCUAUCUCUUUUUCACUAGCAUGCAUAAAUUGGCUCCUAAUCAACUCUAGGAGUUGUUCAUGUCUGUGGGCAUUCUCCUGCAUCAUGAUUUCGUGCCUCCUUACCUCUUCCUUUUGUAGUGCUUCAAUCAAGACAUCUAACUUUUGAUUGACAUCCCUAGCACUUUGUAACGCUCCUUCAAAGCUUCAAUUAUAGCUAGUGGUUUGUUGCUGCAACCUUGUUCCAAUAGCCAUUUUACUCUUAAACUUAUAUGGAUUUCAGUCUUUCGUUUUCGGCUGUGCGACGAAUUGCGCAACUGCUCAACCCUUGUGAUUGCUUCGGAAUGGUUUACGAUCGUUGCUCGCGACUUGUUUGUUGAACUACCUAGUUGUUGUACCACCUGUCGACUUCAAAUUUGUCUUGUUUCCUUCGAUGAAAUCCCAGCAGCUUAUGAUCCUUGACUUCCUUGCAGUGACUCAACAAUUUGGUCCGGUUACUAUUUCGACAAGCUACUGAACUUAUGUGCAGGAAUUUUGACAAACACGAGGUGGGAACUCUAGUAGAGGAGUGAAUUCCUUUAUCCGACUCAACUCUGCGAGUUCAAGAGUCAGGUCGACUCUCGCAGUGACCCUCCUUUGUCGGGUUACAGCCGAGGCCGACACCCGCAGCGCGGAGGAUUAAAUUGCAAGGUGACUUAACGAUUUCUAGAAUCGGAAUCACGGCAAUAGCACUGCACCAAUCCCUGAGAUCGUGCUGCUCUGCUCGGGUAUGGUUUGGGAUUGCUACGUGUUACAGUAACUCUACCGAGGCGCCCGUGAUGCUUGCCUGAGGCUAGGUGCUAUUCUAAUUAAAUAGAACCGGCACCUAUAGUUGCUACUACCUCGGUACACUUCGUGUGGGAUUUCAGUUGCUAAUUUAUGCUAAUUGGAUGAUGUUACCUGAUGCCCCUUCACUGUUCGGAGUAAUUCCCAACUGCUGCUGCCUUUCCGCGGCCUCGAUAAUGUGAAUCUCGCUGCCCAUGGCCCUGGGAUGGUGCCGCUAUGAUACCAAUUGUAAUAUCCCUGUGGCUCGGAUCAAGUUCUUGGUGCUUCCGGUCGCGAAUCCGAUGAAGUUUGAUGCUAAGAAAGGUAAGGGAAGUCGCUGGAGAGGAGCAGAAGGGGUUUGCGAGAGGGGAGAUAGAGGCAGUAGAGAUGAGAAUUAGAGAAAAGGGGUUAGGGAUAGAGAUUAGAGAUAGAGAGUGGGAUAAGAAAUUGGGAAGGGAAGUAGUAGAGAAGAAGAAGGGUUUGGAGAAGAACUUUUGGGGGAGAAAUAAACUAAUUCAUUUUCAUUCAUACCCUGUUUACAUUACACUUAGGUAUUUAUACUACUCGGUGGCAUGAACUGAAAAGAAACUUAACUACUAUCUGGGGCUAAACAACAAAAGUGCUAAUAUGAGGUAUAGGCCUGGUGGGCUGCUAAUUCAGUGUUAAUUGGGCCUCUCGAUGGCUUGACCUGUCCAUGAGCAUCAUGUAAUCGGGUGAUUGGAUAUCGGGCUUCCUUCUCCGCAUGAUCCUCAGACGAGCGGAUAGCGAGUCCGCGUUUUAUACCCGAUCCGAUAAUCCGACCACCCGAUCCAUCAGUGGAGUGGUAACCGGGUAUGUGGGUUUCGGUCCUCUCUUCUUCGCACUAUCCACAGCCCGGCGGAUAGUGGGUCCGCCUUUUGGAUCUGCUCCGAAGAUCUGCCAAUUCAAACCGCCUGCUUCCAUCUUCCCCAAUCUCUGUCGGACCAUCUCCUCCAACCUCGAUCCUCCCAUUUCCCCUUCAGCUCCGACGAUGACCUAGCCCGUCGCCCCGCCGGAGUUCCACCCGAGCGCCCUCACGCCGCCGAAGUUCCACCAAGCUCUCACCUUCCUCCACCUGCUGUAGCCCUUAUUUCUAUUCCACUAUGCAAAGUUAACAUUUUUACUAAUCUCCUCUAUUACUACUACUUCUACUAUUUAUUUUAGGUCGUUACACCUUGUGCUUCUUAUUUUUCAACACAGAUUUUUGGCCUUCAGAUGGAAACCAUUUGGAGCUAAUUUCUAUAAUAUUCCAUGUCAAAUAUUCAGUUUUGGAUAUAAAAGUGUCACGCCCGGGUACCAGCAGAAGCAUAUCCGGUACGUGCACAGACCCGCCAUACACCUGCAGUAUAUAAGGCGUCUACAAAGCAAAUCGACAGGAAGUAGAACAUAGAAAAUCCUAUCCACAGCGUACGUGGAGUCGGACGUUCGGUUCUUGGUGUAGCGGGUUGCCAGGCGGGCUUCCAUGCACGUGGCACCAGUCCCUAGGCAAUCACCCUCUCCUUUGUAUCGGCGCAUGUGGGUAUCGGUUCUAGGGGCUAUCCCUCUCCUUGUACGGCAUGUGGGAUCGCGAGAAACAAGAAAGAAUCAGUAUUAGGAGUUUCAAGAAAGGCCACCCUCUCCUUGUAGCGGCGUAUGUGGGCGCCAGGUUCUUGAUAACUCAAGUGUUCAUGACUCUAAGGCCUUAGCUGAAGUGUUCAGUUCCCAAGUAUAGGUUGGGAUACGAUAACUGGAUAGAUCCAGGUUACGUGAAAGGUGGGAUCCAGGUUGACUGAGAUCCAGAUUACGGAGUUAAAGUGUUGGAUCCAAAUGGAAUUGAGAUCCAAAUCAAGAGUUGGAUGCAAGAAAUUGUGAUCCAAUCUACGGUGUGUGGAUCUAGGGCUGAGAUCCAAGUAUGAGUUGGAUACAAGAAAUUGUGAUCCAAUCUACGGUGAGCAAUAAAUAGGAUCCAAGUUGUUGCGAUCCAAGUUACAGUAGAUACAGGCUGGAUACAAAUAAUUGUGAUCCAAUUACGGUGAGCUAGAUGAACUGUAGGAUAAACAGUAUAGCUCAUAAGAUGUCAAGUGUAUGUAUAUAAAUCGUAGUUGAUGUACGUAGUAGAACGUAAAUAUAGUACCUGUACGUAAGAAAUGUAAUACGAAUGAUACAAUAGUACGGAGAGGAUCGUAGUAUAUUGGUACGUUAAUCGAUCGUAUAUAAGAUGUUCGUAUAUUUAUAAGGUAAUAAUACGUAUAUAUAUAAGAGUAAUACAGUGAUACGUAGUAGAUCAUUAAUGUAAUAUACGUAGUUGUACCUAAGAAUUGAGCGAAUCUGUAUUUCCCGCUGGAUCAGCGAAGCCAUUUGUGUUGGGUGGAAUUAAGCGCAAGGCUAACGAGCAGCUGUGAACGUUAGCCGGAGGGCGCCGUGGGCACUGGGCCAAGCCGAGCUUGAGAACGCGCUGGUGGGCUUGCCGGUGGUUAGGCGCUAGGCAGAUAAGACCUCAAAUAAGGUGUUGUGGUGCUACGAGGGCUAGGCAAGAGUACUAAAAACCUCCGAAUAGAGCGCACGACGCCGAUAGACAUGGUUUUGUCUGACAAAGCAAUUAUUGAAGCGCAUGUGAGCAGCAUAGCAGCUUGGCUCGCGUGGUUGCGCAAGCAAUAUGGGGGUUAAUCCAAAUGUCUCCCAAUUUACUCUAGUUUUGGUAGAUAAAUGUUUUUAGGGUAAAACUCGGGAUCAAACGCUGAUGCCGUUUUAUGGGGUUUAUUUAGGGAUCUAAGUACGUAAUUAGAUGAGUAUUCGUACGAUCCUAAGAUAGAUUUGGUAAGAAUCUCACAUAAUUGGUUUGGGAUUCUUUAGUGGUAAUUUCUCGAAGUUUCUUCGAAUGGAGGAUUUCGGAGAGGUUCGUGUUCCUUCCUUACUUCUUCUACCUUUCGAGUAGGAGAAGAAGAAGAAGAAGAAGAAGAAGGAGAAGAGGAAGAAGAAGACGAAGAAGAGAAGAUAAAGCAAAUCUCUCUCUCUCCCCACCGCAACCCCAACUUUGCCACUCCUUUUCUCUCUCUCUCUCCAAGAUGAGGAGAGAUAUGUGAAUUGGGUACAUUGUAAACGUCCUUUUGGAGAGUUGUUUCGGAGAGAACGUUGUCGGGCUUGACCCGUAAAAGCCCCAAGCCCCUGGCCAGAGACGUACUCCCUGGCCAGAGACUCUCUGGCCAGAGAGGUGGACCCUGGCCAGGGUCUCUCUGGAGGUCGGGUCUGAAUCGGUUAAAAGUCGAAGCAGGCAAAAGCGAGGCAAAAGCGGGCAAAAACAAGCAAACUGGAGGCUAAGCAGAGUUUAGCUUGGCUCUGAGAGGUUUGUACAAAAGUUUGUACAAAAGUAGUAGAAAGGUAGGAGUGAUUACGGCCUAAAUCGAGUGCCGGGUUGUACCGGAAAGCCGAGGCAAAAGCGCGGAUACGCGUGGCUUUGCGGGCUAUCGAGGGUUUGAAGUGGGUUGAAGUGGCCUUGGUAAGUUUAUCGAGAGGUUAGCUUACAUGUGGUAUUGAAUUAUCAAAAUCUUCAGGCCAUGGAAUGUGAAAAUCAUAUAGCUGAACAUGAAACGAGACUAUAUANGCGGUCUGUCGGCGUGCCCGAACCGGACCAAAUUGGGAGCGGUCUCGGGGCGUGACAAAAAGCAAAAGAACAAUAACUAUACAAUCCAAAAUCUCGACAAAGAGAAGUAUCACAACUGUAGUUCUCGGUCCAAAUAGUACAUAUACAUCACGGGGAUACAAAAAAUAGAUACAAUGGUAGUCUCUCUAUACAUAGGGACAUCACCCUCGGCCGUAGCCCAAGUAGCAAGGUGAUCGACUAGCAUACUCCUAGCAAAGUCUAGCUAGACGCGACUCCCUUGCCACGAUCCCUAGCCUCUCCUGUAGAUGGCUCUGAAAAAAAACAACCACCAAAAGUGCGUGAGAACUAUUAACAAUAGUUCCCAGUGGGUAAGCCGCCAGCCUCGGCGAAUUACACCACUAGGUUCAUGAUGUACUGAAUGGAAGUAAAAGCAGUAAUUGCAUGAUAUAUCUAUAUGCUGCUAGCAAGUAAUGAGCAUGUAAUCAACAUGUAAUCAUAAUUUCUGCAGUAAUGAAUCAGUCUGAAUCACAGAAGCAUAGCUACUACUGUAUCAUGAACAUAAACAUGAACAUAAGCACAAAUGUGUAAGUAACUACUAUACACUAUAAUUGGCAAGUAUUCAUUACUGUCAACUGUCGUUUCGAACUUUAACCUCAUUAGAGUUUUCCUUUCAUUCAUCAGGACCUACCCAAGGUAGUCCGGCUUGUGCCGCGCCUAAUGGCCCCGUGGUAGUAUACACUCCCCACGGCAAUCCACUUCGGCACCCAAUCCAGCACGGGCGAGCAACUGUCGCGUAGGCCAACUCCGGAGUGCCGGCUUGUAGAGAGCUACCUUCACAAGCGUGUGCGAAUGUGCACGAUGGCAAGCAAGCAAAGUCCACAGUCUAACAUGUCUCAACUAUCACAAUUUAGCUCACAAUAUUCCCGCUCUCGAUCCUUUGAUCGGAAUUUCAAUAUAAUUAAUAUUGACAACAACUAGUAUCCACUAGAUUAAUAAACAUGUGAGAGUAAUGCUAAUUUACAUAUGGCAUUAGAAACUUUCUAGUAUCAUGGCACUACCAUUAUAGUCAUAAAACAUGCUCUCGUUCUCGACUUUAUAAUCAAUAAAGUUACAAGCAUGUCAUUGUUCUCUACUUUCUAGGAACAUAGUAACUUGUACUAGAAUGUCAUUCAACUGAAUUAAACAUGAACAUAAAUACUUUAUGCAUGUGUGUAUCCACUCUACUUUAUAGAGGUUCUAUUUCAAUUAUAUCAAAUGUUAUGAUGAUAUAUAUCAAACCCUUUAUUAGUAAAGGCGCUACUAAAUCGAUUCUAUAGUUACAUAUAGAACAUAGGGGAGCUUCACUUGCUCUGGUUAGGUCAAACCUACCUAGUACUAGGCUCCAAAUAGUCACAAGAAGUUCCAAUAAUCAGCUCAACAAGGCUCCAAUCCUGUUGAAAAUAAACAUCAACACCGUGUCAAAAUGACGACCGAAAUGUCCGAUUUCGGCAUAAUUUGCACUUAGUACAAAAUAACCCCUUAAAUCCCUGUUUUGGGCUAGUGUAAUACCUCAAGUUAAGCUUCCAAAAGGCCCUCCAAUGCCAGUCGAAGGCGGUCCAAGGGUCAAUCACCCUCUCGCUGCGAACAAUACCGAAACGGCAUCAAUAUACUCGAUUUGACGAAUAGAACGUCGAUAGCGGAAAAAUUGAGUCGAUUACCUUCUUAAGCUUCCAACCAGUGACCCACUGGUUCAGAGCUACGAAAAUCCUUCCAAAACACUCCUUCCCACAUCCACGUAAGCUCCGCAAUGCUCGUAACCAGCGAAGAACACACGAUGCGACGAAAACGAGCGAAAUCGUCGAAUUCUAUGUAGAGAGAGAAAAACCCUAAAGAGAGAAAGAGAGAGAAAGUAAAAGAAGCUUUCUCUGAGCCUUGCAGCCUCCACUGAGCCUCCAGGGUCGUGCUCGAUUCAAAUUGAUAGGGAUCAAAUGUGAAAUUACCGAAAUAGCCCUGCUGCCACGUUUUCCCAUUGUGUACCGGUACACCAUGAUGGCUGUACCGAUACAUCAAGCAGAAAACUGCUGAUUACGCCAGAUCAGUGCACUUUCUUACUUUUAACCCUCCAAUCACUCUCUAACUUGCUCAAAAACUUGUCCAAGUCAUUUAAAAUAUGUAGGAUAGUUCCACAUUUCAAUUCACACACUCGAACUCUGCAAUUUGCGAAAGUUCAGUGUAUUACAUUCACCCCUCCUAAAAAGAAGUUUCGUCCGCGAAACUUGUAAACCUUACCUCAAGAUUCCGUCGAGAAAAGAUAGGGAUAGUGCUCUAACAUCGCACUCUCCAGUUCCCAAGUGGCUUCUCGUUCAUCGUGAUUGCUCCAAAGCAUCUUCACGUAGGGUAUUUCGCGAUUUCGAAGCCGUUUCACCUCUCGAGCUAAUAUUUUCACUGGAUGCCCCUCAAAGCUCAAAUCCUCUUGCAGCUCUACUGGAAUACUUUCCAGUACGUGGGUUGGAUCAAAGAUAUACUUCCGUAGUGUGGAUACAUGAAACACAUUAUGCACUCCCGAUAGGUUCGGCGGUAAAGCAAGCCGAUACGCUACGGCGCCUAUCCGCUCCAACACCUCAUAGUGUUCAAUAAAUCGAGGACUUAACUUCCCUCGAAUACCAAAUCUCUUAACCCCCUUUGACGGUGAAACUUUUAGGAAUACAUGAUCGCUAACUUGAAAUUCCAGUUCUCGCCGACGUUUAUCCGUAUAGCUCCUUUGUCAACUUUGGGCGGUCAGUAAACGUUCCCGUGCAAGUCGAACUUUCGCUUCAGCUUCCUUUAACACAUCUGGACCCAAGACUAAUCUUUCACCAACUUCACUCCAAUGAAGUGGUGAUCUGCACUUUCUACCAUAAAGGGCUUCAAAAGGUGACUUCUGAAUGCUUGCUUGAUAACUAUUGUUAUAAGCAAAUUCAGCCAUCGGUAGGAACUGUGGCUAACUGCCCUGGUAAUCAAUCACACAGGCCCUCAACAUAUCCUCAAGGGUCUGGAUGGUACGCUCAGACUGCCCAUCACUCUGGGGGUGGAAAGCAGUACUAAAAUCCAAUCGGGUACCCAAGGCCUCAUGUAAACUCCUCCAGAAAUGUGAAACAAAUCGGGUGUCUCGAUCAGAAACAACAGAGGCUGGUACUCCAUAUAAUCGCACAAUUUCAUCUAGGUACACUUGUGCGAGUCUUUCCCCCGACCAAACUGUAUGAAUUGGAAUAAAGUGGGCAUAUUUAGUCAAUCUAUCCACAAUUACCCAAAUUGCAUCAUGACCUGCUUGUGAGCGAGGUAAUCAAACAAUGAAAUCCAUAGUAAUCCUCUUCCACUUCCACACUGGUAUGGGUAAGCUUUGAAGUUUUCCUGCAGGAAGUCGAUGUUCAGCUUUAACUUGCUGACAGGUUAAGCAUUUAGCCACAAAAUCUGCAACUUCCUUUUUCAUUCCAGACCACCAGUAAGUUAAUUUCAAAUCUUUAUACAUUUUCGUACUUCCAGGAUGCAAAGUAUAUGGCGCCCGAUGUGCUUCUUUUAAAAUCUCCUCUUUAAUAUCAUAAUCUGCCAGUACACAAAUUCUAUUACUGAAUUUUAGCAGUCCCUGAUCAUCUACUCGAAAGUCACCAACAUAAUCAACAGUGAUUUUUACUCGAAUCUUUUGCAGAAAUUCAUCUUAAGCUUGCUUUUCUUUAAUUCGAUCGAUCAGGGUAGGUUGCACCACCAAUGACAUAAGUCUCCAAGGCGUAUCAGGAGCUACAACUUCUAAAUUCAAUUGCUCCAUUUUCUUUACCAACAGGGGUUGCAUAGUUAUUGACAUCGCCAAAUUUUUCGUCGAUUUUCGACUUAAAGCAUAUGCUACAACAUUAGCUUUUCCUAGAUGAUAGAGGAUGGUCAAAUCAUAAUCCUUGAGCAACUCCAACCAUCUACGUUGUCUCAAGUUUAAUUCCUUCUGAGUAAACAGAUACUUUAAACUUUUAUGAUCUGUGUAAACUUCGCAACGCUCGCCGUAGAGGUAGUGGCGCCAAAGCUUUAAAGCAAAUACCACAGCUGCUAACUCAAGAUCAUGUGUAGGGUAGUUCUUUUCAUAAUCCUUUAGUUGGCGAGAGGCAUAAGCAAUUACCUUGCCAUUCUGCAUUAGAACACACCCUAAUCCAUUCAGCGACGCAUCGCUGUAAAUCACAUAACCCACUCCGGUAACAGGCAGUGCUAGAAUCGGGGUGGUGGUCAAUCGUUCCUUCAGCUCUUGGAAGCUUCUUUCGCAGGCUUCAUUCCACAGAAAUUUAGCUCCUUUAUGAGUGAGUCGAGUGAGAGGAGUAGACAUCUUCGCAAAUCCUUCCACAAAUCUUCGGCAGUAUCCCGCCAAACUAAGGAAACUCCGAAUUCUGUGACACUGGUCGGCCUAGGCCACUCUUUAAUCGCUUCAAUCUUCUUUGGAUCCACAGCUAUCCCAGUUUCUGAAAUUACAUGUCCCAGAAAUGCUACUUCUCGAAGCCAAAAUUCGCAUUUCUUUAACUUUGCAAACAAUUUCUUUUCUCGAAGUACGUGUAACAUCACUCUUAGAUGGUUUUCAUGCUCCUCAUCACUUCGAGAAUAGAUCAAGAUAUCGUCGAUAAACACGACCACAAAUCUGUCCAAAUAGGGCUUAAAGACACGGUUCAUUAAAUCCAUAAAGGUUGCUGGGGCAUUUGUCAGUCCAAAUGGCAUCACUGUAAAUUCAUAAUGUCCAUACCGUGUCCUAAAAGCGGUCUUCGAAACAUCUUCAGGCUUGAUCUUAAGCUGAUGAUAACCUGAUUGCAAAUAAAUCUUGGAAUACACUUUCGAUCCUUGCAAUUGAUCAAAUAAAUCGUCGAUUCGGGGUAAUGGAUACUUAUUCUUGAUUGUGACUUUGUUGAUUUCUCGAUAAUCCACACACAAUCAAAGAGAUCCAUCAUUCUUCUUAACAAAUAAUACCGGGCCUCCCCAAGGAGAUACACUCGGUCGAAUAAAACCCUUAUCUAGUAAAUCUUGCAAUUAUGCCUUCAGCUCUUUCAACUCAGCGGGUGCCAUCCUAUAGGGUGCUUUCGAGAUAGGGGUAGUCCCAGGGACCAGAUCCAUCACAAAUUCAACCUCCCUAUCAGGUGGCAUACCCAGUAACUCAGCUGGAAACACAUCCUCGAAUUCUCGCACAACUGGGAUAUCUUCAAUCUUGACGGCUUCACCAUCACUCACUGAAAUACUAGCCAAAUAGGCUACACACCCUCUCCGAAUCAACUGUCGCGCUCGCGAAGAGCUAAUAGUCAUUGCGAACAACGAACUCCGACACCUCUUGUAAACAAACUCUUGCUGCCCCGGCUCCCUAAAGGUCACCGUUCUGUUCGUGCAAUCAAUAGUGGCACAAUACUAUGUCAAUCAGUUCAUACCCAAUACUACAUCAAACUCUCAUAGUUUGUGUAAUGCUAAUAAGUCUACUGGCAUAAUCCAAUCGCCUACCCGAACUUGGCAGCGAGGGCAAAACUCACGAACAUUUAGGGUAUGGUCGGGCACGAUCACUCAUCCCGGAUGCAAAGUAGGUGCUAAAUGAAUGCUAUGCAACUCGGCAAACUGCCGAUCAAUAAAAGAAUGCGAAGCACCAGUAUCAAACAAUGCACGAACACGAAUGUCAUAAAGCAUAAUAAUACCUGCUACGACCUCCUCUGCUGCUGCGGCCUUCUCUGACUGGGCGGCAUAUAUACGUCCACUCGAACCCUGCCGAGGACUCUCAGACUACCGCUGUCCCAGUGGUCGUCUGUACUGAGAGGGUGCUGUCGGGGUCCCCUGGCUCGGAGCUGAAGAUGCAGGUGCAGAAGCUGAUGAUGGUGCAGGCAAAGAACCUCUCGGGCACUCUGAGCGAAAGUGGCCCUCCUGACCGCAGAGAAAACACCUGCCCCCACGUUGUGGACACUGUGGCGGUAUGUGAGGCCCACCACAGAUAACACAACGUGGUGGUCGACGACGCUCGGAUGCUCCACGGGGUGCUGAAGAACCUCGACCCCUCGACUGUCCUGACUGUCCCUUCGGAUACUUUGGUGGUUUCCUGAAGGAUUGCUGACUACUGCUAUCAGCUACUGGUCUCUUUCCUUUGCCUUGAUCCACAACGUCUCUUCCUUCAUGAUUUUUGCCCCUUUCUCAACAAUCAAGGCCCGGUUCACCAUAUCUCUGUAAGUCGCGAGGUUUGACGCCUGGACUAAUCUGAAAAUCGCAGACCGCAAACCCACCUCAAAGAUACGAGCCUUGUCCUCAUCAUCUCAAACCACAAAAGGAACGCAGUACAGUAAUCGGGAGAACUCUCGCUCAUACUCUGCCACUGUCCUGUCCCCCUGCCUCAGAUUUCUCAGAUCCCUUUCCAUCUGUCUCUUAACACUCUGAGGAAAGUAAGUCGUCAACAACAAUUCCUUGAACCUGUUCCACGUGAUAGCGGACAAAUCAGUACGGGGAUCCUCACGAAUGUCCACCCACCACCUGUAAGCCUCGCCGUCAAGGUGGUGCGUCGCAAACCAAACUCGAUAUCGCUCCUCGACGAAUGUAUCAUAGAAUAACUUCUCCAUAUGCAUCAGCCAUUUCUCAACCACCCAGUGAUCCGCUUUCUACCCACAAAGAUAUGAGGGUUGCAGCAACGGAAUUCAUUUAGUCGUUCCAUCAUCCGCUCUCGCUCCUCAACCCCGACCAUCUCAGGUAACACUGUCCCUAAUGCCGCUACAGGUACUGGUGGUAGUGCUACUGUCUGCUGUCGGGGCUCUACCCUCAGGGCUACUGGGGGUGUAUCAGGUACCGGUGACGGUGCUCUCGUAGUUGUGUCCCUCUCUGGUGCUGGAGGUACAGAAUCUGGAAUCUCUCUGUCGGUCGUCUGCCGCAGUAACAGAUCCUCUAACCUCUUCAUCCUAUCCUCCUGUCGACGCACAGCGUCCAUUUGCUAUUGCGCUGCCGAUGCCUGCUGUGUCACUAGUUGAGUCAACACUGCGAGCUGUUCCUGUAACUCCCUGACCUCACUGGACCCCGAAGUGACGGAAGUCUCCACUUCUUCCGCAGCGGCCGCCUCAGCCGCCCCGGCGGUUCCAGAACGAAUCGUAGGCAUCUUAAGCUGCAGCACAAAAACAAACAUAGAUUAAGAAAACCUAAGCUAUUGAACCUUUACUCCAGAUAUAAACCAGCAAAUCAAGCGAAAGUAAUGAAAUGUAACGCGUACUAACUUCCGAUGUCACGUUGUCGGCCGCUAACGUGGCCCUCUGCAAAGUUAGUAAUUGCACAUUCCGAUCAAACUCCUACCAUUCGGAGUUUAUAAUUUACCCAAUCAAAGUACUUUCGCUAACAACAACCUCACCUAGACCUCAUCUCUCACGAGCCUAUUCUUAUAGUCCAACCAGCCUAAGAUUUGCUAGGUCUACUAAGACUCAACCCUAGGCUCUGAUACCACUAUAAUCUGUCACGCCCGGGUACUAGCGGAAGCAUAUCCGGUACGUGCACAGACCCGCCAUACACCUGCAGUAUAUAAGGCAUCUACAAAGCAAAUCGACAGGAAGUAGAACAUAGAAAAUCCUAUCCUGAUAUCAGAGCAAAGUACAAGUCGAUAUACUAAAAGCAAAAGAACAACAACUAUACAAUCCAAAAUCUCGACAAAGAGAAGUAUCACAACUGUAGUUCUCGGUCCAAAUAGUACAUAUACAUCACGGGUAUACAAAAAAUAGAUACAAUGGUAGUCUCUCUAUACAUAGGGACAUCACCCUCGGCCGUAACCCGAGUAGCAAGGUGAUCGACUAGCAUGCUCCUAGCAAAGUCUAGCUAGACGCGACUCCCUUGCCACGAUCCCUAGCCUCUCCUGUAGAUGGCUCUGAAAAAAAACAACCACCAAAAGGGCGUGAGAACUAUUAACAAUAGUUCCCAAUGGGUAAGCCGCCAACCUAGACGAAUUACACCACUAGGCUCAUGAUGUACUGAAUGAAAGUAAAAGCAGUAAUUGCAUGAUAUAUCUAUAUGCUGCUAGCAAGCAAUGAGCAUGUAAUCAACAUGUAAUCAUAAUUUCUGGAGUAAUGAAUCAGUCUGAAUCACAGAAGCAUAGCUACUACUGUAAUCAUAAUUUUUUUUUUUGAGAGAUAGGUAGUAUGCUACCCGCUUCAUUUAUUUUAUUUAGAAAUAAACUUAGCUAGAAAUGUGAAUAAAUUAGGAUUCGAACUUGGGUCUCAGGUACCAACCAUCAAGCUCUUUGUCACUUGCUCUAGGGAUGGUCGGUAGGACGUUAAUAUUUUACAAUUCUUUCAUGAGAGCAGAACAAAGGAGAUAGAGCAAGAGUUACAAGUAGGUUUAAUAUGUGUACUAUAUGCCUAUUUCGGGCAAAGUGGUAAUUUGGUCAAUUCUUUAGAAUAAAAAAUACGAUCGAAUAUACAAAGUUUAAAAAAUAAAUAAAUAAAAAACGGAUCGGAUUUGUAAAAGCACGAAACCAGUGGAAUUUUUAUGUGAAAUUAUGUGUGAAAUUUUAUGACUUAGUAAAACAUGGUAAGCCAUGCAAGUCUUGAAAAUCAAGGAUAUAAAUUACUUUAUAUUUUAUGAAAACAUAAAAGUAUUUAUUCAGUGUUUAUAUAUAGGCUAGAGCUACUAUACUCUUAUAAUAUAGAGUAUUUCAUACUCAUAAGUUAUUUUCAAUGAUAAAGCUUCCGAAUUGAUGAUCUACUACGUUAAAUAUGAUCUAGAGUAUUUGAAAUUUUUAGAAAAUAAAUUUUGUAAUUUUUCGAAAUCAUAAUAAAGUUCAUCAAGCGGGUAUAAAAUGAAUGGUCAAAAUCGAAUGCGUCUUAAAAAUAGAUGUUCAGAUCAUUCAAUUUAAGAUCGGAGUUAUUGAUUGUUAUCUAUGUAGUGAAUAGAAUUUUCUAUAAAAAAUUCAACUGAUUUCGAUUUUUUUACAUCGUUAAACUAGCAAAUACUUCACACCGGCUGUUAAAAAUUGUCAAUUUUGUGAUCUUUUGAUCGUAAGGUGAAUGAUAUUGAAAAAUUAUAAAAUUUGAUUUCUAGAUGUUUUAAAUGCUCUAGAUAACAUUUAAUGGUGUGGAUCGUCGAUUCGAAAGUUCUAUCAUCGACAACAACUUAUGAGUACGAGGACGAUCGUACUCAUAAGAGUAUAGUAGCCGGACUCUUAUAUAUAUAGAAUUGAGCUAGAAUACUUCUAGAAGUAUCACUCCCUUGGUGCUUUUAGGUUUCUAGCCCUUGGAUCUACUUCUUGAUUACUAAUAGCCUUUGUAUCAAAUACUAUUCCACCUACUACCUCCUACCACCAUCAUCCCAAGCUUACAUUUCUCCAUCCAAGGGUUAAAAACUCAAAAGCACCAACCUCUUGGUGCUUUUGAGAGUAUUCUAUCUCAACUAUAUAUAUAUAUAUAGAGAGUCCGGCUAUAGUGCUUGUAAAAGUACUAAGCACUUGGUGCUUGUAAAUUUUUUACCGUUAGAUCUCUACCUUUGAUCAUUUUUACCCGUUAGAUUAUACUAUUCAACCAAUCACCUACUUAACCUUAGGGGGCCCACAUCAUCCUAACCGCACAUCCUUUAAUCCAAGGGCCGAAAACUUACAAGCACUAAUGACUUGGUACUUUUAAAAGCAUAGGAGCUCAACUAUAUAUAUAUAUAUAUAUAUAAUGUUGUAUAUAUAUAAUAUAUUAUUAUAUAUAUAUACUAUAGUAUACUAUAUAGUAGAGUUGAGCUAUGAUACUAUCGGUAGCAAACGGGCUCCGUUGCCACCCAUUUGUUUUCGAUGAUAGAGCCUCCAAAUCGAUGAUUGGCACCGUUGAAUAUGAUCUAUACCACUUGAAGUAUCUAGAAAUUAAAUUUUAUGUUUUUUCGAUAUUGUUCUCUUGUCGAUCAAAUGGGCGUAAAAAUGAACGGCUGAAAAUGAGUAUUCUUUAAAAAGUGAUGAUAGGAAUUUUGUAAUUAAGAUCGAGAGUAUAGAUCUUAUUCUAAAUAGUUUAAAGAAUUUUCUAACCAAAAUUCAAUUGAUUUGGAUAGCUUUACACCGUUAAACGAGAAAAUGCCUCGUAUCUACCUUUAAAAUUACAAACUUUGGAACCCUUUGAUCAUUAGGUCAAUGAUAUCGAAAUACCUUGAAAUUUGGUUUCUAGAUACUUCAAGUGGUAUAGAUCAUGUUCAACGGUGCCGAUCGUCAAUUUAAAGGCUCCAUCAUCGAAAACAAAUGGGUGGCAAUGGAGCCGGUUUGCUACCGAUAGCAUUCCAGCUCAAAUAUAUAUAUAUAUAUAUAUAUAUAUAGAGAGAGAGAGAGAGAGAGAGAGAGAGAGAGAGAGAGCCAAGCUUCUAUGCUUUCGAAAGUACGAGGGCCUCCGUACUUGUAAGUUGUUUUCGAUGAUGGGACAUCCGAUUCGACGAUCAGUUUCGUUAGACAUGAUCUACGCUAUUGGAACUAUCUAGAACCAAAUUUCAUAAUUUUUUGACUUCGUUUGCCUAAUGAAUGAGUAGUCUCAAAAUGAACGGUGGAAAAUAAAAAUCUCAUAAAAAAUAAUGAUAAAGGACUCAAAUUUCAAAUCGGAAGUAUUGAUCUUGCUAUUGACAUUAAGUAAAAUUUUCUAUUAAAUUUUCAUGUAAUUUGGAUACUUCUACACCNACUUUAAACCACAGGGUACUAAAAUGAAAAAGUGUGGAACCACAGAGGAGGUUUUUGAAGUUUUCCCUAUAUAAAAUUAUGCUACUAGCCAGACUCUAUGUAAAUAUCUAUAGAAUUAUGCAAGUUGGGCUGGAAUACUAUUGAUAAUAUUUGGUUCCUUUUGCUAUCAAGGUUUUAAUGCUUGGAUGAAAAAUUAUAGAGUUAGGAUCAUAUUAAUCCCUUAGGGUUGAGUAGUCCCCACUGGAUUAUAAUAUUUAAUCCAAUUAUUAGAAAUGAUCAAAGAAAUUGAUUCAAUGACUAAAAACUUAUAGCAAAAUGGGGCAAAUACUAUUAAUAGUAUUCUGGCCGAACUCGAAUUAUGCUACUAUACUAUCGAUAGUACCAAGCGAUUAGUGCUAUCGAGUUUUGGCCGUUGGAUGAAAGGAUAUGCGGUUAGGAUAUAUAUAUAUAUAUAUAUAUAUAUAUAGAGUGAGGCUACUAUGCUUCUGGAAGCACGGAGCCUGGGGCUUCCGUGCUUCCGGCUCGUUUCGAUGUUGCGACUUUCGCAAUGCGUCGAUCGCUCGUUACUUAUGCUAGAAGUAUUUGGAGUAGCCUAGAACAUAAAUUUUAUGAUUUUUCGAUAUCAUAUGCGUAGGCUCGGACAGGGGCUCUCAAUAAUUUUAAUCGCCAUGGGAGCCGUUUGCAAGUUUCAAGUGUAGAAAUAGUCCAAAUCACAGUGAAAUUUGAUAGAAAGUUCUUUAUACUAAUAUAAAAUAAGAUCAAUAUCUUUGAUCUACAAAUUUUCCAAUGUCAUGAUUUCACGUUGUAAGAUUUUUUUUUCAGCCGUUGAUUUUUGCGCAGCCUAUCGUUCACUAGGACAAAUAUAUCGCAUAAAAUUUACAAAUUUUAAAUUUCUAGUAUUGAAAUACUCUAAUCAAGUUUAGACGAGCGAUCAUACGAUUCAGGAAGUCGGCAACAUNNNNNNNNNNNNNNNNNNNNNNNNNGGGGAAGAGAUUUCUUAUACAUUUUUCGUACUUUUCCAGGAGGCAAAGUAUAUGGCGCCCGAAUGUGCUUCUUUUAAAAUCUCAUCUUAAAUAUCAUAAUCUCCAGUACAUAAAUUCUAUUACUGAAUUUUAGCAAGGUCCCUGAUCAUCUACUCGAAAGUCACCAACAUAAUCACAGUGAUGUUUACUCUAAUCUCUUUGCAUGAAGUUCAUCUUAAGCUUGCUUUUCUUUAAUUGCGAUUCGGAUUCAGGGUAGGUUUGCACCACAAAUGGACAUAAGUCUCCAGGCGUACAGAGCUACACAACUUCUAGAAUUCAAUUUGCUCCAUUUUCUUACCAACCAGGUGUGCAAGUAUUCGACAUCGCCUAAAUUUUCAGUCGAUUUUCGACUUAAAGCUAUGAUCUAUCAACAUAGCUUUCCUAGAUGAUAGGAUGUCAAAAUCAUAAGUCCUGAGCAACUCCAAACCAUUCUACGUUGUCCAAGUUUAAUUCCUUCUGAGAAACAGAUACUUGAAACUUUUAUGACUGUGUAAACUCGCAACGCUGCGGAUCGCCGUAGAGUAUGCGCCAAAGCUUUAAAGCCAAAAUAGCCUACAGCUGGCUAUACUCAGAUCAUGUGUAGGGUAGUUCUUGUUUCAUAAUCCUUAAUUGCGCAGAGGCAUAAGCAAUUACCGUUGGCGCGGCGGCAUUUGCUGCAUAGAAACACACGCCUAAUCCAUUCAGCGACGCACAUAAUGCGUAAAUCACAUAACCGCACGUCCGGUAACAGGCAGUGCUAAAUCGGGGUGGUGCGUCAAACGUUCGUUCCUUCAGCCUCUUGAAAGCUUCUUCGCAGGCCUUCAUUCCCACAGAAAUUUAGCUCCUUUAUAUGAGUCGAGUGAGAGGAGUAGACAUCUUCGCAAAUCCUUCCACAAAUCUUCGGCAGUAAUCUCCCGCCAAAGCUAAGGAACUCCGAAUUCUGUACCUGCGCCUAGGCCACUUCUAUUUCGCUUUCAAGUCUUCUUUGGAAUCCAUCAGCUAUCUCCAGUUUCUGAAAUUACAUGUCGCCAGGAAAUGCUACUUCUCGAACACAAUUCGGCAUUCUGUUAACUUGCAAAACAAUUUCUUUCUCGAAGUACGUGUACGAUCACUCUUAGAUGGUUUAACAUGCUCCUCACACUGAUCGAGAAUAGCAUCAAGAUAUCGUCGAUUAAACACGACCAACAAAUCUGUCCAAAUAGGGCUUAAAGACACGUUCAUUAAAUCCAUAAAGUUGCUGGGGCAUUUGUCAUCCAAUAUGGCUCACUGAUAAUUCAUAAUGUGCCAUACCGUUUCGCUAAAAUGCGGUCUUCGCUGAAACAUCUUCAGGCUGAUCUUAAGCUGAUAAUAACCUGAUUGGCAAAUAAAUCUUGGAAUACACUUCGAUCCUUUGCAAUUGAUCAGAUAAAUCGUCAUUCGGGGUACAUUGGAUAUUUAUUCUUAGAUUGUGAAACUUUGUUGAUUUCUCGAUAAUCCACACACAAUCAAAAGAGAUCUCAUCAUUCCUUCUUAACAUAAAUAAUACGGCCUGCCCAAAGAAGAUACACUUGCGGUCGAGAUAAAACCGCUAUCUAGUAAAUCUUGCAAUUAUGCCUUCAAGCUCUUUCAACUCGGCGGUGCCAUCCUAUAGGGUGCUUUCAGAUGACUGGGGUAAAGUCUCCAAGACCAAGAUCCAUCACUAAAUUCAACGCUCUUAUGUCCUCUAUCAAGGGUGGCAUACCCAGUAAGCGUCAAGCUGGAAACACAUCUCCAAUUCUCGCACAACGGAUAUCUUCAAUCUUGACGGCUUUUCACCAUCACUCACAGUGAAAAUACUAGCAAAAAAUAGCCUACACACCCUCAUCCGAAUCAAACAUGACGCGCUCGCGAAAGGCUAAUAUCAUGCAACAACAGAACCCGACACUCUUGUAAACAAACUCUUGCUGACACCGGUUCCCUAAAGGUCACCGUUCUGUUCGUGCGCAAUGCAUAGUGGCACAUACUUGUCAUUCAGUUCAUACGCCAAUACUACAUUCAAAACCUCAAUAGUUUUGUAAUGCUAAUAAGUCUACGCAUAAUGCCAAUCGCCUACCCGAACUUGGCCAAGCGAGGCAAAACUCACUAAACUUAGAGUAUGUCGGGCACGAUCACUCAUCCCGGGAUGCAAAGUAGUGCCUAAAUGAAUGCUAUGUCAACUCGCAAACUGCGAUCAAUAAAAGAAGGGCAGCACCAAGUAUCAAAACAAUGCACUAACACGAAUGUCAUAAGCAUAAUAAUUCACCUGCUACGACCCUCCAUCUGCUGCUGUGCGUGCCUCUCUGACUGGGCGGCCAUAUAUACUUCCAUUUCGAACCCUGCCGAGGUACUCUCAGACUACUACGCUGUCGCAGUGUUCGUCUGUACCUGAGAGGUGCUGUCGGGGUCGCCCUCUUCGGAAGCUGAAAGAUGCAGGUGCAGAAGCUGAUAUGCAGGCAAGAACCUCCUCGGGCACUCUGAGCCGAAAGUGGCCCUCCUGACCGCAGAGAAAAACCUGCCCCCGAGCUUGUGGACACUGUGGCGGAUGUGAGGCCCACCACAGAUAACACAAACGUGGUGGUCGACCGACGCUCGCUGGCUCCACCACGGGGUGCUGAAGAAGCUCCGACUCCCCGAGCUGUCCUGACGUGUCGCCUUCGGAACUUUGUGUUUCCUGAAGGAUUGCUGACUACUCUAUCCGAGCUACUGGUGCUCUUUCCUUGCUUAUCCACAACCGCUCUUUCCUUCAUGAUUUUUGCCCGCCUUCUGUUCUCAGACACUUUAUCAAAUGGCCCGGUUCACUCAUAUCUCUGUAAUUCGCGGAGUUUAUCCGCCUGGACAAUCUAAAUGCGCAGACGCAACGCCACCUCCAAAGUAUACGAGCCCUUGUCCUGCAUCAUCUCAAACCACAAAGAACGCAGUACAGUAAUCGGGAGAACCCUCGCUCAUACUCUGGCACUGUCCUGUCCCCUGGCCUGCAGAUUCUGCAGAUCCCUUUCAUUGUCUCUUAACACUCUGUAGGAAAGUAAGUCGUCAACAACAAUUCCUUGAACCUGUCCAUCUAUAGCGACAAAUUCAGUACGUGGAGUAUCGCUUCAGCGAAUUCCACCCAACCACAUCUGUAAGCCUCCUGCCGUCAGGGUGCGUCGCAAAACCAAACUCGAAUCGCUCCUCGCACGAAUGUAUCAUAGAAUAACUUCUCCAUAUCAUUCACCAUCUUCUCAACCCAGUGAUGCCGGCUUUCCUACCCACAAAGAUAGAGUUGCAGCAACGGAAUUCCAUUUAGUCGUUCACUCAUCCGCUCAUCUGCUCCUCAACAGAUAUCACCGACCAUCUCAGGUAACACUGUCCUAAUUGCCGCUAAGGUACUGGUGGUAGGCUAAAUGUCUAGCUGUCAGGGACUCUUACCAUCAGGGCUACUGGCGGGUGUAUCAGUACCGGUGACGUCUACUCGUAGUGUGUCCCUCUCUGUCUGAGGUACACGAAUUUAAUCUCUCUGUCGUCGUCUGCCGCAGAACAGAUCCUCUAACUCUUCAUAGCUAUCUCACUGUCGACGCAGUCCCAUCAGGUCCAUUUGCUAUUGCGCUGCCGAUGCUCUGCUGUGUCACUAGUUGAGUCAACAGCUGCGAGCUGUUCCUGUAAACCCCGCUGACCUCACUGGACCGCAGCCCGAAGUGAGGAAAGUCUCCACAUUCUUCGGCAGCGGCCGCGCUCAGCGCAGCCGGCGUUCCAGAAUCUGAAUCGUAGCAUCUUAAGCCUGGCAGCACCAAAAACAAACAUAAGAUUAGAGAAAACCUAAGCUAUUGAACCUUUACUUCCAGAUAUACGAACCAGCAAAUCAAGCGAGAAGUAAUAAAUGUAACGCGAACUAAACUUCCGAUUCACGCUGUCAGCCGCUAACGUGGCCCUGCUGCAAAGUUAAAUUGCACAUAUCGCGAUCAACUCCUACCAUUCGGAGUUUAUAUAUUACACCAAUCAAAGUAAUUUCGCUAACUAACAACCGUUCACCUAGACUCGAUCUCUCACGUAGCCUAUGUCUAUAUCCAACCAGUCCUAAGAUUUGCUAGGUCUACUAAGACUCAACCCUAAGCUCCUGAUACCGACUAUAAUGCCCUGUCAACAGCCGGGUACUAGGCGAAGCAAUAAUCCGUACGUGCACAGACUCCGCCAAUAAACACCUGCAGUAAUAUAAAGGCAAUCUAAAAGCACAUCGCAGGAAAUUAGAAACAUAGAAAAUCCUAUCCUGAUAUCAGAGCAAGAGUACAAUCGAUAUACUAAAAAGCAAAAACAUCACAACUAUAACAAUCCAAAAUCUCGACAAAAGAAGUAUCAACAAGCUGUAGUUCUCGUCCAAAUAGUACAUAUACAUCAGCGGUUAUAAAAAAAAUAGAUUACAAUGGUAGUCUCUCUAACAUAGGGACACACCUCGGCCCGUAACCCGAGUUUAGUCAAGGUGAUCGAGCUAGCAUGCUCCUAGCAAAGUCUAAACCUAGACGCACUCGCCUUGCCCACGAUCCCUAGCCUCAUCCUGUAGAUGCUCUCGAAAAAACACGCACCAUCAUGUUUCAAAAGGCGUGAACUAUAACAAAUAGUUCCCAUGGUAAGCCGCCAACUCCCUAGACUAAUUAACACACUAGGCUCAUAUGUACUGAAUUGAAAGUAAAAGCAGUAUUGCAUGAUAUAUCUAUAUGCUGCUUAGCAAGCAAUGAGCAUGUAAUCAACAUGUAAGCAUAAUCUGGAGUAAUGAAUCAGUCGAAUCACAGAACAUAGCUACUAUGUAAUCCAAUAAAAUUUUUUUUUGAGAUAUAGUAGUAUCUAGCACCGCUUGCAUUUAUUUUAUAUUAGAAUAAACUUAGCUAGAAAAGUGAAUAAAUUAGGAUUCGAACGUUGGUCUACAGGUACCUUAACCUCAAGCUCUUUGUCACUUGCUCUAGCGGCAUGGUCCGUAGACGUUUAAUAUUUUACAAAUUCCUUUCAUGAGAGCAAACAAAAGGAGAUAGAGCAAGAGUUAGCAAGUAAGGUUUAAUAUGUGUACUAUAUUGCCAGUAUUUCGGGCAAAGUGUAAUUGUCAAUUCUGUAAAUAAAAAAUAACGAUCGAAUAUACAAAGUUUAAAAAAUAUAAUAAAUUAAAAAAACGGAAUCGGAUUUGUAAACACGAAUUAACCAAGUGAAUUUUUUAAUGUGAAAUUUAUGUGUGAAUUAGACUUUAGUAAAACAUGUAAGUGCCAUGCAAGUCUUGAAAUCAAGAUCAUAAAUUCUUUAUAAUUUAUGAAAACAUAAAGUAUUUAUUCAGUGUUUAUAUAUAGGCAACUACUAUACUCUUAUAAAUAGAGUAUCUUCAUACUCAUAAGUAUUUCAAUGAUAAAGAAAGCUGUUCCAAUUGAAAUGAUCUAUCUAGCGUUAAAUAUGAUCUAGAGUAUUUGAAAUUUUUAAGAAAUAAAUUUUGUAAAUUUUUUCGAAAUCAUAAUAAAUGUUCAUCAACGGUAAUAAAAAUGAAUGGUCAAAAAUCGAAUGCGUCUAAAAAUAGUAUUGUUCAGAUCAUUCAAUUUAAGAUCGCGAGUUAUUGAUUGUUAUCUAAUGUAGUGAAUCGAAUUUCUAUAAAAAAUUCAACGAUUCGAUUUUUUUUUACAUCGUAAACUAGUCAAAGUACUUCACAGACCCCGGCUGGUUAAAAAUUUGUCAAGUUGUGAUCUUUUGAUCGUAAGGUGAAUGAUAUUGAAAAAAUUAUAAAAUUGAUUUUCUAGAUGUUUUAAUCUGCUUAGAUAACAUUUAAAUGUUGGAUUCGUCGAUUUCGAAAAAAGUUCCUAUCAUAGACCAAACAACUAAUGAAUAACGAGGAACCGACGUACUCAUAAAGAGUAUAGUAGCCGGACUCUUAUAUAUAUAGCAAUUGAGCUAAGAAUACUAUCUGAAGUAUCUACUCGCUCUUGGUGCUUUGUUAAGGUUUCUAGCCCAUGGAUCUACUUCUUGAUUAACAAUAGCCUUGUAUCAAAAUACUAUUCGCCUACUACCUCCUACCAUCCCAUGCAUUCCAACUUACAUUCUUUCUCCAUCCAACGGUUAAAAACUCAAAAGCACCAACCUCUUGGUGCUUUUCGAGUAUAAUUCUAUCUCACUAUAUAUAUAUAUAUAAGAAGUCCGCUAUAGUGCUUGUAAUAAGUACUAAGCACUUUGUGCUUGUAAAUUUUUUUACCGUUAGAUCUCUAGUAUCUUUAUCAUUUUUACCACCGUUAGAUUAUACUAUUCAACCAAUCACCUACUUAACCUUAGGGGGCCCCACAUCACCCUAACCGCACAUCCUUUAAUCCAAGGCCUGAAAACUUACAAGCAUAAAUGACUUGGUAACUGUUUAAAAGCAUAGGAGCUCAACUAUAAUUAUAUAUAGUAUAUAAUAUAUAUAGUAAGAAUAUAUUAUAUAUUAUAUAUAUUAUAUAAGUAAUUAUAUAUAUUAUAUAUAUUAUAUAUAUAUUAAUAUAUUAUAUAGAGUUGAGCUAGAAUACUAUCGACAAACUGCUCCGUUGUGCCACCCAAUUUGUUUUCGAUAAUGAGAGCCUCCAAAUCGAGAUUGCACCGUUGAAUAUGAUCUAUACCAACUUGAAGUCAUCUAGAAAUUAAUUUUAUGUUUUUUCGAUAUGUUCCUGUCGAUCAAAUUUGGCGUAAAAAUGAACGCUGAAUAAUUGGAGUAUUCUUUAAAAAUGAUGAUAGGAAUUUUUGUAAUUAAGAUCGAGUAGUAAGAUCUAAUUCUAAAAUAUUAAAGAAUUUUUCUAACCAAAAUUGCAAUUGAUUUGAUAAGAAUUUACACCCCACCGUAAACGAAAAAGCCUCGUAUUGCUACCUUUAAAAAUUACAAACUUUGGAUACCGACUUGAUGCAUUUAGGUCAAUGAAUCGAAAUACGAUGUGAAAUUUGGUUUCUAAUAUCUUCAAGUGGUAAUAUAUCUGUUCAAGCGUGCCGAUCGUGCAAAUUUAAAGGCCCAUCAUCGAAAACAACAUGGUGGCAAUGAGCCGGUUUGCUACCGUAGCAUUCCAGCUCAAACAUUCUUAUAAUAUAUAUUAUAUAGAUAUAUAGAGAGAGAAAGAGAGAGAAGAGAGGAGAAGAGAGAGCCAAGCUUCUAAUCUUUUCGAAAGUACGAGGCCUCCGUACUUGUAAAGUUGUGUUCGAUUGAUGGUACAUCCGAUUCGACGAUAGUUUCGUAACAUGAUCUACGCUAUUGACAAUAUAGAACCAAAUUUCAUAUUUUGACUGUCGUUUGGCCUAAUGAAUGAGUAGUCUCAAAAAUCGAACGGUGGAAAUAAAGAAAUCUCAUAAAAAAUAUAUAAAGGACUCAAAAUUUCAAAAUCGGAAGUAUGAUUUCUAUUUGACAUUAAGUAAAUUUCUAUUAAAUUUUUCAUUUAAUUUGGAUACUUCUACACCCGUUGAACUUUAAAAACGCGCCACUCGGCCGUUUAAAAUAGUCAUUUUUGGUCCUUUUGAUCACUAGUAAAUGAUGUCAAAAAAAUUUAUAAAAAUUGAUUCCUAGAUAGUUCCAAUAUUGGUAGAUUAUACUAACGGAGCCGAUGAGUCGAAUCGGAUUUCCUAUCAUCGAAACAAUCUUACAAAGCAUGGAUGUUUCGAUACUUUCGAAAGUAAUAGUAAACGACUCUAUAUAUAUAUACUAUAUAUAUAUAUAUAUAUAUAAUGAUAAUAUAUAUAUAUAUUAUAAGAGUAAAUACUUCAAAAACCCCGCCUUGUGUUCAAAAUUUUUUCACUUAGUACCGCUGUGUUUAAAAAUGUAUCAAUUUUAGUUACAUGUGGCAUUCUCACAUUUAUCACUUUAGUACCGCGUGGUUUAAAGUGAGUAUCAAGUAGUAACCUCUGUGGUUUGCAUUUUAUCAGCUUUAGUACCCUGUGGUUUUUGAUUUGUAAAUCAAAUAGUACCUGUGUUUUUUAAACUAUAGGGUACUAAAGUGAUAAAUUAGGAAAACCAGCAGGGUACUAAAAGUGAUAAAUGCAAAACGCACAGGGUACUACACUGAUACACUUAAACCACAGGGUACUAAGUGAUAAAGUGAGAAACCACAGGUCUAACUUGAUUACACUUUACCACAGGUACUCAAAGAUGAAAAGUGUGGAACCACAGAGGCGUUUUUGAAGUUUUCCACUAUAUAAGAAUUAUGCUACUAGCACAGACUCAUUAAAUAUCUAAUAGAAUUAUGCCAAGUUGGGCUGGAAUACUAUUGAUAAAUUUGGUUCCUUUUGCUAUCAAGGUUUUAAUGCUUGGAAUGAAAAUUAUAGAUUAAGGAUCAUAUUAACGCCUAGGUGAGUAGUCCGCCCACUGGAUUAUAAUAUUUAAUCCAAUUAUUAGAAAUGAUCAAGAAGAAAUUGUAUUCAAAUGACAAAAAACUAAAGCAAAAUGGGGCAAAUAAUAUUAAUAGUAUUACUGGCCCGCAACUUCGAAAUUAUGCUACUUAAUACUAUCGAUAGUACCAGCAUUAGUGCUAUCGAGUUUGCCGUUGGAUGAAAGGAUAUGCGGGAUUUUUUUAGGAUAUAAUAUAUAUUAUAUAUAUAUAUAUAGAGUGAGGGCUACUAUGCUUCAUGGAAGCACGAGACCUGACGGCCUUCCAGGUCCGUUUUGAUGGUGCGACUUUCCGCAAUGCGUCGAUCGCUCCCGUUCUAUCUAGAAGUAUUUGGAUACCUAGAACAUAAAUUUUAUGAUUUUUCGAUUAUCAUUUGGCUCGUCAGGGGCUCCUAAUUUUAAUGGCCAUGGUGAGCCGUUUCCAAGAUUUCAAGAUUAGAAAUAUCCAUAAUCACGUGAAAUUUGAUAGAAAAGUUCUUUAUACUAUAUAAAAUAAAGAUCAAUAUCUUUGAUCUACAAAUUUUAAUGUCAUGAUUUCACGUUGAUAAGUUUUUAUUUUCAGCCGUGAUUUUAUGCGCAGCCUUCGUUCACUAGGACAAAUAUAUCGCAUAAAAUUAACAAAAUUAUUUUUUAGUACUUCAAAUACUCUAGAUCAAGUUAACAGAGCCGUACGGCGUUGUCAAUCGAAAACCAUCUGGAAGCACGCCUGUCUCCCUAUAUAUAUAAUAUAAAUAUAUAUACUAUAUAUAGUAUCUGUACCUCUAUUAUAUAUAGAAUAUAUAUAUAGAAACGAGAGAGAGAGGAGAGAGAGGAGAGAGAGAGAGAAAGAAGAGAGAAGAGAGUAAAGCUAUAUGCUAUCGAAGCAUAGAGAAUCUGGUGCGGGUCUAUCCGAUUUUUUCGUCUUGAGAUCAACCUACUUUGACAAUUUCUACCUUUAAAUAAUAUUAUUUCCUAUGUGGGACUACUCAACCUAGGGAUACUACUCAAAACCAAGGAGGAGAUCCCCGCGCUCCGAGGCACCCGCUAAUCAGUCACAACCGUAUAAUUUUAUCCAAUGUCAAUAAAGCGAAGUAUCAAAUCCUCUAUACUUCGAUAGCAUUAAUAAGUUGUAACACUAUAUAUAUAUGUCUAUUAAUGCUAUUAGGUUUCGCCCUUGGAAAAAGAAAAAAUGGCAAUAAAAAAAAUAAUUAUUUUUAAGGACUGAGAUUUUUGUACAUGGUGCCAACAAAGCUUCUGUUAUAGAUGUAGUGUGUGUAAUUUAAUUACCAGAUAAGCCCCGUAACAGUUUGCGGGCAGAAAAAAUGAAGCUAGAAAUUGAGAAAUACGCAUUUUAGUUUUCACUUAAAAGUGAAUAGAAACGUCUGGGUUUUCGCGGAAAAGCCGCGAGUAAGUGAGUUUGGCGCGUAUCGGACUCCGUUUCAAUAUGAUCGUCCAAUAGCACGUUUCGGAACCGGUUUCAGUCUGUUUUGGAACCAAAUGCACUGACGGAUUUUCCAGAUCUGAUGCACGUUUUCGAGAAAGAAGAGUUUAUCAAAAGAUGAUUUUCUUCCUUGCUUUUCGUGCAUCUGUCGAAACUCUUGUUCGUGCUAACGACCUGGAGUAGGUGAAGGUGUUUUUGGUCGCCUAACUUUAGUACGGAAUUCCAUUUCUGAUGCGAAAUGGUUUUGUUUGUUAGACAUUGGUAUAUGUGUAAUUUAUGUGUUAAUUGAAGAGCGUGGUUUGUCCCGCGAAUCUGCAACAAAAUUGAUCAAACAAAAUCUAGUUUCAUUCUCGUCGUGCUGAACGCCGAUGGUGCAAUCCUGUCGCAAAUCGCGAUGAACGGAUUUGCCGCGAUUUUGCAUUGAUGUUUCGGAGAGCGGGGUUUGAUUGGCAAAUCGAACUUCGCAAAAGUCCCCAAUAUUUAUGUACUCGAUAUCGCACGAGUCGAACAGUGGAGUGCGUACACCGAUUUACUCAGCGCUUGAAGGUCUUGCUGUUGCCAAGUUUCUGUUCGGGAGCGACUUUGGUGGCAAAGUGCGCUUUUUUAUAUUGUAUCUCCUAUGUUUCAUCCAUGAGAACCCUAGCACUACUCAGACCGUGCUCCUACCUAGCCCUAAGCCGACCUUCAGCUUGGUCCCCGCGCCAACUUGUGCGCGCGUCCCGGCCGCCGCGAGCUGUCGUCCGCCGCCGGAAAGAGCCACCCCGGCCAUCCUUCGAUUUUCCUCCGGCCCCGACUUCACCUUGUUGGCUGCUAGUGCUCGGGAAGCUAUGAGCCCGAGCACCACCAUCCUCUGGCAUAAUCUCCCCCCCCGGCGCGCGUCCUGUCGUCUCCGAGCGCUCGCCGCCAGCGCCAUGGCAAGUUGCGGUCAAUCAGAUCUGAGCAGAUCUGGCGCGACGGCGUGGAACCUCGCCUGCGCCUUCGGAUGCGCCUUUGCUCGUCUGUCGUGUCCGCCCUCAUCCUGGCACUCCGGGGACCUCCCGCUCGCGAUCCUCGCCGUCGAGCCGCCGGCCGUCGCUACGCGGCUGCCAUCUGGCCGGCCCCGACCUGGUGCGGGCCGAGAGCGAGCCCUUGUGGCCUCCGCGCGUCGCCGCCGGCCCACAGUGGGCUGCACUACCGUCCCUCUCGACCUCCCGCCGAACGUACCGUCGCCGCCACGACUCCUCCGACGCUGGCCGGCCACGCGCCGGGGAAACUUUUUAACUCCGAGAGCUAGAGAUCGAGUUGAUCUCUCUCGCCGCGCAACUGCCGCUCCCGCGGCCGGCCAAGCAGGUGCCGCCGGACUCCACAGACCAGACGCGCACCCUCCCCUGGCCGGCCGCCCAGCACGUCCAGCCACGCCGGCGCCCAACCCUAGCUCUCACGCGCUCGGCUGUAAGCUUGUUUUUUCAGCCAUUUCUGCGCGUUUUUCCUGUUCUACCCACUGUCGUGCGACCUGAGGUGUUCCGAUGCCUCCGGAGGUGAGCACGUGAUCGUCACAUGUCAUCUGAAUCACAGUGCUCACACUCACUUAGGGUCAAACGAGCCCUGGUUAGCGAGAAUAAGCAUGCUUUUCCUUACUGUGCGCGCUGUUUCACUAAUUUGCGUCGCCCAUGAGCGCCGUCCAGCAUGUGGCGGUCAGUGCUCCGAAAGGUGACACGGCCUCCGGCUUCUGAACCGCCGAGACCAGUCAGCGGAGUCUCGUCUUGGCCUGUUUGACCUCGUGUGUUUGCAUUGUCGACCAAUAAAAGCGCUGAAUCGCAUGAAAUAUCGCGAUUUCAGGUAUUCAGAGAGGGGCUUUUAUGCCAUUUUGGUUCGUCGUACUGAUUGUUGGCAGCAAAGUGUUUGGUUGAGGAUAUACCUCUGGACUCGAUGUCCAGGCCCCAUGACGCCUUUGGCGAAGAUGCGGAAAUCGGCAAUUUCCGGUCGCGUUUUCGGAAAAUCCGGCCGACACAUGGAACGCGGUUCUUCGAAUUAGUUGCGACGUGCUUCGUGAAGCUUUGGUAAGUCGCUGAGCCAUUGUUGGCUGGUCAAUUGCGUAUUUCGAGAGUUGGGAAAUGACGGGUGAGCGACGCGGUCCGGUGUCGAAUUAGACACUCGGAAGACGCGAAUCCGAAACGCAUUAUGCCGACGAUAAUUGUUUCGACACGAGAGUUGUGUUCCGGCUGCGAUGAUGCAUAUUUUAGGUUAGUGGCACAGUGACUCGAUAUGCUCGAAAGUCGGUAUGGUAUUCCGGACAGUUCGUGGUCCCCGGCGGAGUCUCUCGUGCGAUACGGGUGUCCGGCGUAUUACGGAAUCGUUUGGGAACUUGGUCACCAUGGUUUUGCUUUAGUUGUGGAUUAGUGUUUAUUAGCUUGUGGGUUAACACUAACCAACGGUGGACCUUCCUUAGCUCCGGUUGACGUUCUUUGCAUCAGGAGACAGGGCGAGCAUUUGUGACAGGUGGGUACUAUCGAUUCGCGAAGUCGUACAGUGUGCACGCUCGUGAUCAUUUCUUCUAUCCCUGUUCUCUGGUUGCUACUAUCUACGAUUGUCAAUUGAGCUGCAUCCCAGUUGAUUUUAUAUACUCUAACUUGAAUUUUCCGAUCGCUAGUACCUAUGUGUAGAGUAGAGUCAGUUUUAUCGCAUAUGUGAUUUCCAGUGACGCUGAGUGUCGGUUCUCGUACUUCGUUUCGGUGACUGAUUGGUCAGUUUCUCGCUUUCGCGUUCGAUACCCUUGAGGUCGAUAUACCCUACAAGGUGGGAUUUCGCUCUAACGCGGACGUGAUGAUAUAUGGUCUAUCUUUUCAGUUUCCGACUGUUUGGUAUGGUUUGUGAACCUAGUCGCGUCAGCUUCGUGAGUUCCGUCGUUGAUGACCUUGAGGCUCGUGUACCCCUGAGGGGUAGGGGAAGGGUUGUCGCUGUGCUGGACGUAGUUCUGGACUAUAUCGAUACGCUCUUUGACCUAUCCGGUCGGUUCUUGCGUUCGUACAUUACUUUGACAUCGAGCAGUAUUUAUCGAUACAUAUCUUAUUUACUCGCUGGUUGUUCCAUGUGUAGUAUCUCUGUGUAGCGGGUAGAUAAGGUGACCAUUCUUGAUAUGACUAUACAGUGACCUGGUUUGGUCGGUCUCCUGUUUGCAUUCUGUGACAAUCUGUUGGUUGUUCGUUACUCGCCCCGUACUUUGACCUAGUCUCGUCGUAGUUCAACGUUGUUACUUGAUGACCUAUCGUUGCUAUGCCCAUAGAGGGCAGUGAUUGUUCGCGUGUCGCCGAAAACGUUGCUAUACAUAUCGAGGCAUCGAUCGUCCACCACUCGUUGAGCAUAUUCACGAACACUGGCCGUCUGAUCCACUCCGAGGGAGUGUUCUUUUCCGGAAAAGCGUCGUAACGUCCCGACAUCCGUGAGCCCAAAGGCUAGACUUGGGUUAAUGCAGUUGAGUGGAUAUGGCAGCGAGCCUGAGGCUCCGGAACCAACAUGGAGGUUUAGAAUUGGGUAUUUUGAUAUAUGCGACCGGUUGAUCAUACUUACAGUCUGCUUUACGUUGUCUUGCUACUAAAGUUUCGCAUAUUGUUACGUUUUCGGUUCUUCGUUAUAGUAGCAGUUGUUUACAGGUAUACCUAUAGUUCUUUCUUACACUUGUCUUGCUACUAUAGUCUGAUAUCUCUGUAUGUACGCUUGUCGUUCUGUUUACAGUAGCGGUAGUUGUUCUUUCAUCUAUAUCUCUUUCGUUAUGAUCGUUGCUACUGUAUUUCACUUACCCUUAUACUAUCGUUUAUCUUCCCGAUCCGGUGAGUACUCCUCGCCUUCUUCGGCUUGCGGUACCCACUGGGAGGGGAGACAUGUUUACAUGUUCUCACCUCCCCCACUAUUUUUCAGGUAUCGCGGGCGGUGAGGGUUGAGACGUGACGUGAGACACGUACGUAGCAGUCGAUAGAUCUUCCGACUCAGGUUAUUCGGUGUAGUUCCUACCUUUACUAUUCUGUCGAUAUAGCUCAGAUAGUCUAUAUGGUUCAGUAUUGUCAUUACUUUUGAAUAUGUGGAUUUUCAUGAAUGUAAUAAAAGGAUUUCUGGAUUUGGUAAAAUAAAAGGUUUUCUACCCCUCGUGGUAGCUUUUAUAAAAGAUAAAAGUUUUCGCGUAUGGAACAGUUUUCAAAAGAUUUUUCGUGGACUUCUGUUUAAACAUCGAAUGUAAAACUACGGUGUGAAUGGUGAAUGUAUGAAUGUAUAGCUAUCUGUAUAUUCAUUUAGUUGUGGUUGUAUACUGUUUGUACUUUUGUACUUGUGUGACGCCGUGCAAAUAUAGGGGAGACUCUGUCCGUGUGAACAGUGGAUUCCCUGUAUUUGUGGCGGAUCUGGCAUACUCUGGGGUCAGGUUUUCAAAAAAAAAAAAAAUUUUAAACGUUUUUCCGCUGUGUUUCAAACAAAAAGGGGACCCCGGGGCAUGACAUUAUUGGAGAAGAAUGCAAGAAAAAAAAUGAUUACCGGAAGAUGAUGAUGAAUGUGUGGCCAAUCUUACCAUUCAUGCGGCAAUAAGAACACCUAUUCACGCCUCAAAUCAAAUAGAAGCACGUUAUAUCAAGUAAGUUCUCCAAGAACAUGAACUUAAAUGCAAGAGUAAGUUUCUGUAAUACACUGAACUUUUGCAAUUUGCGGAGUUCGAGUUUUUAUAUUUCUUCAUGAUGGGAAAUUUUUGGAUUAGUUACUUUUUGUUCCUCUGUUGUUAGUAUUUGGAUUUAUACUUUGCUCUGAUAUCAGGAUAGGAUUUUUCUAUAUUUUUUUUCUCCUAUCGACUUGCUUUCUUGUAGACGCCUUAUAUACUGCAGGUGUAUGGCGGGUCUGUGCACGUACCGGAUAUGCUUCCGCUGGUACCCGGGCGUGACAGUUUCCAAUAAAAACUCACGCUUUUUAUGCGUUCAUGAAAUGUUUGAAAGACAUCAAUGAAUCAAGCUCAUGUGGUAGUGAUGCCCUUUCAAAAUUUACUCCUCUAUAAUUACCAACUUUUCUUAUUUGUCCUUAAAUUAUGGGCAAAAUAGGUAUUUUGAUUUCUUUUUAACUCUAGUACAAAUUUAAUUUGGAUUUAAUUCGAGAUGACGGACUUAAUUCGAGAUGACUAAUAAGGACUAACUGUAGAAUUAUUUUUGAAUAAUGGAGAAAUACACUAGAGGUAUAUUCGCAACAAAAAAAAAGGGGUAUAUAAGAUAUUUCACAAGUUUUGAGAGGUAUAUAAGUAAUUAUCCCUUUUUAAAAAAAUUACACUUUACAAAUUUUAUAUUUAUCCUAAAAUUUAAACAGAGUAAUUGCAAAAGAAAAAUAAAAUUAUAAAUUCUACAUAUAUACAUACAUUUAGGGGUAAACUUCAAAUACCGCCCACAUGGUUUCGCAUUUUCUCACUUUAGUAUCUAUGGUUUAAAGCGUAUCAAUUUAGUACUGAGUGGCUUCAUUUUUUUUCCUUUUCUGCAACUCCUCCAUUAACAUUUUAUUAAAUUAUAUACAAAAAAAUUUCAGAUAUGCUAUCUAAAUUUAUCGAAUAUUUAUUUUAGAAUAUUUUAGUUCUAACUUUGUUACUAAUUUAACAAAAAAAAAUUAGCGAAAGUAAUAAUAAAAAGAAAAAAAAUAAAAUUACGAAGUACUAAAUUGACACACUUUAAAGCAUAUAUAGGAUAAUAAAGUAAAAAAUGUACGAAACUAUCGGAGGGAUAUUUGAAAUUUUUUUCGUAUUUAAAUACAUAGAUUUAUAUAUUAAAAUAUUAUGUACAGAUCGUAUAAUUGUCGCAUAACCGGGCGAGCUCCCCCUCCAUGUUGUAUUAUAUAUAUAUAUAGGGUCCGGCUACUAUACUAUUAUGAGUACGAUCGUUCCCGUACUCAUAAGUUGUUUUCGAUGGUAGAGUUUCCGAAUCGACGAUCCAAACCGUUAAAGGUUAUUUACAGCAUUUAAAAUUUCUAGAAAUUAAAUUUUAUAAUUUUUUGACAUCAUUUACCUUACAAUCAAGAGGUCACAAAUUUGACAAUUUUUAACGGCCGGUAUGGGAUACUUCUGCUAGUUUAACGGUGUAAAAGAUCGAAUUUGUUGAAUUUUUGAUAGAAAAUUUUAUUCACUACAUAGAAAGAUCAAUAACUCCUAAUCUUGAAAUUGAAGGAUUCGAUCAUCUUUUUUUAGAACGUCGUUCGAUUUGACGUACAUUUUAUGCCGCUUGAUUGACUUUAUUAUGAUUUCAAAAAUUUACAAAAUUUAUUUAUUCAGAAGUUUCAAUAACUCUAGAUCAUAUCUAACGAGUGAUCGUCGAAUUCGGAAGCUCCAUCAUUGAAUAACAACUUAUGAGUACGAGAGCUCAAUUAACUCAUAAUAGUAUAGGUACUAUGGCCUAUAUAUAUAUAUAUAUAUAUAUAUAUAUAUAUAUAUAUAUAUAUAUAUACCUCUUUCUUUCAACCCCACUCUAGUACAUUUCUCAUCUCUCUAGUUUCUCUCUCUCUCUAAUCCAAUUACGAACAAAGAAAUAGCCAACUCCACGACCUUCCACUAUCUCCUCCUUUACAUCGUCCUCUUCUGUAAGGUACCGGACUUCUAAAAUCAUGAAGUUACGGUGUAUAUUUGGUUGGAGAGCCAUUUGAAUGGUUCCGGUGAAGUUCGGUGAAGUUCGGGAGCAAUCGGGCGUUUUGGUGCGCGUAGUCACCAAACAGAACCCGAAAGGCUAUGUUGGACCAUGAGCUAAAUCCAGCAUUAACGUGGAUGAAAAGAUGAUGAAAACAUGUUCGAAAACAUGUUUGAAGAGUCUCGGUUCGAUUUGAAAUGAAUCAGAGGUCAAACGAGCGAAAACGAGUGAAAACGAGCGAAAACGGAGUGAGAAAGGAUAAAGGCUGAAAAUGCUGAAAAAUUGGCUAAGUAUAGAACUUUGGUCCUUCGGGGACCGGUCUCUCACUGCCUGGGACCGGUCCCAGAGACCCGAAAAUGCCCAGUUCGGGCUGUUGCAAGAAGAGACUUGUUGGGAGGUUUUUAUGUAAUUGUUGCACGGGUUAAGUGUAUAGAGAGGGUUGGAGCCUCUCUCUCUCUCUCUCUCUUUCCCUCACCGUUUCAACCCCAACACCAUCCCUCUCUUUCUCUAAACGAAAAAAGAAGAAGAGAAGAAGAAGAGGAAGGAGAAGGAGAGAAAGAAGAAGAAGAAGGAGAGGAAGAUCAAGAAGGAGAUCUUCAUCCUCUCCUUCGUCUUCCUCGUGCUUAGAGCAAACCUAGAGAGGUAAGCUUCUUAGCCUAUCAUGGUAGAUCCCUAGAUAUGUGGUUGUGAUCUCUAGAAGUGGUUUAAUUGGAUUCCUAGCAUGCUAAAUAGGUGAUAAAUGCUAAAAUCUAGAGAUUUAAAGAUAGGUUUUUGCCUAGUUGGAAUCUAGGGCUCCGAAAUGGGGUUUUUAUAAAUAGAUGGGUUUGAUCUCAUUUAGACCUCUAUAAACCUAAUUGCUAGGUAAACGAACGCGUUGGCGAAGUCGGUUCGGCGAUCCGUCGAGCCAUUAUAAAGAUAUUGAAGAAACAAGCGAUUUAGAUUCGUUUUCGCCUGAAGGGCCGAGGCGACGUCGUAAAAUCGUGGAAAUAGAUUUGGAGCACCGUGGCACAUAACCGAAGUCCUAUAAUUUUUGGGGCUACGAAGUGGAGCAAGGUUGAGGCGCAGUUGCAAUAUCGGGCCGUGACGGAUACGGGUGCCGCGGGAGGCCGAUUGCAAGUGUCGACAAGCAAUCGGAACGCGAGUUAAGGUGGGUUGUGCUUACCGAAGUGACUAGGUCGCCUUUAUGUCUAAGAAAGUUAAGAAUCCAUGUUGAUACAUAUAAAUGUAAAUGGAUGCAUGUAAUUAACACUAAAAGAAUGCAUGUGAGUAUAGUGCAUAGAAUGAAGUGCAUGUUGAUGACAUAAGUUAAAAUGCUAAGUUGAUGCAUGUAGCUAAUGCUAGAUAAUGCAUGUGGAUAAUAUAAUGCAAAUGCUAAGUAGAUGCAUAUAAAAUGAUAUGUGAGAUUAUACAUGCAUGAUUAGCAUUGUGAGAUUAUAAAGGGCAUGAUUAGCAUUGUGAGAUUAUAAAGGGCCUGAUUACAAUUGUGAAAUUAUAUAUGCAUGUGAACUUGGUUGAUAACUCUAGAUUGAGUAGAGAACAUGACAUUGGUAAUAGGAACGUGAAAACUAUAACCGUAAUACUCGAUUGGACAACUAGGAUGUCGACUAGAUCGAGUGGCAUCUAACCUAGUGUUAAAGAACAUAGGUGGUGAAUGAAUCUAGAGUCAUAUGAACUAGAUCGAGUGGCAUCUAACCUAGUGUUAGUAAACAUAGGUUGAACAAGAAUGAUAUCGAACCUAGUGUUAACAAACAUAGGUCGGACCUAGUGAUAUUGAACCUAGUGUCAGUGAACAUAGGUUGAACUAGUAAACCUAGAGCUUUGUAACCUAGGUUGUGAUAUAGAAAACCUAGAGUGGCUUUGAACCUAGGUUGUUGAGUAUAGUGGUAGUAGCCACUAGGAUGUUCUAGGUUGACAGCAUAGGGUUGGUUAUGGACCCUCGACCUGUGGAAGUGGAUUCCGGAAUCCCAGGAUCUGUGAUGACCUUGGUAUCAAGGUUAGGGCGUGUGCGACAACUUCGCCGCCGAGAUUGAUACUAAGGAUAGAUUAGGGGUGAAUGUGCAGAGAUCACCGCCCGGGGCUUGAACUAUUGUCGUGGCGUGUGUGACGACUUCGCCGCCGGAUGGUUAAGCCAGUUUAUGGAUUAUACCGCUGAAUUGGCUUAAGCCAUUGUUGGGUGAGGUGCGAUUCGUUCGCUGCCAGAUGGCUAAGUCAAGGGACUUGAACUAGUGUUUGGCGCGUGCGACGACUUCGCUGCCAGCUGGUUAAGUCAUAGAGGGCGGCCAGUGCGCGGACUAUCCGCGGAUGAUUGACUCGAGGCCGAGUCGGGUGGUUAGCUUGAUUAGGUUAAUGGAAACCUUAUAAGCUACUGAUAAAGGUAAGAGCUAAGGUAAUAGAGAUCUUAGAAGCAAGUUGAACUUGAGUUGUGGUGAACUAAGGUAGUAGAAACCUUAGAGUCAAAUAACAUGAGCUAAGACUAGCUGAGUUGAAUGUAGAAUCAAUAGAUAUGCUGAAUGGUUGCAUAAUUGCAUAGAACUGCAUAAUAUUCAUAUUGCAUGUUGUGAGGCAUAUUUUCUGUUAGUUGCAUCGUAACAUUAUGAUAUAUAUCUCUAGAUAUUUUUGGACUAACAUGAUUGCAGUGCCUCUUCGGACCUAAUGGUCGAGCUUUUCCUUUGGGUGGCCGUACCCACUAGGAACCAUGGAGUUCUCACCCCACGUUGUUUUGGGGUGUUACAGGUUCGCACGUGAGCGGCGCGGCGGCGCGAGGAAAGGGCGUAGCUCCAUAAAUAGCGCCCUACCCAGAGACCAGAGAUAGCAGUACCCCGUCGACAUAGCUUAGGGGUAUGGGAAAUGAAAAGAACACAAUAUAUCAACUUGUAAAUAAAUUUGUAAUAACUAGAUUGUAUUUGGAAGAAAUCAAAUGAGAAUUGUGAUGUAGAACCAAUGAAUGUGAAUGUAUGUAAUAACAUAGGAUGUGUUAUGUUAUUGAUACUUUCCUUAUGCAAGCUGUUUGUUGAGUACUGUUCCUGGUUGGAACCUUUGUAUUGUAUUGAUUGCGAUGCCUUGAAUGUACAGGGGAGAUUCUGUUCGCAGUACAGGGGAAACCCUGUCCGUUUGGCGCUGUCGGCGCGGCGACCUGGGCCAAAUAGGCGGGUGGUCGCGGGUCGUGACAUCCUCCUCCUCCUCCACCCCGCCACCCGCCACCGCCCACGUCCAAGUCCACGUCGGGCACCUCCUACAUCUUCCGCGUCGUCGCCUGCUCCGCCGACGACCGCCACCGCCGCUUCUUCGUCCGCCCCGCCCUCCGGCUGCUGCGAUGCCGCCGCCGCUGACGGCGACUACAACUGCGACUGCGACUGCCGGACCGACGCCAUCACCUGCUGCUCCGACGCCCCCCGCGGCUGUCGGCCCUGCUGCCCCGGCUAUCGGCCCCUGCUGGUCGGGCCCGACGCCGGCCGCGAUCUUGCCNUUAGACCUAGUGGGAUAGUCGGCGUGGUUGGUUGCCGAACCCACUGGGAACUUUGUUGUAGUUCUCACACCCCUAUUUCCAUAGAGCCGGGGCCCAGCGAGCCGGCGGACGAUCGCGGUAAGGGUAUCGCGCCCUAGGUAGAGACCGCCCGAGAUGUUUAUUUACUUUAGUUGCAUACCCCUUUUAUUAUAUCAUCUUUUGUACUUUGAUGAUUUAGUUGUUAAAGGAAAGAACAUGUAUGAUGUAAAAGAUUCUUAUAUUUAAAUGCAAGAAAUGAUAUUUUGAGAUCCUAUGAUGUAAAGAAAAGAAAUGAUGAAAAAUAUAAUUGAUUCCCUAAGUGUAGUUAUUUACUUUCACUCUUGGCUAUUGCUUGCUCUCGUUGAAGCCAUUGUGUAUGCUUUCGCUUAUGCAAUUUCUAUACUUUAUCUGUACUUGUUGUUGAGCCUUGGGCGGGCAGCGGAGGUUCUGUCCGUUCGACGUCUGUUCUACGCGCUCGAACCGACAAAAGAUGAUCGGGCUCGGGGCGUGACAGAUAAGAUGGUAUCAGAGAGUAGAAGCCAAAAAAGGUGAAAGUUUAGGAUAGACCUAGAGACCUUUAGGAUUGGGAAGACCUUAAGAACUUAGGAAACGUGAGUGACGUUGAACAAAGUAUAGCAAAAGCUUAUGAUUGGGUUAAUGCUAAUGAGUCUCUAAUGUGGUUAGAGGCUAACUUAAAGUUGUUAUUUGUUUUCUUUCCUUUGUGUUGUGAUCGGCGGCCGACGACAUGAUGCUUUGGAAGGAGAAUAAAUACACUUAUUGCUUUCGCCGGAUUGGGCAAGUACGAGUAUAUUGGUUAGGUAACUAACGUAAAUUGCUUCGUUGCAGGAGGCAAUGGCACCUCGACCUUGUGGACGACCGCGAACAAGGUCGAUGGCCGAGGAGCCGAGUGCGGCUCCCGCGCAGCCCGGAGCGGGGGACGACAGGGAGCUUCGGGAGUAGUUGGCCACGCUCAUUGGCGUGGUGCGGCAACAGGCGGAGUCGGUCCAGCGCCAAGGGGAGCAAAUCCAAAGGCUCCAGGAGACGUUGGAGCGGCAGCAGACGACGGUGGCUCAGGCAGGGGUCGAACCCCCUGCGCCCUCUAUUGUGGUGCCGACGGUGGCUGAGAGAGUAGUGGCGAUGGCGACGCCGGUCGCGGCUGUACCAGUGACGGCGAUACCGGCCGGAUCGGGAACCUCAAAUCCCGAUAGUGCGGCGGUGGAGGCAGAGCGGGAGCGCGUGUUAGAGGCUCUCGUUUUGUUCAAGAAGUUCAACCCACCUAUCUUCGACGGGGAGAAGAUGGAUCCGGCGGUAGUCGAGGCGUGGGUCGACUUGAUGGAGACGCUCUUCGAGGACAUCUAUUCCUUGGAGAAAGACAAAGUACCUCUCGCCACACACUGCCUCGAGAAGGCGGCCAAGGUGUGGUAGAAGCGGGUGAAGCGGGAUCGAUCUUCUGACCUCCCGCCUAUGCUUUGGGAGGAGUUUAAGAGGGCGCUGUUCGCCAACUACUUCCCUGACACGGAGAAGCGGAAGUUGCAAGAAAAAUUCCACAAGUUGAAGCAAGGCGACCGAUCGGUGGGGGAGUACGAGCGGGAGUUCUCCCACAUUAUCGACUGCGACCCGGAUGUAGUUCGUGAUGAUCGGGACCGCACCGAUUGGUUCGUGCGUGGGCUUCAGCCGGGGAUUCAUCGGGCCGUGCAAAUCCUCAAGCUUCCGACCUUCGCCGAGGCUUUUGAUCGAGCACUGUGGGCGGAGCAGGGCUAUGCCCACGAGCGUGAGGAACGCGAAGCCGCAGCUGAGGCAAAGGAUAGGAGCAAGAAGCGGGCGACGGGUGGCACCGGGGGCCGGCCGAGUACGAAGAAACCCCCUCGGUAUCCCCGAUAGCAGUCGAAGGGUUGGAGACCCUCCCGUUGCGUUAUUUGCGGCGGUAACCAUCAACCGCCGACAUGCCCGCAGCGCGAAGGAAAGUGCUUCAAGUGCGGCCAGGCAGGGCACAUGAUUGGGGAGUGCCCGAGCUGGGGUUCAUCUGCACCGACCUCGACAUCAGUUCCAUAUACCCCGAGACAGCAGGCGGGGUUACCACCGGCUAUGUCGGCUGGACGUUCGUCUUCAUCGCGUCAGCCGGAGGCAUCGAGGGCACCGAGUGGGCGGGUUUUUGCCACUCAGGUGUAGGAGGAGCCGAUUCCUGUCCCCGACGACAUCGUGGCAGGUAUUAUCUCGAUCAAAGGCACCAGAGCUAGAGCUUUAUUCGACACAGGUGCAUCGCAUUCAUUCAUAGAUGCAUCAUUCGCUAGGACUCAUGGCAUUAAGAUCGUGCACCAUUAUGACUAUUGGACGGUAAAUUCGGUCAAGCAUACUUUUCAUGUUCACGAAGAAUGUGUAGCGUGCCCAGUGCAGAUAGGUGACUGGGUCAUGCCGAUUGAUCUGUUGGUGAUAAACCGAAUGUGGAGUUUCGACGUGAUCUUGGGGACCAACUGGCUCUCCAAGUAUUAUGCCGUGAUAGAUUGCGAAAGUAAGGUGAUCAUGUUUUGUGAGCCUAAUCGAGAGGAGCUAGUGUAUCAGCAGCUAAAAGCUCACUUUUCGCGGCUACCGUGUCGGCGGCACGGGCGAGGAAAAUAAUAAAAGGUGGUUGUGUGGCCUACUUGGCGACAAUGGUGGAAGCCCAGAAAGAGCACCAGAAUUUGGGAGGCAUUCGAGUGGUGUGCAAAUUUUCGGAUGUAUUUCCGGUGGAGUUACUGGGAUUGCCACCGGACCGGGAGAUCGAGUUCGUUAUUGACUUGGUCCCGGGGGUGGCGCCAAUCUCGAAGGCCCCGUAUAGAAUGGCACCGGCGGAGCUAAAAGAGCUUAAGGCACAAUUGCAAGACUUGCUCGACAAAGGCUUUGUGAGGCCGAGUGUGUUACCAUGGGGAGCUCCGGUGCUAUUCGUUAAGAAGAAGGACGGCACACUUCGACUCUGCGUGGAUUACCGCGAGUUAAACAAGGUCACAGUGAAGAAUAAGUACCCGUUGCCGAGGAUUGAUGACUUAUUUGACCAGUUGUAGGGGUCAAGGGUAUAUUCAAAGAUUGAUCUUCAAUCGGGGUAUCAUCAGUUGAAGAUACGGCCCGAGGAUGUGCACAAGACGGAGUACGAUACGCAAUAUGGCCAUUAUGAGUUCACGGUGAUGCCGUUUGGGCUUACUAACGCCCCAGCGGCGUUCAUGAACUUAAUGAAUAGAGUCUUCCGUCCGCUAUUGGACCGGUGCGUCGUGGUAUUCAUUGACGACGUAUUGGUAUAUUCUCGGACCGAGGAAGAACACGAGGAGCACUUGAGGACCGUGUUGGAAAUACUCCGAAAAGAGAAGUUAUAUGCCAAGUUGAAAAAAUGCGACUUUUGGCUAUCGGAGGUCACUUUCCUUGGUCAUGUAAUUUCAGGCGAUGGUAUUUCGGUGGAUCCGAGGAAGGUGGAGGCAAUUAAGGAUUGGCCUCGCCCGACGAGUGUAUCGGAGGUCCGCAGUUUCCUUGGGUUAGCGGGCUACUACCGGCGGUUCGUGGAGGGGUUUGCUAAAAUAACUACUCUGCUAACGCACCUUACACACAAAGGGGUGAAGUAUGUUUGGAGCCCCGAAUGCGAACGGAGCUUCGAGGAGUUAAAGAAAAGGUUGACCACGACCCCGGUGCUUGCUCUACCAACGCCGGGGAAGACCUUUGUGGUAUAUAGUGAUGCUUCCUACGUAGGACUCGGGUGUGUUUUGAUGCAAAACGGGCCAGUUAUAGCUUAUGCUUCACGCCAAUUGAAGACAUAUGAAAAGAACUACCCGAUUCACGAUCUUGAGCUAGCGGCGGUUAUUUUCGCGCUAAAGCUAUGGAGGCAUUACCUAUACGGGGAACAUUGUGAGAUCUAUACGGAUCACAAAAGUCUUAAGUACUUAUUAACCCAAAGGGAGCUAAAUAUGCGACAACGGCGGUGGUUGGAAUUGUUAAAAGACUAUGAUGUUACUAUCCUAUACCACCCUAGGAAGGCGAAUGUCGUGGCCGAUGCACUUAGUAGAAAAUCGGGAGAAAAUCUGGCUUCGGCAAUUAUACCCCAACCACUAUUGCAAAAGGAGAUGCAACGGCUUGGAUUGGAAGUAGUAGCGCCGGGGGUGCCGGCGAUACUUGCGGCGUUGGUUGUUCAAUCGAUUUUAUUGGAGAGGAUUAAAGAGUUGCAAGCUUUAGAUGAAUAUCUCCAAAAGGUGCGCGGGGAAGUUGAGAGCGGUAGUGCCGAUGACUUUGGCAUUGGGACUGACGGCGCACUCCAGUUUAGAAACCGUUGGUGUGUGCCUAAGAAUAAGGACAUCCGCAGGGCGAUCAUCCAGGAAGCGCACCAAUCCCCUUAUAGUAUACACCCGGGCGGCACCAAAAUGUAUCAAGAUUUGAAGUUGCACUAUUGGUGGCCGGGCAUGAAGAAAGACAUUGGGGAGUUUGUUGCGCAAUGCCUUACUUGUCAACAAGUAAAAACGGAGCGGCGUUUUUCGGCGGAAAAAUUACAAAGCUUGCCUAUACCCGUUUGGAAAUGGGAGAACAUCGCUAUAGACUUUGUGACCGGAUUGCCACGAUCUCAAGGUGGGCACGAUGCAAUUUGGGUUAUAGUGGACUGGUUGACGAAGUCGGCGCAUUUCCUACCGAUUCAUAUUACAUGGUCGGGGGACAAAUUGGCUCAAGUAUAUAUCGACGAGGUUGUGAGACUUCAUGGGGUGCCCGUGUCUAUCGUGUCGGAUCGGGACCCGAGGUUCACCUCUCACUUUUGGAGGAGCCUACAGGAGGCUUUGGGCACGCGGCUCGACUUUAGCACAGCAUUUCAUCCUCAAAGUGAUGGUCAAUCGGAGAGGACAAUACAAAUACUUGAGGAUAUGCUUCGAGCGUGUGUACUGGAUAUAAGGGCAAUUGGCAUGAUCAUCUACCGAUGGCGGAGUUCGCGUACAAUAACAGUUAUCAAGAAAGUAUCGCGAUGGCGCCAUUCGAGGCCCUUUAUGGAAAGAAGUGACGCUCCCCAAUUCAUUGGAGCGAUGUGGGCGAGAGGGCGGCUCUUGGCCCCGAGUUAGUGAGAGAGGCGGAGGAGAAGGUUCGUCUUGCUCGCCAACGACUUGCUACGGCGCAAUCUCGGCAAAAGAGUUAUGCCGACAAACGGAGGAAAGAUAUAGAGUUUGCCGUUGGAGACCACGUGUUUCUAAAGAUUUCGCCGAUGCGAGGGAUUAAGUGGUUUGGAAUCCGGGGGAAGCUAAGUCCCCGGUACCUUAGACCGUUCGAAAUACUGGAACGGGUCGGCGCUGUGGCAUACCGAGUAGCAUUACUACCAAGACUUGCGGGAGUGCACGAUGUGUUCCACGUGUCGAAUCUUCGCAAGUAUGUCCACGACCUCGAUCAUGUUCUCUCAUUUGAACCGUCCGAGAUUUAAGAGGACAUGACCUAUGAGGAGUUCCCGGCAUACAUCAUCGAUCAAGAAGUAAGAAAAUUACGAAAUCGCGAGAUUCCGUAUGUUAAAAUUCGUUGGUGCAAUCACGACGACCGGGAAGCUACUUGGGAGCUCGAGAGCGCAAUGCGGGAGCAUUACCCUCAUCUCUUCGACGAGCUGAACUAAGGUACGAGUCGAGUUCGGGCUUAAAUUAAGCUAGUUUCGCGGAUGAAACUAAAUUUAAGGGGUGGAGAAUGUAACAUAUCGAAACCCGAAAACGAUAAUCGAACUUUAAUCAAAUUGGUUAAAGUGUCGAGAGAAAUGGAUUGAUAAGUUCCAUUUUGCAUUCCAACGAGUCUGGAAGGGCAAAAAUGAGUUAAGGAAGUGUUGGAAUGGGUUUGGCAUCGAACGACGCGAAGUAGAGUCGAGUCAAAGCCAAAACAUCAAUCUGGAGCAUUGUGUACCGGUACACCAUGGUGGUUGUACUGGUAUAGCAAGCGACCCGAGCACAGGUUGCUCUCGGGUUUGAGUCUGCGCGAAGGAGUACCGGUACGGGACUCCGUGUACUGGUACACAAGCUGCGAAACCGAGAGACCUUGCUCUCAGGUUUGACCUCUGUAUAGGGGUGUAUCGGUACAAAUGCCCGUGUACCGGUACACUUUGGGUCUGACAGCCCAGUGAGGCUGAUGUAAAUAAAAAGAAAUGGAGGGCCUAGUUGCAAUUGUAGCAACAUGUUAACACCCCAACACCUCUCUCUCUCCCUCCCACAGCCACACACAUUCCCCUAUCUCAUUUCUCUCUUUCUCUCUCUAGAACAUCUCUAGGGUUUGGUGGAGAAGGUGGAGAAGAGCUUGGAGAAGGUGCUUUUGGAGCUUGGAGAAGACCUAGGGCUCUCCUACAAGGUGGACUUAGGGCUAGCUUGUGGCUAAGGUGAGGUUUUCAUGGAAACCUAAGCUAGGGUUUGAAUUUCUACCAUGAAACUUAGAGUUUUGGGUUUCUCUCUUGUUUAGAAAUCCUCUAGAGGCUUGAGCUCCAUGAAAACCCAUAGGAGCUCAAGUUGCUCUAAUGGUGGAUUUCUAGGGUUUGCAUUUUGAGUCCUAGAAAUGGUUGGGAUGGUUCUCGGUGAACUUCUAGAGGUUAGACAAGCUUUCUUUUGCUUGUUUUAGAGAUCAAAACCUAGGGUUUAGCAAUGGGUUUGGUUAGGGUAUCAAAUUUGGCGCUUUUGCCCUAGGAUUUUUCGGGGACGAAUUAAACCCGUAGAAACCUAAUUGGGGGUGUCCUAAACGCGUGGAGCAACUCCGUUUAAUGUUACGAAAAUGUUUGAAAAUAGUCCAUGCAUAUAGGGCCUAAUUUGGCACUAUUUUGGUUGUAGGACGCGACUUCGACGUUCGUGAGGUGCGAGAGGCUUCACAUCUUUUCUCUACUACCACUCACGGUGGGUGGUGCAUUCCAAGGACAUCGGAAAUCUCUUUAUGUCUAAGUGUCAUAUUUUGAGCAUAUGGGCAUUUUUGAGCAUCUUGCAUAAUAGGGUUAAUUGUGAGUUUUUAUAGCCUAACGUAAAUUUAAAUGCAUGUUAAAUGUUUGUAAGAAGGUGAGAAUGAUGAUCCCUAUGUAUGCAUGAUUAUGACAAGAACCUAGAAGGGUUAGUAAACAAAAAGUGACACUUUGACAUAGAUCUAGCAAGUGACCUUGACGAGUCUAGAACACUUAGUAAACAAGUGUGGCAUUUGGCAUGAGGACAAGAAUAUAGCACUUAGAGAACAAGUGUGGCAUGAGUACAAGGACUUGAUAGUGUAUAUGACACUAGUGAUAGUAAAGAAUGCAAAGAAAAGAAUGAUUGAGAUAAUAUGACAUUUCAACCUUAGUGUGAGGGUUAUUUGAGCAUGGUUUUCCUUAAAGUCAAGGAAUGGAUUGAACUUGUAAUUCUCGAAUGUAGGAUUGAUCGUACUCACUUUAGUCCUUGCUCGAGGUUGUGGUAGCUCCCCCUCGGGCGAUGUGCUCCGGCGUCGAUAUCACUGGGUUGUAGCGAGUAUCUCCCCAAAGGACGGUCCCAUCGGGUUGUAGCGAGUAUCUCCCCGAUCAUUGGGAUUUUGAGUUGGUGAGUUUGUUGAGGGCGAAACCUACGGGUUAGCCAAGAGAUUGGGUAUUGACACUAUGACCUUGCAUUCAUCAUGAGCUUUACAUUGUGCAUAUCAUUUUUUAUUGUUCAGGCAUAUUAGUUGCAUUUGCUAGUUGGUUACUUACUUUCUUUCAUUCUAUUAUGCCUGAUUAGACCUAGUGGGAUAGUCGGCGUGGUUGGUUGCCGAAUCCACUGGAACUUUAUUGUAGUUCUCACACCCCUAUUUCCAUAGAGCCGGGGCCCAGCGAGCCGGCGGACGAUCGCGGUAAGGGUAUCGCGCCCUAAGUAGAGACCGCCCGUGUAAGGAAGUGAAUUUUCGAAACCCGAGAGUUGUACUUCGUCCAGGAUCGACUAUUUGUCGAGAGAAUGCCCUUGGGGAAGUUAGAGAUGUCCAAAGCACAAAAAGUGCCUUGGAGUUGAGUCCACGAAAGCAAAUGAUGCAAACUGCAUCAUUGGGCUGAUGUUACUCUCGGGGACCGGUCUCUGGAGGUGAGAGACCGGUUCCCUUGGCUGGGUGUAGCAGGGUUGCUUGAUGCAACCGGUCCCUGGCAGGGAUGGACCGGUUCCCGAACGUGGUCCCAGUGAGAAAUGCCGAAAUUUGGCUAAGUCCUGAAAAUCGAGCUCUCGGGGACCGAUCUCUCAGGCGAGGACCGGUCUUCUCCCGAGGACCGGUCUCCUGGGGAGAGACCGGUUCCCGAACGCGCGCGCUCGAGGGAGGCCCUCGGGGACCGGUCCCAAGUCGGGGAGACCGGUCCCUCCGCGCGAGAACUGCCCAGUAAGGGCUGUGCAAUGGAUGGAAAAUUGAGGGGUUUAAGUGCAAAAUGGCCUUUAUUAGAGUGGGCUGAGCCCCCUCUCUCCCUCACACUCAUCUCAUUCCCUCUCUAUCUCUUUUUCUUUCUUGCUCCCUCUCUCUCUCUCUAGAAAGGAAAGGAGGAGAAGAAGAACAAGAAGGAGAGGAAGGAAAAGAAGAGGAAGAACAAGAAGGAGAAGAAGAAGGAGAUCAAGAGGAAGGCCUUGGACACCUUCUAUCUCCCUCUCCUCUUCUCUUUGGUGUAGCACAAGAGGUAAGCCCUAACCCUAGCUCUUGGAAACUUAGGGUUUUUGGGUUUUGAUGCUUUAGAAUGGGUCAAAUGGACCCUAAACAUGCUUCUAAAUAGAUCAAUCCCAUGAUUCUAGGGAUUUAUUGGUGGUUUGUUAUAGGUGCAAACCUAGGGCUCCAAAAUGGGGUUUUUGUGAAUGUAUGAGAUUGAUCUCAUUUGAAGCCUUGGAAACCCUAUUGUUAGGUCACAAAACGUGGGGGCGAAGUCGGUUUUGGCAUUCGGCGAACCGACGCGAAGUUCUCGGCAAAAUAGGGCCGGACUAGUGUUGAUUUGGGCAAGGAAGGCUAAAGCCUUUUCGUAAAGUUCGCCGAGAAGAAUUUUCGAGGCCUCUACAUCGAUUAAAGGUGGGGGGUGCCAUCCCGAAGCUUUCGGACUCCUUUCUAUAUCUUAGAUUGCAUUUAAUCUCAUCUCUUCAUGUUGCAUUGUAGGAUUGCAUAGUAACUCCAUUCCUUAUGCUUUCUAAAUGAUAAUCUAGUGUACUUGGAACGCUUGGUGACUUAGAUAGGUGAGGAUUGGGUCGGAACGUGGAUCCUAUAAUGCGAAAGAAAAGAGGUGAACCCGAUGGGGGUGUUGAUGACAUAGAAAGUAGUGUUAAUGUUACAGAACAAACGAGUAGCAUCCAAAUAUUAAAUGAUGACGAGUGGCAUUAAUGUAGUGUACAUAACACUAGGGGUUUGAGAACUUAGGGAUAGGUGGAUCCCUUAGAAAAUGCCUUGUAGAUAAAAAACUUAGUAAACCUAAGUAGCCUCACGUGGAGGGGUUGUCGAUGAGUCGAUUGAGACAUUGACCAUAGUGGUAGGGCUUCCUCACUUGGAGAGGAUUUUGAUUGGGUUGUGGACCCUAGUGAUAGUGCUCCCUCACUUGAAGAGGAUUCGAUUGGGUAUAGACUCUAUUUGUAGAGCAUCCUCACUUGGAGAGGACUUGAUUGAGUUGUUGACCCUAGAUGUAGGGCAUCCUUACUUGGAGAGGAUAGAUCUAGCUCACAGUCUGCGUUUGGGUGGUAUAGCCAUCCAAUCCCCACAUGGAGGGGAUUGUCGUCGAGUACUCCGGAGUGUCGCGCGACUAGGACCACUUGGAGAUCCGGACCACAUGGAGGUCCGCAGACGGUCCCGGGCUUGGGUGCACUUGGAGCUCCCUCCCCACUUUGGGAUUGAAGGGUGAGUCAUAGGCGAGCCCUAGGGCCUCGCCACAGAUUGGGUAAAUGGAAAGGUUAAAGGUUUAAUAAUGCCAUUGAACAUUGCUAUUCGAAUAUGGAUCAAAUUUAUUAGCAUGGUAGCAAACCUUUAUUAUAUGAUGCAUGCAUUCAUAUUCAUGAUUAUGGGCAUAAUAGCAUAGUUUUCCUAGUAUUGCAUUUACAGUUUUCAGAUACAUAUCUAUCUAUCUAUCUAUCUGUUGUUAAUUGUGUCCACUUGGACCUAGUGGGGAGAUCGGCAGAGUUGGCGGCCGAGCCCACUGGGAACUGUGGAAGAUAGUUCUCACCCCACUCCAUUUCCAGUGGUAGAUACAGGGCUGCCGAGGGAGGACCGCGGCAAGGGCAUCGCGCCCUAUCAGUGAGACCGUAGUAGUAUAGUAGCUUUCCCUUUUGCAUUAGUACACCUAUGUAUUGAGAGAGAAUCAUUGUAGGUGAGGACUUGGAGAGCUAUGUAUUUUGGGAUGAAAAGUGAUGUAAAUGAAACUAUUGUGAUAGUUAGUAAAGUACUCUCUUUAUUUCACAUGCUUUUUCUUGUGGAUUACUUGCUCUUCGUAUUGUUGGCACUGUUUGUGCCCUUGUGGAUGUGUAUGUUUAGAAUUUAAUUUCCUGGGUAAAUUCUUGUACACAUUCUUGUUGUUGAGCCUUGGGCGGACAGGGGAGGUGCUGUCCGUUCGGCAAUUCGCCGCCACGGCCGAAUCGUGCCAAAUUGGUAGUGGUUUCGGGGUGGGGCGUGACAGUGCAAGAUGUUUAUUUACUUUAGUUGCAUACCCCUUUUAUUAUAUCAUCUUUUGUACUUUGAUGAUUUAGUUGUUAAAGGAAAGAACAUGUAUGAUGUAAAAGAUUCUUAUAUUUAAAUGCAAGAAAUGAUAUUUUGAGAUCCUGUGAUGUAAAGAAAAGAAAUGAUGAAAAAUGUAAUUGAUUCCCUAAGUGUAGUUAUUUACUUUCACUCUUGGCUAUUGUUUGCCCUCGUGCAAGCCAUUGUGUAUGCUUCCGCUUAUGCAAUUUUUAUACUCUAUCUGUACCUCUUGUUGAGCCUUGGGCGGGCAGGGGAGGUUCUGUCCGUUCGGCGUCUGUUCGACGCGCUCGAACCGACCAAAGAGGAUCGGGCUCGGGGUGUGACAAUAGAGCUUACAUUUCCGGUACAAAGUUCAGCAAGGAUGCAUCCGAGUGACCAAAUAUCAAUCUUUUUAUCAUAAGAAAGACCCAAUAUAAUCUCAGUUGCGCGGUACGAUCGUGACUGUACGUACGAACAUAAAUGGUCGGUCUCAAAGCAACUACUCCCAAGGUCAAUGACUUUGACUUCACACCUGCUGUAGCUUUUCACCAAUAUAUUUUCAGGAUUCAAAUCACAAUGAAUAAGACCAAGGCUGUGCAAAAACUGAAGUACCUCCAGACAUUGAAUAGUUAUUGACUGUAGAUCAAAAUUAAAGAGGAAAUUAGCAAAAAUAUGAAAUAACUGAACAACAAAAGUUCAAGAUGGGGGCCAACAGGGUGGUGAAAUUUAAACAACCAAAAGAAACAAAAUAAAUAAACAACCUGCAACCUCAGCACGGUGAAGUAAACCUCCCCUCCAGAUUCUCUAUUGAACUUGUGAAAUUCAUAUAAGUUUGCCUUGAGAAGCUCACAAACUAUCAGCAAGUGUUCCUAUAGAAUAAAACACAAAUUAGUUGAACAGUUAAACAGAUUUCUCACUUGAGAUGGAACACUUGAUACAGUACAUAAUAGAGGGUGAGCUGCUAUGUUGAUGCCCAAACUUUACCCAAUUUCUCAUUUUAAUUGCAAAACUUUUUAAUUGUUUCGAUGAAGUCCCUAAAGUUUGUUACUUGUUUCAAUUAAAGUCUAUGCUGUCAAUAAGCCUGUUUAAUAAGCCAGAGGUUGCCAUGUGGUAGAUUGAUGCAAAACUGGGCCGACCUGAUUUGGUCAAUCAGUUUAAAUCAAUUGAAUUUAUUGCUUAUUUUGGAAAAAAAAUCAGAUUAGAGUAGUUGAUCUUAUCUUUUAGGUAGUAUUUAUUUUAGAUUGUUAUUAUUCAGUUAAUCUCAAGAUAAGGUUUUGUUUAGUUCGUUAUUUAGGAUAAAAUUAAAUCCUAACUUGGUUAUGUAUAAGGUUAAGGAUAGUAUAAAUAAGGCAAAAGACUUCAUUGUAUGAUAAUGAUAUGAAUUUACAUAGUAGGGAUAAAAUGCUAUUUAUACUAUUGAAAGUGUUUGCUACCAACUUUUUUGCCAUUGGAUGCCUAGGCUUUAGUGGUGGUAGGUGGUAUAGUAAUAAUCCAAUAGCAGAAAAUUAGAUAGUAAAUACUAUUUAUAUACUAUCAAUAGUAUACUAGCUCAACUCGAAUUUAUGGAUCUAUAAUGAAGACAAAUGCUUGGGCAACGAUGUCUUUUAUUUUCUUUCAACGAAUGCAUCGCUCUAGAGUGAGUCCUGUCUAGAAACAAGUACAGUUCAGGAGUGAGUCUUGAUUAUCUUUUCUAAUUUUCUUUUCUUCCUUUCUUUUUUUAUUUUUCUGAAUUUUAUUCUUGUUUCUUUAAUUUCAUACUUUUCAUAAUUUCUUCUUUUUUAAUUCUGAAAAUUAAAAAAAUUAAAAAAUAUAUCAAAAAUUUUUAGAAAUGCCAAAGCUUUCAAAAAUAUUGUAAAUCAUAUUUAGGAGUCCUCCAAAGUGUAGGGUACUACAUUCCAUCCUAUAUCAGAUUUGGCAUCAGAGUUGACAAUUCCGUUUCCUCAAAAAUUUGGGGCUUGUGGAAGAAAACAGGGUGAAAAAAAAAGGUGAGAAAAUGUAAAAUAAAGAAAAGUAGAGUGAAAAAAGUAAAAUAAAGAAAAGUAGAGUGAAAAAAGUAAAAUAAAGAAAAGUAGAGUGAAAGAAAAGGUGUAAGAAAAAUGUGUGGAGAAAAAAAAUGGAGAAAAAGUAGUUAAAAAAAACAUCAUGGAUGAAAAAGAAUGUCUUAAAAAAUAUUUUCCAGAAGUAUAGCAGAAAAAAAAGAAUACAUAUAAAGUGAAAAAAAUAUGUGAGAUGACAAGAGUGGAGUUUGAUGAAUGGUUGUACGAUCAGAAGUCAUACUUUGGGAGGAAAAAAAAAUCGAUAUUCAAAUGGAAAUACUAAGGUAAUUUGAGAUGGUGAUAUAGACAAAGGAAAAUAUUUCAUCUUGAUUUUAUCAAAAUACUUUUUUGACAAAGAAAAAAAGGAGGUUGAAAGAUUUUGAGAUGAUGCUAAAAUUGUUGAAAAUGAUUUUUAAUGAUGAGUAAGACAAGAGAUGAGUAUCGAUGGAUCCAACUAAAAGUUCAACUGGAAACCCUGAUUGCUCAACAAAGUAAGCCACCCAUAGCAUAGUCAGGAGAUGACAAUUCUAAUCCAGUCCAUUUGCACCAUCUGAUUGCAAAUAAGUUCUAGAUGUGAUCGAGUUGGAAUUUGAGCAUCCGCGGUGAGUGCGUUGAAGAGAUAAGAUUACAAAUCCAUUUACCCUCAUCGCCCCAGCAAUAUCCGCCCUCCAUACUUGAGCUUCAAAUUGCACCAACACCACUUUUCUCCACAAUAUCAAUCUUUAUAAAGCGUCAUCGACAUACUAGUCAUUCCUACAUCAACACCAAGUUGGAGACUUUGAUGAUACAAGUUGUUCAACAUGCAAGUGUUGGACUACAUUACUUUAUUCCACACACUUGGUUGUUUUUUAUCACCUUACAAAUCCAACUAGUCUUGAGGAUGAAACCCUGCGCUGCAUAAGCGAAUGAGGCAGAACUAGGCUGACCCAAUUUGGUUGAUCUAUAAAUCAAUUGAAUUCAAUGUUUUUUAAAAUCAAAUUACAAUAGUUGAUCUUAUCUUUUAGUUAGUAUUUACUUCUAGAUUUUUAUUAUUCAGUUAAUCUCUAGAUAAAAUUUUUUUUAGUUAUUUAGGAUAAGUUUAAAUCCUAAGUAGGUUAUGUAUAAGUAAGGUUAAGGAUAGUAUUAAUAAGACAUAAGACUUCCUUGUAUGAUGAUGAAUAUGAAUUUAUAAAUCUAUAAUGAAGACAAAUGCUUUGGCAAUGAUGUCUUUUUUUCCUUUCGCGCAUGCGCUCGCCCUAAAGUGAGUCCAAUCCAGAAACGAGUUCAGUUCAAGAGUGAGUCUUGAUUACUUUUUUCUAUUUUUUUUCUUCUUUUUCCAUUUUUUCUGAAAUUUUUUCCUAUUUUUCUUAAUUAUUGAUUUUCAUAAUUUCUUUUUUUAAUUCUGAAAAUUUUUUAAAAGUUGAAAAGUAUUCAAAAUAUUCAGAAAAUUUUAGAAAUUCAAAAGCUUCCAAAAAAAAUAUAAAUCAUAUUUUGGAGCCCUCUAAAUUGUAGGAUCCUAUAUUCUGUCCUACAUUACAGUUUCUAUUGAAAUUUCUGGGCUUUUUGACUGCAGGGACUUAGUUGCCUAAAGUAAUAAAUGUUGGGAACUCAAUUGCAAAAAUUAAACGAUCAGGAAAGCAAAAAUUCGAGCAAAAGCUUAGGAACCAAUGGUGCAAUUAACACAACAAUAGAUCAUCUUCCAAAUAGGGAUUGUUAUCGAUAUUCCCAUUUAGUAAACUAAGCCCAUAAUAUAAUAUCAAAGCAUAUUUAACCGAGGAUAGAAGUUAUUCGACAAAAAGAAUGAAGAUACACAACCUUCUAAUAGAAACAAAUGCCACAUAUAGAAUGGUCAACUAAUAUGAUGGACAUAAAGAAUUAUAUUGGUUCCAAGUAAAAAAGAAAUAGAAAUAUAUAGCUCUAUAGCUGUAAUAGCAGCGGAAAAAAAUGAAAGCAUUAGCAGCAGACAAUUCUUGCUUCUACUGAUGGAUGUCAGAUAUGUUUCGUAUUCUUGAACCGCAAGAAUUCCUAACUCUAUUCUAUUUCUCUCAACCUGUAAGCUAGGAUUAUACCUAAUCUUAUUAAGAUUAUUCCUAGUAUUAUUGAAUUAUAGUCACUAAUACAAAUAUAUUCUUUAUUUCGUUGAUUUGGUGCGGCAGAUGAGAGGGAGUAUAGGUGCAUUUUGGAUGCUAGGGUUUUUUAAUGAGAGGCAUCUUUUGUACUUGUUUGGAUUAUAAUUAAAGUUUUUGCUCCAUCUUCGCCCAUGAACGUAAACCAGUGGUCGAACCACGUAAAUAGUGUUCUCUAUUUUUUUUUAAUUUUUUUGUGAGAGGCAUCUUUUGUACUGUGUUUGACUUUAUAAUAAAAGUCUCUGCUCCAUCUUCACCCAUGGACUUAGAUGAGUAAUUGAACCACAUAAAUAUGUAUUCUUUAUUUUUCUUCUCUUCUUUUCGAUUCUCAUUUGUAUAUUCGCACCCGAUGAACUAAAUCAUUUCCGCUUUUAUCGUAACAAACUGAUAUCAAAGCAAUUUUGGUAUCAAAGCAAGUUGCGAAUUCAUAAGAAACUAAUAUCAGAGUCUGAUUGUUCAAGUGGGUGUUUAAAAUGUUGAUGAAAUUUGAGAUCAAGAAGUGUGAUUGCUCCAGCAGUUUCGCUAUUCAGCAAGUUUAGAUGUAAGUCGUUCUAAUGCAACGAGGUUGCACAAGGCGUUAACUGGAGAGGAAGAAGAUUGGUUCUCUAAAGAACCAAGCAGAUUUGCUCAUUAAGCCUCUUUUGAUGACCAAAUUCAAUAUUCCAUGUACAAUUUGUCUGUGCAGUAGCACUCGAGGAACCAUUGGGGUUUUGGCAAAAGAUGAAGAAUUCAAGACAAGGUGGAGAUAGCUCGAUAUGCCUCAAAUUCUUGAACCACAAGGUUUCCCAACCCUAUUCUAUUCCUCACAACCUAUUAAGUUAAGCUAGGAUUAUGCCUAAUCUUAUUGAGAUUAUUCAAUCUUAUUGGAUUUUAGUCACCAAUAUAAAUAUAUCUUUUAUUUCAAUGAUUUGGGGCUGAAAAUGAGAAAGAGCAAGGGUGUAUUUUGAAGGCAGGGUUUUUGUGAGUCACCUUUUGUACUCUGUUUGGAUUAUUUAUGAAAGUCUAUGCUCUGUCUUCGCCUAUGGACAUAAGCCAGUGGUUGAACCAUAUAAAUAUUUGUGUACUUUAUUUUUCCUCUUUUUCUCAAUUCUCUUGUUUUUUUUUCACACCCAACGAACUAGAUCUUUUCGCUUAACAAUGGAUCAUAGAGAAAUGGCAUAAAACUAAAAGGCAGCAUGAAAAUAUUCCACAGCCUAAAAUUCUUAAGAAGUUGCAUGUGACAUUAUUAAUCUUCACAUUCUGAUUAAGAUUCCAAACUUACAAUUACUUAGAAGUUUUCCUAUGUUAUCUGUAGGCUUUAAGAUUCCAAACUUAGAAGAUAAAUUUAGAAUUUCUCCUAUGUUAUCUGAUGUACAAGGCAACGGCUUAAAAAGAUAAUUAACUGAAACAUCAGCUAGAGUCCUAUCAAUGUCUAUAGGCACCAUUAAAUAUAUAUAGGGCAGGUAUCCAGUCCAGGCAGAAACAAUGCCCUGUCUGAUAGGUUUUUUAGCAUUGGUUUCCCAAAAAAGCUAUUUAGACUUGACCCACAUACUUGAUAAAGCCCUACCUAGAAAUUUCUGAUAGAAUGAUCUUCAAUCAAAUUGCCAUUUGUCUCACAACAAUCAAUUCAUUUUAUAUAAUGGCUCUAGCUAACAUUAAUCAAACCCUAAUCUACACAGCAGUACCACAGUGCCCUCUCUCCCCACCAGUAUUGUUGCCUAAUGACCUUUCUCCAACCAAACGACGUUGCUCGCUUAUUUGUGCAUGUUGCUGUCUGCUAAGCACCAUAAUCGAAUAGUGCAGUUCCAGGUUUUGGAUUAAAACUAGUCAUGGAAGACCAUCCAUCAGCACUCUAAGAAGUCAAGAAACAAGCAACAGUCGAGCAAAGACUAAAUUACAAAAAGUUAUAAGACGAAUAGGUUGAAAGAGCAUCAAGCAACUAUCAGUGCUUGCCAAUUGCCAGCUAAUAUUACUAGUUAUGUAAGAUAACAGACAAUAAUAAGGAAGAUGACUGACACACCAAAGUCAAGUUGCGGCAUAAAGACAUUUUACCACACCAAAAUUCGUGGUUCUCUGUACAAUUCUAUCACAGGAUUAAGAGAUGAGCAAGGGCUAACUAGGGUUGCGUACUAUAUCACCCAUCUCCAGCUAAGGAUGUGUUGCAUAAUUGCAUUCUUGUUUUGGACACAAAAGUAACUCGAAGCAUACUAGGGCAUUUAUACUAGCUAAUUUGUCACACCAAUGGCUACACAAGAGAUAUAUAUACAUAAGUUUGUAAACUUCUUCUGAAUCCAUGAAAGAGGCUACAACCUGGUUAUUCCAGUCAGUAUUGACAACCAGCGCAGCCGUACCUAUUCGUAUCCAAAGAAAAGUUGCGAGUUGAAUAGUUUAACAGUCCCAAAAGGAACCAACUCCUAUUCUUCACUAAACAUGUUCAUAUAUGACAUGAUAGAAGCUUUAUUUGCGCAAGUAAUGCUAGAGAAAUGACCGGGCAGUUGAAAAAGCACAUAAAUUGCACGGUACUUAAAAGUCACACAAGGCUAGGUACUUGACAUGUAACUUGAACUGCACUAAUUACUGCAAGCUAAAGUUAAAGAAAUUACCUAGUUACUAAUGUACAAGUUUGGUCAUUGGGACACAGUUUGAAGAAAAAGAUUACAAAUGGGCUAGCUUCUAACCAAACCUUUCUGACAUUAAAGCAUAUUAGUUUGCCCAGUAGACUCUGAAAUUCCAAUGUGAAAGCAUAUUUAUCGACUACAAAUUUAGGUCUGCAAACAGAAUGGGCAAGCUCGCCAUUAACAAGAGAAGCAAGCUAGAAUGUGUGUGUGUGUGUGUGUGUGUGUGUGUGUAACUUCUUUAAAAAAAAAAAAGGCUUUGCACUAAAACAGUCCAAUUUCCCUAAGUUUAAUAAAAAAUGUCAAAUAUCAGGAAGGAUGUUGUUUCAAAAUUUUGAUCUGGAUGAUAGAACUGUGAUAUAAACAUAGAAAUUUAAAUUGGACUACUUCAAGUCCAACAGGCAAAUUAUGAAAUCUUCAAGUUCCAUGACAACAAAAAAGAAAAAUAAAAACAAUAUGACCUAAGGAUAAUGAGAUUACUAUGCACUCCAUUAUAUGAAAAUGCCAUGAUAUAAUCAAGGUUCUCAAGGUGAUGCCACUAUAACACUGGCUAAGAGCUUAAGAGGACUCUCUAAAUUAAACAAGCUAUAUCUAUAUAAAUAUGUGUGUGUGUGUGUGUGUGUGUGUGUGUGUAACUUCUUUAAAAAAAAAAAAGGCUUUGCACUAAAACAGUCCAAUUUCCCUAAGUUUAAUAAAAAAUGUCAAAUAUCAGGAAGGAUGUUGUUUCAAAAUUUUGAUCUGGAUGAUAGAACUGUGAUAUAAACAUAGAAAUUUAAAUUGGACUACUUCAAGUCCAACAGGCAAAUUAUGAAAUCUUCAAGUUCCAUGACAACAAAAAAGAAAAAUAAAAACAAUAUGACCUAAGGAUAAUGAGAUUACUAUGCACUCCAUUAUAUGAUAAUGCCAUGAUAUAAUCAAGGUUCUCAAGGUGAUGCCACUAUAACACUGGCUAAGAGCUUAAGAGGACUGUCUAAAUUAAACAAGCUAUAUCUAUAUAAAUAUGUGUGUGUGUGUGUGUGUGUGUGUGUGUGUGUGUGUGUAACUUUCUUAAAAAAAAAGGCUUUGCACUAAACCUGUCCAAUUUUCUGAGUUUAAUCAAAAAUGUCAGAAAGGAUGUUGUUUCAAAGUUUUGAUCUGGAUGAUAGAACUGUGACUUAACAUAGAAAUUUAAAUUGGACUAGUUCAGGUCCAACAGGUAAAUCAUGAAAUCUUCGAGUUCCAUGACAACAUCAAAGAAAAAUAAAAACAAUAUGAUCCAAGGAUAAUGAGAUGACUGUGCACUCCAUUAUAUGAAAUGCCAUGAUAUAAUCAAGGUUCUCAAGGUGAUGCCAUUAUAACACUGGCUAAUAUCUUAAGAGGACUGUCUAAAUUAAACAAGCUCUAGAGCAACUCUAGUGUAGUACAAAAGGUGUUCUAUUCUCCUUUACAUCUACCAUUAUUUUAGCACGUUUCACUUAACCAUGCUGUAAUCCAAAAUCACUACUAAUGAACUUUCAGAAAAAAAAAUUCACAGAAAUAUAAGACUCAAAAUAGAAAUGAAAGAGUUCGAUAGUUUUUACCCGAGAGUAGAAGUAAUCAUACAAGCACAGAAUGUGAUACUUGUCCGCCGGAUCAUGCCUGUUGACAUAUUUCAAAAACUUGAUUUCAUCAAGGCUUUGAUCAAAAAAAUCUUUAUUGUUCUUUAUGAUUUUCACACAUACAUCCAUUCCGGUGUGCAAGUCAUGUGCCUGAAUAGCUUUGCUGAAGGCAGCUGACCCGAGAUACUCGGUAACAUGAUAUCGCCCAGCAAUAACAGAGUUCAAAACAACAUGGAAAUUCUUGUCUUCUUCAAAGCCAGUUCUGGUAAAAUAUCAGCAAAAUGGACAUAGGUAUUUUUAAACCAAUUUCUUUUUCAAACUUUAUUCUAUUUAGGAUUCCAUUACAACUAAAAGUUUUUUAUUCAUCUUUAUUUAUACUAGUGUAGGGAUCCUCACGGUGCGAACGAAUAGAAAUUUUUUACGAAAAUAUAUAGAUUAAAUAAACACAUAUAAAUGUAAAGAAAAACAAUUUUGACAUAAAUUUAAGAAAAACAAAUGAUAUGACCAAAAUUUCAAAAUGGACAGUGGAAAAUUAAUUUCAAAAUGGAUAGUGGAAAUUGAAUAUUCUUUAAAAAUUGAGCAUAGGACUUUUAAAUUCAAGAUCAAGAAUGUUAACCUUAAUCUAUAUAGUUUAAAGUAUUUUCUAUCAAAAUUUGAAGAAAUUUAGAUUCUUCUACACUGUUAAACUCCAAACUCGUCAUAAUAGCCAUUGAAAAUUGACAAUUUUGAAAUGGUUUGAUCAUAAAGUAAACUAUGUCGAAAAAAUAUAAAAUUUUAUUUCUAAAAAUUUUAAAUACCCUAGAUCAGUUUUAACGGUGUGGAUCGUUGAUUUGAAUGCUCGAAAAUCGAAAACAACACUAUAGUACCGGAGCUCCGGUACUAUAGAUAGUAUAGUAGCCUAGCUCUAUUUAUAUAUAUAUAGCCUAGUUUAUUGUGAUAAGAUGUGAGUAGUAUGUUUAAAUGAAUCUAAAUUAGAUUAGAUGAAUGAAUGGAAUAAAAUGUAGAAAGAACAGANAAUUCCGACAAUGACAGACGGAAUCCAAAAAAGAAUAAAAUAAUAUUCCCUACGAAUGGUUAUGAUUAAUUUGUUAAAUAUAUCUCAAAUAAAAACGAAUGGUUAUGUUCAAUCUAUUAAAUCUCUACUAUAUAUAAAAAUCUAUAUAUAUAAUCAAUUUGUUAAAAAAAUAUCUCAAAUAAGAUAUUGUAAAUAUUUUCUAAUAAAAUAUAACAUAUUAAUUUAUAAAUAUAAAUUUUAUUGUAUAAUUUUGGAUAUAUAUAAUACACAAAUUUAUAUUGAUUUGAAAUAAAUUAUAAUAAUUGUUACGUGCAUUUGCACGUACAUUUAAGUAGUAUAUAGAGUAGGGCUACUAUACUCUUAUGAGUAUAGAACUCUUACUACUCAUAAGUUGUUUUCGAUGUUGAAGUUUUCGAAUCGACGAUCCACACCGUUAAACAUGAUCUAGAGUAUUUGAAACUUCUAGAAAAUAAAUUCCAUAAAUUUUCGAAAUCAUUAAAAAGUCCAUCAAACGAGUAUAACAUGAACGGUUAAAAUCAAAUGACAUUCAAAAAAUGGAUGAUCAAAUCCUUCAAUUUAAGAUCGGAGUUAUUGAUCUUUAUUUAGGUAGUGAAUAGAAUUUUCUAUCAAAAAUUCAACCUAUUUCGAUUUUUUUUCACCGUUAAACUAGCAAAUAUCUCAUACCGGCCGUUAAAAAUUGUCAAUUUUGUGACCUUUUGAUCGUUAGGUAAAUGAUAUCGAAAAAUUAUAAAAUUUAAUUUCUAGAAGUUUUAAAUACUCUAGAAAAUGUUUAACGGUAUAGAUCAUCGAUUUGGAAGCUCUAUCAUCAAAAACAACUUAUGAGUACGAGGGCGAUCGUACUCAUAAUAGUAUAGUAGCCGGACUCCUAGUGUGUGUAUAUAUAUAUAUAUAUCGAGGGGUUCAAGUACAUACAAAAGGAUCUACUACAACACUAGUUCCAGCGAGUACCCCAAACAACACCCAUAUGUACAAAAUACCCUAAAACUACAUGAGGAAGGUACUCCACUCUGCAACUCAUUUGGAAGGGAUCUAGCUCGCGACUCCCUUUUCGUGAUCACUAUUAGGAACGACAGCAACCGAAGAAGAAGGCUUGGCAAAAGGGUUCAACAACUAGGUAUGAGAACUACUGCAAAAAAAGUAGUUUUCAGUGGGUACCGCUACCGACAUCAACGGCUUACCCAAUAAGUCUACAAAAGUAUGCUAAAAAAUAGUAAAGAAAGUUGAAACAAUUCUACAGCUAAAUGUCACUAUACUAUUAUGAUCCAACACUAACUACCUGUAGAGAAUGCAAUCACUGACCAAAUCUCACUAGGGACUGUGAACACACACGUCCCGCCUGUCGAAGCUAUACUAAUUAUCACUACGCUGGGUCGUCAAUGGAGAGUGAGUCCAAUCAUGACACAACGACAACAACGCAAAAGCACAAAAUUCGACUCCGGAGUGGCACUCGUGGGCGCUACCCAACCGAGUACAUAAGCGUAUAUUUGCCGAGAGCUCAAUCAGGCUCUCACAGGCUAUAGUCAAAGUAGAAGGGUCUAAUUGGUCUAACAAUCAUAACACACGUGCCAUCGGCACAAUCUGAUGCAAAAAUAGCAAACUGGGUUCACCGUCAACCACAACGGUCCCCGACAGUCCGGAACAGUCUAAACACGACUGUAAAAAUAAACUCGGUAUCGCAGCACGAGCAUAAAUUCAUUAUACACUAUACUGGAUAUCAACCGUCUACAAACUACGGCGAUACAAAUAAAUUACAGCUUCUAAAGUUAAAUAUGGUAGUUUUCAGAAAAUGACAGUGUAGAACCUAUAGUUUUCUUCUAAGUCAAUUUCAAGUCCAACAUGUCACGCCCCGACACCCGCCUAUUUGGUUAGGUUCGGGAACGCCGACAGACCGCCGAACGGACAGAGUCUCCCCUGUACGUCCUAGGUGUCGCAAUUAAUACAAGUACAAGAAGUUCCAACCAGGAACAGUAUUCAAGUAAGAUUGCAUAAGGAAGGUAUCAAUCAACAUAACACAUCCUAUGUUAUUACAAGCAUUCCCCUUUAGAUUUAUUUUUACAUCACAUUUGCAUUAUUACGUUACAUUCUCUUCCAAAUACAAUUAAUGAUCGCAAUAUUAUUACAAGUUUGCUUUUUUUUUUCUUUUCCCUCUACCCCUAGGCUAUGCCGACUCGGGGUACUUCUAUCUCUGGUCUCUAAGGUAGGGCGCUAUCUAUGGAGCUACGCCCUCGCCUUGCGCCGCUCACGUGGGAACCUGCAAUACCCCAAAACAACGUGGGGUGAGAACCAACUCCAUGGUUCCCAGUGGGUACGGCCACCCAAGGGAAGAGCUCGACCAAUAGGUCUAAGGAGGCCCUACAACAUGUUAGUCCAACAGAUAUCCAACAGAUAUAUAUAUAUAUAUAUAUAUAUAUAUAUAUAUAUAUAUAUAUAUAUAUAUAUUCAAGUUAUGAAAUACAUGUUGUGCCUCACAAUAUGCAAUAUGAAAUCAUGCAGUUUAUGCAACCAUGCAACAACUAGUAGUUCAAUCGAUACUACUUUUAUUCCUGUUAUUCACAGUUCAACCAAUUGACUUCUAAGUUUUCCUCUAUCUUAGAUUCCUGUUAAUUACAAUUCUGCUCAUAGGUUUAACUGCUUUUAGAAGCUAUCCACAUCGACUCGGUCUUGAGUUAAUCAUGACGCGGAAUACCGCACAAAGUCAGGCUCAAGGUAAAGGAUGUCUGACAUGCACCUCAGCCCUAAAUCCACUCAACUGGGAUGCAACUAAAACUCAUAUGAUGCAUCAUAUAGUAAAAUGGUGCUAUCAUGCUAACAAGUUCGAUCCAUGUUCGAUAAGCAAUGUUCAAUGACCAUAUUGACUUUCCAUUUAUCCAAUCUAUGGCGAAACCCUUGGGCUCGCCUACAACUCACAUUUUCAUCCCGUAUUGGGCAAGGGAGCUCCAUAUGCCUCCAAACCCGGGACUGUCUGCGGACCUCCAUGUGGUCCUAAUCGCCCGACACUCCGGAGUACUCGACGACAAUCCUCUCCAUGUGAGGAUAUGGAUGGCUAUACCACGCCAAAUAACAGACCGUGAGCUUGAUCUAUCCUCUCCACGUGAGGAUACCCUACGAACUAGGACCAACAUCUCAAUCGAAACUCGUCUACAUCCUCUCCAUGUGAGGAUACCCUACGAACUAGGGCUAAUAAUGACUCGGGAAAUCCACUAGUCCCAACAGUAAUGUCACAAGUGUCUCUACUACACUUAUUCUCAAAACAUGUCAGAGUAUCUCUACUACACUAGUCCAAAUGCCACUCGAUCUACUUGACACUCUACUUGUGCACAUCAAGUAUUAUAAUUUUCAUGUUCUUGUUUUCCAAUGUCAAUUUAUCUAAUCGACCAAGUUCAACAUGCAUAAUUCAUCUACUAUGUUCCACAAUAUGGCAACAUGUAUAAUUCUUCCAUCAUAUGCAAUAUAUGUCAUCAUGUAUAUGUUUCUAUUUAACAUAAUCCACAAUAUGUUAAUUCACAAUAUGUCAUCAUGCAUAUAUAUUACUAGCAUCAUAUGAUAUGUCAACAUACAUAUAAUAAUCAUCCAAAGUAGUCUAUACUUAGCAUCUCAUGUAUUGUUUUAGCAUUUAAUGCAUUAUACAUUUCAUCUCAUUGGUAGGCAAUAUCAACUACAUAGUGUAACAUACCACAUCCCUCGUAAUCGUGCCGAGUUCCGUCGAGCGGAACGCGGAAUUGAACGAGUUAGAAUGGACCCUGAGCACAUUAGGGCUCAUAGGAGAAGCAAAAAGGGACCCGAUAGAGAGAAUCAGAAAAUCUGGUUAAGUCUCAGAUUUUGUGCUCUCGGGGACCGGUCCCUGAAGGAGAGACCGGUCCCCGUACGCGUAGCCUGCCAGGAAGUCCUGAGGCAACCGGUCCCUGGUGGUGAGACCGGUCCUCGGGAGACCGGUCCCUGAAGGGGCAGACCGGUCCCUCGCUGCGCAACAGCCCAAAAACCCAAAAUUUGGCUAAGUCCUGGAACACCCACGUUCGGGAACUGGUCCCUGGUCGGGGAGACUGGUCCCCGAAGGCGAAAAACGCCCAGUCUCGGCAGAUCAAGGGGAAACAUGUUGAGGGGUCUAAAUGCAAUUGUCACAACACUAUAUGUGGACACCCCUCUCUCUCCCACAGCCAUUUUCACCAUUCUCUCCCAUUUCCUUUCUUUCUCUUUCUAGAACUCUUGCUCUAGGGCUUGGAGAAGAAGAAGAAGAAGCAAGGGAAGGUGGAUUUGGAGGCUUUGGUGGGUUCUACAAGCUCUCCUACAAGCUACAAGCCUACAGAAGGACUUGGGGGGCUUGGGCGAAGGCGUGAGUUUUGGUAGAAAUGAGUCUAGGGCUUGGUUUAAUCCUAUGUUUUGGAGCUUUGGGUUGUUUUGGCCAUGGGAGCCUCUAUAUGCCUUGAACUCCAUGGAACCCAUGAGAUCAAGUGCUCUCAUGGUGUGGGUGGGGUUUGUCAUGGAAGCCUAGGGUUGGUUCAAGUCUAGAACCUUACUAGGAUGCUUCUUAGAGGAUCCUAAGCUAUUGUUUGCUUAAGGUUGGAUCGAUUCAUGGGAAACCCUAAAUGACAAUAUUAGGGCUUGAAUUUGGGCGCUUUUGCCCUAGGUUGGUUCGGGGACAAAUUGCACCCGUGGAACCUAAUUGGGGGUGCCCUAAACACGUUGGGCAACUCCGUUUAACAUUACGAAAAUGAUAGAGUAUAGUCCAUGUACAAAAGGCCUAAUAUGGCACCGUUUUGAUUAGGCGCGGAAGCGGCUUUCGUAAAAUCCGGGAGUCUCAUAAUACUUCACCCACAGCACAUUACUAGAGGUGGGGGUGCACGCGGAAUCGUUGGAUUCCCUUCUAUGUCUGUUUUCUCUACUCUUGAGAUAUAUGUAUAGAAUACCCAUUCAUGAUAGUAGGGUAGAUAAUGUGGAACUUGUUUGACUUCAUUUAUAUGUUUCUAACGUAGUUGAACAUAGGGACGAUAGAACCAAGAAGACAUGUGUGAUUGGAUCCUCAAGUUGUGUGAAUGUGAGGUUGGACUUUGGAAAUAGAAAAACAAGGGUGACAUUGACAUAGAAACAAGAUUGAUUGAGAAAUAAACGUUAACUCUACGUUUACCAAAUUAUGGCAUCAUCACGGAUAUGCCUUGAGAGUGCAAGAAUGAAUAGUAGAGACCUACCAUGACAUCGAUAUUGUGACAGUGCUAUGAAUCCUACAGUUGGGGAUUAGAUCGAUCUCACAUAACGUCUUGGCUUGAGGAAGUGUCUCCCCUCGAGCGUGCGCUCCGAGUUGGUCACCACUGGGCGAGGUAAAGUCCCACCAGUUGACGGUCCUAGGAGCUUGAGUCCCCCAAUUAUUAAGGGGGUUGUGAGUUAUUGGGGUUAACAGAGUUAACCGGUAAGAUUGGGUAAGAGCCAAAGCUUGAUUAUGAUUGGAGCAUGCAUGCAUUUCCAUUUUUGCAUUGAAAUUAUAUAUCUACUGACUUCCUUCUUGCAGGCAUAGUAUUAGUUGCAUUAGUAGUGGUUACUUUUCCUCCUUUGAAAUACUUAUGCCUGGAUGGACCUAGUGGGUAAGUCGGCGAGGUCGGAUGCCGAGCCCACUGGGAACUUCGUUGUAGUUCUCACACCACUAACCCUACAGGUCCUAGCACGAGCGGGGCGGCGGAGGACCGAGGCAAGGGUUUAGCGCUGUAGGUAGCGGCCACCGGAGUAGCAUUACAUUUUGUAGUCAUUACCCUUUUGGUGUACAUGUAGCAGCUUUAUUUUGUUGAAUUAGAGAUGUAAAGUUGUAAACAAUCAUGUAUUUGGUGGAUGACUAAAUGUAAAAAGAUAUGAUGGUUGAAUGGAAUGUAAUAGUUUUGUUUACUCGAAUUUGGUUUAAAUGAAAUCAAAUAUCAUGUGUGAUGUAUAUUUAGCUUAGAGCUUUCGCUUCCGUGGUUGCUUGCCCUCGCGCAAGCCUUGUAUUUUAUAUGCAAUUCUCUUGUUGAUUGCCUAUUUAUACAUGUUGUUAGAGCCUUGGGCGGACAGGGGAGGCUCUGUCCGUUCGGCGUCUGUUGACGUGACCCGAACCCGACCAAAUUGGCGGGGAUUGGGGCGUGACACAUAGUAUGUUUCAAGCAUUCAUAUUAUCAUGUAAGCCUACCAAUACAACUAUAUGCAUCAAUUAGAAAACCAUUAUUCUUAGACAUAUAGGCGACUUAGUCGCUUCGGUGAGCACAACCCACCUCAAAUCGCUUUCCGAUUGCUUGUCAACACUUGCAAUCGGCCUCCCGCGGCACCCAUGUCCAGUUCGGCCCGAUUUUGCUAAUACUCACCAACCGUGCGUCGAAUCGCGGCUCCGAAAAUUAUAGGUCUUCGGUUAUGUGCCACGAUGCUCCAAAUCCAUUUUCAUGAUUUUACGAUGUCGCCUCGGCCCUCCAGGCGGAAACGAAGCCUAAUGUCCGUUUCUUUAAUAACUUCACAAUGGCUCGACGAAUCGCCAAACCGACUUCGCCAACACGUUCGUUUACCUAGCAAUUAGAUUUACGGAGGGUCAAAUUAGAUCAAACCCAUACGUUUUACAAAACUCCAAUUUUGAAGCCCUAGAUGCCAUUAUAGCUAAAUCCAUUAUUUAACUUCAUGAAUCAAGCAAUAAACCUCUAAUUAGCAUCUAAGUAUUCUACUAAAUCCAUCUCUAGAGCAUAUAAAGCUAAUCCUAGAGAUCUACCAUGAGAGGGCUCAAGAAGCUCACCUCAAAGCUUGCUCCAAACCAUGGAGAAGAUGAAGAAGAUGAAGAUGAUUCACUUCCAAGCUUCAAUCUCUACCAAAUCCACCAAUUUUGGGACAGGUUUAGAGAGAGAAAGGGAGGUUUCUCUCUCUCCCUCUCCAUGCGUGUGUGAGUGUGUGUGUGUGUGGGUUGUGGCUGCACGGUUGAGGGGAAGAAGGAGACAAGUGGCCAAAUUCACAAGAACGCCUUGCACCUAUUAGAAAUUACAUCUCCAGCUCAGUUUAGCAGUUCGGAGUCGUUGGAGCCCUUCUGAACGUCCGUUUGCGCUCAAAUUUGACAGGCAGGCUUGGUUUAACGUACUGAGUAAGAAUAUAUCUUAAGUUUUCAGUUUCGACCACGUUUGGUCACCGAAAGCUCUACGGAACUGUAAUCUUUAUCAGAUAGCUGUCGGAUUUUAUUUUUCACUUUCCGGGUGUCAGAAUGGCAUGAAACUUUAAAUCUAGCCUCAUAAAAAUAAUUCUGACAUAUCUUCCAGUUUUCAUUAUUUUCUGACAUUGUGCAUUUUCUGCUAAUUUAUUUGUCCCGUUUCUCACAGAAAAUUCUAAAUCUUCUGUUUUCGCUCCGAUUUCAGCACAGGUCAUUCCCAACCUAUAUUUCACCUCUUUAAAUCCAAUAAAAAUAGUAUCUCAUACUAUUUUUAUUUAUUUCUAUUUUUAUAUUUAAAAUUCGGUAUAUUACAUUCCACCGCAACCUCACCGGAACUAUUCAAAUGGCUUUCCAACCAAAUGUACACCGUAACUUCAUAAUUUUAGAAGUCCGGUACCUUACAUCCUCCCCUCCUUAAAAGAGUUUCGUCCUCGAAACUAUCUCACUUCAAUUCCAAUGCAUACCCCAUCUCAACUUAUCAAAUAGUCGAGGGUUCCAAUACACUUUCGCAUCUCGGAGUGGCCUUUCACUUAUCGGAACUAUCCAAAGGCUCACUACGAAGGAUGUAAGACUAGAUUCACUCACAUUUGCCACGUGCAGCUCCAAAAGUGCAUUACCACCAUGCAAAGAACUACUCUUGCAUUAUACACCCAAUCGAAAAAUUUCACUCCGAUUCGAUCACCUGCAUUGCUUAGAAGCAAUAUCGUUGGUGACUCGACCAAUAGCGAGUGGUUCAUCACAACCGCAUCCUUACUCUAUCACGAGAUGGCCCACUCCGGCACAUCUCUAAUCUCAAUCCACAAAAGAGCAUUGUCCUCAAGCUCCAAUUCCCACAUGGCUAUCCACAUCUCAAUGUCGCACAAGAGCACUUCGCCCUUGAUAUCAUAAGCCACGACCAACUCUACUUCGCUCUUGCGACAAAUCCACACUAACCCUCCGUUCGUGAAUCCAAGCCAAACUCACUAAUAGAGUUAUCGGCUAAACCAAUUACGUCGGUUUCCACACGUGGACCAACGGUCACCCGUCCUACGUAGGUCUACCGCCUAAACAUCUUACAACUACACAUAGCGUCCCUCGCUCACCAGCGUAGACCCAAUCAUAAUCGGGCGAAAUUCUUAUUCGAGAAUUCGCACACACUCCAACAAGGAGCAACCGUGACCCCAAACCACCUCAAAUCCUCGGGUUGGGUCACUACACACUCGGUGUAUCCUCGAUCUCAUGAUCCAACACGUGGCAUUCCACGCUCCCGGGUCUAAGCUCGGACUACCGUCCUGACCAAAUCUCUGCCCUACCCGUAGGUACCGGGCCGCUGUCUCUCACAUCUGACUGCGCCUGCCCAAAGGGCCCAGGCUCCACAGUCCACAAAUGGUCCAGGCACGGGUCGUCCCCAAGCACUACCCGCCGUCGUCGUACUACACGACAUACUCUAUUGAGCUAUAAGUACACUAUCGGCUCUUAAGCACCUAGUGCGAGCCACCAGCCCUACGAGUGAUCCAUGGCCCGCUUCACACUUAGCAAUGCUGAGUGCUACUGCCAACUUACUCUCCCGGCUGAAUCGAAAUCGAACUCUAUGAGUACCCACACUCGAGCGCUCUAUACGCCUCUAUAGCGUCCCACACUAAGUCCAGCAUCAGGCAACCGUGCCUAUGCACACUGACCGCACGAGCACUACUCACCUACCUCAAUUCGAGGUACUACUAGGCCAACGUGCCCAUAUUCGGCAACCAACCGGCUACUCUCUUAACAGUGAUUCUACUCUCACCGUUCAAUCUUCCGGAUCCAUAUCCAAAAUACUCGAACUACUCGGGUAUCCUCAACGUCAUGGUGCAACUCUCGCAAUCGGCUACUCACCCUGCCUUGAGAGCCGCUCCACCGUUCACAUUCACCAUGAGUCCCAUUCCUUGUCCAGGAACCAUUACUAGCCACUUGCUAGUGCCACUUGGCUCUCUACCUGCUCCAGCAGGUGUCACAUUCCCACAAUGCAAGCAUGCCCGGGUAUCUACACUUGCCCGUCCACUGGUCUCUACUAUACUGAUGAAUAAUUAGUAGCAAUUGACCAUUCAAUGAAUGCAUGCAAUGUAUCGACUUAAAAUCAUGCAAAAGCAUAUGCUUGCCUCAGCCAAAUCAUACCUGCUACGUCCUUGCCAGUAGCAGCAGGUUUCUCAACCUGGGUCGCCUACUCAUGACCACUUGGUGCCCACUGCGAACCCUCCGGUUGCCACAUUCUCAUCACGAAGCGUACAUCGCCAUGCCUAGUGAGGACUUCUGCAAUCCCACAUCCCAGAGAAGCCAAAUAAAGGACACUUUCGGGGUUUGGGAUUGCGACUGCAACUUUAAGGAUGUGCACUGCCCAAACUGGGCAAUUUUUGGGUACGGGAACCGGUAUCUCCCUGAAGGGACCGGUCCCCGAGAGCAAGAUUUCUCAAAAUUAGCUCCUUUUUGCCCUUUCACGCGUACGGGGACCGGUCUCUCCCCAAGGGACUGGUCCUCAAGAGCUAAAACUACAUUUUGCAGUUUUUCUCCCAACUUGCUCUCGGAGGCCGCCAACAAUGCACUUCUUGCAUUUUUGACCUCUUCGGCCUCACCGAAGCAUACCAACACGACCCCUGGUCGGUUCUACACGAAGUCCAAUCCUCGUAUUUCAAGAAUUCACUUCCUUACGUGCACAACCUCGACCACGUCCGGCCAAGGUCUCUGCAGAGGCAUUACCCCGCCACUCACACGAGAGUGGCCAAUCAUUCGCGAAGUCCCAAGUCUCCGCUCAUUUCGGAUUGCUUAGGGACACCACUCGUCCCAUCCCGCACUGAUCUAGAUGAAGAUCGCCUACGCGGUGCGAUCGCUUCCUAAGGCACGACAACUCGGUCGAUUCUCGACCCUCAAGGUCGAGCGCGAAACAACUGACACCGACUCGAAUCGGGCGAAAGUCAUGCAAGGGUGUCUAUUCUCAUCACUCGGUUUCAUGUUGUGUAUACCCAACAUGAACAUCCUCGGUUGAGAAUAAACCACACCUCGAGUCUACCUCUAAUAUCCGUUUUAGAGGUUUACUAACCUGACCCAAUCGAUCAAUCUUUCGCCAUAAGUCACAAGUCCUCGUCUCUCACGAGACUUAUUCUCCUAUGGUUUACUAUCCUAGGGUCUCCUAGGUCCGCCUAAACCAUUUCCCAUUCUCUACUUUAUGCUCUGAUACGACCUUAUCUGUCACGCCCCGACACCGGCCUAUUUGGUCAGGUUCGGGCACGCCGACAGACCGCCGAACGGACAGAGUCUCCCUUGUACGUCCUAGGCGUCACAAUCAAUACAAGUACAAGAAGUUCCAACCAGGAACAGUAUUCAAGCAAGAUUGCAUGAGGAAGGUAUCAAACAACAUAACACAUCCUAUGUUAUUACAAGCAUUCCCCUUUAGAUUCAUUUUUACAUCACAUUUGCAUUAUUACGUUACAUUUUCUUCCAAAUACAAUUAAUGAUCGCAAUAUUAUUACAAGUUUGCUCUUUUUUUCUUUUCCCUCUACCCCUAGGCUAUGCCGACUCGGGGUACCUCUAUCUCUGGUCUCUGGAGUAGGGCGCUAUCUAUGGAGCUACGCCCUCGCCUUGCACCGCUGCACCGCUCACGUGCGAACCUGCAACACCCCAAAACAACGUGGGGUGAGAACCAACUCCAUAGUUCCCAGUGGGUACGGCCACCCAAGAGAAGAGCUCGACCAAUAGGUCUAAGGAGGCCCUGCAACAUGUUAGUCCAAUAGAUAUCCAAUAGAUAUAUAUAUAUAUAUAUAUAUAUUCAAGUAUUGAAAUACAUGUUGUGCCUCACAAUAUGCAAUAUGAAAUUCAUGCAGUUUAGGCAACCAUGCAACCAACUAGUAGUUCAAUCGAUACUACUUUUAUUCAUGUUAUUCACAGUUCAACCAAUUGACAUCUAAGUUUUCCUCUAUCUUAGAUUCCUGUCAAUUACAGUUCUCCUCAUAGGGUUUAACCUGCUUGUAUAAGCUAUCCACUCGACUUGGUCUUGAGUCAAUCAUACGCGGAAUACCGCACAAAGCCAGGCUCAAGGUGAAGGAUGUCUCACAUACAUCUCAGCCUUAAAUCCACUCAACUGGGAUGCAACUAAAACUCAUAUGAUGCAUCAUAUAGUAAAAUGGUGCUAUCAUGCUAACAAGUUCGAUCCAUGUUCGAUAAGCAAUGUUCAAUGACCAUAUUGACUUUCCAUUUACCCAAUCUGUGGCGAAACCCUUGGGCUCGCCUACAACUCACAUUUCCAUCCCGUAUUGGGCAAGGGAGCUCCAUGUGCCCUCAAACCCGGGACUGUCUGCGGACCUCCAUGUGGUCCCAAUCGCCCGACACUCUGGAGUACUCGACGACAUCUCAAUCUCCACGUGAGGAUACCCUACGAACUAGGGCCAACAUCUCAAUCGAAACUCGUCUACAUCCUCUCCAUGUGAGGAUACUCUACGAACUAGGACUAACAAUGACUCGGGAAAUCCACUAGUCCCAACAAUAAUGUCACAAGUGUCUCUACUACACUUAUUCUCAAAACAUAUCAUAGUGUCUCUACUACACUAGUCCAAAUGCCACUCGAUCUACUUGACACUCUACUUGUGCACAUCGAGUAUUAUAAUUUUCAUGUUCUUGUUUUCCAAUGUCAAUUUCUCUAAUCGACCAAGUUCAACAUGCAUAAUUCAUCUACUAUGUUCCACAAUAUGGCAACAUGUAUAAUUCUUCUAUUAUAUGCAAUAUAUGUUAUCAUGUAUAUGUUUCUAUUUAACAUAAUCCACAAUAUGUUAAUUCAUAAUAUGUUAAUUCACAAUAUGUCAUCAUGCACAUAUAUUACUAGCAUCACAUGAUAUGUCAACAUACAUAUAAUCAUCAUCCAAAGUAGUCUAUACUUAGCAUCUCAUGCAUUCUUUUAGCUUUUAAUUCAUUAUACAUUUCAUCUCAUUGGUAGGUAAUAUCAACUACAUAGUAUGUUUCAAGCAUUCAUAUUAUCAUGUAAGCCUACCAAUAGCCUAGCUCCGAUUCUACCCCUACCACUAUAAAACCCGUCAAUACACCGCCACUUCUCCUUCCUCCCCUUCGCCGAAGCUCCGAGCGAGUCGCCGAAUUUCGCUUCGCAUUCUAUCUCUCUCUCUCUCUCUCUCUCUACCCCUCUCUCGUUGCACCCUUGCACCUCCUAUCUCGCCGUCGAUGAGAGCGGUGAGAGGAGUGGUGGCGCCGUCGAAGCUCGCGUCGCUUGCCGAGGCGGCGUCCUUCGCCGCCGCCGGCGAGAAGGCACACCCCAACAUCGUCGCCUACAUCCGCCGCUUCAGAUCCGCCCUGGAUGAGCUUGUGCGCCUCCACCGCGAGAUCGAUCCUGACGGGGGUGGCGAAGUGGAAAACCUAGUGGCGUGGUCAAGGGAGAGGUUGGGGAUAUGGGCGCUAGGGUUUUGGGGUUGGUGGAGACGAGGGGGAUGAGGAAGAAAAAAAAAAGCAGAAGAGAGAGAAGGUGGAUGGGGAAAGGAGCGGUUUCGAUGGUGGUGGGGGCGAUGGGGAUUUGGGGGAUGCGGGGAGAAAGAGGAAGAAGAAGAAGAGGAAGAGAUAGGGAAAGAUGAACUUCAUGGGCUUUUUGGAUUAGGAUCUACGUCCCGCCUGUCGAAGCUACAUUAACUAUCACUACGCUGGGCCGUCAGUGGAGAGCGAGUCCAAUCAGGACACAACGACAAUAACGCAAAAGCACAAAAUCCGACUCCGGAGUGGCACUCGUGGGCGCUACACAACCGAAUAUGAAAGCGUAUGUCACGCCCCGGGACCGAGCGGAAGCCCGCCCGGCGCGUGCCCAGACCCGCCAUAUGUCUAAAAUGUAAAAGGCGUCUACAACAAAGCGAUAAAUAAAGCAAUAAUAAAAUAACAUUUAGGAGUAUCAGAGCAUAGUAUAUCUAGAUUUCUAUAACAAGAAAAGGUGAGAGAAGCCAAAACCACUAAAAGGAAACAUAAAGUAAUACAACAAAAAUCCCAGUACAAGUGCUAUAAGUGGUACAAUGGUGGUCUCUAUACACGGUAACAAAACUCUCUCUCACCAAAAACACAAAAAGGAGAGUUGACCACCUAGGAGCAAAAGCAAGCUCCGCGCUAACUAGCUAAGCGACGCCCUUGCCGCGAUCCCAUGCCUCCGCCGACGCCGAAGGCUCUGAAAUAAAACUAUAAAACAGGGGGCGUGAGAACUAUUUUUAUUAAUAGUUCCCAAUGGGCAAUUACUGACUUCAGUGAAAUGCGCCACUAGGCCCAAAAGCUACAAAAAGGGGUAAGUACGAGUAUAAGCAAAAGUGAUAUAUACGACAAGUAAAUAAACAUAAGUACUUGCUACUACAUGAUGUCUCUACUUAGCAUGGAAUUUGCAUAAGAAAGUUAUACUAUCAUGAAAAUGCACGAGUAUACAACCAUCAUAAUAUCCACAAUGUAAUAGUAAAAUGUCAUUGUUUACUAUUCUAGUCAAUGUUCACUUGGCAUGUUAACUACUUAAAGUUAAAUCUUGGGAGACCCGCCCGAAGGCUGUCUUGCCUGUAGACCCACCCAUAGGCUGUCUUACCGGUGCCGAGCCUAAUGGCCUCGUAGUAGUCAAUAUCCCCACUCUAGGAAUGAGCCUUGCCCACGGCAAUCCACUUCGGCGCCCAAUCCCGCACGGCGAAUAUGUAUCGCGAUAGCCAUCUCCGGAGUGCUGGCUUGUAGGGAGCGACUCUCACAAGCGUGUGCGAAUGAGCACAAUGGCAGCAAGCGUAAGAUCCGUCUCAAGUCUCAAAUCAUCAUGUCUAAAAUAUGGAAUAUAACAUAUGUCUCAAGGACCUAUCUCUAUGUCAUCAUGUCUAAAACAUGGAAUAUAGUAUAUAUCAAUGGCCUAUCACUAUGUCUCUAUAUUGCAGUUUUCCAGUUUGCUAGUUCAUGUGCCCCUUCAUGACACUUUUGUUCACUAAGUCAAAGCAUGAUAAUUAUAUUUAUGAAUACAUAAUUCUAUUCAUUUCCCUCGCACGAGGCAUGUAAUCAACUCGCAAGGAUAAACACUUCCACAUGCAUGCAGCCUACACAUAUAGCUCCACUAUAUAGAGUGUAAUUUUUAUUAUACAUAACACAUGCAUUUUAAGUAUUCUAAAAUUCACAUAAAUCCCAUUUAGCAUAAAUAUGCAAUCAAAUUGACGUUACGACAAGUAUAAUAUACAUAGGGGCCAUUUUGCCCCGAUUUCAUGAAGUCAAACCCACCAAAACUCUUGCGACCCUUCGUUUGCUCUGACGAAGGUGCCCACUAGUCUCCUAGCACCCUAAAGAUGUAGGAACCAGAGUUAAACGAACCUUACGAACAUCUCAAAACUCAAACAUUAACCAACUCUAGCUAAGGUGGAGAAAACUCACCUAUAGCCUAGGAAUCCUCUAAGAAAUCCCAAAUGGAAGUCAAAUCCCUUCCAAAGCAACCUAUACUAAGGUUCUAAGCCAAUCAAUCAGGUUUCAAAGCCCUCAAAUCAAAAAUCUCCAAUUCUAACCCUAAAAUCGAAAUCUAGGGUUUCAUUUGGUAAAACCUACCAAAACAUGCUCCAAAGAGUAGAUUAAGCAUACUAACCUUGUAAGGUACCAGGCUUCUAAAAUCAUGAAGUUACGGUGUACAUUUGGUUGGAGAGCCAUUAGAAUGGUUUCGAUGAAGUUCGGUGAAAUUCGGGAGCAUUCGGGCGUUUCGAUGCGCGUAGGCGCAAAAAGGGGACCCGAAAGGCUAUGUUGGACCAUGAUCUAAAUCUGGCAUUAGCGCGAAUGAAAAGAUGAUAAAAAUACACUCGCAAACAUGUGUGGAGAGUCUCGGUUCGAUUUGAAACGAAUCGGAGACUCACGGAGCGAAAACGAGCGAAAACGGACCAAAAUUGGCGAAAAGGCUGAAAGUUUGGCUAAGUCUGAAAAUGCUGAUUUUCUGGACCUACGGGGUCCGGACCCUGGCUUCAGGAUCCGGACCCUGAGCCCGAAAAAUGCCCAGUUUGAGCAGGGGCAAUCUUGUAAAUUGGUGGGAUUGCUUCUAGAAGAAGGGCUUUAACCCUUCUUCUUCCUUUCUCAACCCAAACGCACACACACACACACAUGAGCUAGAGAGAGGCGCUCCCCUCUCUCUCUAGAUUUCUCCUCCAUCUCUCUAGAUCUGUAAUAUACCGAAAAUUCGGGAAAUAAAUAUCGAACUUUAGUCAAAUUGACUAAAGUGCGAGGAUGGUACACUUCGGAAAGUUCGAAGGUGUUGAAAUGAUUAAAAGCGAGUUACGGGAGGUUUUCGAGAGCUAUAGAAUCAAAAUCUGCAUUCAGCAAUUUUGAGCUCUCGGGGACCGGUCCCUGGUGGGAGAGACCGGUCCCCGAACGCGUAUGAAUUGAGACAGCCGAAAAAUCGGCUAAGUCCUGAGAAACCAGCUCUCGGGAACCGGUCCCUGCCUGAGAGACCGGUCCCCGAGAGACCGGUCCCCCAAAGAGAGACCGGUUGCCCUGCGCGCAGCAGCUCUGGUUGCGCGGGGAGAGCCUUCGGGAACCGGUCCCUGAAGCAGAGACCGGUCCCCGGUUGCGCGAACUGCCCAGUUCGGGCUGUGUAAUGAGAUAAAAGCUGAGGGACUUAUCUGCGAAAAUGCGUUAUGUGGGUCAUGUUUAGGGCUGAGAGAGCCUCUGCCUCUCAUUCCCUCACACCCAAACUCAUCCCUCUCCCUCUCUCUCUCUAAAAGACAAAGAAGGAGAAGAAGAAGACAAGGAAAGAGAGGAAAAGAAGGAGAAGAAAAAGGAGAAGAAGAAGAGGAAGUGAUGAAACUCCCUCUCCCUCAUCUCUAGCUUGGAAAAGGAGAGCUUACAAGGUAAGCUUUGAACCCUAAUUAUGGUAGAACCUAAUUUAGGAUUUGGAUUAAGCUUAAAAUGAGUUUUAUGGAACCAUUUGAGUAUUUGAAGCUUUUCUUUUGCUUCUUUUGAGAUCAAGACCAUAGAAAUGGUGAAGCUUGAGGUGAGCUUCAUCACCUCUCAUGGUGAAACCCUAAGUAGGGUUUUGAUUUGUCUAAAGAUGGUUCUAAUNNNNNNNNNNNNNNNNNNNNNNNNNNNNNNNNNNNNNNNNNNNNNNNNNNNNNNNNNNNNNNNNNNNNNNNNNNNNNNNNNNNNNNNNNNNNNNNNNNNNNNNNNNNNNNNNNNNNNNNNNNNNNNNNNNNNNNNNNNNNNNNNNNNNNNNNNNNNNNNNNNNNNNNNNNNNNNNNNNNNNNNNNNNNNNNNNNNNNNNNNNNNNNNNNNNNNNNNNNNNNNNNNNNNNNNNNNNNNNNNNNNNNNNNNNNNNNNNNNNNNNNNNNNNNNNNNNNNNNNNNNNNNNNNNNNNNNNNNNNNNNNNNNNNNNNNNNNNNNNNNNNNNNNNNNNNNNNNNNNNNNNNNNNNNNNNNNNNNNNNNNNNNNNNNNNNNNNNNNNNNNNNNNNNNNNNNNNNNNNNNNNNNNNNNNNNNNNNNNNNNNNNNNNNNNNNNNNNNNNNNNNNNNNNNNNNNNNNNNNNNNNNNNNNNNNNNNNNNNNNNNNNNNNNNNNNNNNNNNNNNNNNNNNNNNNNNNNNNNNNNNNNNNNNNNNNNNNNNNNNNNNNNNNNNNNNNNNNNNNNNNNNNNNNNNNNNNNNNNNNNNNNNNNNNNNNNNNNNNNNNNNNNNNNNNNNNNNNNNNNNNNNNNNNNNNNNNNNNNNNNNNNNNNNNNNNNNNNNNNNNNNNNNNNNNNNNNNNNNNNNNNNNNNNNNNNNNNNNNNNNNNNNNNNNNNNNNNNNNNNNNNNNNNNNNNNNNNNNNNNNNNNNNNNNNNNNNNNNNNNNNNNNNNNNNNNNNNNNNNNNNNNNNNNNNNNNNNNNNNNNNNNNNNNNNNNNNNNNNNNNNNNNNNNNNNNNNNNNNNNNNNNNNNNNNNNNNNNNNNNNNNNNNNNNNNNNNNNNNNNNNNNNNNNNNNNNNNNNNNNNNNNNNNNNNNNNNNNNNNNNNNNNNNNNNNNNNNNNNNNNNNNNNNNNNNNNNNNNNNNNNNNNNNNNNNNNNNNNNNNNNNNNNNNNNNNNNNNNNNNNNNNNNNNNNNNNNNNNNNNNNNNNNNNNNNNNNNNNNNNNNNNNNNNNNNNNNNNNNNNNNNNNNNNNNNNNNNNNNNNNNNNNNNNNNNNNNNNNNNNNNNNNNNNNNNNNNNNNNNNNNNNNNNNNNNNNNNNNNNNNNNNNNNNNNNNNNNNNNNNNNNNNNNNNNNNNNNNNNNNNNNNNNNNNNNNNNNNNNNNNNNNNNNNNNNNNNNNNNNNNNNNNNNNNNNNNNNNNNNNNNNNNNNNNNNNNNNNNNNNNNNNNNNNNNNNNNNNNNNNNNNNNNNNNNNNNNNNNNNNNNNNNNNNNNNNNNNNNNNNNNNNNNNNNNNNNNNNNNNNNNNNNNNNNNNNNNNNNNNNNNNNNNNNNNNNNNNNNNNNNNNNNNNNNNNNNNNNNNNNNNNNNNNNNNNNNNNNNNNNNNNNNNNNNNNNNNNNNNNNNNNNNNNNNNNNNNNNNNNNNNNNNNNNNNNNNNNNNNNNNNNNNNNNNNNNNNNNNNNNNNNNNNNNNNNNNNNNNNNNNNNNNNNNNNNNNNNNNNNNNNNNNNNNNNNNNNNNNNNNNNNNNNNNNNNNNNNNNNNNNNNNNNNNNNNNNNNNNNNNNNNNNNNNNNNNNNNNNNNNNNNNNNNNNNNNNNNNNNNNNNNNNNNNNNNNNNNNNNNNNNNNNNNNNNNNNNNNNNNNNNNNNNNNNNNNNNNNNNNNNNNNNNNNNNNNNNNNNNNNNNNNNNNNNNNNNNNNNNNNNNNNNNNNNNNNNNNNNNNNNNNNNNNNNNNNNNNNNNNNNNNNNNNNNNNNNNNNNNNNNNNNNNNNNNNNNNNNNNNNNNNNNNNNNNNNNNNNNNNNNNNNNNNNNNNNNNNNNNNNNNNNNNNNNNNNNNNNNNNNNNNNNNNNNNNNNNNNNNNNNNNNNNNNNNNNNNNNNNNNNNNNNNNNNNNNNNNNNNNNNNNNNNNNNNNNNNNNNNNNNNNNNNNNNNNNNNNNNNNNNNNNNNNNNNNNNNNNNNNNNNNNNNNNNNNNNNNNNNNNNNNNNNNNNNNNNNNNNNNNNNNNNNNNNNNNNNNNNNNNNNNNNNNNNNNNNNNNNNNNNNNNNNNNNNNNNNNNNNNNNNNNNNNNNNNNNNNNNNNNNNNNNNNNNNNNNNNNNNNNNNNNNNNNNNNNNNNNNNNNNNNNNNNNNNNNNNNNNNNNNNNNNNNNNNNNNNNNNNNNNNNNNNNNNNNNNNNNNNNNNNNNNNNNNNNNNNNNNNNNNNNNNNNNNNNNNNNNNNNNNNNNNNNNNNNNNNNNNNNNNNNNNNNNNNNNNNNNNNNNNNNNNNNNNNNNNNNNNNNNNNNNNNNNNNNNNNNNNNNNNNNNNNNNNNNNNNNNNNNNNNNNNNNNNNNNNNNNNNNNNNNNNNNNNNNNNNNNNNNNNNNNNNNNNNNNNNNNNNNNNNNNNNNNNNNNNNNNNNNNNNNNNNNNNNNNNNNNNNNNNNNNNNNNNNNNNNNNNNNNNNNNNNNNNNNNNNNNNNNNNNNNNNNNNNNNNNNNNNNNNNNNNNNNNNNNNNNNNNNNNNNNNNNNNNNNNNNNNNNNNNNNNNNNNNNNNNNNNNNNNNNNNNNNNNNNNNNNNNNNNNNNNNNNNNNNNNNNNNNNNNNNNNNNNNNNNNNNNNNNNNNNNNNNNNNNNNNNNNNNNNNNNNNNNNNNNNNNNNNNNNNNNNNNNNNNNNNNNNNNNNNNNNNNNNNNNNNNNNNNNNNNNNNNNNNNNNNNNNNNNNNNNNNNNNNNNNNNNNNNNNNNNNNNNNNNNNNNNNNNNNNNNNNNNNNNNNNNNNNNNNNNNNNNNNNNNNNNNNNNNNNNNNNNNNNNNNNNNNNNNNNNNNNNNNNNNNNNNNNNNNNNNNNNNNNNNNNNNNNNNNNNNNNNNNNNNNNNNNNNNNNNNNNNNNNNNNNNNNNNNNNNNNNNNNNNNNNNNNNNNNNNNNNNNNNNNNNNNNNNNNNNNNNNNNNNNNNNNNNNNNNNNNNNNNNNNNNNNNNNNNNNNNNNNNNNNNNNNNNNNNNNGGGAGCGGCGGCAGCAGCGGCUGUUCCAGUUACGGUAGUACCGGCCGGGUCGGGAACUUCGAAUCCCGAUAGCAUGGCAGUCGAUGCGGAGCGAGAGCGCACUUUGGCGGCUCUCAUACAAUUCAAGAAGUUCGACCCACCUACCUUCGAGGGCGGUUUGGUGGAGCCGGCGGUUGUGGAGUCGUGGAUCGACUCAAUGGAGACACUCUUCGAGGACCUAAAUACCUCGGAGAAAGACAAAGUGUACCUCGCCACCCAUUGUCUAGGGAAGGCGGCGAUGGUGUGGUGGAAACGAGUUAAGCGGGAUCGUCCUACCGAUCUCCCGCUCAUGCUUUGGCAAGAGUUCAAGAGAGCGGUGUUCGCGAACUACUUCUCCGACACGAUGAAGCGGAAGCUACAAGAAAAGUUCCGCAAGUUGAGACAGGGUGAUCGAUCGGUGGGGGAGUAUGAGCAGGAAUUCUCCUACAUUAUUGACUGUGUUCCCGACGUUGUUCGUGAUGAUCGGGACCGGGCGGAUUGGUUCUUGCGAGGACUCCAACCCCGGAUUUAUGAGAAAGUGCAUAUUUUGAAGUUGUCGACCUUUGCGGAGGUCUUUGAUCGAGCCUUGUGGGCGCAACACGGUAGCGCCCAUGUACGUGAAGAAAGGGAAGCUAUUGCCGAGUCGAAGGACAAGGGCAAGAAAAGAGCGACGGGCGGUGCCGGGGGCCGGCCAAAUGCUAAGAAACCCCCUCGGUAUCCCCGACAGCAGUCGAGUAACUGGAGACCACCUCGAUGUGUUAUUUGUGGUGGUGAGCACAAGGUGUCAACUUGCCCGCAGCACGAUGGCAAGUGUUUCAAGUGUGGCCAACCGGGACAUCUUAUCCGGGAGUGCCCGUCGUGGACGUCGUCUGCACCAAUGGCGGCUUCAACACCGUCUACCCCGAGAUAGCUUGCGGGGUUGCCACCGGCGAUGUCGGCUGGGCGCGCGUCAGCACCGAGUCAGCCGGAGGGGUCGAGAGCGCCUAGCGGCCGAGUUUUUGCCGCUCAGGUGGAGGAGCAGCAACCUGCAGCACCCGACGACGUCGUGGCAGGUAUAAUUGUGAUUAAAGGCACUAGAGCUAGAGCAUUGUUCGAUACUGGUGCAUCACGUUCAUUUAUAGGCUCAAAGUUUGCAAGGGCACAUGGCAUAGAAAUAACGCAUAACGAGGACUACUGGUGGGUGAAUGGUCCCGAGCACUCGUUUCGUGUUUAUGAUGAGUGCUUGGAGGUUCCGGUGCAAAUCGGCGAUUGGAUUAUGCCAAUAAACCUGCUGGUGCUAGACCGGAUGUGGGGCUUUGAUGUUAUUUUGGGAACCAAUUGGCUCUCCAAAUAUUAUGCGGUCAUAGACUGUGAAAGCAGGGUUAUCACUUUUCGUGAGCCUAACCAAGAAGAGUUCGUGUACCGGGCGUGCAGAGGUGCGCGUUUCGCGGCGACUAUAUUGUCGGUGAGGGCCAAGAGAAUGAUUAAAGGAGGAUGUAAGGCCUAUUUGGCAACCAUGGUUGAUGGCCGUGGGGAGCACCCAGACCUUGGAAGUAUCCGAGUUGCGUGUGAGUUUCCGGAUGUGUUUCCGGCGGAGUUACCGGGAUUGCCACCGGACCGGGAAGUUGAGUUCGUUAUUGACUUGAUUCCCGGGGCGGAACCAGUUUCGAAGGCUCCGUACAGAAUGGCACCGGUGGAGCUAAAGGAGUUGAAAGGCCAACUGCAGGACUUGCUCGAUAAAGGCUUUGUGAGGCCGAGCAUGUCACCGUGGGGAGCUCCGGUGCUAUUUGUGAAGAAGAAAGACGGAACACUUUGACUCUGCGUAGACUAUCGCGAGUUGAAUAAAGUAACGAUAAAGAACAAGUACCCGUUGCCAAGGAUUGACGAUCUAUUCGAUCAGUUGCAAGGGUCCAGAGUGUAUUCAAAGAUUGAUCUCCAGUCGGGGUAUCAUCAACUAAAGAUAAGGCCGAAAGACAUGCACAAAACGGCGUACCGUACGCGGUAUGGCCAUUAUGAAUUUACGGUAAUGCCGUUUGGGCUUACUAAUGCCCCGGCAGCGUUUAUGGACUUGAUGAAUCGAGUCUUCAGACCAUUGUUGGAUCGAUGCGUCGUGGUGUUUAUAAACGACGUAUUGGUCUAUUCGAAGAGCGAAGAGGAGCACGAAGAGCAUCUGAGAGCUGUGUUGCAAAUACUCAGAGAGGAGAGGCUCUAUGCGAAGUUAAAGAAGUGUGACUUUUGGCUAAAAGAAGUCACAUUCUUGGGCCAUGUGGUGUCGGGCGACGGAGUGUCCGUAGACCCGAAGAAAGUGGAGGCGAUCAAGGAUUGGCCUCGCCCGACGAAUAUAGCGGAGGUCCGCAGUUUUCUUGGACUUGCGGGCUACUACCGGCGGUUCGUGGAGGGGUUUGCCAAAAUAACCACUCCACUAACGCGCCUUACGCAUAAAGGAGUAAAGUAUGUUUGGAGCGACGAUUGUGAUCGGAGCUUCGAGGAGUUAAAGAAUAGAUUGACGUCGACCCCGGUGCUUGCCUUGCCGACUCCGGGGGAGACUUUUGUAGUGUAUAGUGAUGCCUCGUAUGUUGGUCUCGGGUGUGUGUUAAUGCAAAAUGGGCGAGUCAUUGCUUAUGCAUCGCGCCAAUUAAAGAGUUAUGAGAAGAACUACUCGAUUCACGACCUUGAGUUAGCCGCGGUGAUUUUCGCACUGAAGCUUUGGAGGCAUUACUUAUAUGGUGAACAUUGUGAGGUAUACACCGAUCACAAGAGUCUAAAGUACUUGUUCACCCAGAAAGAGUUGAACAUGCGACAGCGGCGGUGGUUAGAGUUGCUAAAGGACUAUGAUGUCACUAUAUUAUACCACCCCGGAAAAGCCAAUGUUGUGGCCGAUGCCUUGAGUAGAAAAUCGGCGGAGAACUUAGCGACGGCAAUUACGCCUCAACCGCUAUUGCAAAAGGAAAUGCAACGAUUCGGGUUGGAAGUGGUAGCGCCGGGAGUGCCGGCUACACUUGCCACAUUGGUUGUGCAACCGACCCUAUUGGAAAGAAUCAAAGAGUUACAAGCUUCGGAUCCUUAUCUCCAAAAGGUUCGGGGUGAUGUUGAGAAUGGCAAUGCCGAAGACUUUGGCAUUGGAGCUGAUGGCGCACUUCGAUUUCGAAAUCGAUGGUGUGUGCCUAAAGAUGAUGAGUUGCGAAGGGCGAUCAUGCAAGAAGCGCAUCAAUCUCCCUAUAGUAUACACCCCGGCGGCACUAAAAUGUACAAGGAUUUGAAAGAGCACUAUUGGUGGCCGGGUAUGAAAAGAGAUAUUGGGGAGUUCGUGGCGCAAUGUCUAACGUGCCAACAAGUAAAAGCUGAGCGCCGAUUUCCGGCGGGAAAGCUACAAAGUCUACCAAUACCCGUUUGGAAAUGGGAAGAUAUAGCAAUGGACUUUGUUACCGGUUUGCCUCGAUCACAAGGCGGACACGAUGCGAUAUGGGUGAUAGUGGAUCGAUUGACAAAGUCGGCACACUUCUUGCCGAUACAUACUACGUGGUCGGGAGACAAGCUAGCGCAAGUUUAUCUCGACGAGGUUGUGAGACUUCAUGGGGUUCCAGUGUCGAUCGUGUCGGAUCGCGACCCCAGGUUCACAUCCCACUUUUGGAAGAGUUUGCAAGACGCGCUAGGCACACGGCUCGACUUCAGUACAGCGUUUCAUCCUCAAAGUGAUGGACAGUCGGAGCGAACAAUACAAAUCCUUGAGGAUUUACUUCGAGCGUGUGUGCUAGAUUAUAAAGGAGGAUGGCAUGAUUUCUUGCCUAUGGCGGAGUUCGCCUACAAUAAUAGCUACCAAGAAAGUAUAGCGAUGGCGCCUUUUGAGGCACUAUAUGGUCGAAAGUGUCGUUCUCCUAUCCAUUGGAGCGACGUGGGCGAGAGAACGGCUCUUGGCCCGGAUGUAGUGCGGGAGGCGGAAGAGAAAGUUCGCCUUGCCCGUCAACGGUUAGCGAUGGCGCAAUCUCGGCAAAAGAGUUAUGCCGACAAGCGAAGAAAGGAUUUAGAGUUUGCGGUUGGAGACCGUGUAUUCUUGAGAGUAUCGCCAAUGCGAGGAGUUAAGCGAUUUGGGGUCCGUGGGAAAUUAAGUCCCCGAUAUGUCGGACCAUUUGAGAUAUUGGAGCGUGUGGGUGCGGUGGCAUACAAGCUCGCACUACCACCGAGACUCGCGGGAGUUCACAAUGUAUUUCAUGUGUCAAAUCUUCGAAAGUAUAUUCGCAACUCGACACAUGUAUUAGAGUACGAGCCCGUGGAGUUACGUGAGGAUAUGUCUUACGAGGAGUACCCGGUGUGCAUCCUCGAUCGAGAAGUUAAGAAGUUGCGGAGUCGCAAAAUCCCUUAUGUAAAAGUCCAAUGGAGCAACCACGCGGCGCGAGAAGCCACUUGGGAGCUCGAGGAAACCAUGCGGCGAGAGUAUCCGCAUCUAUUCGAAUCGACGAGUUAAGGUAUGUGUAAUUUCGCGGACGAAAUUAUUUUAAGGGGUGGAGAAUGUAAUAUACCGAAAAUUCGGAAAAUAAAUAUCGAACUUUAGUCAAAUUGACCAAAGUGCGAGGAUGGUACACUUUGGAAAGUCCGAAGGUGUUGAAAUGAUUAAAAGUGAGUUACAGGAGGUUUUCGAGAGCUAUAGAAUCAAAAUCUGCAUUCAGUAAUUUUGAGCUCUCGGGGACCGGUCCCUGGUGGGAGAGACCGGUCCCCGAACGCGUAUUAAUUGAGACAGCCGAAAAAUCGGCUAAGUCCUGAGAAACCAGCUCUCGGGAACCGGUCCCUACCUGAGAGACCGGCCCCCGAGAGACCGGUCCCCCAAAGAGAGACUGGUUGCCCUGCGCGCAGCAGCUCUGGCUGCGCGGGGAGAGCCUUCGGGAACCGGUCCCUCAAGGAGAGACCGGUCCCCGGCUGCGCGAACUGCCCAGUUCGGGUCGUGUAAUGAGAUAAAAGCUGAGGGACUUAUCUGCGAAAAUGCAUUAUGUGGGUCAUAUUUAGGGCUGAGAGAGCCUCUCCCUCUCAUUCCCUCACACCCAAACUCAUCCCUCUCCCUCUCUCUCUCUAAAAGACAAAGAAGGAGAAGAAUAAGACAAGGAAAGAGAGGAAAAGAAGGAGAAGAAAAAGGAGAAGAAGAAGAGGAAGUGAGGAAACUCCCUCUCCCUCAUCUCUAGCUUGGAAAAGGAGAGCUUACAAGGUAAGCUUUGAACCCUAAUUAUGGUAGAACCUAAUUUAGGGUUUGGAUUAAGCUUAAAAUGGGUUUUAUGGAACCAUUUGAGUAUUUGAAGCUUUUCUUUUGCUUCUUUUGAGAUCAAGACCAUAGAAAUGGUGAAGCUUGAGGUGAGCUUCAUCACCUCUCAUGGUGAAACCCUAAGUAGGGUUUUGAUUUGUCUAAAGAUGGUUCUAAUGGACUUUUUAGAGUAUAAUGAAGCUAUUAUUUUUGCCUUCUCUUUGAGAUCAAACCCUUAGGUUUGCAUAUAUUAUUGAGCUUAGGCACCAAAUUGGGGCUUUUGUCAUAGGGAUUUCUAGUGCAAUUGACCCUCUAGAAGACCUAACUACUGGGGGUAAUCCAUACGCGAUUGGUAUGCGCCUCGAAUAGCAUUGCGAAAAGUUGUAUGUAAAGUAUGGCCCAAAUAAGCCCUAAUUGCUGUUAUGCCGGCAGGUAGUGAACCGGGUGUCUAAAAAAUCCCAGAAAUCUUCGGAGCACCUAAAAGACCUCAAUUGGUGGUAGGUGCUUCCAAACUCGGUUUGAAUUCUCUCCAUCGCCUAAUGUUCAUCAAUUGAGCAUAUGUUAUUAUUACUUGUUUGCAUGAUUUUAGGUAAGUGAUGAUAAAAAAUGUGAUAUUGCAGUGAUGUGAGUACAACUUGCUUAAUGUGAUGGCGAGGACCCCUAUGAAUGUUAGAACCCAUAGCUGUAUGCAAUGAGAGGAAAAUGUGAAGUACCAAGUGAGGCCAAAGAACAGAGUGCACUAUGACAUAGAUCGCCAGUGGAUCUAAUAAUGCUAAAGUAAGUUGACCACGAGUUAGUGUGCAAGCACAAGAAUCAAUGUGAUGUAAAGAAUGAUGACGAUGACUAAAGCUAAAGCAAAGAGCAUGCAAUAAUAGAACAUGUAAAGUUAAAGAAUAUGAAAGCUAAAGAUAGCCUAGGAGUAAAGAAUGUAAAGAAAUGAUUGUAGCAAGUGGCCAACAUAAAGUGAUGUAAUGAAACACUAGCAGUUAUGUGUAAAGUCAAGAUAUGAACUUAUAACUCCUUUGAGUUUAAGGAUUCGAUCAUACUUGCUUAUAGUUCCGUGCUCCGGAGGGGCGCGUCGCUCCCCUCGGGCGAUGCGCAUCCCGGCAGUUAUCAUCAAACGCGGUUGGAGUCAACCGAAAGGAACCACGGUCUAGCGGGUGAGUUCCUUGCGAUGAUGGACUUAAUGUGAGCAAGUUAAUGUGAGCGAAACGCCCCGCGGUUACGCCUUGAGAUUAAGCACACAAGAGAGCAGAACGAAAAAGUGCUAAGAACAAAGAACAAAGACAAAGAAAUAAAAAGAAAGAACAAAGCAAUUUUGCAUCAAUCUCAUUGUAUUUAAUAUUGAGCAUACUCCUUGCCUUAUUGUUCAGGCAUAUUAAGCAUCAUGUAUAUGAUGGUUCACUUAUAUGCAGCUUAUUCUUUCUAUUAUGCCUGAGUUAGUCCUAGUGGGAAAGUCGGUGAUGUUGAGGCCGAACCCACUGGGAACUUUGUUGUAGUUCUCACCCCACUAUUUCCACAGAGCCGGGACCGAGCGAGCCGGCGAGCGACCGAGGUAAAGGUAUCGCGCCUUAGUCAGAGGCCACCAAAGUUGGGUUUCAUUUUGUAGUAAAGUACCCUAUGAUCAUCUUUUGUACAUGACGGUAAAUGAUGUAAAGAAAAGAAUGUAAUGUGUAUUUUGAGGUAAAUGUGAUGUAAGAAAGAAAUGAUGCCAACGAUGUAAUGUAAUGAAAUGCAAAGAAUCCAAAGUGUAAAAGAAGAAUGCAAUGUAUAUGAUCUAAAAUGAAUCAUAUUACUUGUGUAGAUGUUUAGUUUCCUUUCUUUCACUAAUGGCUAUUGCUUACCCUCGCGUAAGCCGUUUGUGUAUGUUUCCGCUAGUGUAUUUCUUGUUUGAAUUUGUACAUGUGAUGAGCCUUGGGCGGAUAGGGAAAACUCUGUCCGUUCGGCGUCUGUUUGACGUGCUCGGGUCGGGCCAAAUUGGUAUCGGUCCCGGGGCGUGACAAGAUCCAUCUCUAAAACUUGGAGGCUUGGAGGAGAAGGAUCUUGCGAACACGUGGGCUGUGAUGGUUCGAGCUUUCGUGCGCCCGUUUGAGUGGCGUGCUCCCGUCUCGGCGUUCGCAAUUUGGUAAGCUUUUGGGAUUUGGUUUAAUCCUUAAUGCUUGGUGGUUUAAUAGUCUCUAGUGUAGUUUUAGCAUACUUUCCCCAUGAGAUUUGUGUUAUUAGAGUUUAUGCUAAAGCUAGGGCUCCAAAAUGAGGUUUUGCUAAAUAGUUGGGUUUGAUCUAGUUUAACUCUAUAUAUACCUAAUUGCUAGGUAUUAUGACGCGUUGGCGAAGUCGGUUCGGCGAUUCGUUGAGCCGGUGCGAAGAUAUUGAAGAAACGGAGGAUUUAGCUUCAUUUCCUCCUGGAGAACCGAGGCGACGUCCAUAAAUCGUGAAAAUGGAUUUGGAGUGUCAUGGCAAGAAACCGAAGACCUUUAAUUUUCGGAUCGCGGAUCGGACGGCGUUCGGUGGUUGCGCGUGAAUUGGGUCGAGCCGAGCGGCGUGCGCCGCGGGAGGCGGAUUGCGAGUGGCGACGAGCUAUCGGAACGCGAUAAAAGGUGGGUGGUGACAAUCCCGAAGCAGUUGAACUGCUCCCUAUGUCUAAGUAUUAUGGUUGAUCAAUUAUGCAUAUUGAGCAUGAUGCAUUAUAGGGUGCUUAAUUAGUUGUUAUGUAUUCUUGCAUGUUAUAGGUAGUGUUGUAUUACUUGUUUAACACAUAAGCCUUGUAUGCAUGAGAUUGAGAUAUGUUGUUUAGUAAUCCUAUAAUGAGAUGAUAAAUGUUGAUUUGAUCCUAGGUAGACGGAAACCUAUUGGAUGUGUAAUUAGUGUAUUGGGAAUACUUAAACAAGAAUGAUUGGCAUUUGGACUAGUGUAACUAUUAUGCAUAAUCAGGUAUUAAAUAGUUGCAUUUCCAUUCUUGCAUGAUCCUUAGUAGUGUAGCAACAUAAGUUUGGCACUUGACUUAGGAUGCAUGAGAAUAGCGGAACUGUGACCUAGAACCCUAUAGUGGUAAAGUAAAUGACGAACUUAACCUUGUGUUAACGAGAACCAAAGAACGAGUGGCAUCUAAAUAAGUAAAUAAUUUGACGAGUGGCAUGAUAAGUAAAGUAUAGAGGAAACACUUGUUCCGUGUUGAACGUAGGAAUGAACUAGUUUCCAAGUGAUGUUGUCUAGAGUGGUAGGGUAUCCUCAGUGACAGGGAUUUGAUCAUACUCAUAUGUCUGUUCAAAGCUUGGGGUGGUCGCUCCACACAAGUAGUGCACUCCGGAGUUGUCACACGAUAGGGAUAGCCUUUUGGGUCUCACAGACGGUCUUGGGCAAGUGAGCUGAUCCUCCCCAGGUGAGUCGGGUGAGUGAGCUGAUCCUCACCUGUGAGAUAGAGAUUGGGUUGUGGUACCUGUGUUGAGUCGGGCGAGUGAGCGGAUCCUCCCCGUAGAGUGCGUGUUGCGGGUUGGGCGAGUGAGCGAAUCCUCCCCGUAGAGUGUGUGUUGCGGGUCGGGCGAAUGAGCGGAUCCUCCCCGUAGAGUGUGUGUUGCCAGUCGGGCGAGUGAGCGGAUCCUUCCCGUAGAGUGUGUGUUGCGGGUCGGGCGAGUGAGCGGAUCCUCCCCGUAGAGAGUGUGUUGUGAGUCGGGCGAGUGAGCGGAUCCUCCCUGUAGAGAGUGUGUGUGUUUCGAGUCGGGCGAGUGAGCAGAUCCUCCUCGUAGAGUCUGUGUUGUGGGUCGGGUGAGUGAGCGGAUCCUCACCAGUGUGACUGAGAGUAGAUGUGGCACCUAUAGGAUAGCCGUGGGAUUGAGACGUGAGAUUGAGAGCGAGCCUCCGGGCUAGCCGAGUGAUUGGGUAAACUAUUGAACCAGUAUUCUUAUUGAGCAUAGUCGCUUGGUAGUUAGCCUGAUGAAUUUACCUUCAUACCGUGAGUGGACAUACUAUUCCUUACCUAUGAGAUUUGAGCGGGGUAGCCCUGUACUUAGUAGAGUGAGAUGCAAGUCGGGCGAGGAGCGGGGUAGCUCUUUGCCUGUGACCUUCGAGAUAUGAGUUGGGUGAGAUGAGAGCGGGAUAGCUUUUCAACUACAGGAUUUGAAGUCUUAGGUGGGGUAGCCUAAUUGUCACGCCCGGGUAUCAGCGGAAGCAUAUCCGGCACAUGCACAGACCCGCCAUACACCUGUAGUAUAUAAGGCGUCUACAAAGAAGCAAAUCGAUAGGAAGAAAACAUAGAAAAUCCUAUCCUGAUAUCAGAGCAAAGUAUAAGUCGAUAAUCUCAUCAACUGAAGAACAAGAAGUAAAUAACCCAAAAUCUCAACAUCAAAGAGAAGUAAGAAAACUAUAAUCUCUGAUUCUAAAAACUCAUACAUCAAAGGCUACUAAAAAACAUGUACAAUGGCAGUCUCUCUAUACACAGGGACAUCACCCUCGUCCGUAGCCCGAGUAGCAAGGUGAUCAACUAGCAAGCCCCUAGCAGUAUCUAGCUAGACGCGACUCCCUUGCCACGAUCCCUAGCCUUUCCUGUCGAUGGCUCUGUAAAAACAACCAUAAAAAGGUUCAUAAUGUCAUACAAAAAACAUACAAAAAGUAAAUACAGUUAUAACUUGUAGUUUACCAACAAUAAAGAACUAUGAAAUUGCAUCAUGCUGUCUGAAUUAUUUAUCAAGUAAAAACAUGUAUGGUAAUCACAACGAACAUGACUAUGUCAAAUAGAGAAGUACUGUAUACUACUCAGUGAUACUCAUCAGCUGUUAUCAUUUAGUACAUCGAUUAAUUCAUAAGGACCUACUCAAGGUAGUCCAGCUUGUGCCGCGCCUAAUGGCCCCGUGGUAAUACACACUCCCCACGGCAAUCCAUUUCGGCACUCAAUCCCGCACGGGCGAGCAUCUGUCGCGUAAGCCAACUCCGGAGUGCCGGCUUGUAGGGAGCGACCCUCACAAGCUUGUGCGUAUGAGCACAAUGGCAAGCAAGCACAAUUCAUAAUUUAGUAGUUCUUAAUUGUCAUGUGUUAGCAUGUAAGAUUCUCAUCCUCGACUUUUAGGUCGGAUCUCAACAUAAUAUGUCACGCUAGUAUUCACUAGGUCAAAUAAACAUAUAAAGGCAAGGUACGAUUACAUAUGUCAUUUGCAUCAAUUUCUAGUCACUAGUAAUGUAUGAAUAUACUAAAUUACAAACUAAUUGUCUUGUCCUUUUAUUUAAUAGAAACAUAAUAGAUCCUUCUUGUCUAUGCAUUCAAAAUGAAGAUAAAGACGUGAUUGCACAUGAUUAGCAGUCUUAUAACAUCAUCUAGAACAUAGGGGAGAGUCACUUGCUCUGGUAAGGUCCGACCCACCUAUUAGUCGACGAUUCACGUCCAACCUGUAGGUAUGAAUCUUCACAAUUCCCGAAAAGCCCUAGAAACUGAUACAAGAUCAGCUAGGAGUGUACUUUAGAUCCUAUGUAAUUCUAUCACAUUAACACUUCUAGGAGGUAGAAUUUCACCUUGUACCCUUUGAUAGUUGAACCCCUGGUUCAGAUUAGAUGAAUGCUUCAAAUUUCAGCUUCAAAAGCCUUCCAAAAUCAGCCGAGAUCUACACACACCGUCCGCUGCGAACCUGUUGCGAAUUAGCUAUAAAACUGCAUUGAAGUGCUUACUAAAACAGUCUAUUUCAGCAACAGUUCACUUCGUACCCAGUUAUAGCUUUAGUCCAUGUUUACUCCAGCUUAAAAUAUCAAAGUCCACUUUCGUAAGUUCCCCGAAGUUAGUCGAGAACCAUCAAAUACCCUGUCGCAAAUCGGCUAUACAUUAACAUCAAAUCUGCACCAACUAUAAAUAGUAUCAUCUAAUUCAAAAAGAUUUUCACCUUAGGUCAGGUUAUAGCUUAGAUCCCUGUCUAGAUUCAGUCCAUGGCACUCAGUUUAAUCUCCAAAGACUUCUAAAUAUUAGCCGAGAUCAAUCUAAUGCCCUCGCUGCGAAUUGAUACCAAAACAGUCACCAAACUCACUAAUAAGCCUUAUAUAGUCAUAAUAAAAGAGUAAUACUCAGCUAAUUACCUUCUUAAGGCUUCGAAUCAGCUUAUCCUUGAACUAGAACAGAGAAAUUACAGCUAAGUAUUCCUUUCUCACUGCUGGAACCACUCCUCAACCAGCUGCGAUCACGAUACAAAGAAUAGGUUCAACUUUAGCACUAAAGCUGUCAAAUGAAAACUAAAUUAGGUAAUUACCUUUCGAAGCCUCUCUUUAACCUUUCUCUGCAGUAAGGAUGAAGAACUUUGUCACAACACCUCCCCCUUAGCUCCAGAGGCUGUCCCUCAAGGUUCUAAACCAGCUAACACCAAGGAGAAGAAGGAUUCAAGCUCAAAUCCACCAUUUCUUACACUUAGGAGAGAGAAAUCUAGAGAGAGAAAGUUAGAGAGCACCAACCCUUAUCCCCUGGUGUCACGCCCCGCGACCGCUACCAAUUUGGUUCGGCCCGGGCGCGUCGAACAAACGCCGGACGGACAGCACCUUCCCUGUCCGCCCAAGGCUAACAACAAGAUUGUGUACAACAAGUCCCCAGGAAAAUAACUUGAAUACAUACACAAUCGAUGACUGCAACGAGAGCACAAUCAGUGCAAAACAACCAAGAGCAAGAUACAAGUAUAGAACAUACAAGUAAUGAUAAAGAGAGGAACAUCUAUCUAUUACAUUCAUUCAGCCUUUAUAAUACAAUUUGAUUAUACAUUAAGCUUCUAAACAUAAUAUAAAGCUUACAUUCAGCCCAAAAUAGCUCACAACCUAUACAUCAUCUACUCUCAAAGCAUAAAAUGUGACUCUAAUGCAGAAAUAGGAAAGUAGACUAAUGCAACUAGGGCGCUAAGNAAUGUUUCCGGACCUCACCGAACUUCACCGGAACCUUUCAAAUGGUCUUCCAACCAAAUGUACACCGUAACUUCAUGAUUUUAGAAGUCCGAUGCCUUACACCUGGCCUCCAGCACCCUUUAGGGAGUUGCUGAGGUCGAGCAGAAGGGAUAAGGAUAGAGAUAGAAGGGGAAAAGACCAAAAUGCCAAAACUGCCACGCACCUGUUGCUGCUACUGCUUGCUGUACCGGUACAGCAUUAUGCUUGUACCGGUACACCAAUGCAGAAAAUGCCAAUUUCGAAAUUACAAUGCACUUUCUCACUUCCAAGGGUCCAAUGACUCUCAAACUUGUCCGAGAACAUCUUUAUGCUCUUUAAAACACGUAUGAUGGUUCCAAAUACCCUUCUUCUUACUUGAACUUCGCAAUUUGCUAAAGUUCAGUAUACUACACUAAUGGAUUGGAUGAUUUAAUGAACCUCAUUGUUGAGCAUAGUAGAUAGUUCUUUUACUUUUACUAUGUAGUGCAUGCAUUCAUAGCAUUGGAUUGAGGCAUAGUAGGAUAUUUGCAUUUCUACUUACUUGUUAUAGUUGCUCUUUCAUAUAUAGCUAUCUAUCUAUCUAUUUGUUGUCUUCCUAUGCCUGCUUAGACCUAGUGGGGAGAUCGGUGGAGUCGGCGGCCAAAUCCACUGGGAGCUAUUCGUAGUUCUCACCCCACUUUGUUGCAGGGCUGAGCUCGAGUACCCCCGGCGAGGAUCGUGGUAAGGGCUUAGCGCCCUAGUGCUAGUUGAUAGAUGCUUCCCUUUUGCAUUAGAGCUACCCUAUGUACUUGAGAGUAGAUGAUGGAUAGGCUGAGAUGAGUUGAAGAGUUGUAAACUCUAUGUUUAUGUUUUGGAAAAAUGUAAAGUUAAUCAAAUGUAUUAAAGUUGAAUGGUUGUAAUAGUUAGUAUCUCUCUUUUAUUCACUUGUUUAUUACUUGUGAUGCCUGCUCUUUAGUUAAUUAGCACUGGUUGUGCUCUCGCUAUUGUUGUUUGAUUGUGUAUGUAAUCAAGUUGUUUUCCUGGGCACUUGUUGUACACAAUCUCGUUGUUUAGCCGUGGGCGGACAGGGGAGGUGCUGUCCGUUCGGCGUCUGUCCGACGCGCCCGAACCGGACCAAAUUGGUAGCGGUCGCGGGGCGUGACAAACCUCCUUGGUAGCUUCAAACCAAGCUCAAAAUGCUCUAGGGUUGAAGGUUGAUCCUCUAUCAAGCUCCUAGCCCAAGCUCCAAGCCACCAAGGUGAGAAGAGAGGGUGUGGGGGAAGUCCAAAGUCCACCAUGCAAGCUCUCCUUCCUUUUCUCCUCCUUCUUCCCUUUCUUCCUUCUCCUUCUUCUUCUCUAGAGAGUGUGAGAGAGUGAGAAGUGAGGAAAAGAGAGAUAGGACAAGCCCUAAAAGCCCUCUAAUGUAACAAAAUCCAGAAAAGCCCUUUAACUUUGCAACCUGUGCACUGCCCUGACUGGGCAGUUUUUGGGUGGAAAGACCGGUCUCUCCCCACAUGGGACCGGUCCCUCAGGACCUUCCCGCAAAACCAACGUUCGGGAACCGAUCUCUCUGGCCAGGGACCGGUUGCCUCAAAGUCUGCCGCAACUGUAGCUAUGAGGGACCGGUCUCUCCUACCAGGGAUCGAACCCCGAGAGUGAAACUCUCAGGACUUAGCCAAAAAAUCCAUAAUUUCGAACUUCGGGUCGGAACACCGUCUACGACCCUCCACAAGGUGUGGAAAAGUUCAGAACUCAAAUCAAACACUCGAACCUCGCAAUUUGCACAGGGCCAGUAUGUAACAGUGUAUCUCUGCCGAGAGCUCAAUCAGGCUCUCACAGGCUAUAGUCAAAGUAGAAGGGUCUAACUGGUCUAACAAUCAUAACACACGUGCCAUCGGUACAAUCUGAUGUAAAAUCAGCAAACUGGGUUCACCGUUAACCACAACGGCAUCCGACAGUCCGGAACAGUCUAAACACUACUGUAAAAAUAAACUCGGCAUCCCAACACGAGCGUAAAUUCAUUAUACACUAUACUGGAUAUCCACCGCCUACAAACUACGGCGAUACAAAUAAAUUACAGCUCCUAAAGUUAAAUCUAGUAGUUUUCAAAAAGUGACAGUGUAGAACCUAUAGUUUUUUUCUAAGUCAAUUUCAAGUCCAACAUAUAUAUUUUAAUUAAACCAAUUGUUAAGGAUUUUAUAGGUUGGCAGAUUUCAUAAUGUUGAAUGGAGUCUUGAAGAGUUGAUUGCGGAAGAUUGAAGAAAGGAUCCAAAUUGAAGAACAAGGACAUGAAAGAGCACUAUUGGUGGCCGGGUAUGAAAAGAGAUAUUGGGGAGUUNNNNNNNNNNNNNNNNNNNNNNNNNNNNNNNNNNNNNNNNNNNNNNNNNNNNNNNNNNNNNNNNNNNNNNNNNNNNNNNNNNNNNNNNNNNNNNNNNNNNGCUUUUGAAUUUUUACUAAACUAGUACCCUUAUGUGUAAUUUGUAGAGUAUCCCAAAUUUCCUUGGCGGUGUUACACGCCGAAAUGCGAGUAAACUCCGUUUGUGACAAUGCAUUAAAUAAAGCGUUUAUGCCCUUGCCAUUAAACGAAGAUGACUCGUUUUCAUCUUUGGUCCACUUGUUCCAUGGUUUAGGAACGGUAGCGUUAUCGACAACUUCGGUAAGGUGCUCCCAACCAAAUUCAAUAGCUUUCCAUACUCGCUCAUCGAUUGCAAUUAGAAAAGCUCUCAUGCGAACUUUCCAAUAGGCAUAAUUCGUGCCAUCGAAGAGUGGUGGUCGAUUAACAUUACCGCCUUCGGCCAUUAGAUAUCAAUAUAUCUAGAUCCCGCUCUGAUACCAAUUGAAAGUUUUGAGGAGCCCAAGGAUCUAUCUAGAUUGUAUCUAUCACCUAGAGGGGGGUGAAUAGGUGAAAAGCCAAAAACCACAAAUCUCGAUGCAAUAAAAAUAAAUGCGGAAAAUAAAAAGCACACCGAGAUUUACAUGGGAAAACUCCAACUCGGAGAAAAACCCACGGGACCAACACGCGAAAAAAUAAUUCACUAAGAGAAAAGAUUACAAGGUGAUUACCGACUCCACGGACUUAACCUCUCUUAACCUCCUAUGAAUCUCCGCGCAAUCCUCCGGGUUGUCCACUCCCUCACGUCCAAAUCCACGAACGCCCCCACUUCGAAUCCACAAAGCUUCAAUCACGCCGAAUCCACGACGCCACUCGAAUCCACGAGCCCACGAUCCGAAUCCACGAACCGCCGUCAAACACGCCGAAUCCACGACGCCGUCAUGAAGAGCAUCAUGAUUAUGGUGAUCCUUCGCUUAGGGGUAUCGUAGAAAACCAGAGAAAGAAACUCCAAGCAAAGCGGAGAUCAAAUCGACAUAUAGCGAAUGCGAAACAAUAUCUCGAUUUGAUCUAAAGAGGCUAAUUUGUAGAAAAUAGGUUUUAGAUGAAAUCCGAGCCUCUAGGGUUUCUCAAACAUGUAUUUUCGUGAUGCUUAAUCAGUUAGAGAACCCCUAUAGCUUAUUUAUAGACUUUAUAAUCAAAACGGAGUAGGAUUAGAAAGUUUCUUUCCAAAAUCAGCACCUUGUACCGGAACAAGGAAAGCUGUCCAGGGUACAGCAUGACGGAAGAUUUUUCAGCGAAGCUUCUGUACCCUGGAUAGGCUUCAGCUUGUUCCGGAACAGGGCUUGUACCGGUACAGCCUUGAUGGUUGUACCGGAACAACCAUCAAACAUUUCUGCGCAAACGCUGAUGGCUGUACCCUGGACAGAAAACCCUUGUACCGGUACAACAAUGCAAUUUUCGCAGAAAAUGCAUUGUUUCAAGUUUUACAAGCUCUUAGAAACUUUCUAAUCAAUUACAACUUGAAAACAUGAUUCUAAAAUCUAUAAUUAAGUAUGAAUCACCAUAAACAAGAUUUAAAGCUUACCUAAGCAUCGUGAUUCAUAUUUUGCGUGUUUUGCGUCCUUUCCAAUUCUUCGAAGCCUUGAAUUCUUCGAUCUUCAAUACUCCGCUCCGGACUUCUUCAAGACUCCGACUCGACCCACGAAACUUGCCAACACAUAGGACCUAACAACCCCGAGAUGUUUGAUUGGAUAAAAGCCAUGUGAAUUUUUAUAUCAUGCAUGCAUGUAUCAUAUUUGAGUUUAUAUAUCUGCUGACUAUCUUUUUGCAGGCAUAGUAUUAGUAGUAGCAUUAGUGGGUUUGCUAUAUCUAUUUCUUUGAAUACUUAUGCCUGGUUAGACCUAGUGGGUAAGUCGGUGGGGUCGGCGGCUGAACCCACUGGGAACUUUGUUUUAGUUCUCAUUACCACUAACCCUGCAGAUCCGAGCGCGAGCGGGGCGGCGGAGGAUCGUGGCAAGGGUUUAGCGCCGUAGCUAGUGGCCACCAGAGUAUAGGCAUUUCCCUAUGUGUAUAGUUCAACUUUUGUAUGUUGAAUAUAAGUGAGAAAAGUUGUAAUCAUUAUUUUGGGUUGUAAGAUAAUGUGAUGUAAACAAUGUAUGGAAAAGAAUGGUUGUAAUAGUGCUUGUAUUUGAUUAAAAUGUAAUCAAAUAUGAUAUGAUGGUUGUAUGUAUAGUAUAGUAGUCAGAGCUUUCGCUACUUGUGUUGUUGCUUGCCUUCGUGCAAGCCUUGUGCAAUUAUGUUCACCUUGUGCUGAAAUUCUUGAUUGUACAUAUUGUUGAAGCCUUGGAUGGACAGGGGAGGUGCUGUCCGUUCGGCGUCUGUCGACGUGGCCCGAUUCCGACCAAAUAGGCGGAGCUCGGGGCGUGAUGUCACGCCCCGGGACCAAUACCAAUUUGGGCCGGCCCGAGCANCAGGACUUAGCCGAUUUUUCGGCUGUCUCAUUUCAUACGCGUUCGGGGACCGGUCUCUCCCACCAGGGACCGGUCCCCGAGAGCUCAAAAUCUGCAGCUUGCAGAAUUUGAUUCUCAAGCUCUCGAAAACCUCCCGUAACUCAAUUUUAAUUAUCUUAACACCUUCGGACUUUCCGAAGUGUACCAUCCUCGCACUUUGGUCAAUUUGACUAAAGUUCGAUAUUUGUUUUCCGAAUUUUCGGUAUAUUACAUUCUCCACCCCUUAAAAUAAUUUCGUCCGCGAAAUUACACAUACCUUAACUUGUUGACUCAAAUAGAUGCGGAUACUCUCGCCGCAUGGUCUCCUCGAGCUCCCAAGUGGCUUCUCUCGCCGCAUGGUUGCUCCACUGGACCUUCACAUAUGGAAUUCUGCGACUCCGCAGCUUUCUUUCUUCUCGAUCGAGGAUGCACACCGGGUACUCCUCAUAAGACAUAUCUUCACGUAACUCUACGGGCUCGUACUCUAAUACAUGUGUCGAGUUGCGAAUAUACUUUCGGAGAUUGGACACAUGAAACACGUUGUGAACUCCCGCGAGUCUCGGUGGUAGUGCGAGCUUGUACGCUACCGCACCAACACGCUCCAAUAUCUCAAACGGUCCGACAUAUUGGGGACUUAGCUUCCCGCGGACCCCAAAUCGUUUUACUCCUCGCAUUGGCGACACUCUCAAAAAUACACGGUCUCCAACUGCGAACUCUAAAUCUUUUCUUCUCUUGUCGGCAUAACUCUUUUGCCGAGACUGCGCCGUCGCUAACCGUUGACGGGCAAGACGAACUUUUCCUUCCGCCUCCCGCACUACAUCCGGGCCAAGGGCCGCCCUUUCGCCCACGUCGCUCCAAUGAAUAGGAGAAAGACACUUUCUUCCAUAUAGUGCCUCAAAUGGCGCCAUCGCAAUACUCUCUUGAUAACUAUUAUUAUAGGCGAACUCCGCCAUAGGCAAGAAAUCAUGCCAUCCUCCUUUAUAAUCUAGCACACACGCUCAAAGCAAGUCCUCAAGGAUUUGUAUCGUUCGCUCUGAUUGUCCAUCGCUCUGAGGAUGAAACGCCGUGCUAAAGUCAAGCCGUGUGCCUAGCGCGUCUUGCAAACUCUUCCAAAAAUAAGAUGUGAACCUGGGGUCUCGAUCCGAUACAAUUGAUACCGGCACCCCAUGAAGUCUCACAACCUCGUCAAGAUAGACUUGAGCUAACUUGUCUCCCGACCACGUAGUAUGUAUAGGCAAGAAGUGUGCCGACUUUGUCAGUCGAUUCACUAUCACCCAUAUUGCAUCGUGUCCGCCUUGUGAUCGAGGCAAACCGGUAAUAAAGUCCAUCGCUAUGUCUUCCCAUUUCCAAACGGGUAUAGAUAAACUUUGUAGCUUUCCCGCCGGAAAUCGGCGCUCUGCUUUAACUUGUUGGCACGUUAGACAUUGCGCCACGAAUUCCCCAAUAUCUCUUUUCAUGCCCGGCCACCAAUAAUGCUCUUUCAAAUCUUUAUACAUUUUACUGCCGCCGGGGUGUAUGCUAUAAGGGGAUUGGUGCGCCUCUUUCAUAAUCGCCCUUCGUAACUCAUCAUCUUUUGGUACACACCAUCGAUUUCGAAAUCGAAGUGCGCCAUCGGCUCCAACGCCAAAACCUUCGGCUUUACCGCUCUCAACAUCACCUCGAACCUUUUUUAGAUAAGGAUCCGAAGCUUGUAACUCUUUGAUUCUCUCAAAUAGGGUCGGUUGCACCACUAAUGCGGCAAGUGUAGCCGGCACUCCCGGCGCUACCACUUCCAACCCAAGACGUUGCAUUUCCUUUUGCAAUAGCGGUUGAGGCGUAAUUGCCGUCGCUAGGUUAUCCGCCGAUUUUCGACUCAAAGCAUCGGCCACGACAUUGGCUUUCCCGGGGUGGUAUAGUAUAGUGACAUCGUAGUCCUUCAACAACUCUAACCACCGCCGUUGCCGCAUAUUCAGCUCCCUUUGGGUGAACAAGUACUUUAGGCUUUUAUGAUCUGUGUAGAUUUCACAAUGCUCACCGUACAAGUAAUGCCUCCAAAGCUUUAGCGCGAAAAUUACCGCGGCUAACUCGAGGUCGUGAAUCGGGUAGUUCUUCUCAUAACUCUUUAAUUGGCGCGAUGCAUAUGCAAUGACUCGCCCAUUUUGCAUUAACACACACCCGAGACCAACAUACGAGGCAUCACUAUACACUACAAAAGUCUCCCCCGGAGUCGGCAAGGCAAGCAUCGGGGUCGACGUCAAUCUGCUCUUCAACUCUUCGAAGCUUCGAUCGCAAUCGUCGCUCCAGACAUACUUUACUCCUUUAUGCGUAAGGCGCGUUAGCGGAGUGGUUAUCUUGGCGAACCCCUCCACGAACCGCCGGUAAUAGCCCGCAAGUCCAAGAAAACUACGGACCUCCGCUACGUUCGUUGGGCGAGGCCAAUCUUCUAUUGCCUCAACUUUCUUCGGGUCUACCGAAACUCCGUCGCCCGAUACUACAUGACCCAAAAAUGUGACCUCCCUUAGCCAAAAGUCACAUUUCUUUAACUUUGCAUAAAGCUUCUCCUGUCUGAGUAUCUGCAACACAGCUCUCAGAUGCUCUUCGUGCUCCUCUUCGCUUUUCGAGUAAACCAAUACGUCGUCUAUAAACACCACGACGCAUCGAUCCAACAACGGCCUGAAGACUCGGUUCAUCAAGUCCAUAAACGCUGCCGGGGCAUUAGUAAGCCCAAACGGCAUUACCGUGAACUCAUAAUGGCCAUACCGCGUACGGUACGCCGUUUUGUGCACAUCCUUCGGCCUAAUCUUUAAUUGAUGAUACCCCGACUGGAGAUCAAUCUUCGAAUACACUUUGGACCCUUGCAACUGAUCGAAUAAAUCGUCAAUCCUUGGCAACGGGUACUUAUUCUUUAUCGUCACUUUAUUCAACUUGCGAUAAUCUACGCAGAGUCGAAGUGUGCCAUCCUUUUUCUUCACAAAUAGCACCGGAGCUCCCACGGAGACACACUCGGCCUCACGAAGCCUUUAUCAAGUAAAUCUUGUAAUUGGCCUUUUAACUCCUUUAGCUCCACCGGUGCCAUUCUAUACGGAGCCUUCGAAACUGGUUCCGCCCCGGGGAUCAAGUCAAUGACGAACUCAACUUCCCGGUCCGGUGGCAAUCCCGGUAAUUCCGCCGGAAAUACAUCCGGGUAUUCGCACACUACUCGGAUAUUCCCCAACUCAGGGUACUCCUUUCGAGCAUCCACCAUGGGUGCCAAAUAGGCCUUACACCCGCCUUUAAUCAUUCUUUUGGCUCUCACUGACGAAAUGGUCGCCGCGAAUCGCGCGCCUUUGCACGCCCGAAACACCAUCUCCUCUUGGUUAGGCUCACGAAAAGUGAUAACCUUGCUUUCACAAUCUAUGACCGCAUAGUAUUUGGAGAGCCAAUUGGUCCCCAAAAUGACAUCAAAUCACCACAUCUGAUCUAGCACUAGCAGAUCUAUAGGCAUGAUCCAGUCACCGAUUCGCACCGGAACCUCCAAGCACUCAUCAUAAACACGAAACGAGUGCUCGGGACCAUUUACCCACCAAUAGUCUUCAUUAUGUAUUUUCUCUAUGCCAUGCGUCUUUGCAAAUGAUGCAGCUAUAAAUGAUCGUGAUGCACCAGUAUCGAACAAUGUUCUAGCUCUAGUGCCAUUAAUCGAAAUUAUACCUGCCACGACAUCGUCGGGUGCUGCAGGCUGCUGCUCCUCCACCUGAGCAGCAAAGACUCGGCCGCUAGGCGCUCUCGAUCCCUCCGGCUGACGCGGUGACGAUGCGCGCCCAGUCGACAUCACUGGUGGUAACCCCGCAAGCUGUCUCGGGGUAGACGGUGCUGAUGCCGCCGUCGGCGCAGACGACAUCCAUGCCGGGCACUCCCGGAUAAGAUGUCCCGGUUGGCCACACUUAAAACAUUUGCCGUCUCGCUGCGGGCAAGUCGACACCUUAUGCUCUGCGCCACAUAUGACGCAUCGAGGAGGUCUCCAAUUCCUCGACUGCUGUCGGGGAUACCGAGGGGGUUUCUUAGCAUUCGGCCGGCCCCCGGCACCACCCGCCGUUCUCUUCUUGCCCUUGUCCUUGGACUCGGCCAUAGCUUCUCUCUCUUCACGCACAUGGGCACUACCGUGCUCCGCCCACAAAGCUCGAUCAAAGACCUCCACAAAGGUCGACAGCUUCAGGAUUUGCACUUUCUCAUAAAUCCGGGGCUGGAGUCCUCGCAAGAACCAAUCCGCCCGGUCCCGAUCGUCUCGAACUACGUCGGGGACGCAGUCAAUAAUGUGAGAGAACUCCUGCUCAUAUUCUCCCACCGAUCGAUCACCCUGUCUCAAUUUGCGGAAUUUUUCUUGCAUCUUCCGCUUCACCGUGUCGGGAAAGUAGUUCGCGAAGACUGCUCUCUUGAACUCUUCCCAUAGCAUAAGCGGAAGAUCGGUAGGUCGAUCCCGCUUGACUCGCUUCCACCACACCAUCGCCGCCUUAUCAAGACAAUGGGUGGCAAGAUAUACCUUAUCCUUCUCCAAGAUAUUGAGAUCCUCGAAGAGCGUUUCCAUCGAGUCGAUCCACGACUCCACGACCGCUGGCUCCACCAAACCGCCCUCAAAGGUAGGUGGGUCAAAUAUCUUGAACUGAAUGAGAGCCGCCAACGUGCGCUCUCGCUCCGCAUCUACCGCCGCACUAUCGGGAUUUGAAGUUCCCGACACGGCCGGUACCACCGUAACGGGGACAGCCGCCGCUGCCGCCGCUCCCUCAACAACGCUCGGCACUACCGCAGGGGGUGCUACAUGCUCGACACCCGCCUGGGCUGCCGCCGCCUGCUGGCGCUCCAAAGCCUCCUGGAGCCGCUGAAUCUGCUCCCCUUGGCUUCGCGCAGACUCCGCCUGUUGCCGCACUACUCCAAUGAGCGCGGCCAUUUGCUCCCUAAGCUCUCCGUCGCCACUAGCUCCGGAUCGCUCGGGCUCCACACUCGGCUCCUCCGGCAUCGACCUUGUUUGCGGUCGUCCACGAGGUGCCAUUGCUUCCUGAAAAGAAGCAACAUACGUUAACUACUUGACCAACAUUACUCGACCAUACCCAAUCCGGCGAAAGCAACAUGCAUUUGUUCUCGCCCCAAGCAUCAUGUCGUCGGCCGCCCGACACAAAACAAGGAGUAGGAAACAAAUGAAAAUUAAACUUGGCCUCUAAUCAUAUUAGAGGCAUCCCAACUUAACCCAAUCACAUGCUUUCGCUAACUUUAAUUCCACGUCACUUACGUUUCCUAGAUCCUUAAGGUCUUCCAAUCCUAAGGGUCUCUAGGUCCAUUCCUAUUCUUUCACUCUUGGCUCUGAUACCACGAUAUCUGUCACGCCCCGGGACCAAUACCAAUUUGGGCCUGCCCGAGCACGUCAAACAGACGCCGAACGGACAGAGUUUCCCCCGUCCGCCCAAGGCUCAUCACAUGUACAUUUUCAACAAGAAGUGCACUAGCGGAAACAUACAAAAACGGCUUACACGAGGGUAAGCAAUAGCCAUUAGUGAAAGAUAGAAACUAACAUCUACACAAGUAAUAUGAUUCACUUUAGAUCACAUACAUUGUACUCUUCUAGUACAUUUUGAUUCUUUACCUUUCAUUACAUCAUUGCAUCAUUUCUUUCUUACAUCACAAUUACCUCAAAAUGAGCUUUACAUUCUUUUCUUUACCUUGCUUUAUACAUCAACAUCAUAAAUCAUCAAAUACAAAAGAUGAUAAAAGGGGUAAACUACUAACAAAAUAUAAACCAAGCUCUGGUGGCCUCUGUCUAAGGCGCGAUACCUUUACCUCGGUCACUCGCCGGCUCACUCGGUCCCGGCUCUGUGGAAAUAGUGGGGUGAGAACUACAACAAAGUUCCCAGUGGGUUCGGCCCCAACAUCACCGACUUUCCCACUAGGACUAACUCAGGCAUAAUAGAAAGGAUAAGUAGAAUAGUAACCAACUAUAACAUGAUGCUAAUAUGCCUGACCAAAAGUAGGAAGUAUGCUCAACAUUGAAUAUAUGCAGAUUAUGCAAGUUCUUUCAUUCUUUGACUUUACUCAAUAAGUUUGGAAAGCACCACCCACCUCGUAGGUCUAUGUAGGUGCUCCGACGAUUUUCUUGAGAUUUUUAGAUCCUUCGUUCUUUACCUGCGGCAAAACGAAGCCAACUUAGGCCAUUUUGCCCAUAACUUUACAUACACUUUUCGUAAUGCUUUUCCGAGCGCACCAACGCGUCGGAAAUACCCCCAAUUAGAUUUCUAGAGGUCAAUUGCACUUAGAAAUCCCCAUGAGCAAAAGCCCCAAUUUGGUGCCCUAGCUCCAAUACAUACAUCAAACCUAGGGUUUGAUCUCAUUGGGAAGCAAAAGUAGCUUCAUUAUACUCUAAUAAGUCCAUUAAAUCCAUUCUUAGCUCACUCCAAACCCUAGUUUGGAUUUCACCAUGAGAGGGGUCAAGCUCUUCUUCAAGCUUCACCUCCAACACUCAUGCCAUGGUCUUGAUCUCAAAAGAAGCAAAAAGAAAGCUUCAAAUACUCUAAAAGCUCUAUAAAAACCAUUUCUAGGUUUACCCAAACCCCAGUUUGGGAGUUAACAUGAAAAGGGGCAAAGCUUACCUCUAAGCUUGCUCCUUUCUUGCACUAGAGAGGAAGAAGAUGAAGUUGCUUCACUCCUUCUUCUUCUUCAUCACUUUCUUCUUCUUCUUUUCCUUCUCUUUUCCUUUGUCUUCUUUCUCUUCUUUGUCUUCUAGAGAGAGAGAGGGAGAGAAGAGAGUGUGAGAGGGUGAGAAUGAGAGAAAUAUCUCAUUUACCCCCAUACUAUACUCUAUGGGUUGCCAAAUUGCAACUAAACCCCUCAACUUUCACUUUAAUACACUGCCCGGACUGGGCUGUUCGCGCAGGCGGGGACCGGUCUAUCCUUCAGGGACCGGUUCCCGAAGGUUGUCCCAGCGCAGCCAGAGCUGCUGCGCGCGAUGCAUCCGGUCUCUCUUUGGGGGACCGGUCUCUCGGGGACCGGUCUCUCAGGCAGGGACCGGUUCCCGAGAGCUACUUUCUCAGGACUUAGCCGAUUUUUCGGCUGUCUCAUUUCAUACGCGUUCGGGGACCGGUCUCUCCCACCAGGGACCGGUCCCCGAGAGCUCAAAAUCUGCAGCUUGCAGAAUUUGAUUCUCAAGCUCUCGAAAACCUCCCGUAACUCAAUUUUAAUUAUCUUAACACCUUCGGACUUUCCGAAGUGUACCAUCCUCGCACUUUGGUCAAUUUGACUAAAGUUCGAUAUUUGUUUUCCGAAUUUUCGGUAUAUUACACGUGACAAUCCUUCUUUUUCACAAAUAGCACCGGAGCUCCCCACGGUGACACGCUCGGCCUUACGAAGCCUUUAUCGAGCAAGUCUUGUAGCUGUGCUUUUAACUCUACUAGCUCCACCGGUGCCAUUCUAUACGGAGCCUUCGAGAUUGGCGCCGCCCCGGGAAUCAAGUUAAUGAUGAACUCAACCUCCCGAUCCGGUGGCAAUCCCGGUAACUCCGCCGAAAAUACGUCCGAAAAAUCACACGCAACUCGGAUAUUCCCUAACUCCGGGUGCUCCCUUUGAGUAUCUACCAUGGUCGCGAAAUAGGCUUUACAUCCACCUUUGAUCAUCUUCCUCGCCCUCGCCGCCGAUACGGUCGCUGCGAAGCGCUUGCUUUUACACGCGCGAUACACCAACUCCUCUUGAUUAGGCUCGCGAAACAUAAUCACCUUACUCUCGUAAUCUAUGACUGCAUAAUACUUGGAGAGCCAAUUGGUCCCCAAGAUUACAUCAAAUCCCCACAUUCUGUCUAGCACCAACAAGUUAAUUGGCAUAAUCCAUUCACCUAUCUGAACUGGACAAGCCAAGCACUCCUCGUGCACUCUGAACGAAUGCUCCGGCGCAUUGACCCACCAAUAGUCGUAAUUAUGCACUAUUUUGAUGCCAUGAGUUCUCGCAAAGGAUGCACCAAUGAAUGAAUGAGAUGCACCCGUAUCAAAUAAAGCUCUAGCUCUAGUGCCAUUAAUCAGAAUAAUACUUGCCACAACGUCAUCUAGUGCUGCAGACUGCUCCUCCACCUGAGUGGCGAAAACCCGGCCACUAGGUGCUCGUGAUCCCUCCAGCUGACGCGGUGAUGAUGCGCGUCCAGCUGACAUCGCCGGUGGCAACCCCGCAAGCUGCCUCGGGGUAGCGGUGCUGAUGCCGCCGUCGGCGCAGACGACGUCCAGCUAGGGCACUCCUGGAUAAGAUGUCCCGGUUGGCCACACUUAAAACAUUUUCCUUCACGCUGCGAGCAAGUCGACACUCGGUGCUCACCGCCGCAAAUAACACACCGAGGUGGUCUCCAGCACCUCGAUUGCUGUCGGGGAUACCGAGGGGGUUUCUUUACAUUCGGCCGGCCCCCGGCACCGCCUGCCGCUCACUUCUUGCCUUUAUCCUUGACUCGGCCAUAGCUUCAUGCUCCUCUCGUGCGUAGGCGUUACCGUGCUCAGCCCACAACGCCCGGUCAAAGACCUCCGCAAAGGUCGUCAACUUGAGAAUUUGCACCUUCUCAUAGAUUCUCGGCUGGAGUCUUCGCAAGAACCAAUCAGCCCGGUCCCGGUCAUCACGAACAACAUCCGGGACGCAAUCGAUAAUGUGGGAGAACUCCUGCUCGUAGUCCGCUACCAAGCGAUCUCCUUGUCUCAGUUUGCGGAACUUUUCUUGUAGCUUCCGCUUGACCGUGUCGGGGAAGUAGUUCGCGAACAUCGCUCUCUUGAACUCCUCCCAAAGCAUAGGCGGAAGAUCGGAUAAUCGAUCCCGCUUGACUCGCUUCCACCACACCAUCGUCGCCUUCUCUAAACAAUGGGUGGCGAGGUACACCUUGUCCUUAUCCGAGGUAUUUAAGUCCUCAAAGAACGUUUCCAUUGAGUCGAUCCACGACUCCACUACCGCUAGCUCCACCAUGCCACCUUCAAAGCUAGGUGAGUUGAACUUCCUAAACUGAAUGAGAGCCGCCAACGCGCGCUCCCGCUCUGCCUCUACCGCCGCACUAUCGGGAUUUGAUGUUCCCGAUCCGGCCGGCACUACCGUGACUGGCACAGCUGCCGCUGCCGCCGCUCAAUCGACUCCACUCGGCACCACCACAGGGCGCACGACAUGCUCGGCACCCACCUGGGCCGCCGCCGCUUGCUGACGCUCCAAAGCCUCCUGGAGUCGUUGAAUCUGCUCCGCUUGGCGUUGAACAGACUCCGCUUGUUGCCGUACCACGCCAAUAAGCGCGGCCAUUUGCUCCCGAAGCUCACCGUCGCCACUUGCUCCGGAUUGCUCGGGCACCGCAUUUGGCUCCUCUGGCAUCGACCUUGUUCGAGGUCCACCACGAGCCAUUGCUUCCUGAAAUGAAGCAACUCAUAUUAGCUACACGACCAACAUUACUAAGCCAUACCCAAUUCGGCGAAAGCAACUUAUGUUUCCAUCCUCACUCCAAAGCAUUAUGUCGUCAGCCGCCCGACACAACACCAAGAGUAGAGAACAAACAUCAAUUCAACUUAGUCCCUAAUCACAUUAGAGACAUCCUAACUCAACCCAAUCACAUGCUUUUGCUAACUUUAAUCCAACGUCACUCACGUUUCCUAGAUCCUUAAGGUUUUCCAAUCCUAAGGGUCUCUAGGUCCAUUCCUAUUCUUUCACUUUAGGCUCUGAUACCACCAUAUCUGUCACACCCCGGGACCGAUCCCUUUGGCCGGCCCAGGCACAUCGAACAGAUGCCGAACGGACAGAGUUUCCCCUGUCCGCCCAAGGCUCAACACAUGUACAAUUCAAGCAAAGAGAAUGCACAAGCAGAAAUAUACAUAAUGGCUUACAUGAGGGUAAGCAAUAGCCAGAGUGAAAAAAUAUUAGACUAAACAACUCACAAGUAAAAUGAUUAACUUUUAACCAUUUACAAGCAUUCAACUAUCACAUUGCCUUUACAUUGCUUUUCAUCAUUUCUUUUUACAUGACAUUUCCUCAAAAUAAAAGAUUACAUUCUUUUCUUUAACAUCUCUAAUCAUCAAAUACAAAAGAUAAUAUAAGGGAAUCAUCUACUAGCAAUAUAUGAAAACUCGACUCGGGUGGUCUCUGUCUACGGCGCGAUACCUUUACCGCGGUCGCUCGCCGGCUCGCUCGGUCCCGGCUCUAUGGAAAUAGUGGGGUGAGAACUAUAACGAAGUUCCCAGUGGGUUCAACCCCAAUCUCACCGACUUUCCCACUAGGUCUAACUCAGGCAUAAUAGAAAGAAAUAAGCAGAUAAGUAACCAGCUGUACGAAUGCAACUAAUAUGCCUGAACAAAGCUAUCAAUAAGGAUGCUCAAUAUAAACUCAUGAAGAAUGCAAGUACUUUGAUCUCUUGUUCAAUCUCAUGGCUAAUCCGUGGGUUUCGCCGCUUUAACUCACCAACUCAAAAUUCCAAAUCGUCCAGGAGACUCCUACGACCCGACGGGGACCGUCCUCUGGGGAACAGCACCAACCCAGUGAUGACAAACUCCGGAGCGCAUCGCUCGAGGGGGAGCUACCGCCCUCGAGCAAGGACUUAUAGCGAGUAUGAUCCAAUCCUUAACUCUAAGGAUGUCAAGUUCAAUCCGUUCCUUAACUAUAAGGAAAUUAUGCACAAAUGACCCUUAGCUCUAAGGUUGUAUGCUAUUGUGUCUCAAUCUCAAGUUCUUUGCAUUCUUUGUUUUCAAUCAUGUCAUUACACUAACUCUAGUGUUCUUUAUGCCACAUUUGUUGCUAACUCUAGCUUUGUUGUUCUUUAUGCCGCACUUGUUCUCUUUGAUGCCACACACUAACUCUAGUGUUCAAAUACUUUAGUACUCAUUAUCCUCGUUAAUGCCACACACACUAACUCUAGUGUCAUCUUUGCAUUUACUAAUGCCACUCGAUCUACAUGUCAAAGUGUCACCUUUGUUCUUUUACCUCAACUAGAUUUUCAUGUUACAUCUCAUGUAUAUAUAGGGUUCUUAGGUUCUCAACCAUCUCAUAAUGCAAUUGUACUCACAACAUGCAACAUUCACAUAAACAUCAUCUCAUUCACCCUAAAAUGCAUGCAACAAUACACAUAUGUAUGCUCAAUAAGUGACACAUUAGACAUAGGAAGGAUUUCAAGGAGUUUGGAAAGCACCACCAACCUCGUAGGCUUGCUAAGGUGCUCGGGUUCAAAUUUCAUGAUUUUUGGCUGCCUAUUUCCUUGCCUGCGGCAAAACGAAGCCAAAUUAGGCUUUUUGCUCAUAUCUUCGCAUAGUCUUUUCGUAACGUCAAACCGAGCGCACGAACGCGUCGGGAAUACCCCCAAUUAGGUUUCUAGAGGGUCAAUUUGACUUUGGAACCCUCGCAUGCAAAAGCUCCAAUUUGGUGCCCUAGCUUUCACAUAUAUACAAAACCCUUAGUUUGAUCUCAUCCAUAAGCAAAAGAAAGCUUAUUAUCCUCUAGAGGUUCCAUUAAAACCAUCCUUAGGUCAUUCAAAACCCAUCCUAGGGUUCUACCAUGAGAGGGGGCAAAGCUUACCUCAAAGCUUUCCCUUUUCUUGCACCAAUGAGGAAGAAGAAGAUGGUGAUCCACUCCUUAACCUCAUUCUCCUCCAACUUCUCCUCCUUGCUCCACCUCUUGAGGGAGAGAGAGAUUUCCUAGAGAGAGAGAGAGAGCCUCUCAAACAUGUGUGUGUGUGUGGGAGAGAAUGAGGAAAUAAGUCCUCAUCCCCCAUAACAUAACCCCACAAAUGCAUAUUUGCAUUUAGAUCUCUCAACUUUGAUCUCUAUGCACUGCCCAGACUGGGCAUUUUUCGGGCACGGGGACCGGUCUCUCUAGCAAGGGACCGGUCCCCGAGAGCUGAUCUCAUUGGACUUAGCCAAUUUUCAUCAAUUCUGGGAUUUUACGCGCACGAGGACCGGUCCUUCCCCCAGGGACCGGACCUUCAGAGACCGGACCUUCAUCAAGAGACCGGUUCCCGAGAGCUCUCUUUUCUGUCUACGCGCAUAGGGACCGGUCUCUCCCGCCAGGGACCGGUCCCCGAGAGCUAGUUUUCCAACACUUAGCCAUUUCACCAAUUUCACACCUACGGGGACCGGUCUCUCCCACCAGGGACCAGUCCCCAAGAGCUCAAAAGCUGUAGUUUGCAGAUUUUUUAUUCUCUAGCUCUCGAAGAUCUCCUACAAUGCACUUUUGCUCUUUUUGAUGCCUUCGGCCUUUCCGAAGCGUACCAACCUCGCACUUUGGUCAUUUUGACUAAAGUUCGAUAUUCGUUUACCGAGAUUUCGGUAUAUCACAUGCACAACCUAUCCAAACUAUUCUCGAUGGAUCCAACUAUACUCUAUGGGUUCAAGACAUGCGAAACUUUCUCAAAGGACGUAAAUUAUGGCGAUAUGUCACCGGGGACAUCACAAAACCAGUCCGUCGGACGAAUGAAGCUGAUGGUGCGUACAAGCUUAGAAUAGAAGAAUGGGACAACAACAAUCAUAAAGUGAUUUCUUGGUUUGAUAACACAUCCAUCAAAUCAAUUCGUCAGCAAUUUGGUAAAUUUGAUACCGCCAAAGAGGUAUGGGAUCUUCUAGCCAAGAGAUAUUCUGCUACUAGUAGUGCUUCUCGUUAUCAGCAUAUCACUACUUUACAUCGCAUGCGUCAAGAUAAAAGUCAAUCUAUAUCUGAUUUUUAUUCACAAAUGCCAUAUAUUUGGGAUCAAUUGUCUUUAUCCGAACCUCAAUGGGACUGCUCUAAUGAUGCUAAGAAAUUCUAUGAAUAUCGCGAUGAUAUCGCGAUGUUAUGCAUCUUUAUCAAUUUCUCAUAGCAUUGGAUGAUAAUUAUGAACAAGUUCGAACAAGUUUGUUACAUUGUGAUCCUUUACCAAGUAUUGACAAAGCUGUAGCUGAAUUGAUUGCCGAAGAAACUCGGAAGAAUAUUUCGCAUGUUUCUUUUGAUAAUGUGUUAUCAACCACAAUUGUGCCUACUAAUAUCGCCUUGGCCACUGCUUCUAAUCCCACAACCAUUAAUUCAUGUAAAUAUUGCAAAAAGAAAGGACAUACAAUUGAGAAUUGUUGGAAACUUGAAAGAAAAAGGCGUGACAAAGAACCAAGAAUGACUCUUUCCGCCGCUCUGCUGCUGCUGUUAACACCAAUUCAAAUGACGAAGCUGCUUCUACCACCCCUACUAUUUCCGCAAAGGAUCUUGAGGCAAUAAUAAAUCAGGUAUUGUCCCACACAAACUUACAAUCCUCUUCUCUUUUUGCCGCAUCAGGUAAUUCUUCUUAGUUUUUUGACUUAGCUUGUUGCAAUCAUAUGACACCCAAUCGUUCCAAUUUUUCUUCGAAAAAUGUUGCUUCCAACACUUCUCCUAUUCGAACUGCUGAUGGAUCACUUAUGCAUAUUAGCCAUAUUGGAUCCUUUAAUACUCAAGACGUAUCAAUAUCUGAUGCAUAUUUGGUGCCUAAACUAUCAAUGAAUCUUCUCUUAGUAGGACAAUUAUGUGAUCUUGGCUUUGAUAUUUGUUUUUCUCACACUGGUGUUGUUGUGCAGGAUUCACUGACCAAACGGAUCGUUGGGACCGGGCAUAAAAUUGGUCGUAUGUUUGAGCUAGAUUCAUUGCACCUACCUCAAUCUUCAUCUGCCGCUAUUACGAAUUCUGGGUUAUCUUCUAAUUCUCUUAGUCUUUGGCAUUCUCGUCUUGGUCAUGUCUCCAAAUCCAGAGUCAAAGACUUAGCUUCUAGUGGUAAACUUGGUUAAGUUGAGUUAUCCGAUUUUAGUUGUAUUUCUUGCCAACUUGGAAAACACUUAGCAUUGCCAUUUAGUAAUAGUAAAUCUUUUGCUAUUGCACCUUUUGAUCUUGUGCAUUCUGAUGUUUGGGGUCCAUCUCCUAUUGCCUCAUUAGGUGGAUCAAGAUACUUUGUAAUAUUUGUUGAUGAUUUUUCACGAUACAUUUGGAUCUAUUUGAUGUGUCAGAAAUCUGAAUUGUUAGGCAUUUAUCAAGAAUUUUCGACUAUGAUAAAAACCCAAUUUUCUCACACUACAAAAGUUUUCCGAUCUGAUAACGCUUCAGAAUAUAAACAAAAAGAGUUUUUAUCAAUUCUUAAGCAAGAUGGAAUAAUUUCUCAUGCCUCUUGUCCUGGCACCUCUCAACAAAAUGGUCAUGCCGAACGUAAGCACCCACACAUUUUGGACACUGUUCGUACUCUUCUCAUCUCUACAUCUAUUCCCGAACAAUUUUGAGGGGAAGCUGCUUGUUAGAUGUAUGCCCUAGAAGCCAACCAGGCAGACACAUAUAUUCUUUCUAGGACAUAAAUUUGUAUUUAACUUUAAAAUAUUAUGACUAUAUUUGGAUUUUUAUUUCCAUUCAUGUUGUGUAUGUGUCCAUGAAUCGUCCAAGGAAUUAAUAAGAUGAUGACAUAUAUUCUCAAGAGUUGAGAAAUUGAGACAUGUGUCAUUGGUGGUUAAUUCCUAAAUGCUCCCGAUCAAUGAAUCAUCAUGGGGACGGUGAUUGAUCCGGUGAGAUUGGUGCAUAGGUCGCUUCCCUUUUGGGUAGACGGGUCUCGAGUCGACAGUGUGGGGACAUUGAAGCGAAUAUGCAGGUGGUUGUUAGAGAACAAGGGUAUCGAGCGUGACCAACGCGAUAAGUCACUUGGAUGUCUACUCACUCGUCAGUGACUUACUCAAUGUUGCAGUAGUGUGACUGGUCCUUUGACCUGCGGUGCUUCGGCUAUUCACAAUGAGGUUACUGUAGUUUGACUGUACAUACACUUGGUCCCUAGCCAUUCGGGUCCUUGCGGUGCAUGUUGGCUGCAGUAGGUUCAUUGUAGGAAUAGGGUGCGCACUUAAAUGGAAUCUAUCUCCCUUAGUAGAUAGGGGCGUUAGUCCUAUGUGAUUUAUGAGACCGAGUUUAGAAGAUCUUGGCCAGGGCAGAGUUAAUAGCAGAAAAGGGUUUUCGAUAUUAGAAACUCGAGUCGAAUAAAUUUAACAUAUGACAGACGAUGGAGUUUGACGAGUUAUUCCAUAACCACCAUCUAGUUGGGACUCAUGAUAGAAGGAUUGUAUCACACGGUAACUCCACCAAGAGGUUUAGUAUUCCGUUCUACUAGAAUGCCACUACAUGCUGCUAGGCGUCACUGGUGGAUUGUGAGACUCAUGAGAAUUAUCUAGAUGAUCGAUAAUUCUCAUUGGGCUGAGUUGGAAUUGUUUCGAUCCACUUAAAGGAGUUUCAGUGAUAUUGUUGAUAGUGAUCAAAAUAUAUCUCACUACUAGAUAGAAUAAAACCUAUGGGGUCACACACAUAAGAGGUUGUGAUUGAUCGGAUAGCUAGAUCGCGAUUAUUGAAUCGCCGGAGGACCUAAUUGUCAAUAUGUUGAUAAUUGGACUAAUUUGUAAUUAUUGCGAAUUAGUAGUAUUAAAGUGUAAAUGUUACAAGAGAGGACUUACUAAUAGUUAGUAAAUUAUAGAUGACUUAUGUGCAAAUGUUGCAUUAUUAAUUUGAUAUGAUCAAAUUAAUAUAAAGUUCAAGUCAAAUCAAAUUAGGAUUUGAUCGAUCUAACCAAUUAAGGAAAGAAUAAAUUUAAAUCUAGAUUUGUACUUAUCCUUAAUGGUUAUUAUAUUAUUAAAAAGAUGAUUAUAUUCCUCUAUAUAAUAAUACAGGAGUUUUUAGAAAACCUUAGCCGUCAUCUCUCUUCUCCUCUCUCUUCCAUAUUCUAGCAAGAAAAACGUCCUUUUGCAAGGGAGCUAGCACACCGGUGAAGACAUCGGUCAAAUCAAGAAUCUCGUGUGGAUACCUAUAGAGGCCAGACGCGUGUGCGGCUUCAAGAGAACCCAAUUCCACGAUCAUCAAAUUGAGGUGAAGAUCUAUCCGCGAAAAAGAUAAAGAUUCGAUUUUACUUUUCUCCUUUAAUCUUAAAGAACAUGAGGGAUCCAAAUUGCGUGGUUUUUGAGAUUGGAUCUCGAGAGUUUUUCAAAAUCAAAUUUGUUUGAUUUCUUUUUCCGCUGCGUUUUUAUAGUACGCAAUUUUCUAACACUGCUUUCACUGCAAUUUACACCAUUAAUAGAGUUCCUUCUAAUGUUAUCGCUAAUCAAUCUCCUUAUUAAUGUUUGUUUGGUAAACCGCCUGAUUAUUCCGAUCUAAAGACUUUUGGGUGUGCAUGUUUUGUUCUUCUUCAAUCUCAUGAACAUAACAAAUUGGAAUCCCGCUCUCGUUUGUGCUAUUUUCUUGGUUAUGCAUUGAACACAAAGGUUAUAGGUGUUAUGACCCUGUUAGUAAACGCCUUAGAAUUUCUAGACAUGUGAUUUUUUGGGAGCAUACAAUGUUCUCAAGUCUCUCCAAAUUUCAUGUUUCUUCUUCUGAUUCACAUUUUUUUACCAAUUUGACAAUUGAUCUCUUUCCCGAAAAUAAUAAUACAAGCGAAGGUGAUGACAUUUCAGCUCAAACAACAACCACAAUUAACUCACCCGAUGAAUCCAGAAGGUCGGAUGAUUCCUAUGAACAAGCCAUGUAUGAGUCAAGCACUCUCAUUGAUCCUACCACUUUUGUCGAUGUUCGUCAAUCUAGUAGGGUUAGAGCUCCACCGGCUAAACUCAAAGAUUACCAUUGCUAUUUUGCAAUGGCCACUUUGCAUGAACCUUAUACCUUUCGUAAAGCCUCCUCUAAUCCUCUUUGGCAGCAAGCAAUGAAAGAAGAACUUGAUGCUCUGCAGAAAAGCAGAACUUGGGAUGUGAGAUAUUGAAACUUGAUGAAAUUUGGCUAACUUUGGUCAAAUGGACCAAAGUGGGCAAUUGAACGGUUUGGACAAGUUCCAUUCGGCAUUCCAACAAGUUCGGAAGAGCAAAAAUGAGUUCCAAAGGUGUUGGAAUGGUUUUGACAUCGAUCGGCGCGAAGUAGAGCCGAAACGAAGUGAAAAUAGCAUUCUGGAGCUGUUGUACCGGUACAAGGGUGAUGGCUGUACCGGUACAACCAUCGCUGCCAGGUUGAGUAGCUCUCGGGUUUGAGGGCUUCAGGCGCUGUACCGGUACAAGGCCCUCUUGUACCGGUACAAGCCCGUCGAAACCGAGAAACCGAGCGCUCGGGUUGCGCUCGGGUUGGCUGUCUCCCAGGCCUUGUACCGGUACAAGAGCCCGUGUACCGGUACAAGGGACCCCGAACAGCGGGUCUGCUUUGAAAAAUAGAAAAGUAGAGGGGCUUUUUGAGAUAUUGUUAUAAUAGAGGGUUAAUACACCUCUCUCUCAGCCACUCCCUCCCACUCUUAGCCUCUCUCUCACUCUCUCACACACCUCUCUCUUUCUCUACCCGAAAGAAGAAGGAGAAGAAGAAAGAAGGAGAGAAAGAAAGAGAAGAAGAAGGGAAAAGAAGGAGAAGAUCAAGGAGAAGAAGAAGAAGCUUCUCUCCCUCCUCUUCUUCAAGCUAGGGCUUGCUUUGGAGCAAACCCUAGAGGUAAGCCUCAACCCUAACUUGUGAAUCUAGGGUUUUGGGAGCUUUUUGUUGGUUUUAUUGGUUCAAAUAAAACCUAAUGAGCUUAGAGGAUAUGGAUCUAGCUCACAUUGAAGCUAGAAACCAUGGGUUCCCAUGGUUUCUAAACCUAGGGCUUGAUUUUGGGAUUUUUGAGAAUAUAGGGUUUUGAUCUAUUUUGAUGGGUCGGAAACCUAAUUGCUAUGUUCCCGAACGCGUAGGCGAAGACGGUUCGUCGAUCCGUCGAACGAGCGCGGAGAUAUCGCCGAUUUGGGUGCUCUAGGGUUCGUUUUGACCCAAGGUGUUGAAGCGGCGCACGUGGACCGCGACGCCGAGUUUCUCAGCUUUCCGGCACUACCACAAGGUGGGUGGUGACCAUCCCGAAGCAGCGGGGCUACCUUCUAUGUCUAAGUUUAAUAUUGAUCUAGUUGCAUCUUGUGCAUAUACAUAUAGGGUUAGAUGAUCGUUGUUGCUUAUGUUUGCAUGCUAGUAGUUAUACAUCUUGUUGAUUGAUCCAAGAUCCAGUAUGCAUGAAAUGUAUGAUGAAGACCUAGACCCUAUAUGUGGUGAUUAAUGUUUAUGUGAUUAAAGAACUAGUGUGAUGUAACUAGUGUUGAAAAUGAGUCUAAAUGACGAGUGGCAUCUAGUUUAGAAAACUAUGACGAGUGACAUCUAGUUAUAGAAAACUAUGACGGAUGGCAUAUGAUUGUUGAUGACCUUGAUAUGAGAACAUUAGUGUAGUUGAGACACUAUGAGAUUGGGUACAAGAAUACCUUGAUUCCAUGAUGAGAUUACCCUUAGAGGGUAGGUUGCUGAUGUUCGUGAGUUGAUCGUGCUCACAUUGCCUGUCUGCGCUUGGAGGGGUCGCUCCCCACAAGCUGUGCACUCCGGAGGUUGGUCACUAGAGGGACAGUCAGUGUGCUGUCUGGACGGUCUGUGUGCUGUCCGCAGGCGGUCUCGGGGAAUAGUUCAGUGAGACUUUUCCCUAUGAGACUUACACGUGAGAUAUGUUCGUGAACCCGAGUUCACCAUGAGAUUUGGUUACCUAUUGAGUCACACUCAUUAUUGUUGCUCAUGAUAGCUUGAUUACAUAGCUUACUUGUUGUUCAUGAUAGCUUGCUUACAUAGCUUACUUACCCAGCUUUAUUUGUUGCUCAUGCAUUCAUGAUAUCAGAUUGAGGCAUAGUUCGAUAUUCAUAUUCUAUAUACCUGCUUCAGUUCAGCUUAACUUUAUAUAUAUAUAUAUUGCAUAUAUAUAUCCUUCUAUGCCUGCUUAAGACCUAGUGGGUAGAUCGGCGGAGUCGGCGGCCGAACCCACUGGGGACUAUUCGUAGUUCUCACACCCCACGUUGCAGGUGCUAGUUCGAGUAUCCCCACCGAGCGGGAGGAUCGCGGCAAGGGCUUGGCGCCCUAGCGUAUUGGUUGAUAGCUUACUUUUCUACUUGCAUUAGUUCACCCUGCUUUUACAUUUUAAGAGUAGAUGUUGUAUAGGGUGAGGUUUUGGAGAGUAUAUGAUGUAUUUACAUUUUUGAAAAAGAAUGCAAAUUGUAUUAAAUGGUUAAAGCUUUAAUGACAUCAAAGAGAUUGAAUGUUUCAAUUAUGUCUCCAAUAAUUAAGUUAUAUCUCUUUUGUAUACUUGUAUGCUUCUUACUGGUAUCGCUUGCUCUUGUUGGUUUUAGCACUUUUCGUGCUCCUGUUAUCGUUGCUUGAUUGUGCAUGUAAUCAAGUUGUUUUCCUGGGAACUUGUUGUGCACAAUCUUGUUGGUUAGCCUAGGGCGGACAGGGGAGACUCUGUCCAUUCGGCCUCACGCCCGCCGCCCUCGAACCAGACCAAAUCGGUACCGUUUUCGGGUCGUGCGGUUGGGGGCGUGACAUGGGACGUAGUUGAUUUACCUUCAGGGAAAUCAGCAGUCGGUUGUAAAUGGAUUUAUAAAAUCAAAGCUCGCUCGGACGAUAGCAUUGAGCGCUUCAAAGCUCGCCUUGUAGCCAAAGGCUUCACUCAAGAAUAUGGUAUCAAUUAUGAAGAAACAUUUGCUCCAGUAGCUCGCCUCACCACAGUUCGAUCUCUUAAUGCGAUAGUUGCAACUCGCCACUGGUCUCUUUUUCAAAUGGAUGUUAAGAAUGCAUUUCUUAACGGUGAUCUUGAUGAAGAAGUUUAUAUGCUACCACCUCCUGGUUUGGAUCAUCCUCCAAAUAAGGUCUGUCGACUUUGAAAAGCUUUAUAUGGGUUGAAACAAGCUCCAAGAGCCUGGUUUUCUAAAUUCAGCUCUACAAUCAGUCGUUUUGGCUUUUCUUCUAGCCCAUAUGAUUCAGCUCUAUUUUUGCGUCGACAAAGGGUAUUAUCAUUCUACUACUAUACGUAGAUGAUAUGAUCAUCACUGGUGAUGAUAUACAGGGCAUUCAAGACCUCAAAUGCUCUCUUAGUGAACAAUUUGAAAUGAAAGAUUUGGGCACACUGAGUUAUUUUUUGGGCAUUGAAAUAACAUCGUGCUCUGAUGGCUAUUUCUUAUCUCAAGCCAAAUAUGUAGAUGAUCCCUUAUCUCGAACUGGACUAUCAGAUAGCAAAAUUGCUGAUACACCAUUAGAGCCUAAUAUUAAAUUUCGUCCAACUGACGGAGAGCCACUCGCUAAUGCUACUCUCUAUAGGCAAUUAGUGGGUAGUCUUAUCUAUCUUACAGUUACCCGACCAGAUAUAUCAUAUGUUGUGCAUUUGGUAAGUCAAUUUAUGGCUUCACCACGAUCAGUUCAUUAUGCUGCUGUUCUUCGCAUUUUAAGAUAUAUUUAAGGAACUCUCUUUUAUGGGCUCAAGUUUUCUUCUUCUUCACCUUUGGAACUUCGCGCAUAUUCGGAUGCCGAUUGGGCAGGGGAUCAAACAGAUAGGAGUCUUAUCUAUCUUACAGUUACCUGACCAGAUAUAUCAUAUGCUAUGCAUUUGGUAAGUCAAUUUAUGGCUUCACCACGAUCAGUUCAUUAUGCUGCUGUUCUUCGCAUUUUAAGAUAUAUUAAAGGAACUCUCUUUCAUGGGCUCAAGUUUUCUUCUUCUUCGUCUUUAGAACUUCGUGCAUAUUCGGAUGCCCAUUGGGCAGGGGAUCAAACAGAUAGGAGAUCCACCACUGGCUAUUGCUUUUUAUUAGGAGACUCUCUCAUCUCUUGGCGUAGUAAGAAGCAAAAUGUUGUUGCUCGCUCUAGCACUGAGGCGGAGUAUCGUGCACUUGCUGAUACAACCACCCAAUUACUUUGGCUUCGCUGGCUACUUGCAGACAUGGAUGUUCCUCAACAUUCAAGCACUCCAUUAUAUUGUGACAAUCAAAGUUGUCACGCUCCGAGACCGCUACCCAUUUCGUCCGGUUCGGGUACGUCGAACAGACGCCGAACGGACAGCACCUCCCUUGUCCGCCCAAGGCUCAAGCACGGGAUCAUGUACAAGAAUUCGCCUAGGAACAAUUCAAUACAUACAUGAUCCAUACAACGACAAUAGAAGCACCACAAGUGCUUAACAACAAGAGCAAGUAACACAAGUAUACAUACAAGUGCAAAAAGAGAGAAUUCUAUCUAUUACAUCAUAUUCAUCCACAGUUUACAUUUUGUUUCAUCCAAAAUAUAGGUACAAGUUCAUUCACAUCUCUCCAAAAUGCAUCUCACAACCUAUACAUCAUCUACUCUCAUAUAUGUAGGUACCUCUUAUGCAGUAGGAGAGCUACUAAUGCUAGGGCGCUAAGCCCUUACCGCGAUCCUCGCCCGGAGUGCUCAUACUCGGCCCUGCAACAAAGUGGGGUGAGAACUAUCGUCCAUAGUUCCCAGUGGGUUCGGCCGUCGACUCCGCCGAUCUCCCCACUAGGUCCAAGUGGGCACAAGCAGAUAGAUAGAUAGAUAGAUAUGUGAAAACAGUAACAACAUAGUAAGAAAGCUAUGCUACUAUGCCCAAAUCAUAUACAAUGUAUGCAUGCACAAUGUGAUAGAUAAUCAACUAUAUACUACUAUGUCACUAUAUCCAAGAAGUAAUGUCCAACAAGCAAUGCUAAUCUCUUGUUCACCCAAUCCUUGGCCAACCCUGAGGUUUGCCCAUGACUCACAUGCAUCUCAUGGGUAAGGAGACUCAACUCGCUCAACAAACCUGAGACCGUCUGCGGGACCCCAUAAGGCUAUCCCUCGUGUGACAAACUCCGGAGCGCACGCUUGUGUGAAGCGACCACCACAAUCUCAACAGACAGUGAGUAUGAUCCAAUCCUCUCAACUCGAGAACACCCUAUCCACUAGGGUUAACAGUCACUCGGGAAUCCACUUAUCCCAAUGUCCAUAUGCAAGUGCUUAACUACACUAAGUUCUUGUUCAAUGACUCAUCUCUAGGGAAUCCGCCUAUCCCUAAGUUCACAUGUCAAGUGUUACUUUGCUCUAAGUUUUAUGCCACUUGUUCUGUUGUCAUUAUUAUUUAUAUGCCACUCGUUAUGUCUUUAUCAACCAUCGAGUCCAUCCCUUAUCUUAGCACUAUAGGAUUCAAUGUCUCGACCCAAUCCUCAUCUAUCCACUAUAUCAAGCAUUCAACUCACACUAUGAUAUUGUCUAGGACAAGCAUAAGAAAAUAGAAAUGCACAUUUAUCCUACAAUGCAUAUAUGCAAGAGAUGCAAGAUUACAAUGCACUAAGACAUAAAAGAGGAGCCCGGUUGCUUCGGGAUAACACCACCUACCUUCUAGCGUUGUCACGACUCUAGGAAUGUAAGUCGGCGAUUUUACGACGUUGUCUCGGCCUCCCAGGCGGAAACGAAGCUCGGAAGGUCCUUUUCGCCAAUAACUUUGCACAGGUUCGACGGAUCGCCAAACAGACUUCGCCUACGCGUCAGAAAGCCUAUCAAUUAGGUUUAUGCAUGAUCAAUUUAGAUCAAACUCUACUACAAGGCAAAACCCCAUUUUGGAGCCCUAAUUUGCGAUCAUGCAAGAAUCCAACUCUAAAUCUCCAAACUCAUGCAUUAAACACUUGUUAAGCAUGCUAGAGUUCCAACUAAAUCAACUCUAGAGUAUAAAACCCAAACCCUAGAAGUUCACCAUGGUUGAGCUUCAAGCUUACCUCCAAAAGCUAGCAACAAUGGUGAAGAGGAAGAAGAAGAUGAUGAAAACCCCUCUCCUUGCUUGCUUCUCCACCAAAACCCUAUCUUUUUUCACCUUCUAGAGAGAGAAAGAGAUCUUAGAGAGAGAGAGGGAAGUUUUAGGUUUAGGGUUGAGGAAAUGAGAGAGUGAGGGGGAAGGAUGAUCCCCAAGCACUCUUAUAAUGCACAAUUACCAAAAACCCCCUCCACUUUGCAAGCUAUGCACAGCCCAGCCCUGGGCAUUUUCGGGUACCGGGACCGGUCUGUCCCUAGAGGGACCGGUCUGUCCCUAGAGGGACCGGUCCCCAAGAGCAAGAUUUGCGAGCAGAGCCAUUCUGCCCAUUUUACGCGUACGGGGACCGGUCUCUCCCGCCAGGGACCGGUCCCCGAGAGCAAAACUUGUGCGCAGAGGAUUUUCUGCCACUUUCCAAGCUUACGGGGACCGGUCUCUCCCACCAGGGACCGGUCCCCGAGAGCAAAAUCUGCAAUUGUGCAGAUUUACACAAUUUGCUCUUCGAGGCCCUCCUUAAUGCACUUUUUGAGUUUCUGACGCCUUCGGUCUUUUCGAAGCGUACCCAAUUGACAGUCAGUCAAUUCUAACCGAAGUUCAACUCUCAUAUUUCAAGAAUUCACUUCCUUACAAAAGUGCUAUUCAAAUAGCACAUAAUGAUGUUUUUCAUGAAAGGACUAAGCAUAUUGAAAUAGAUUGUCACUUUAUCAGGCAUCAUCUAGUGCAGAGUAAACUCCACCUCUGCUCAAUCUCAUCGGCUAAUCAACUUGCGAAUAUUUUCACCCGACCUCACUCUACUAUGCUAUUUAGAGAUUUAUUGUCCAAACUCCAGUUGACAUCUAGUAUGCCACCUUGAGUUUGAGAGGGGAUGUUGAAGAAAUAUUAUUUCUUGAUUGGGAUGGACAUUCCAUCUAAAUAUUAUAUGUCUUCUAUAUGAAGAAGAUCAUGCAACCUUCCAUAUGAGUAAAAUCCUACAACAUAAUUUGUGCUACUCUACCAUGUAUAUGAUUGUAUAAUAUUUUAUUUCUAUGAUUAGCCAAGUUGUCAUUUUGGGAUGUAAGAAUCAUGUAUAUAUUAGUGUUAAUGGAGAACAUAGAAGAACAGAGAGUUUUUCUCAUCUUUAAAUUCACUGUUUCUAUUUGAAUAUUUUCAACAAUUUAACCUACUAAAUUAUAACAAAUCAAAAAAUUCAAGCUAAAAAUUGUAACAAAUUAAAGUUUGAGAAUCAAAGUCUCACACACGUCAUAGUUUUGAGGAUCAAAGAUGUAAUUUACUCAAAUAAAUAAAAGAAGAUGAUCAGAAACAGUACCACACACAACACUAAGGCAAUUUUAAGUGUUCAACUGAAAAGACAACCAAAUUCUACUCUAUAUACAGGUGUAAAAAAGCAUGUAGAAGCCCAAAAGGCGAUCUUCCUUAAUUUCCUCAUCAAGCUCGUGGUUUUUUUGUUUAAUCUGAAUAUCCAUAUGCUAUUUAAGUAUCACAGCUCCAUCUCGAUGUGGGAACGCAGUUCAAAUAGUGGCACCAGUGGCAAUGAUCAUUCAAAUUCUUUUCUUUGAAAAGCAUUACUAAACCAAUUGUAAAUCUGCAAUCAAACAUGGAAACAACAGUUAGCAGAGAGUUUCUACUACUUUCAGAAAGAAAAAAGGACAAGAUAAGAGUUCUGACUAAGCUAUUGGAGAAUGUUACAAAUUGACUCUGCUUGUUAUCCGCCUUUGUAAGAGCUGUUUGAGUUGCUAGAAAUUUCGGAAUGACAAAGCUUAUUUUAGCUUCCAUUUCAAAUUGGUGCUACCGCUUUAGGGUCCAAAAGUUUCAACUUUCUAACACUAGUGUGACUUCCAGAUUUCUAUCUUCACGACGAAAUGCCUGACUUCUGCUUCUUGAGGGGGUGUGUAGAAGCUAGGUGGUUUUCAAAUAAAAAGUGUAGUCCUUUUGGCUAAAGAGUAGGACCAAAACAAGCCUCUGGCCCUACAAAUCAAGUUAGCGAAAGACCAAAACGAGGUGCUGAGCCCUAAAAGCAGAGUUCCAAUUUUUAGCUUCUAGCUGCAGUAGAAAGAUAUGGAAGGGAUGGGGAUUUUAUGGGAAGCACUAAGGCUUCCUCAAACAGCUUUUACUCGAACAGCUUUUAUUCGAACAUCACUUCCACAAAAGCUCCAGAAAGGUCGAAAGGAACAAAAAGUGUGUACAAGUCACAGAUACUCUUCUGGGCAUACUUACCCAGCUAACAGCAGAACCAGUGCAACAACCCAUAGCACAAAUUGGUAAGGCUUGUAUUUUGAUCUCAUUUGACGGGACAGGGGCAAGUCAUGGCGUUCAUUCCAACCAAAUCUCGGCCGGGGGAAUAACACAAACCCAAGGAGAAAACCUGUCAAAAACCCUCCAAUAUGUGCAAAGUUAUCGACAUGUGGCAGGAUCCCAAUGGCCAAGUUGAUUGCUAUGAUGAACAAAAGGGUUAAUAAAGCUGCCGCCUACAAAAGCAAACCAAUGAGAUGAGUAACAGAGGAAGAAGCCAAAUAAAGCUUACCAGGAUAUACAAUAAUUCAUAAUGAAUUUAGUUCACCUUAUUGGAAUAGAUGGUCCAGUUUGUGAUGAGCUCUGAAAGCAUGGAUCCGAGUAGACCGAAUAAAGCACCAGAAGCACCCACAGAAAUGCUGUUUCUAAGGAGAAGAGCUGAGAGGACACUACCGCCAAACCCCGAUAGCAAGUAUGUAAGCCCAAUACGAACUGAAAGGCAGGGAACAAAUGAUCACUCUUAUAGAGAAGUAUGUUGAAUGAAUAACUGUACAACUACAAAUGAUACCAAAUCAUCAAAUUCGUUUUCUCAGUUAAGUCCUACCGAAUCCAAAUUGCUGUUCGAGACGGAUUCCGAUGAAAAUCAGGCUCAGCAUAUUAACAAGCAAGUGGAUAAGACCUGCAUGUAGCCAAAUACAGGUAAUGAGCCUCCAUCCCUGAUGUUGACGAACUACCUUGCUCCAUUCAAGAGCCCCCAUCCUUUCCAAUCUGAAAAAAAGGAGUAGAAAAGUAAAUCAAUAACAGGGAACUAUAUCCACCUCUUACACAACUUCAGCUAAAGCUAAAACUGGAUAAAAAAGUAUGCGAAGAAAUUUUCUAAAAAAGGUUCUAUGUCCUUCAAAAGUUCUACGUAUCGAAAAUCAGAAGUUCAGAUACCUACUUAUGAAUCGAACAUUGUACACCAUUAAUUAUUAGGACAACUUGAUGCCUAAGUAAUAUUCUAUUAGAAUUUAUUUUCUUUUACAGUAGACCACAUUCAUCGAAUUAUAUUUUAAUUUUAGCGCAUGGAUCAUCAGAUAUUGCGUGUAGUGCAUGAGGUGUACAGAUACACCGGGUGCAGGAAGUAAUUUUCCCGAAAAGAUUGCAUUGCAGAAGAGUGAAGAGAAAGAAAUACUGACUAUAUGUCCACGCCCACCCACCCUUUAAAACUAAUCCAUCCUCUCAGAAUGAAAGGCUAGUGACACCAAAUGAAAAGUUGCCACUCCCUUACCAAAGCUUCUGCAGCAAGCGAUCACAAGCAAUAGACCUAACUUUAUACGAAAUUGACAAUCUAUAUAUCAGACAAGAAGUAAAAGAAGAGGAGAAAAAAAAGAAGAAGAAAAAAACAACGAUAGAAAUCUCAAGUGGGUAGUAAAAAAUUGGAUAAAUUGCACUACUUUUCUCCAAACUUUUAACCUGGUUUCACUUUAAUCCUUGAACUUAAGUUGGAAAUUCGACACUCCAAAAUUUUUUUUUUGAGAGAUAGGUAGCACGCUACCCGCUUCGUUUUUUCAUUUAGAAAUAAACUUAGCUAGAAAUGUGAAUCAACUAGGAUUCGAACUUGGGUCUCGGGUACCAACCACCAAGCCCUUUGCCACUUGCUCUAGGGACGGUCGGUGACACUCCAAAAUUUUGAAAGCAUUUUAUUUUUGUUCGUCCUCAUCUACUAUCAAAGAAAACAUUAUUUCCUGCACGCGGUGCAUCCGUACAUUCACCCAGCGCGCAUCGAUCAGCACUCAUUCCAACCCAAGCUCAUACUUCGAUCACAUGUAACACCCAUUGAGUGAGUUGUGUUCCUUUGUCUACUUAGAAAUUAAAUGGUUAGAUUGAGAAAAAAACGAAAUGCCUUGAUGAUUCACGAUGCACUGAUGUAUGUUGAAUAUAUGUAUUAAAAACAUCAUUCUCUCGUAGCUUAAGCUUUUGGAGAACAUCAAUGGUUUCAUUUCUUAAGUUCAAAUUUAAAUUCUAAUAUAAGUUUGAUACUUGAAUUUAGUUCUAAAUUUAAAUUUUGACUUCGAACAUAAAUUUGAAUUGUAAAUUCAAAUUUUAUGUUUAGACUGUGAGUUCAAAUUUGAAUUCAAAUCUUGAUUAUGGAAUUGAAUAGUACGUUUAAAUUUUAAUUAAAAUUUAAUUUUUUUAAUUUCAAUUGUUGGAACAUGAUUCCGAUUCCGAUUCCAAUUCCGAUUCCUCUUGUGAACACAGCAAAUUGAAGUUUUUAUCAUUCAGUGUUCUAUUCCGAUUCCAUUCAUAUUCCAAUUUCGAUUCGUAUUCUGAACCAAACGUUUCCAGGACUACUACGGCAGUUUACUAACGUAAACCCAAAAUCUCAACACUCAAAUGCAUUAAGGCCUAGUUUAGUAGUGCAGAGGAAGCACUCCCAAUCUUUUCUCCUCCGAUGCUAUAUAAUUGCGAUAGCAACCGUCGCCGCAGAAGAAGAAUGUAACCAUAAUUUUAUUAGUAUUGGAGGAGAGAUGAGAAGCGCUUUCGUUUCUUUUUUUUUUUCUUUUUUUUUUGGGGAUCUCGUAAUGCGUAAAAGGAGGUGCUCUUGAUCAAAAACGCAAUCUCAAAGUACUGAAGCCCUGAAGCCUAAAAAAAAACAUUUCUUUUUUUUUAAAAAAGAAAGGGAACCGAGACGCAGAGAGGAGAGAGGAGAGAGGAGAGAGGAAGUAGAAAUGGGUUAUGGAGCGUACGUGGAAGAGGAGGGGCCGAGGAGGGGGUUCUCGCGGAGCGGCUGGAAGGAGAGGCGGCGGAGGAAGCGGGCGGCGCAGGGCCCGUAGGGCGUGUAGUGGGCGGGGCAGUUGUUGAGCACCAUCUCCGCCACGAACACCCCCACGCUCGCCACCACGAUCGCCGGCACCAACCACGCCCGCCACCUCCCCGUAAUCUCCCUCUCCCACUCCCACUCCCCCUCCCCCUCCGCCGCCACAACACCGCCGCGCUUCGUCCCGCCGCCGCUGCUCGCCAUCUCCGCCGCGCUUUCCCUCGUCGUCGUCCUCCUCGUCCUCGAAGAUGGUUCGGUUGCGUUUGCUUGGGUUUGAAGAAGAGGAGGAGGAUUGUUCGGUGAGGGAGAUGAUGCGCGUGUGUAACUGUGCAUGAAAGAGAUAGAGAAAGAGAGAGAGUCUAGAGAGUUGUGCUGGCGCCUGGCGGUUUGGUUGCGUUGGGGAUUUUUAUGUACGGGAAACAAUGUUUAGAAUUUAUUGUUUGGAAAGAAAAAGGAAGUGAGAGCGAGACGUGGAAAGUAACUCGGCGUCCGUAACUCGGUGGAUGGGGACAGAGAGACAAGUAUUUGUUCCCUGCGCCUGGUCUAUCUUUGCACCACACUCACCGCGCAUUUUCGGCCUCCUUUAUAUAAAGUUGCUAAUUUUCUAUUUUCUUCCAUAAAAUUUUUUAUAUAAAGUUGUAUGGAAAGGGAUAGUGAUUUAUUUGCAAUCCUUAUAUGCAAAAUAUUUAUUUUUCAAUAAAAAUUAAAAAAAAUUAAAAAUCAUUUUUUUUUGCUUCUAUUUUUUUUUUUUUAUUCGUCUUUGUUAUUUGGUUAAUAAGUAUGUUGUAAACUAACUAACCGUUGGCAACAAACAAAAAAUAUUUUUAUCGGUAUAUCAAAUUAUCUGAAAGUAGUAUUUAAAAGAAUAAAAUGAUGUCAAAUAUGACAUUAAAUACUCCUAAAUAUUAGAUAUAUCAUAUAUUAUAUACUAAAUUAUAUUUUAAUUCAGUAAAAUUAUAUUUUAACUUUAACUAUUGAACUAUUAAUUAUAAAAUAAAUAUGGUGGAUGUGAUGCACAGAUAUGCACAGUGUAUGCAGUAAAUUACUCUUGCCAAGUGGAGGCGACAAAGAAAGAAGUUAUGCCGAAGUAGUUAUCGGAAUACGCGGAACAAGCAGUAUUCGGAUUCGGGGUGGGAGUUGUAUAUCGAGGGAGCUGGGCCUGACAUGUGAGGGCCAUAAGAAAGUGGGCCCCGCACGUCAAUGUAAUGGCCUUUGGUGCAUAUAGUUGUGUAAUGUGGGCUGUGUCGGGCCGGCACGGCCCACAUUUUUCGUGCCAAUUCAGGCUAAGGGGCCGGCCCGGUUCCAAAUUCGGACCCACCACGGUCCUUCGGCCCGAAAGCUCUGGGCUGGUCCCCUAAAAUGUUUAAUUUUUUAUUUUUUUAAAAAAUAUAUAAAAUAUAAAAUAUAAAAAAAAUAAUUAUUUCAAUUUCAAAAUUUAAAAUUUUUAAAAAUAAUUAUAAUAUAACAAGUGUUUAAAUUUUUUUAAAUAUAUAUAUAAUUUUAAUUUUUUUUUUAAAAAAAUUGAUGUGUUUUUGGUCCUGGACCAAAAUUGUUUUGGUCCAUUGGACCAAAAACCUCCUCCCAAGGUCUGCUCACAGCCGACCUUGCGAGGAGAUCAGGAGAUCCACCAACCCUAAGGCCCUCCUCCGUAGGAGAAGGGCCUGGGGUUUGGGCCAUGCUGGCCCAGCGUGCCGGGCCAUGGGCCUCUCCUCGGUCCGGCACAGCCUAGGCCCGUUUCGGGUGGUGCCUAGCCGGGCCGGGCCAUCGGGCCCAAGAGGAGAGGCCCACCACGGCCCUUAAGCUUUGUCCGGGCCGGGCUGGCACAGGUGCUUCAACACCUGUGCCGUGCUCCAGUCCGGCCUGAGACCAUGCCGGGUUGGGCCGCCCGGCCCAUUUUACACCCUCUAGGUGCAUACCAUCGUAACGCUGAAAAUUCUGGUGGUAACUAAUUAAUCACGUUUUAAGCAAACAAGCAUGCAACCACAAAUCACAUUGGGUCAAUUUAACCUUAACAUAGGUUCGGUCUAUAGCAUGACCAUGAUGUUAAUUUUCUUUUUCUUUUUUUUUUUUUUGNGAGAGGGAGAUGGAGGUGCUCAAAGCCUUCCUCUUGAUCUCCUUCUUCUUCUCCUUCCUUGUCUUCCUCUUCUUGUUCUCCUUCUCCUUCUUGUUCUCCUUCUCCUUCUUUCCUUUCUAGAGAGAGAAAGAGAGCAAUAGAGAGAUGAGAGUGAGAGAGAGAGAAAUGAGAGGCUGAGAGAGGGAGUGGGCCAAUAUGCCCCUCUAUUGUAACAAAAUCCACUUUAGCCCCUCAACUUCUCACCCCUUGCACAGCCCUCACUGGGCAGAAUUCGCGCGGAGAGACCGGUCUCCCCGACUUGGGACUGGUCCCCGAGAGCUUCCCUCGGGCGCACGCGUUCGGGAACCGGUCUCUCCCCGGGAGACCGGUCCUCGGGAGACCGGUCCUCGCCUGAGAGACCGGUCCCCGAGAGCUCAAUUUUCAGGACUUAGCCAAAUUUCGGCAUUUCUCGCUGGAACCACGUUUGGGAACCGGUCCCUCACUGCCAGGGACCGGUUGCACCAUGCAACCCCGCACGCCCAGCCGAUGGGACCGGUCUCUCACCUCCAGAGACCGGUCCCCGAGAGCAACUUCAGCCCAAUAAUGCUGUUUGCAUCAUUAGCUCUCGUGGACUCAACUCCAAAGUACUUUUUGUGUUUUGGACAUUUUUUAACUUCCCCAGAGGGUAUUCUCUCGACAGUCAGUCGAUCCUGGACGAAGUAUAACUCUCGAAUUUCGAGAAUUCACUUCCUUACACCGGCGGUAGCGCCACGGGAGGAGGUGAUUGCAGCACCACCAGCUCAGGUGCCUCUAGCGGGGGCGGCUUUCCCCGUGACAGCUGUUGGAGAGGAGCGGGACCGACUAAUGGAGCGCCUCAACGAGUUCAGGAGGUGCAGUCCCCGGAUCUUCGAUGGAGAGAAGGUCGAUAACUGGAUCGUGGAAAAGUGGUUGAUGCAUAUGGAGAAGCUCUUCCGCGACACCUUCGUGGAGGAGAGGGACCGAGUUUGGCUCGCCACAUACCACCUGGACGGCAAGGCCUACCGCUGGUGGUUGGAUAUUCAGGAGAACCCCAGCACAGAUUUGGCGGCUAUUUCUUGGAAGAAGUUCAAGGAGCUUCUAUUGGCGCACUACUUUCCUGACAGCGUCAAGAGGAAGAUGGAGCAGGACUUGCGCAACUUGUGCCAGGGAGACAAAUUUGUGGCCGAGUACGCUCAAAUGGGAUCUAGGCCCUGGCCCAAUUUCAACCUGUCUGGUUAUCGCUCAGCUCCAUCCCUACUUUUCUCUGUUGAACGAGAGGGAGUUUUCUCAGCUUCUGCAUUGCGUGUCUUUCUUCGUGCGGGACGACGAGGACAAGGCCCACAUCUUCGAGCGUGGAUUGCGACCGUCUAUCUUCCGGUUCGUGCAAUCCUCCAACCUCCAAACCUACCGGGAGGUGGUGAAUUGUGCGCUCAUUGUGGAGAGCGGCGCGGCGGAUGUGCAAGAGCGGCGAGAAGGCAUGGACAAGGGUAAGGGCGAAAGGCCCGCGGCGGAGGGUGCGAGUCAGACGCACUUUAGGAGGCCGCCGAAACACCCUAGGAGCCAGCAGCGUAGGCGCGGCUCGGCAGCGCCGCGAGGAGGGUCCGAUCGAUGCCGACCUUCCAAGUGCGUGAUCUGUGGUGGUCCUCAUAUUCCACCGCAGUGCCCGCAGCAGGGAGGGAGGUAUUUUCUGUGCGGCCAGGAGGGCCACUUCCGGACCGAGUGCCCGAGGGGUUCGUCACCGGCAUCGUCGACUGCAUCGGCACCGGCUCUACCAGCCGCCAGCCAGGGGACUCCAUCAGCACAGUACCAGCCUGGGCGGUCAUCCGUCCAGCGUCAGAGCGAGGAUUCUCGACAGGCCACGAGUGGGCGUAUGUAUGCCGCUCAGACCGAGGAGGCGGCAGCAGCCGAGGAUGUGGUUGCAGGUAUCAUUUUUCUUGAUGGCAUUAGAGUUCGUGCAUUAUUUGAUACUGGUGCAUCACAUUCAUUCAUAGAUCGGCUGUUUGCCAAGUUGUAUGGCAUCCCUUUAGUUUCUUUAUUGCAUCCGGGACAGGUUGUAGUACCUGACCACAUUUUGGAUAUUCGAGAGUUUUACCCCAGUUGCCCUAUUCGGGUAGGGGAUUGGAUUAUGCCCGUGGAUCUGCUAGCUUUGCGCAAGCUGAGGGAGUUCGAUGUGGUCUUGGGUAUGGACUGGUUGACCAAGUAUUAUGCCACGAUUGAUUGUGUGAAUCGCAUGGUUACUUUUAGAGAACCGGGGCAGACUGAGGUUAUAUUUAGAGGAUGCCAGAGUUCGCUGUUUGUGAUGACGAUCAGCUCGUCUCGAGCUAGGCAGCUGAUCAGCAGAGGUUGCAUAGCCUAUUUGGCUAGUGUUGUUGUGAGGGGCGAUGAUGACGCCCCUAGGAUUGAGGAUAUCCCGGUGGUGCGGGAGUUUCAGGACGUGUUUCCGGCUGAGCUACCGGGUAUGCCCCCUGAUAGGGAGAUUGAAUUUGUGGUGGAUCUCGUCCCUGGGACUACCCCAAUCUCAAAGGCGCCCUAUAGGAUGGCACCGGCGGAGCUGAAGGAGCUGAGGGCACAGCUGCAGGAUUUGUUUGAUAAGGGCUUCAUUCGACCGAGCGUCUCGCCUUGGGGAGCACCUGUUUUGUUCGUCAAGAAGAAGAACGAAUCACUGCGCCUAUGUGUGGACUAUCGUGAACUUAAUAAAGUCACGAUCAAGAAUAAGUAUUCGUUGCCGAGGAUUGAUGACUUGUUUGAUCAGCUUCAGGGAUCGUGUGUGUAUUCUAAGUUAGACUUGCAGUCGGAAUACCACCAGUUAAAGAUCAAACCCGAGGAUGUAUCGAAGACGGCUUUUAGAAUACGGUAUGGACAUUAUGAGUUCACAGUUAUGCCGUUCGAGCUUACUAAUGGCCCGGCAGCUUUUAUGGAUCUAAUGAACCAUGUUUUUAAGCCUUAUCUAGACAGGUUCAUCGUGGUGUUCAUCGACGACAUUUUGGUUUAUUCCCGAAGUGAUGCAGAUCACGAGGAACAUUUGAGGCUUGUACUUCAAAUACUUCAGGAAAAGGAGCUUUAUACCAAGUUGAAAAAGUGUGAAUUUUGGCUUCGAGAAGUGGCAUUUCUUGGACAUUUGAUUUCGGGAUCGGGUAUAGCUGUGGAUCCCAAGAAGAUUGAGGCUAUCAAGGAUUGGCCGAGACCGACGAGCGUCACGGAGAUACAGAGCUUUCUUGGAUUGGCCGGUUACUACCGGAGAUUUGUCGAGGGGUUUGCUAAGCUAUCCACUCCCCUCACGAGGCUCACGCAUAAAGGCGUUAAGUUCAUUUGGAACGAUGCGUGUGAAAGGAGCUUCCAAGAGUUGAAGAAAAGAUUGACGACCGCCCCGAUCCUAACCCUGCCGGUUGCUGGAGCAAGGUAUGUGGUUUUUAGCGACGCUUCAUUUAAUGGAUUGGGUUGUGUAUUGAUGCAGGAUGGCAAGGUGAUCGCGUAUGCUUCUCGCCAAUUGAAGGAGUAUGAAAGGAAUUAUCCUACGCAUGAUUUGGAGUUAGCGGUCGUAGUCUUUGCAUUGAAGCUAUGGCGCCACUAUCUCUAUGGCGAGCGGUGUGAAGUAUACACGGAUCACAAGAGCUUGAAAUAUCUAUUCACUCAGAAGGAGCUGAACUUGAGGCAGCGCAGAUGGUUGGAGCUACUCAAGGAUUAUGAUUUGACGAUUCUUUACCACCUGGGCAAGGCUAACGUGGUGGCGGAUGCGCUAAGUAGGAAAUCAACGGAAAACUUAGCGAUGCAUGUUGUUACUCAACCGCAGUUGAUCGAGCAGAUGAAACGGUUGGAGUUAGAGGUGAUGACUCCAGACACACCCUUGAGGUUGAUGACCUUGGUAGUGCAACCUAUGCUUUUGGAUAGAAUUAAAGAAAAGCAAGUUUCCGAUGUGAAAUUGCAAAAGAUUAGAGACAAAAUGGUCGAUGAUUGCACCGGCGAUUUCCUUGUGGAUGACCAAGGAUUGAUGCGUUUUCGUGGACGGUUAUGUGUACUGGCGGAUUCGGGACUUAAAGAAGAUAUUCUUCAAGAAGCGCACCGGGCACCUUAUGCUAUACAUCCGGGAGGUACCAAGAUGUACAAGGAUUUGAAGUUACUCUAUUGGUGGCCCGGGAUGAAAAAGGAUGUUGGUGAGUUUGUUGCUAGAUGUCUAACUUGCCAACAAAUGAAAGCUGAGCACCGAUUACCCGCGGGGAAGCUUCAGAGUUUGCCGAUUUUUGUGUGGAAGUGGGAGAAGAUCACCAUGGAUUUUGUGAUGGGAUUGCCUCGCUUUCAAGCCGGGCAUGAUGCUAUUUGGGUGAUCGUGGAUGGGUUGACGAAGUCGGCGCACUUCAUACCUAUUCAUACUACUUGGACUGGAGAGAAGCUGGCACAAGUACACCUCGAUGAGAUUGUGCGACUUCAUGGAGUGCCUACAUCGAUUGUAUCUGAUCGCGACACACGCUUCGUGUCUCACUUUUGGAGGAGUCUACAGGACGCCUUAGGUACUCGAUUGGAUUUCAGCACUGCUUUCCACCCUCAGAGUGACGUGCAGUCGGAGCGCACUAUUCAGACCUUAGAGGAUAUGCUCCGAGCUUGUGUGAUAGACUUCCAGGGAGGAUUGUCACAGCAUCUACCGAUGGCGGAAUUUGCUUAUAACAAUAGUUAUCAAGCAAGUAUCAAGAUGGCACCCUUCGAGGCACUUUAUGGAUGGAAGUGUAGAUCUCCACUUUAUUGGAGUGAAGUUGGCGAGAGAUUGACUUUAGGCCCUUAUGUGCUCCAGGAAGCUGAGGACAAGGUUCGUAUUGCUCGGGAGCGACUUUUGACGGCACAGAGUAGACAGAGGAGCUACGCCGAUCGACGGCGGCGAGACUUGGAGUUCCAAGUUGGAGACCAUGUUUUCUUGAAGGUCUCGCCGACUAGAGGGAUAAAGAGAUUCGGGAUUCGGGAUAAGUUGAGCCCCCGGUUUAUUGGACCGUAUGAGAUCUUGGAGCAGGUAGGUCUGGUAGCGUAUCGACUUGCUCUACCACCGAACCUAUCGGGCGUGCACAAUGUCUUUCAUGUAUCGGUCCUUCGGAAAUACAUCUUCGACCCGGCUCAUGUUUUGGAUGCUACACCGAUAGAGCUGAGGGAUGAUUUGAGUUUUGAGGAGCAACCCGUGAGAAUCUUGGCUCGCGAGGUGCGGAGGCUACGGAAUCGGGAUAUUCCGAAUGUGAAGGUUCUUUGGAGCAACCACGGGGAGCGAGAGGCCAUGUGGGAGCUUGAGAGCGCCUUGCAGGAGCGCUAUCCCCAUCUUUUUUAGAUGGAGCUUGAGGUAUGUGGUUGGUUUCGAGUUUCGCGGGCGAAACUCCUUUUUAGGAGGGGUGAAUGUAACACACUAGACCUUUGCAAAUUACGAGGUUCGACUGUUUGAUUUGGAUUCUGAGCCUUUCCAAGUUUUUUGGAGGGUCGUUGACAGUGUUCCGACCCACGGUUCGCAAUCCGAGAUUUUUGGUUUUGUCCCGAGAGUUUAGCUCUCGAGGACCGGUCCCUGGUGGGAGAGACCGGACCCUCGUAGCUGUGGUGCGGUUGGCAGCCGAUGUAACCGGUCCCCUGGCCAGGGAGACCGGUUCCCGUAAACAUGUUUGCGGCAGGGUCCUGAGGGACCGGUCCCUUUGCCCGAAAACUGCCCAGUCUAGGCUGAGUGCUGGUUUAGGAGUUGAGGGGUGUUUUUGCAUUGUUGCAACACCUAUAUAACUCACCCCAGCCCCUUUUGGAGCUCUUUUGAGCUCAGACCUGAGGAGAAACAAGGUGAGCCCUUCCCCCCUUGUUUGAUUUUCAUUUUUGAUAGAUUAUUGCAUGUUUUGAUCUCCUCUCUCUUGCUUUUCCUUACUUUUUGUUGGUUUCCUCCAUGGGAGAAGCUUGGAUUUCGGGAUUGGAGCUUGUUUGAGGUUUGAUCUUCAACCCUAGCUCACUUGCUAGCUUGAGUUGGUGCUUUGGAGAGGUUAGUAAGUUUAACCUACCCUUUGAUUCUUGUUUAGCAGGGUUUUUGUUGUUGGAACCCUAGAUAUGAGAGUUUAGGGUUUAUAAUGGGGAUUUUUGAGUUAAGGCUUUUUGAUCUUAAUUGAUUGACUUAGAACCUUCCUUUAGGUUGGUUUUGAAGGAUUCUUGCUCCCUUUGGGAGAUCAAGAGGCAUUUUCACCAUUUUCAGUGAGUUUUUGCCCUUUUGCUUUAGUUGUUUAAUGUUUGAACAUAUGAUUGUUCGUAACGUUCGUGUAUCCCUCCUUUUGUGACCUUUAGGGUACUCAGAGAGUGGUGGACACCUUCGUCGGAGCAAACGAAGGGUUUCGAUUAGUUUCGGUGGGUUUGGCUUCAUUGGAAUAGGAGAAAACUUCUCCUAAGUGGUUAAAUGUCUUCGUUUCCUCGCAUCGCAUGCAUAUUCAUGCUAGAUAGAAUUUAUGUGAAUUUUAGAAUGCUUAAAAUGUAUGUGUUACGUAUUAUAAAAAUUCAUCUCUAUAUAGUAGAGCCUUAUGUGGACUUAAUAUGCAUGUGAGUAGCAUUCUUCUUGUGGUUUGGAAACAUGUUUCGUAUGACGAAAAUGACUUGAAUUAUGUAUUCUUCAACACUAAACUCAUGCUUGGGCUUAGUGGACAAAAGUGCCAUAAAGGGGCACCGAAUUAGUAAACUGUGAAACUGCAAUAUAGAGACAUAGAAAUAGGCCAUUGUGACAUCGACUAUAUUCCGUGUUUUAGACACGAUGACAUAGUGAUAGGCCAUUGAGACAUAGGUUAUAUUCCAUGUUUUAGACAUGAUGACUUGAGAUUUGAGACAUAUUUUACGCUUGCUUGCCCUUGUGCUCAUUCGCACAUGCUUGUGAGGGUCGCUCCCUACAAGCCGGCACUCCGNUAGCGUAAAUAUGCAGAAGAUGGAUGUCACGCCCCGAGGCCUCUUUUGUAAAGGUUUUUCGAAGAAGAGUCCAAUUUGAAAGUAAAGAUAGCGAAAAAUACCUCUAUUUUUUUUUUGAAAUACAAGUUUACCACGAGUCAGAACAGACUCACCACAAAUACAAAUUUUUUUCUGUCCAUUAGGACAGAAUUUUUCCUGUAUUUGUACGGCGUACUACUACAAGAGUUGUUGCAACACUAACAUUCAAUCACACAAACAACAUUCACAAUGCAGAUACUCACAAUAAUCAAUCAGCUAGCAAUCCUUGAAAUAAUGCAUGCUCUAAGCACUUCUUAGGCGAAGGAUGAUACAAACGCACAUUACAAUAAUCAACUCUAUCAUUUACAAAUGUUUUCCACUUGAAAACUUCAUUUUGAAAUACUAAGAAUCGAUAAAGCUAUAGAAAUCAUUUGAAAACAGUCUCCUACGUGGAAACUCAUUUUUCAAAAAUGCUGACUAUCUCGAGGGGUAGAAAACCAAUACGAUGAAACCAAAAUAUCAUAUCACUGGGAAUCCCAAAAGAAUUACCAUUUCAAAUACUUGUAAUUAAAAGAUCAUCCAUAAUAUAGAUUAUUCAUAAAUCGACAAUCAAGCAAACAGAUAAUUGAACCAUAAAUUUUUAAUUUAUUAACAAUAAAUGAAAUUGGUCAAAUCGAAAUAACCAUAACCAAUGCAGAUAUGCUGGGACCUCUAGAGCUCGCUAGCUAUCGCACCUCACGCACCGUCCCAACUCCCACCACCAAGAUCACCUGAAAGGGGGCGGGGGGAGGGGGUAAGAAACCAAGUCUCCCAGUAGGUACCGCAAGUCGACGAAGGCGAGUGUACUCAUUGGCGAGAGAAAUACAACAGAGAUAGAUAGAUACUCAUGUACAAUAGCGGAUAAAAAAAUAUAGAUAUGAACAAUAGUAAUCACCUACCGCUACUGUAAACAAAUAAACAGAUGCAUCAACUGAAUGAAAAUUGAUAUCCAAACACCUCGCCAUAUAGGUCUAAAGACCGCAGACAGUGCCACAAUAUGCUCAUCCACCGGUACAAAAUCCUAGCUAGCACCUUGCAGGGGCUCAUAGGUCGAAGAGAUGACCACUUUUCCUGAAAAGAACAUCCACACGGUGGCCAAACCAUUGCAUGAGCUGUGACGAUCGACGCGAAAUGCUCAAUAGUCAAUAAGACAACAAAAGCCGAGAGUGAGUUAAUAACCCACACCUGUCCAAACUAUAUCACCAAAUCAGUGAACUGACCAACACCGACCAAUCAGGUCCCAUAGAUAGAGAUCAUACAAUAGUCCAACACCCCUCUACUGCUAAUAUAUGAAAGAACAGAAGUAGAGUAAAUAAACCGAAAGUCUAGUGGUGUAAUGCUCAUCAAUAGUAUGCAAAGCGACAGAAAAGAGAAAGGAAAGAAUAUCAUCGAGCUAGCACCACUGUACCGACUUUAGAUCGAAGCACCCACCUAUAAUCUUAGUAGUGUUUAACACUCAAGGCACGUUGGGACGUCGACUAGACCUACAAAGGAUGCACUAGGUCAAGAUCCACUAAGUCAAAGUGUCACUGUAACACACUGGACCUUUGCAAAUUGCGAGGUUCGAGUGUUUGAUUUGGAUUCUGAGCCUUUCAACGUUUUUUGGUGGGUCGUUGACAGUGUUCCGACCCACGGCUCGCAAUCCGAGAUUUUUGGUUUUGUCCCGAGAGUUUAGCUCUGGGGGACCGGUCCCUGGUGGGAGAGACCGGUCCCUCGUAGCUGUGGUGCGGUUGGCAGCCGAUGCAACCGGUCCCCUGGCCAGGGAGACCGGUUCCUGUAAGCAUGUUUGCGGGAGGGUCCUGAGGGAUUGGUCCCUGAGAGGAAGAGAUCGGUCCCUCUGCCCGAAAACUGCCCAGUCCAGGCUGAGUGCUGGUUGAGGAGUUGAGGGGUGUUUUUGCAUUGUUGCAACACCUAUAUAACUCACCCCAGCCCCCUUUGGAGCUCUUUUGAGCUCAGACCUGAGGAGAAACAAGGUGAGCCCUUCCUCCCUUGUUUUAUUUCCAUUUUUGAUGGAUUAUUAUAUGUUUUGAUCUCCUCUCUCUUGCUUUUCCUUGCUUUUUGUUGGUUUCCUCCAUGGGAGAAGCUUGGAUUUCGGGAUUGGAGCUUGUUUGAGGUUUGAUCUUCAACCCUAGCUCACUUGCUAGCUUGAGUUGGUGCUUUGGAGAGGUUAGUAAGUUUAACCUACCCUUUGAUUCUUGUUUAGGAGGGUUUUUGUUAUUGGAACCCUAGAUAUGAGAGUUUAGGGUUUAUAAGGGGGAUUUUUGAGUUAAGACUUUUUGAUCUUAAUUGAUUGACUUAGAACCUUCCUUUAGGUUGGUUUUGAAGGAUUCUUGCUCCCUUUGGGAGAUCAAGAGGCAUUUUCACCAUUUUCGGUGAGUUUUUGCCCUUUUGCUUGAGUUGUUUAAUGUUUGAACAUAUGAUUGUUCGUAACGUUCGUGUAUCCCUCCUUUUGUGACCUUUAGGGUACUAGGAGAGUGGUGGACACCUUCGUCGGAGCAAACGAAGGGUUUCGAUUAGUUUCGGUGGGUUUGGCUUCAUUGGAAUAGGAGAAAACUUCUCCUAAGUGGUUAAAUGUCUUCGUUUCCUCGCAUCGCAUGCAUAUUCAUACUAGAUAGAAUUUAUGUGAAUUUUAGAAUGCUUAAAAUGUAUGCAUUACGUAUUAUAAAAAUUCAUCUCUAUAUAGUAGAGUCAUAUGUGGACUUAACAUGCAUGUGAGUAGCAUUCUUCUUGUGGUUUGGAAACAUGUCUCGUAUGACGAAAAUGACUUGAAUUAUGUAUUCUUCAACACUAAACUCAUGCUUGGACUUAGUGGACAAAAGUGCCAUAAAGGGGUACCGAAUUAGUAAACUGUGAAACUGCAACAUAGAGACAUAGAAAUAGGCCAUUGUGAUAUCGACUAUAUUCCGUGUUUUAGACACGAUGACAUAGUGAUAGGCCAUUGAGACAAGGUUAUAUUCCAUGUUUUAGACAUGAUGACUUGAGAUUUGAGACAGAUUUUACGCUUGCUUGCCCUUGUGCUCAUUCGCACAUGCUUGUGAGGGUCGCUCCCUACAAGCCAGCACUCCAGAGACAGCCAUCGCGACAUAUGCUCGCCCGUGCGGGAUUGGGCGCCGAAGUGGAUUGCCGUGAAGGAGGCUCAUUCCUAAAGUGGGGAUGUUGAAUACCACGGGGCCAUAAGGCACUGCACAGGCCAGACAGCCUACGGGUGGGUCUUACAAGAUUGCAACUAUAAGUAGUUAAUAUGCCAAAUGGACUUGAACUAGAAUAGUAAAUAAUGACAUCUUACUAUUUCCGUUGUGGACAUUAUGUUGGUUGCAUACUCAUGCUUAUUCAUGUUAGCGUAGCUUUCUUACUUAUGCAAAUCAUGCUAAGUAGAGACAUCAUGUUAUAGCAAGCAUUCAUGUUUAUUUACUUGCUGUUCAUUUCGGUUAUUACUCGCUCGUACUUACCCCUUUAUUACUUUUGGGCCUAGUGGUGCUUUUCACUGAAGUCGGUAAUUGCCCACUGGGAACUAUUAUUUAAUAGUUCUCAAGCCUCCAGUUUUUUGGUUUUAUUUCAGAGCCUUCUGCACCGGCGGAGGCACGGGAUCGCGGCAAGGGAGUCGCAUAGCUAGAUAGCGCGGAGCUUGCUUUUGCUCUUAGGUGGUCUACUCUCUUUUUGUGUUUUUGGUGAGAGAGAGUUUUGUUACCUUGUAUAGAGACCACCAUUGUAUUAUUUUUUUAGUCCUUGUACUUGGGAUUUUAGUUGUACCACCUUAUGGUUCUUUACUUAGUGGAUUCUAGUUCUUGUUUACUCUCUUAUUAUAGAAUCUAGUUGUACUUGCUCUGAUGCUUCUAGAUGUCUCUCUUUUACUGGUUUCUUUAUCGUUUUCUUUUAGACGCCUUAUAUGUUUUAGACGUAUGGUGGGUCUGGACACGUGCCGCGCAGCCUUCCGCUGAGUCCCGGGGCGUGACAGUCACGCCCCGAGACCGCUAUCCAUUUGGUUCGGUUCGGGAACGUCGAACAGACGCCGAACAAACAGCACCUCCCAUCUCCGCCCAAGGCUAAAGAACAGCAAUCAUGUACAAGAGUUUGCCCAAGAUAAACUCAAUCAACGUACAUGAUCAAGACGAAGCACCACAAGUGCUAUACAAUUAAGAGCAAGAAUCACAAGCAACAUACAAGUGAAAUAAAGAGAGAUACAUCUAGCUAUUACAUCACAUUUGACAUUCAACAUUUACAUUGAUUUGAUUUACAUUUGCAUCUCCCAAAAAUGAAUACAUGAUCAUCUCACAUAUAUAAUGUUAACUAUCCAAAAUACACCCUGUCUAUAAACAUGCACAUGAGGGUGCUCUAGUACAAACAGGAAUGCUCUACUAGCUAGCUAGGGCGCUAUGCCCUUACCGCGAUCCUCCCCCGGGAUGCUCGCACUCGGCCCUGCAACAAAGUGGGGUGAGAACUAUAUAAAUAUAGUUCCCAGUGGGUUCGGCCGCCGACUCCGCCGAUCUUCCCACUAGAUCUAAGCUGGCACAGAUAGAUAGAUAGAUAUAUAUAGAAAUGAAACUGCGUCUAUACUAUACUAUGCCAUCAAAUGCAAGCAAUGCAUGAAAUUAUCAUCUAGCAACAAGCCUACUAUCAUGCUAGUAUGCUUCAACAAUGUAAUGAAUAUAAAUACAACAUAGUUAUGCAAUCCACUAUCAUAUACUAUGUUUAAUCAUGGGAUGAAUGCAAAUCCACUUAUGCUAUUCAUAUCAUUACCCAAUCCACUAGGCUACCCCGCCUAAGAUCUCAAAUCUUAUAGGUACUCACACUACAAUUCUAGUAGGUGAAGAGGUGAAGAGCUACCCCGCUCUUCGCCCCGACUAAUAUCUCAAAUCUCACGGGUGUGGAGCUACCCCGCUCUUAUCUCGCCCGUCUCACAUCUCAAAAGCCAUAGGUGAAGAGCUAUCCCGCUCUAAUCUCAUAGGUAAUGAACUGCCCCGCUCAAUUCUCAUAGGGGAAGGGCUACCCCGCCCUUCGCCCCAACUCACUUGCCAGUCCAAUGGGUUCCCGCUCGUAUCCCACCUGGUGAGCUACCCCGCUCGUGAGCUACCCAGCUCGUGUGACAACUCCGGAGUGCACUGCUUGUGUGGAGCGACCAUCACAAGCCCAAAACAGACUAUGUGAGUAUGAUCCAAUCCUCGCCAACUGAGGUACCCUGUCAACUAGGUUAACAAACACUCGAAACUCCACCUAUCCUUAGGUCCAUGUCAAGUGUCUCAACCACACUAAUCAACUCACACUAGGGAAUUUAACUAUCCCUAUGUUUGAUGCCAUAGUGUCUCAAUUACACUAAUUCCCAUGCCACUCGUCAUGUUAUUAACAUUGCUUACAUGCCAUUCGUCCAAGUUCUAAGCGUUUUCUAUACACUAAUUCACAUGUCAUCAAUUUUCAUCAUUGAGUCCGAGUUCACUGUUUUCUUAUCACUAUAGGAUCUCAUGUCACAAACCCUAAUCCUCAUGCAUUCUAGAUUUAAGUGUCAAGUCCAUAAUGCUACACAACUAGACAUGCAUGCAAGGAAAUAGAAAUGCAACUAUACAUACAUCCUAUAAUGCAUAAGAACAAUAUAUAUGAAAUAUGAUCAACGAUUCUAACUCAGACAUAGAAAGAAGCUCAGUUGCUUCGGGAUGGACACCCCCCACCUUCGAUGACGUAGAGGUUCUAGGAACGCUACUCGGCACUUGUUACGACGUCGUCUCGGCCCUCUUCGUCAAAACGAAGCUUGCUCGGCCUUAUUUGCCGAUAUCUUCGCACCUGCUCGACGAAUGCUCAAUCCGUCGCUUCCCACGCGUUUAGACACCUGGCAAUUAGGUUUACAUAUGAUCAAUUUAGAUCAAACCCAUCGAUUUCCAAAAACCCCAAUUUGGAGCCCUAGGUCCCAACCCAUGCAAGAAUCCAUGUCUAAAUCCUUAGAUUCAAGCAUAACUCACCUAUUUGGCAAGCUAGGGUUCCAACAAAACCAUUUCUAGGGAACAAAAACCCUUCUAUAGAGAUCUACCAUUAGAGAGCUUGUAAGGACUGAGAUUUUGACAGUGCAACUAAACUCUCUGUUGACGAUGUUUUUGUGUGUAAUUUAAUUACAUAAGCACUCGUCAAGUUUCAAGAGAAAAUGAGUUAGAACGGAGAAGUUACGCGAUUAUUAGUUUUCACUUAAAGUGAAUAGUAACCUGGUUUUCCGGAGAAACCACAGAGUAGAGUUGGCUUCUGGUGCGUAUCGGACUCCGUUCAUAGCGAUCCAAUAGCUCGUUUCGACCAGUUCAGCUAUUCUGGAACCAUUGGCGCUGACGGAUUUUAGAUUUGAUGCACGGUUUUCGAGAAAAAGGAGUUUUAUCAAAAAAAGGAUUUUCGCUCUUUGCUUUUCUGGCAUUUUAAAGCUCUUCGUGCUCUGUGCUUGUGACAGGGGGGGUUGGGUGAGAGAUGUUUAGGGUACCUACUGGUGGUAGGGAGUCCGAAUUCAAAUUUGAAAUUAAGGUUUUUGGGUUUACACAUAGGUCUAUGUGUAAUUUAUAGGUUAGUUGGAGAGCGAACGGGUUUCGUCGUGAAUCCGUGACCAAACGGGGCGAAACAAAAAACGUGGAUUUGUUGGCUCGGCAGUGCUGAACGCGCUGGCGCAAUCCGUUCGCAAAUCCGACGAACGGAUUGCCGGGUAUCGCUUGAUGUUCGGAAAGGGGUCGAUUGUGGCAAUCGGAGACUUCGCAAAAGUCGUAAUAUUUUAUGUGCCGAAUCGCGCCAAAUCGGACAUGGAGGUGCAUACGUGUAAUAUUCUCGCGCUGCGAAGGACUGAAUUGCAAGUAAUCAGCUCUGGGGGAUCUUUAUGCAAAAUGUGCAAAUGUAUAUAUAUAGAGAUGUUGCUCUAGGGAAACCCUACUUUGGUCUUCCCCUCUGCUGAGCUGAUACCUAGCCGCCCUACCUCAUCCCUGCCCUGCCCGUGUGCGCGUCCUGGCCGCCGCCGGCCACCGAAAAGCUGUUGUCCUCUCUCACCUCCAUUGUUGCCUGCACCACCCCCUUCUCCUCGGCUUGUGCUGCUGCUAGGGAGGCCCUAUGUGACGCACUGGACCUUUGCAAAUUGCGAGGUUCGAGUAUUUGGAUAGUGUCCCGAGUUUUUCCAGACUUUCUGGUAGGUCGUUGACUGUGUUCCGACCCAUGGCUCACAUCCCGAGAAUUGUGGUAUUUUAUGUAGCGCUAAGGUCACCAAAUAGUUGGACUUAGCCUACCCUCGGAUUGCAUUCUGCACAAGGUGUAACCGGUGACAGGUCGAUGGCUGUACCGGUACACAUUUUGUACCGGUACACUUUUGAUGGCUGUACCGGUACACUUGUGGCGAAUUUCAAACCCGAGCCUCGGGUUUGCAUUUUCGUAGGAUUUGUACCGGUACACUUUCCCGUGUACCGGUACACUUUGGCAGAAUCUAAAUGUUUGAUUCUGCAGGGGGUUUUUCGCGAUUGUGGACUUCUAUAUUACCACCCACGCCCCUAGGGCUGCUCUUUGAGCUUCCCACAGCAGAGAGAGAGGUAAGGGAGCUUCCUCUACCACCCCCUUUGGAUUUGAUCCCCUUGUUGGCUUGGAUUUUGGUGGAUUUACUCUCCUUUUUGCCUUUUGUGCUAUUUCCUCCAUGGUAGAGAGCUUGGUGCUUGGAGUUGAGCUUGGUUUGAGGAAGAUCACCACUUCUAAAGGGUUUUGAUCCUUGUUUUGGAGCUUCUAGAAGGUAAGCAACAUUUUCUUUCCCCUAGAUUUGGGUUUUGGUGUUCUCUACUAGAUGGAACCCUAAAAUGAGAGAUUAGGGUUGUUUUUGGGGCUUUUUGAUUAGAGGCUUUUGGAACCAAUCUAAUGGGAUUAGAACUUUGGAAUAGGUUCCUUUGAAUGAGAUUUGCCCUUCCUUUGAGCUUUGGAGAGGGAUUUCUACUCUUGAGGUGAGUUUUGGCCCUUUUUGCUUUUAGGUUAAUGUUUGAUAUUAUAUGAUGAUCGUAAUGCCCGUGUAUCUUUUCGCUCAAUCCUUUUAGGGUAUUUUGAGACUCGGGGACAACUUUGUUCGGCAAAACGAGGCCCUACGCGACGGUUCGGUGGGUUUGACCUAGCCCUUAUAUGAGAAAUUCUCAUAUAUUGUGAAAUAUGUUUCGUAAAUUGGAAAAGCAUGCAUAUUCAUACUAAAUGUAUUUAUUAUGAUUUUUAGAAUGCUUAAUAUGCAUAUGUUAUGUAUAGUAAAUUUUUCGACCCCUAUGUGGUAGGGUACAUGCUUGUGGGAUAUAGCAUUCUAGUUGAGACUUGGAACCAUGAUUCCUAUUAUGAAAAUUGAACAUUGUUUCUAUGCAUUCCACUCUUAUGCCUAAUCGUGAUGUUAGGGACUUUGGAUGCCUAGAGAGGCUUGGGGACUUAGUUUAUUUGGGAUUUUGGGUCAAUGUCAUAAAGAGGCAUUGGGCCCCGAGUUAUAGUAAACAUCGGUAUUAAUGUCAUAUUUGGGACAUAGAACAUGAUUUGAGCUUGGUUAGUUGUGGUGCUUAAGUGUCAUAAAGAGGCACUAAGCAAGUGAGUAUUGAGAUAUCACCUUGUGACUUUGAGCUAGACCGUUGGGUUACUAGUAGCUAUUGCCAUGUUAGAGACAUGAGGAUUGGAUACUCGAGACUUGGACUAUGCUUGUUUGCCAUUUGUGCUCAUUCGCACAUGCUUGUGAGGGUCGCUCCCUACAAGCCGGCACUCCGGAGUUAGCCUACGCGACUUUUGAUCGCUCGUGCGGUAUUGAGAAGCCUACGGGGUCGAGUGGGACAGACACAUUCCAAGAGUAGGGAUGUUGGGCUACCACAGGCACUUAGGCGGCACAAGCUGGACUACCUUUGGUAGGUCCUCUGUUGGAAAUGGAAAUCGACACGGUGUUGAGUUUAUUAUGAAUCAUACCUAGACAAGUCAGUAGCUGGUACUGACUUACUCUAGCAUAGUGGACAUUUGCAUUCAUACAUACAUGAUAGUAGCUAGCGAGAUGUCUGGUUAUGCAUCCUUAUAUGCAUUGUAGUCAUGACAGAGUUCACUUUCAUAUCUGUAUAAAGUAAAUCAUGACAUUAUCUGUAACAUGUAAAUUUAUUAAUAUCUCACGAAAGAUAAAAUUGCAUUAUAAAUGCCAUGUUACUUGCAAGUAGAAGUUAGCUCUUAAUCAUGCUCUUCAUAUAUGCAAUUACUCGUACUAUAUGUCGUUACUUACCCUUUUCUUUUGGGGCCUAGUGGUGCAUUGAGCUGAGGUCAGUAAUUGCCCACUGGGAACUAUAAAUUAUAGUUCUCACGCCCUCUUUUUCUCGAUGUUUUUCAGAGCCUUCCACGCAGGGUGAGGCCAGGGAUCGCGGGAAGGGAGUUGCUUCGAGCUAGCUUCCUUCGAGGACGAGUUGCUAGGUGGUUCACCUCUCGAUUUAUGUUUUAUUUUGUGAGAGGUUGUGAGUUUUACCAGUGUAUUAGAGACCACCAUUUUUGUACCUUUGAGACUGAUAGUGUACUACUUAUGGUUUCUUUUAUUUUCUAGCUUUAUCUCUUUACCUUGGUGUAGAUGAUAGAACUUUACUCGCUCUGAUAUCAUUAGUUGCUAGUUAUUUUACUUCUUUUAUUUGUUCUAUCUCUUGCUUUACUUCCGCUUUUAUUCUAAACGCCUUAUAUGUGUAGACAUAUGGCGGGUCUGGGCACGCUAUCGGGAGGGCCUCCGCCGGUCCCGGGGCGUGACACCCUACACCCCUGGGCUUCAUUUCUGUCAGCGGGCCCCGACUCCGGCGACCAUCCCCGUCGGUCGUCGCCGCCCCGGAGCGCCGCCACUGCCGCCCUGGCAGGUUGCGGCCAAACUGGACAGAUCAGGCUGUGGGUACUUGAUCUCCUCCUCCUCGCGCCGCCGCCACUUAGGAUGGGUUGCGCCGCCCUUCUAGGCCUCCGACGAUCCUUCGCCGAUGGUCGCCGACGUCCUUGCGCGCUGCCGUCGUCGUCGUGGCAACAUGCGGCCAGCCUGGGUAACUCCGGGCUGGGGCGGAUACAAUCUCUUUCCCUCGCAUCGCCGCUACUCGGGGCCAACCUUGUCGCCUCUCCCUGGUCUCCGGUGGCUUGUCGCCGCUGCCCCGAGACUCCCCGGCCGCCGCAUUCAGCCGAGCCCGAGCCAAGCCCGUGUGUGGGCUUGGGAUGCUCCACCGCAGCCGCCACCGUCUUCCGCCGUCGGCGAGCGUGAGCGCCGGCUCCGCCUGGCCGGUCGCACCCGUUCACCGCCGGCUACCCCGCCGCCGGAGCACCCUGUCAACCGAGAUGAGCCCGAGCUCUCCUCGGGUUGUGUGGCUAGGGCAUCAUCGUCCGCCGCCUACGCCGCCUCCCGUCGCCGGCCGACGCAAGCCCUGGCCUCCCCACACUGGCCGCACCCUCCUCUUGCCGGCUAGCCCGCCGUCCGGCUGCCGCCGGCCGCCCCGUGCCCUACCUUGCUCCAGUCCGGUUGACAUUCUUUCACAGUCAGGAGACAGGCGCGACAUUCGUACUGGUGGGUACUUCGAUCCGAAGUCGGUACAGUGGUGCACGCUCGGUGAUAUCCUCUUACCCUUACUCCUUGGUUAUUACUACUGCAUAGUACAUAUAUUGAGCCUUGCACCUUGUUUAUCCGUUAUACUCUACUCGUUGGUUGCUUGCUUAGUAUCCUGAGUAGGAGUAGAGUAGCUUUAUCUACAUAUGAUAUCUGUUGACCUAGUUGGUCGGUUGUUGCAUUCAGUAUCGUUGACUUGGUUGGUCUGUUGUUGCAUUCAGUAUCUGUGACCUAUUUAGUCUGUUCCUUGACUUUUGUUGUUCGAUGAUCGUUGAGUUUGGUAUUGUCACGCCCCGAGCCCUGCCAAUUGGGCCGGUUCGGGCGCGUCGAACAGACGCCGGACGGACACCAGCUCCCCUGUCCACCCAAGGCUAAAGCGACAAGAUCAUGUACAACAAGUUCCCAGGAAAACAACUUGAAAUACGUACAAGAUCAAGCAACAACAACGAGAGCACAACCAGUGCUAAACAUAUAAGAGCAAGUAUCACAAGUAUAAUAAGUGAACGAAAGAGAGAAUUCUAACUAUUACAUCCAUUCAACCUCUUUACAUUGCUUUAAUUUACAUUUUUAAGCUCUCAAACAAAAACAUAAAGUUUACAAUCUUCCCAAAACAUCUCACCACCUAUACAUCAUCUACGCUCAUAUACAAAAGGUAGCUCUAAUGCAUAAUGGAAAGUCACUACACUAGGGCGCUAUGCCCUUACCGCGAUCCUCCUUCGGAACACUCGCACUCGGCCCUGCAACAAAAUGGGGUGAGAACUAUAUAAAAUAGUUCCCAGUGGGUUCGGCCGCCGACUCCACCGAUCUUCCCACUAAGUCUAAGCUGGCACAGAUAGAUAGAUAGAUAGAUAGAUAGAUAUUGAACCGCAACUAUGAUCUACUAUGCCAUCAAAUGCAAACAAUGCAUGGAAUAUCCUCUAAUGACAAGCCUACCAUUUUGCUAGUAUGCUUCAACAAUGUAAUGAAUACAAAUGCAACAUAGUUAUGUAAUCCUCUAACAUAUACUAUGUAAUCCUCUAACAUAACUCAUCUUUCAAUCCCAAAGUGGGGAGGGAGCUCCAAGUGCACCCUAGCCCGGGACCGUCUGCGGACCUCCAUGUGGUCCGGACCUCCAAGUGGUCCUAGUCGCGCGACACUCCGGAGUACUCGACGACAAUCCCCUCCAUGUGGGGAUUGGAUGGCUAUACCACCCUAAACGCAGACUGUGAGCUAGAUCUAUCCUCUCCAAGUGAGGAUACACUGUAACUAGGGUCAACACCCAAUCCAACCUCUCCAAGUGAGGAGGCUCUACUGCUACAGUCAAUAACCCAAUCGAAUCCUCUCCAAGUGAGGAGGCUCUAUAACUAGAGUCAACAUCUCUCGCGGGAUCAUUUGUUCCCGACAUUCAUGCAAUGCUAUUUAACUUUUCUAAAUUCAUUGUUCACAAGGCAUUUUCUAAGGGAUCCACCUAUCCCUAGGUCCAUCGACCUCUAGUGUUAUUUACACUACAUUAAUGCCACUCGUCAUCAUUUAUCAUUCGGAUGCCACUCGUGUUCUUUAACACUAUCCACUACUUCCUAUGUCAUCAAUACCCCCAUCGGGUUCAUCUCUUUUCUUUCGCACCAUAGGAUUCACGUCUCGACCCAAUCCUCACCUAUCUAAAUUACCAAGCGUUCCAAGUACACUAGGUUAUCAAUUAGAAAGCAUAAGGAAUGGAGCUACUAUGCAAUCCUACAAUGCAACAUGAAGAGAUGAGAUUAAAUGCAAUCUAAGACAUAGAAAGGAGUUCGAAAGUUUCGGAUGACACCCCCCACCUUUUACCAACGUAGAGGCUCUAGAAACGCUCCUCGGCGAGCUUUACGAAAAGGCUUUAGCCUCCCUUGGUCCAAGAUAACGCCGUAACGACCGUAAUUCGCCGAUUGCUCUAAGCCCGCUCGACGAAUCGCGAAGUCGACUUCGCCCCCGCGUUUGGGCACCUAUCGAUGAGGUUUACAAGGCCUCAAAUGAGAUCAAUCUCAUACUUUGCAAAAUGCCCCCAUUUGGAGCCCUAGGUUGCACAUAUAGCAACCCACCAAUAGAACCUUAGAUUCAUGGGAUUGAUCUACUUAGAAGCAUGCUUGGGGUCCAUUUGACCCAUUCCAAAGCAUAAAAACCCAAAAACCCUAAGUUUACAAAGCUAGGGUUUGGUAGCUUACCUCAAGAGCUACACCAAUGGGAAGAGGAGAGGGAGAUGGAGGUGCUCCAAGCCUUCCUCUUGAUCUCCUUCUUCUUCUCCUUCCUUAUGUUCCUCUUCUUUUCCUUCCUCUCCUUCUUGUUCUUCUUCUCCUUCUUUCCUUUCUAGAGAGAGAGGGAGCAAGAGAGAAAUGAGAGUGAGGGAGAGUGGAAUGAGAGGGUGUGAGGGAGAGAGAGGGCCCAGCCCACUCUAAUAAAGGCCAUUUUGCAUUUAGGUCCCUCAACUUUUAACCCCUUGCACAGCCCUCACUGAGCAGUUUUCGCGCGGAGGGAUCGGUCUCCCCGACUUGGGACCGGUCCCCGAGAGCCUCCCUCGGGUGCACGCGUUCGGGAACCGGUCUCUCCCCGGGAGACCGGUCCUUGGGAGACCGGUCCUCGCCUGAGAGACCGGUCCCCGAGAGCUCAAUUUUCAGGACUUAGCCUAAUUUCGGCAUUUCUUGCUGGAACCACGUUCGGGAACCGGUCCCUCCUUGCCAGGGACCGGUUGCACCAUGCAACCCCGCACGCCCAGGUGAUGGAACCGGUCUCUCACCUCCAGAGACCGGUCCCUGAGAGCAACAUCAGCCCAAUAAUGCUGUUUGCACCAUUAGCUCUCGUGGACUCAACUCCAAAGCACUUUUUGUGUUUUGGACAUCUUUAAUUCCCCAAAGGGUAUUCUCUCGACAAAUAGUCGAUCCUGGACGAAGUACAACUCUCGGAUUUCGAGAAUUCACUUCCUUACAUCCUCCCCUCCUUAAAAGGAGUUUCGUCCUCGAAACGAUCAAAUUCUUUAACUCUUAACUUAACUCAUACCUCAUUCCUCAAACAAAUGAGGAUGGUGCUUUCUCAUCAGAUCUUCGAUUUCCCAGGUGGCCUCACGAUCAUCAUGAUUGCUCCACCGAAUUUUCACAUAGGGGAUUUCUCGAUUUCUCAACUUUCGCACCUCUCGGGCGAUAACACUCACCGAAAACUCCUCAUAGCUCAAGUCUUCUUGAAGUUCCGGCGGCUCAUAUAGCAUUGCGUGCUCGGGGUCAUGAAUAUACUUGCGGAGAUUGGAGACAUGGAACACAUUGUGUACAUCCGCGAGCUUCGGCGGCAAGGCAAGCCGAUACGCCACCGUGCCUACUCGCUCCAAUAUUUCAUAUGGCCCAAUGUACCGGGGACUCAGCUUUCCCCGUACUCCAAACCGCUUCACGCCCCGCAUUGGU
rnacentral:lncRNA from 1 species